UGAAUUUUGCAGAUGCUAUUGUUGAGAGUCAGCGAUGUGAAUGCGCGUGUUUGGAUUCACAUGGUACGCUCAGUAGUCAGUAUGUAGCUAGGAUUGUUUGGACCCUAAGCAUCGCAAAGCCUUUUUCAAACAAGGCCGAAACUGUAUGACUGCUGCAUACCUACUAGAUUCCUAAGCUUCUGCAUAAGACGUGUGUCCCUUCAUCUGCUGGGUUGCACAAGGGCUGACCUGGCUUCACAAGUAUUCUACCUGUACAAUUGUACUUGAUAAAUAUAUGCCAAGGCUGUAGAAUAACUACUGGAGAUCUUAAAAUACUUGGGGGUGCUCCGAGUCAUCAAGAAAUCAUCAAAACAAAACCUAAUUUGUUUCUUAAUUUGCUAAAAAUAACUAAGGAAGUGAGUUGCAAGUAGCUCUGAUGGAUAUGCUAUAAAUGAUUCGUACUUGGAGGCUAGGUGCUUUUACUAUUUAUAUAUAUAUUGGCAAUGAUUGGCUCGGUUUUGAUAUUGUCAAAGUUGCAAGCUAAGGUGCAUGCAUGGGGAGGUGAAUCUAGGACAAACAUGUAAGAAUCAGCUGUAAACAACCAUAGUUUGAGCUUUAAUUUAUGUUUAACAUAAAAGUCGGUGUUCCCAAUCGCUUCCUCCAUACAUACACGGUCUACGUCUUGACAUACAUCAUGCAUAUAUAUAUAUAUAGUAUUCUCCAUAUUAACAAUGACAAGAAUUCGUAUUUUAGAAUCAAUAUUGGUGUAUUUUGUGAUUUUUUAUAAUGACACAUGUAAGUACUUUAAAUUCAGAUCUAGAGGUUAAUAAUGACAUAUCCGACUCAUUUAGAUGCAAAUUUAGGGGUUAUUAUAACUUAUUUUUGUAAUAGUAUAGGUGGGUAAUUUAGACCAAUGAUUGAUGACGGGUUAAAAUCAAAACACAAGGGGAACAAAACGUCAGUCAACUGAUAAACUCAACCCUUGUCCUUUCUACUGCAUUUUUAUGGUGCACAUUACCCCCGAGCCUUUUAACAUGCAUUCUUCAUUGUUUACAGUACCAAAUAAGACUGGGCCUGCCUUCAAAUGACACGCUGGCUUGCUUAUAAAGAAGCGGGCCGGCUGAGAGCAUGUAUGCAUGCAUCCUUGUGGGUCGUUUUGGGCUCUGAAUAUAGGCCCUGCAAGACCUAGGUAUAGAUUUUUUUAAAAGAAAGGGAUAAAAAAAUAAAAUUGGGAAAAGGGGUGCCGGUGGGGAAUAUUUUGAAAAAUGGGUACCUCCCGCCCGAUCAGCGGGCGAGAGGUUCCCCGAGGGCCUCUUCGCGAAUUUCUUAUUUGCGAAGAGGUCCCUGCGGGGGCCUGCGAGGGCAUCCCGCCCACCCAAAGGGCGGGAUGUUGUCCUGAGGGGCAUCCCGCCCUUUGAUCGGGCGGGAGGUCCCCUCCGGCUAUAUAAGCCCCAGUCUGCCCCAAAAUUUCAUUUUAUCCAGCAAAAAUCAGAAGAAAAAAAAGAAAGAGAGGAGAGGAAGAGAGAAAAGGAAGCGGCGAAGCCGUGUUCACACGUCGAUUUGGAGGUAUAUUCUCAUUCUAGCCGUAUAAUUACUUGAAAAUAACUAUAAUCUAGGAAAUAUUUCUUAGAGUAGUUAUGUUUUGAAUAGUUUUUAGUAUUUUCAUUUGUUUUUAGUAUAAUUUAUAUUCUGAAUAGUUUAGAUUUUGUAAAAUAUAAUCUGAGAAUCGCUGAAACUUAGGGUCGUCGUCGUGUAUUAAUAUGUAGUAUAACUAGUUUAUUCAACUGUGCGGUAUUUUCAGAUAUGUUUUCCGAUAAGGUUAUUUUCAGUAUAUAUUACGGAGAAGGAAAUGUGAUUUAUGGGCCAAAUGGGUUAGAUUCAAGUGAAUUCAACUGUACGGUCAGAGGAAUUAUCAGACCGCACGAGAGGACAUUUGAAUCCCUAUGCAACUGGUUAAUGAGGGGAUUAAGGAUUGAUCAGGAGACACACACUGUGAGUGUUCAAUGCGUUAUAAAUCGUACCACUCACGCUUUAAUCUGGGAGCUGAUGCCACUUGCAAGCAACGAGGACUGGUUAACUUAUCUGCAAAAUGUAAGUUAUUGGCAAUGGCCACUGGUACUCCUGUCAGUGUGCACUAGAAUCCUUUGAUAAACAUUGAAGCUGCUCUGGGGAUGAAAAUAUUGAUGAAGAAGUUGAGGAGGCAAACAUUGAGGCAGGUGGCACCGCAGCACCUCAAUACGUGGCUGAUGAGGGGGAGAACAUACCCUUCAUUGUUGAACAGCAGCAAGACGAAGAACGUGAAUUCGACGAAGCAAUGAAUGCCGAUUCGUCUGAUGCUGACGAUGAUGUGCCUGAAGAUUGGGUAAGCAGCCAAUUCAGUCAUCUUGUCGUAAAUGAUGGAUGUAGCUGGCCUUCUGAUUGCAGGGAGAAUGAAAUUGUCCAGGGUGCGAGGUACCACUCAAUUGAAGAGGUGAAGGAAGCUGUUAAGUGCUGGUCUCUCUCUUAUGCUAGAGUUUAAAACAGUCGAGUGCAAAUCUCGUAAGUACGAUGUGGUAUGUAUGAAGGAGGGCUGUCCGUGGCGGGUGCAUGUCUAUAAGGGUAAAUGGAAAGAUUACUGGGAAUGCUCCAUUGUCACUCAUCACACUUGUCAUUUGCCUGGGGUGCAGAAGACCCAUCGCAACCUCACGUCGCAAUACAUCGUAAAUGAGAUGUACGGGAUAAUAGUAGAGAACUUGUCAUAUGAAUCAAAGUCUAUUAUCAGGUAUAUUCAGGAAAAAUACAAGUAUACCAUCUCGUACAACAAGGUGUGGAGUGCAAAACAAAAGGUGUUGGAGAUGAGGUUUGGUACGUUUGAGGCUGCAUAUGAUAAUGUUCUUCGAUUGCUGGCCGUCCUAUGUCAGAGAAAUCCUGAAAGCUAUUAUGACCUGAAAACUCUAGAUAGAGGAGAAGAUCCGCCCUACACAUUGCAGCGGGUCUUUUUCAGCUUGGGUCCAUGCAUUAACGUAUUCCAUCACUGCCGGCCUCUCCUGUGCAUCGACGGGACCUUUCUCACAGGAAAGUAUAGAUUGCAAAUGCUGACAGCUAUUGGAGUGAAUGGAAACAAUCAAUUGCUUUCUGUUGCUUUUGCUAUUGUUGAGAGUGAGAACACAGACAGUUGGUACUGGUUCCUGGAACGGGUUAAGCUUGCAGUCGUUCGGGAUAGGGAAGAUGUCUGCCUGAUUCAUGAUCGUCACGCCGGCAUACUGAGGGCAAUACUAGAUUUGCAGCAGGGGUGUGUGGAGACCGAAGAGCCGCCCAAUUGGCGUGAUGUUCGCAGUAGGUGGUGCAUAAGACAUAUCGGUGUAAACUUUUUCAGGCAAUUCAAAAACAAGCACCUUAUGGAUAUGUUCAAGAGGCUAUGCAAGGAAACGAAUCAGCAAAAAUUUAACAAGCAGUGGUAGAAACUUGAUGAACUGGUUCAAGAGGCUAUGCAAGGAAACGAAUCAGCAAAAAUUUAACAAGCAGUGGUAGAAACUUGAUGAACUGAUCGGGAAGAAAAGAGCCGAGGACGCAUCAAAAAACAGAACUGCACAUGAUGAAGCAGAGGCUUUGUGUCCUUUGACAACAGAUACCGCACGUACUCGUAGAAGGUCUGGGUCAGCGGUGAAAACCUUUUCUGAAUGGAUUGAGAAUGAACCCAAGGAGAAGUGGGCGUUACUUUAUGAUACCGAUGGUGCAAGGUACGGCAUAAUGACUACCAACUUCGCCGAGGUUUACAAUUGGGUGCUGCGAGGUGUUCGUGCGCUUCCACUGGUUGCAAUUGUGGAAUUCAUCGUCCGCGGGUGUACCGAUUACUUUAGGGAGCGGUUCACUAAAAAUCAGGUAUUCAUGCGAGAUUCUGAUAGAUAUUUUGGGAAAAUGAUAACAGAAUAUAUGACUAAGAAGGUAGAAAGCGUCCGGCUACACCACGUACGGCAAUGUGGUACACAGGAGCUCAAGUUUGAGGUAUCUCCUAAAGACAGAGCGCGACGUGGCAUGAGACGUCAAACUCCUGUAAAGGAGUGCAUUCUCAAGUUUGAUGGAACUUGUUGUUGCUCAUGCAUGAGGCCAAAGUUGCUGCACUUACCUUGUUCUCAUGUAAUGGCUGCUUGUGCGGAUAUUCGACAUCCUGUCGAUAUCUAUAUUUCCCAUUACUUCAGAAAGGAGACAAUUACCAGCACCUGGCAGUAUGAGAUCUAUGGGUUCCGUUUGGUUGGAUCAUUCACUGAGACAGCGAAUCCUGUUAUAUAUAUUCCAGAUCCAAGAUCAUCACGGGUUAAGAAAGGGUGCCGUCAGACACGGCGUAUUCGUAAUGAUAUGGAUGAGUCAGAGCUCCGUCCGAGGAUACAGCGCUGCAGUGCAUGUAAUCAGAUUGGACACACUUAUAAACGUUGUCCAAACAAUGAUGCUGGCCCCCAGUUCUGCUGAAGCUGGCCCUACAGGUGAUGCUACAGAUGGAAGACCUCCGGUUGCAUCAAGGAGUGGGAGACGUCGCCGAUCGAGUGCUAGUACGUCAUCAGGCAUUAUUUAGUUAUAAUUUUAUUUGAACGUUGUUUGCUCAUAUGUAAUAUUUGCCGCGUUGAGAUUGUAUCAGACCUGAAUGUGUAUUUGUUAUAUUUGCCGCAUUGACUAAAGACAGAAUAUUUGGAUUCAUGUAUUAGUAAUAUUUGUAAUAUUUGUAAUGUUUGUUAUCAUAUGUAAUAUUUGUAAUGUUUGUUAUCAUAUUAUUUUAUUUUUAAUGGCUUCAUGUAUUGUACUAUCGUAAUAUUUUGAUUUUACGUUGCAAAACGGUAUCGUUUAACCAUCUUCGUACGAGUUUUAGAUACCGUAAUCUUCUUCGUAAUAUUGAAUUAAAUUUUUAUAUGCAUACAUAAGAGUAAGGCGAAUAAAUCUUAUAUUCGAAAAAAGUCUGAAUUUCAAAUUAUUUGUGAAACAUAAAUUCUAAGAAAGUAUAACAAAAAUCAUAACCAGGGGACCUCCCGCCCACUGGAAGGGCGGGAUGCCGCUGGACGGGCGGAAUGCCUGCUGCAGGAGCCUUUUCGCGAAUAAGAAACUUUUCUUAUUCGCGAAGAGACCCCUGGAAAUUUUUUUGGAACCUCCCGCCCGAUGGGUGGGCGGGAGGUCCCCGGCCCCACGCAUCCCGCCCGAUCAAAGGGCGGGGGUACCCAAUUUCCCAAUUUUUCCCAUCCGGAUCCUCUUUUUCGAAUUUUAAUUUUUUAUCCUUUUUUUAAAAAAACUCCCUAGGUAUAUGGCACUGUUUCUGAACAACUAGCUACAUGUCAUCUUCCAGACUACCACGGAUGAUUUUCGUAACUUCACACAAGUAGCUAGACUGCAGUAGGGCUGUAUUACCAGCAGUCUCAGUGGAGUUUUAUGAGAAAUUUUAUGAAUAUUAAAUGUCAUGUUAUAUCAGCAAAUUUGCUGACAUGGCAUGGUCAUUAAGAGGAGAGAGGAGUGGGAGUUUCAUGGGAUGCAAGAGGAGUUUCGUCUUCACGACACUCCUCAAGUGCAGUUAUCAAAUUCUAACUGUGCAAUAAAACUAUAUAGGAAUUCCAGCUGCAGCUCUUUGAAGCCAUGCCAUGCGUAUAUAGAUUGGUACACUGCAAUUAACGCCUGGUUGUUGCAGAUUAGUCGGUUGGUAUGCAUAUAUAGCUUUCUGGCAGAAUUGAUCUAUAAUCAGUAAUGGUCGGCUGACAACUGAAGCACUCAGCAGCUUAGGCCCUUCUCUAAUUUUAAGAACUCUAGGAGACAACCCUUCUAACGAACUGGCUCUUAUAUUAGAACAUAGUUUACAAUAUAGUUUAUAAUAUAAAUGAUCCCGUACGCCAUCUCCACGUAAUCUUGAAGUGCGUGUAUAAGACUAUCUCUUGAUCAAGAGAUUGCUCUUCUCUCUCCUCUAUUAAAAUAUGAGAAAAUAUUAUAUGAGCCAGCUUAUAUGGAACUAUUGGAGGAGGUACAGUUACACUGAAGGUCAAUCUAUCUGACCAUAUAUAUAGUAAAGACACUCAAUUUGAAUGAAGGUCUCGAAAGAAAAGACUACUCAGUUUGAUCAGAAUGCUCAGAAUGUUAGUGGGAACCGCAUUAAUCAAUGUUUGAAGCACAUUAACUAUGUUGUCCCCACAUCCAUGCAUAUCGUCGGUGGAUUAAUAAAAGGAUUAGAUGCUGAAUAAAGUUUCUGAGUCCCACAAAUUGAUCUGUUUGUUAUUAGGACAAAAUGACAUGGAUGGUGACUGAUGUGGUUGAGGUUGAUACGUCCUCUUUAGAUUAUUGUCACUGCAUGCGCUGCAGCCGCGCCUAGUAAAAUGUAGGAAGCUGACAGAAAUAGCGUCGUCCUUGUACACUGUUGUCUUUCUUCCAGCUUGCAUUGGCAGCUUCAUUCCCCCUUGCUGAUGAACUGCAGACAGCGCCACCAAAAUGCUACAGUUCCGUCGUCCUUGUACCCUGCCGACUGCACAAGACGCAUAGUCGUUGCAAAUUGUAGCAACCUUCCAGAUCUCAGUGUAUUUGGUGGAGGGUCAAAAUCAAAGCAAAGCUUCCUUCUAUAUCUUUACGCUAGGAUUUCAGUGCAUGUUUCGUUGAUAUGAUGGCAAUAAUAAUAAUGCAAAUGCUCCAACUAAUAUAAUACGUGCCUUAAACUGCUCCCUCAUCCAUGCUUCAAUCUUAUUGCACUUUCACCGUGGACUGUUAUUCAGGAACAAGAGCACAGCUGCAGGCGUCCAAAUACUGGUUGCACGGCUUCUUCUUGGACUUGUGCAGCAGGAAGCAACUUGUGCCUGAUCCUUCAGGGAAUCAUGUGGACCAGCAUUCGGUUGCAGCAACUACGACUACUAAAGAUCUUACUAGCCUUCCAAGGCUCAGUCAGCUGGUGUGUACAAUGCAGUACUAAUUGUACCAUCCUGCAACCCUGAAAAGCAUGCUUUUGCCCCCAAAACCUUUUUGCAGAAUGCUGCUGCUCAUUGUUCAUGCUUUUCUUACCUGUAGCUAGGUACCUCGUAGGAUAGCAGUAUCUAUUGAAAAUUAAUAAAAUUCCAUGUAUCGAUUUUAUUUUGGAAAAUGCAAAAGCAUAUCAGAUUGACACCACACGUAUAUUAUCGCUCAUCAGCCAUGCAUUUCUCAUACCCCACCUGGAUAGGACAAGAUACUCCAUAAAGCAAACGUGACCACAGGAUGCCACCUAACCCUUUUUUGGUAUUUUGAACCACCCAUUUCUUCCUAUGCCGAAAGAAGACCUGCAAAACGGCCUAUUACUUAGCACCAGUGGGAUCAUUUUAAGAUUCAGCACGAAACAAAACUUAAGCGAGAAUGUGUUGAUUCGUGAUAUGCAAUUUACCUCUAGGUACUUGCAUCAGAUUAAAUAAUCAUAGUGCUUCCAAACAAAUGCAAUAGUGAUGAUCUGCCCUACUCAUUUUGGGAGGAAAAAUAUAAAAAGGAAGGCAAAUAAAAGGCAAGUUUCGUUUUUCAGCACCGUACCCUUUAAAGAAAUUCACGCUGCACCUAUGUGGAGAAGAGACGCAUUCCGACAUCACUUAAUUAUUCGUAUUGAUGCACAGUUAGAUCAUAAAAGAGGGGAGCCAAGCUAUGCACCACACUUUUCUGAAGAAAGAAUGAAGACACAAGCCACUCCCAAGAUGAUGGUGCUCCAUGCUCCGGUUGGAGUAAGGAGCAUCGUGAGCUUCCUAGUGGCCUUCUUUGUCGUCGCCAGCUCCAUCGUCUUCCUCUUCGACAGAGGCCAGGAAGCGCAGGUGCAAAUGGCGGUCGAGCAUGGACGCCAAGAACCAUGGAUUGGAGGGACAACUGAGGCCGGGGACACCAGCAAGGAGGAGUGCAACUGGUCGAGGGGGCAGUGGGUUUACGACAAUGUGUCCCGGCCAUUGUACUCCGGGCUCAAGUGCACCUUCAUCUUCCCUGAGGUGGCUUGUGAUAAAUAUGGCAGGAAGGAUGUCAUGUACCAGCACUGGAGAUGGCAGCCUCAUGGAUGCGACCUUCCAAGGUAGGAUAGGAUUACAUACAGAUUUUCCAGGUACUUUUAGAUCAACUUUGUUCUUGUCAGUCCAAAAGUUCCUGUAUAUGUGAAGGUGCAGUUUAAGAAUUUUCCAAGGGUAGUAAAUGUUUUUUGUUUCAUGGAAGCAGAAAAAUACAUAAUUAAUCUGUAACUGAAUAUAAGACAUUAAGACAGAGGAUAGUAAUGCAGAGAGAAGAAAAUAUUACUUUGAGGUUGCAAAACUGAUCUGAUUACGGUUGUUAGCUAGAGGCCAACAAGAAACAAAACAUGUAAGAGAACUAAUUGACAGUGAAAUAUCAGACGCGAGGAAAACUUCUACCUACCUUUUACUGUAUUGCAUAACUUACGCUACAUGGUAUUCAUGACAUGAUGUUUGAAUUUUACCGACCUUUCCGGAACAGAUUCGAUGCCAUCAAGCUGCUUGAAAUGCUGAGGAACAAGAGAUUAGUGUUUGUGGGUGACUCGGUGAACAGGAACCAAUGGGUUUCCUUGGUAUGCAUGGUGGAGGCCUCAAUACCUGAUGACAGGCUCAAGACGCGCAUCUUCAAUGGCUCGCUCAUCUCCUUCAAGGCAUUGGUGUGCAUUCCGAUCCUUCACAAAUCUACAGGCUACACAAACCAACAAUUUUGGUUAGCCGAUAUGAACACAUAAUUAUUUGUUUUUAGGAAUACAAUGCAACGAUAGAUUUCUACUGGUCACCGCUGCUGUUGGAGUCCAACAGCGACAACCCCAUUAUCCAACGGGUGGACAAACGGAUGAUAAGGGCUGACAGGAUCGAGAAGCAUGCCAGUCUCUGGAGGGAUGCUGACAUCAUUGUCUUCAAUUCUUACCUGUGGUGGAGGAAGCAGAAUGAUGACAUGAGGAUGAAGGUCAUGUAAGUGUAUUUCUCUCUUUAAUUUCCUUCCUAUUAAAUAUACCAGGAUAAAAAUCUUAUUAGGAUCAUAAAAAUAAAAUAUGAACCAGCAAAUACUAAGUCUCGAGAUGCCAUGAAAUGGUUAAGAUUUUUUUAUGUGCAUGCAGGUAUGGUUCAUUCGAAGAUGGUGAUGCCAGGUUAGAUGAAAUGGAAAUGAUGGAUGGAUUCGAGAUAGCUCUUAAGAAACUAACGGAAUGGCUCGGUGAGAAUAUUGACAAGAAAAAGACUAGAAUCUUUUUCGCGGGAUCAUCACCAACACAUUUCUAGGCUAGCAAGUGGGGUGGGGAAGACAGCAACAAGUGUCCGAAUGAAACAGAACCCAUCUACAAAGUGGGAUACAAAUCCGCAGAUUACAGAUUGAUGGCCACGGCGAAGUCGUAUUUUCAAACAUUAUUAGAGCCAAAAGGUAUACAUGUUGAGAUACUGAACAUCACAGAGCUGUCUGACUACCGCAAGGACGGGCAUCCGACGGUAUUCAGGAAACAGUAUGUUCCUCUGACGAAAGAGCAAAUUGCGAAGCCAGCCAGCUACGCGGAUUGCACGCAUUGGUGCCUCCCCGGCGUUCCUGAUGCGUGGAACGAGUUUUUAUACAGCUACCUCAUGUACAGAUGAUCGAUGCACCCCUAAUAUAUAAUAUAAUGUACAAAUGACAUACUGCAUCUAGAUCGAGUAGUUUCCGAACAAGUUGCCGACGGGCACAUCGCCUGCCACCGAAAGAAUAGCGCCACCGGUUAAAUCCUAGAAUAAAUUUAGAAAAAUACGAACACCCGUACCGAGUCGAGGACUCGAAUCUAGGUAGAUAGAUUUCCAGCUCGCAACAUAGAUAGUAUCGGUACACUAGAUUAAUGCAUGCACUUGUUUUGGACAAGUUUUUUUAAAAAAUUUUGGAAUAAAAAGGUAGAGGAACGUGUUGCACAAGUUGUGUGAGGAUAAACCCAACUAAUGAUGGUUGGGACAUCAUUAAUUAAUUAAUCUUAGUAAUUAGCAACAUGCCGUCGGUGGGAAGGAUUGAAUGCCACCGUGCGUACGUGCAUGUUGCUGUGCUGUGACUUAACAUUAAUUGCUGGAAACUGAUUAUAUAUGCAACCAUCAGCCUGUCUAAAACGGCAAUUAGCACCACCUGAUCGAUCGCUUUAAUUUGCAGCUGAGAGUUAUAUUGGAAACGCUCGCUCCAUCAUCUGUGGAUUCAAUCAUCAUCUGAAUUAUUAUUAUUGUCGGUCGGGCCGUGCGGUGCCACCAACGCUAGCAGGUUUGGUGAGGUUGUUGAGGCCGGGAUCAGGGCACUAGCUAGACAGCUGUACCUUUUUUGCUUGUCCUUGACUCCUUGUAACCUGCUAGCUUGUAGAGGUACUAGCUAGGUCCCGUGUGCAUGGUCGACUACCUUGAUUCUCAAACUUUUUGACUUGAGAUCGAGCACCGAUGUUGAUGUUCAGUGUUUGCUGUGUGUGGACCAGAUGCUGUUCUUUUCUUCCAGGAUGUACAGGAACGUACGUACCUGCAAGGGCAAUGACAGCAUCAUAUAUAAUCUCACUCUUAACUACAUGUACUGAAUCUUUCCAUGCCUCAUGAGCGUAGCUGCAAGGGCAACGACGUCUUCAUAUGCCCUCUUCUUGGGGUUGUGCAUGGAGCAACUCCGCGUGAUUCCUCAGAGAAUAACCAUAUGUGCCCAGCAACUAGCAGGAAUGCCAGGGCACAACAGCUAGGCUAGCUGCUACUGUGUGUGUACAGCUCUGAUGUUAGUAGCCUUCUAGGGCUGUCUCCAACGGUGCCCUCUAAACCGUUCUCUACCCUAUAUAUAGAGAAAAUUCCGUUCUCUAUAUGCUCCAGCAGCGUUCUCUAAAUGGUCCUCUAAAAUAGAGAACGCUACAGGUUUCCUCUAUAUAUAUAGAGAUUCUCUCUCCUCUUCUCUAUUUUUUCUUUACGUUUUAAACACUGAAUUAAAUAAAAAUAAAAUAUGUCCAUAGCAUUUGAGGUAUAGCAUUUGAGGUAUGAUAAAUACGUACGUACAAAAAUUUGGAACAAAAUACGUUUCUAAUAUAGGGUUUAAUGUAUAGAGAACGAGAUUUAGAGAACGUUGUUGGAGAGAAAUGAGAUACAGAGGAGAGAAUCUUGUAGAGAAUUCUGUAAAUGAAGUAUAUAGAGAAAGAUAUAGAGAACGACGGUUGGAGAUAGCCUCGCUCACCACAUCUACUGCAAAUCAGCAAUCAAUCAUUGUACCACCCAUCUCCAACCUUGCAACCUGCAGAUGCUCCGCUGAAUGCUGCUGCUCAUCAUCCACGCUUUUCAGAUCUACUGCACCUGCCACAAGGAAUUUUUCUGUAAAUGGCCGGAUGGAAGCAGCAGAAUGACUGAAAGCAGUAUAUAUAAUGCAAAGCUCAACACACCCGACCCUUUUCAUUAGAGACUAGACCCCAUUGGUUAGGACAGGGUACCAAACAAAGCAACUAUCACCACACAAUUUCACCUAACCCUUUAUUUGGUCUCUGGAUGCACUCAUUUAGUCCUUUGCUCAAACAAGAUAACGCACAAGAUGCCUACUAUAUAUUUAGCACCGAGUAGGGCCAAUUUAGUAUUCAGCAACAAACCAAAUUGAUGAAAGAUUGUUAUGAGGAUCGUGAUGUGGCAUUUAUUUGCCUCUAGGUACCAGAGUACCAUUAAAUAAUCGUGGUGCCACCACCAAUUGCCUUUCAGUAUCAUUAAAUCUGAACGUGCCUUUUGGCUGAAGAAAGAUUGAAAAGGAAGGCAAAUAGAAGGUGUAGCCAAUAAUUACUUCAAAAGAGAUUGCAGGUGCUGCUGCGGCACCAAUGAUCAUCCAUCUGGUCUAUCAAAAUCAAAUUUAGAUCUUCAUGUUUCGUAAAAUAAUGAUCCCAGUGCCACCAUGCUAAAAAGACAGGCACAUUUCUUUAAAAUGAAUCAUGCUAAAAAGCAUGCUAUCUGCACACUCAUUAAAGAAAAAAAAAAGCAUGUGAUACAUUCCUAAAAAAGUAACCCAUGUCAUGGAUGACAAAAAAAUGAAAUAAAAUAUGGUAGGUGGCUAAAUUGACUCCGAUUGACUCACUGAUAGCCAAGUUGACGAUUGCAAAUGUACAUCAUUUUGCUACUGCCGGAUAGAACAGAUCAAUUGGUCUAUGAGGAAUAACAUUUAUAUUAUGAUGCUAAGACAAAAAUACAUAUACACAUAUAUCUUUUUAGAAUAGUGCAGAUAUUGUUACAAUAGAUUACAACCAAACAUCAAGAGAAAUUAUGAUUGCUACUUUGAGCUGGGGUAGUCAUCUGGAACAUUGGUGGACUUUGCUUUGCAUUAGUGACUUAAUGACUUCAAGUUUAGUUUAUUGAUUGUCAAAGAAACAUGCAAAAACUGUUAUUUUUUUCCUGGCAAUCAGCUUUUUGUUGCUUAAUUUACAAACUCUGUCUUUUUAAAGUGAGAAGCCCAAGUGUUUCACUUCAUUUUUUAUUUGCCUCCUUUCUAUCAUGUUUGGUGUGAUACUGUGGUGGAUUGAAAGGAUUGUCGGCACCAGAAACCAGCACUUGGACCUCCUCACAUGUUUUAUUCCCUUUUGCUUUUUGGUUAAACAAAGUUAGAGCAUGCUGCUCAUUUGAAAAAAAGUAUGGGAUCAAUUUAGUUGCUGAUUUGCAAAUUCAGACUAACUAUACAUCAAACUGUAAACUGAUAUUCAAUUUGUCUAAGUUUCAGCACUGAAAAAGACUAACUGAGCCUGCUCUUUCGUAGUUACCAAAUGGCUCGAUGAUUCAGAACAGGUGGACACUACCUCCUGUUAUGUGGUUAGCUCAGGGGUCACUGGUCAGUUUGUUUGAUUACCAGACCUGGGCCACUUAACCAUGUGCAAGUCUAAUACCACCAUCGCAGAGAAGAGAGGUGCACCAUAAAAGAGGGGAGCCAAGCUAAGCACCACACUUUUCUGAAGAAAGAACGAAGACAGAAGCCAUUCCCAAGAUGACGGUGCUCCAUGCUCCUGUUGGAGUGAGGAGCAUCAUUAGCUCCCUUUUGGCCUUCUUCAUCGUCGCCAGCUCCGUCACCUUCUUGCUUGACCGAGGCCAGGAAGCGCAAGUGCAAAUGGCAGUCGAGCAUGGACGCCAAGAAAUGCAGGUGAAGGUGGAGGCUGGACUCCAAGAACCAGCGAUGAGAGGGACUACUGAUGCAGGCGAUGCCGAGGAGUGCAACUGGUCGAGGGGACGGUGGGUGUACGACAACAUGUCCAGGCCAUUGUACUCCGGGCUCAAGUGUUCUUUCAUCUUUCCUGAGGUGGCUUGCGACAAAUAUGGAAGGAAGGAUGUCAUGUAUCAGCACUGGAGAUGGCAGCCUCAUGGAUGCGACCUUCCAAGGUAUGGUUGUUGAUGAUUACAUGCUCCCAAGUACUUUUAGCUCAAUUUUGUUGUUGUCAACCCAAAAGUUCCGGAAUAUCUGAAGGUGCAGUUCUAGAAUAAGAAGCACUUUCAGUAUCGCAGUCAAGAAUUUGCAAGGAUAUUUUUUCGUUUGUUUUAUGGAAGCAGUAAAACACUCAAUUGAUCUGACUGAAAUAAAAGAAAGAAUAGUACAGCACAGAAGAAAAAAAAUCAACUUAUUUUAAGAUUGAAAAACUGAUCUAAUUACGGUUGUUAGCCAGAGCAAACAACAAACCAAAUUUGCAAGAGAACUAACUGACAGUGAAAGAUCAGAACUGAGAAAAACUUCUACCUGCUUCUUAUUUUAUUAUCUGUACCAUCCUGUAAGGGUAGAAAGGAGAUCAUAUCUCGAAUAACUUACUCUGCAUGGUAGGAAGACAUGAUGACUGAUGUCAGGAUUUGCCAUGUCAAAACAGAUUCGAUGCCACCAAGCUGCUUGAAAAGCUGAGGAACAAGAGAUUAGUGUUUGUGGGCGAUUCAGUCAACAGGAACCAAUGGGUUUCUCUGGUGUGCAUGGUGGAGGCCUCAAUACCUGAUGACAGGCUCAAGACGCGCAUCUUCAAUGGCUCUCUCAUCUCCUUCAAGGCACUGGUAUGUUUUCCUUCACAAUUCUACAGGCUACAGAAACAACAAUGUCAGUUAACCAAUAUAAACACAUAAUCAUUUCAGGAAUACAAUGCAACAAUAGAUUUCUACUGGUCGCCACUGCUUGUGGAGUCCAACAGCGACAACCCAAUUAUCCACCGUGUGGAGUACCGGAUCAUAAGGGCAGACAGAAUUGAGAAGCAUGCCAGUGUCUGGAGGGAUGCUGACAUCAUUGUCUUCAAUUCUUACCUAUGGUGGAGGAAGCAGAAGGAUGACAUGAGGAUGAAGGUCAUGUAAGUACAAUUCUUUCCUUCCUACUCAACAGGGAUCACAUUGUCAGUGACUCAGUGUCGCAUCUCAGAAUAGUUGUGAGAACUAAUAAAAACUAACAAAGUUUAAGGCGAAAUGAAUUUGGUAACAUCAUUUGUAUGUACAGGUAUGGCUCAUUCGAAGAUGGCGAUGCAAGGUUAGACGAAAUGGAAAUGAUUGAUGGUUUCGAGAUUGCUCUCAAGAAACUUACUGAAUGGCUCGGAGAGCAUAUUGACAAGAACAAGACUAGAAUCUUUUUCGCAGGAUCAUCACCUACACAUUCCUGGUGAGAGAUAUACCCCUGCAUCAUUCGUCAACAUGUACUAGUACAUUAGCUACAUCUCCAUGAUAUCAGGUGGUGUUUCUUGGUGGAAGUGAUGAAAGAUAUAUGUGUAUUUUCCAGGGCUAGUAACUGGGGUGGAGAAGACAGCAACAAGUGCCUCAACGAAACGGAGCCGAUCUACAAAAUCGGAUACAAAGCUGCAACUACAGAUUACAGUCUGAUGGACAAGGCUAAGUCAUAUUUUAAAACAUUGGAGCCGAAAGGUAUACAUGUUCAGAUACUGAACAUCACAGAGCUGUCUGACUACCGCAAGGACGGGCAUCCUACUGUGUUCAGGAGACAGUUUGUUCCUCUGACAAAAGAGCAGAUUGCGAACCCAGCCAGCUACGCGGAUUGCACGCAUUGGUGCCUCCCCGGCGUUCCUGAUGUCUGGAACGAGUUUUUAUACGGCUACCUCAUGUACAAAUGAUGCACCAUGCCAGAUUUUGUCCCCCCAACAUAUAUAAUGUACAAAUGACAUACUGCAUUUAGAUUAGGCUGCUUUGUUUUGUGCAGAGAAUGGCUGGAGUGGCCCCAUCACAUUUACAUGCAGAGACAGAUAAAAGGAUCUGUCUGUGUACCAUCUCACUAAAUCACUGAAGGAGACACUCAAAGUGAACAGUGUAUAACAGUGUGCUAUUCGUUUUCAUCUGACAGAGCAACAAAUUUUAAAUAAAUUUACCAUCAGAAAGAACAACAUAAGGAUGGAAAACUGUCCUAGAUGUCCCUAAAAUUCAAUUCAAUCAGACCGUCAGGCAGGCAAGCAAGAAAAAGCUACAUAUUUGAGAGGUGGAUCAACAAGAGAAGAGCGACCUGAACAAUAAGGGCUGCCGUCACUAAACCAGCUGCAGUCGCCGGCUCGCCGCCGCGCAGCAGCAUACGGCACCGCGGAGGGGGACACGACGCCAUCAUCGCGCGCAGGCUCACCACCAAGCGCACCGCCAUGGCUACUGGAAUACUGGAUUCGCUCUGCAACUCGGAAAAGCUGCCGGCGGCCGGCCUACGCCGCCGUGGAAUGGUCAACGGUGGAAGCUUGGGUUUGCUGCCGCCGCAUAUCCAGGCCAUGGGCUUACGGGCUACAGGCUAGAGGGCCCAAUAAGCAGCCACACACGAAUAAUUGGCAGGCGUGCGGCUGUCUAUCUUGUUGGGCCUGCUGAUUCAGAGAUUACCCGUGUACUAAAAUCAAUUUCGGGGAUUGCAAAUGCCGGGAAUCCUAUACGUCUUCCGGAAAUUUUGAGAUUCCUACGAAAAUCUAUAUCCAUUGGAUCUUCUCCAUCCAAAACGCUAAGAUAACUGUUGAUCUAGAUUUUGAUAAAUGUUGAAUCUAUUCUCUUAAUAUGUUGAAAUAGUUUGUAAAAAAUAUUGAAGGUAGGGUAUGUGUUUCUGAAAAAUGUUGGAUCUACUAUCGAUUUUUCAUAAAAUGUUGAAUUCAAUUGUUUAAAUUGUUGAAUCCGUGCAAUGUUUUUAUUGUUACUGGAUCUUAAUGGACUUUAUGACUUUAUAGGUGUAUGGCUUAUCCAUCUUCCGGAAGCCAUAUAGGACCCCCUACGAAUGCAAGCCAUUUUCCCCCGGAGGAAUUGCAAGCUGCCUCAUUUAUUCAUGAUAAAGAUGGACUAUUAUUUACUUAGAAAGGGCACAUGUAUGAGAAAAAAAAAGGGGAACAAAUUUCUCCAAGUCCUGUAAAAAACUUACAUUCAGAGAAUAAACUAAAACGAAUUACGUUAUGGUCCAGGAUGGUAGAUGUAUUCAUUUGCAUAUAUUGUAUUGGGCAUCAUGGGACGGAAAGCAUUCAGCUACUACCUGCCUUUGCAGCUAGCUGAAGCCCACUUAAUUGUUGCCUUCUACAUGGCUCUCUAUCCAGAACAAUAUGACAAGAGCACACUUGCUGAUGUCCAUAGCAGUUGUACUGACUCUCCUUGGACUUUCAGUAAGUACCCAGUCUGAUCCCUGAGGGAACCAUGUGGAGUAGCAAGCAUUAGGUAAAGGAAUCCCAUGUUGGCAGCUCACUACUGCUACUGUGUGUGUACCCAGCUCAUCUUAAGCUUUGUAAGGCCCCCUCAUCUCAUGUGCUACAAAUCAGUAACGAUUUUACCAUUCUCCAGGGUUGCUUGCAGAUGUUUUCCUGAAUGCUUCUCCUCACCCUCCAUGCUUUAAAGUUUAAAGAGAUAUCGUACCUGCCAGAAAGAAACAAUUUUUGCUGAGAAAAUGGCCACACAUGAUCAGCAAUCUAACAUCAUGUGCAACUUAACAGCCAAGCCCAAGCACUGUCAUUAGAAUAGACCUCAAUGGUUAGAACAUGGUACCAAAACCAAACACUGCAAAAAGCAGACCACAAUUUCACCUAACCCUGUAUUUGGUCUUCGGAGGCACUCAAUUAGUUGUAUCAUACGCUGAAGCUGCACAAGGCAAAAGAGACUACUCACUAUUAGCACCAAGUAGAGUUCACCAUCUGAAGACUCACCACGAAACCAAAUUGAUGCAUGCUACAAUAUUUUCGUGAUUUAUGACCUUCCAUUUAACCAGACGAGGUACAUGCAUCGUACUGAAUAAUCAUGUUGGUACAACUGAUUUUUUUUAAAAAAAAACAGAAGCCACGGCAAAUAAUUGAUGUUCAGUUUAGAAAGGACUGCAGACAAUGGUGGCACCACCAUGUUGAAAAAGAUGCCUUCCUCUCACCCUCUGAAAUAGUUAUUCUAAAAGACUUGAUGAUGGUAGGGCUUCAGCUUCACCUCCAUAUAACCUGCUUAUGCUCCAUCGUUCCACUUGUAUUGUAUCCAUAUGCAAUGUGUUCCACACCUCGUGGAGAAAAGCAUGAAGUCAACAGGAACGCAAUAGCAUCGUGUGAAAAAACAAAACAAAACAAACCAAAGAAGACAGGGAAUUAAACCAAGAAACAAGGUUUCUACUUUAUUUAGACAUCUAAACCAAGCGUCAGGCUCCAUCCAGUAAAAGGACUGGAGCCUCUCGUCACAAGCUAAAGAGCUAAAGAGCAGUCUCUCAUCACAAGCUAAGUUUACAGAAUGCAUCUUACUGGUAGAAAGGAAAUGCAAAAGGUUUAGAACGACAAGGCCAACCAAAUGCUGAUUUACAGAACCCAGCGGAUCAUCUCAUUGGUGAACAUGUAACGUAUGGACUUGUGCCUGACCAUCUUGAGCCCUUCUUCUGGAUCAUUAUCGCCGCGACUGGUAACCAUCUCAAUUCCAGUGAGCACAGCAAACUUAUCCUCAACCGAAUCCGCCCAUGUGCCGCUCAUAACUCGGAAGGUCUUAGCAAUGCAAAACCUGCCCCCGCCAAGGUUGAGGAGGCUGAGCCUUGAUGCAGACCACUCCUCGGGUGUCUUGAGAUCCAUCCAGGAAUGCUGCAAUGUCGGUGGUUUGUCCAUGACAGAGAGGUCCCAAGCACACAGUUGCUGGCUGUCAGUGGAGAAGCCCAUCCACAGCUUGAGGUCAGGAACAUACUCUGCUGCGCCAUCAAAUGGCAGCACCCAGCCGUCGCCGGCUUGCGUCCAUUCACCCUUCAUUGUGUCAAAGCAGAAGGUGACAGCGCUAGAGCUUGGGCUUGUGACGGCAGACACGCAGAUGGUGCUGCCGCCGCCUACCACCGUGUGGGAGCAGAUGUUGGCAGCAAUGGGCGGCGGUGGGAGAGGGUCCCAGCGCCAGCCACUGAGACCCAUUGGGCCCAAGUCGCUGCCAGGGCUGCCAAAUUUGAGCACCUCGAAGCAGGAACUGCCAUCUCCCAGAUUAGUGGCGGUGUUCAUGACGUAGAGGUCUUCUUCGAGGGCACCAGGCCGGGCAAUGGAGAUGGCCAUUGGCAUGAACCCCUUGCCACAGUUGAGAUCGGGCAUGGCUUGGAUGCAGUUGGAGUCCGCGUGGUAGAGCAUGGUGUGGCCCGCCGUGUUGCAGCAGAGUAUCCUGUCGUCGCCGCUGCGGGGGCUCACCAGCGCGAACAUCUCCAGCCUCCCGGCAUCCCAGAAUGCGGUGGGCGAAGACUCGAACCGCAUGACCGGCGCAGGAAGCCACGGCAGGAUGGGUACCUUGACGUUCGUCUUGUUCGCUGCUUCAGCCGCCGCCCUUGACGGGUAGAAGAGAUGCUUCCAGACGUCCAGGCGGUGCAGCGUGUACAUGCCGCUGCUUCCCCUCUCCGCCACCAUGUUCACGAACCGCCGGAUCAUCCUCCCCAUACCCCCCAUACAGCACUUGAAUGCUCUACCUUGCAAGAACGAAAGAAAAUGGGGAAAAAGAUACGGAUUUUAGAUGGCCUCAGAGAUUGCAGGGACUGAAUAGCGCGCGGAUCAGCUGGCUGAUCUUGAGGGCCUUUCCGCCUAGAGUGCGAUUGGUUGGAGGAGACGAGCGGCGGCGGCGGCGGCGGCGAGUCUUAUUUGGGCUGGGCUUCUACUAUUUGCGGGCUCUCUCUGGGCCGAGCAGUGAAGGCCCGAUCUCUGAUUCUGCUGCUACCCCCCGGCCGGCCUACCUGGUUCGGCCCAAGGCCCAACCAAGCCAGACUGUCGAGUGACUCGAGUUGCGGCUCUGGCUGGCAGGUGGGGCCUGGGCGACAGCGAGGCUGGGGAUUUGCACAGCUGGCAGCUAGACGCUCUGCCAGUUCCUCAUUUCCAUCCGCCACCGCCUCCUCACCCUCGCCGCCGACCGCCACCACGGCGCCGCCGCCUAGCGACUGCGACCGCCACCAUGGAACCUGAGCAUGCAGUAAGGUUUGGUCGCCGCGAGCAGCAGCGGCGGCGGAGGUAGAUCGAGCCUUCGGCUUCAUCGCCGCCGCCGCCGCCGUUGAUGGGUCGACGGAGCGCCGAGAGGAGAGACGACAUGGCAGAGGAGACAGGCCGUGGCCCAUGGGAGGGAAGGAGGCCCAGUGGGCUAACCCAUGCCAUAAUACAAGGCCUAACCAAACAAUCUCCACAUAUUAUGAGCCCACGACAAUCCGAUCCGCAGGUAUAUAUCCAGAUAUCAAUCUCGCUCAGUUCAUAGAUGAUGAGAUGAUGAUUAUUUUUUGACGCUUUAAAUUGCUAUAUAUAACAGACAUUCUUUUUAUAUACUUCUUAUUGAGAUCUAUUAUUAUUAUUAUUGCAGACUGACAAGUAGUAGCCAAAUGCAAGCAGGUGGAUAGAUGUUGAUGUGUGACUUUAGACAAUAGGACUAAAUUUGCUGACAUCAUGCCGCUAGCAGACCCCCCUAAAGCGUCCACCGCUCACAAAACAAUAAAUAUAUAGAUUAAUUAAUAUUCUGCCGCAUGCAUGGCAUGCCUCCAUUGUACUGAUUGAUGAACCGGCCAGCAGAUCAAACAGGUUGUGUGCGUUUGUACUGUGUUUUGCAAAAAGAAAAAAAGGAGGGAAGAUGCAUGCGAGAGUCUGGAGAUGGAAAUUAUGCGCUGGUAUGGAUGUGUAUAUAUAGCAGCAUACUAUAUAGGAGGUGGCAGGUUGGGAGGCAAGGCAAGGCUGCUAUGCCAAUGGAGGAGGAGGAGGAGGAGGAGGAGGGUCGUCGGCGGAGCGGCGGCGGCGGCGGCGAGCAGAGGACGAUGGAAGGGGAGGAGGAGGCGUGGCGGCGUUGGGCUGUUCUGGUUGCGACGGUGUGGAUCCAGGCUCUGACGGGGACCAACUUCGACUUCUCGGCCUACUCGUCGGCGCUCAAGUCGUCGCUGGGCAUCUCCCAGGAGGCGCUCAACUACCUGGCCACCGCCUCCGACCUCGGCAAGGCCUUCGGCUGGUCCUCCGGCCUCGCCCUGCUCUACAUCCCCCUCCACGCCGUCCUGCUCGUCGCCGCCGUGCUGGGGCUCGCCGCAUACGCCCUGCAGUACGGAUGCCUGGUCUCCGGCAACCUCGCCGCAAUCCCAUACCCGAUGGUAUGUACAUGUACUCAUCAGUACUCUCUUCUGAAAUAUCGUCUGACAAGCAAUAGCAGCAAUCCGCUAGCUAGCUCGAGCAGGCUUUACUGUUCAAGCGUGAGCCCCGUGGUAUGGUGGUAGAAAUCGCAUCGUUAGAACGAAGGAAGAAUCAAAUUGUGAGAUAAAUGUUAGGGAUGGCGACCCAUGAUAUUUGCUCCAUGCAUUACUUCCAUGCGCGGAGCUGAAAGGGAGGGAGGGAGGGAAGAGGAACCCUUCGACAGGAAUAGGAGGAGACCGGAGACCGCACCGCACAGAGGCUUCGUGUGGCAGCCCCCCACCAAGCAGAACAGCAUUCCCCCUCGUACUAAUUUUAAGCCAGACACGACGAGUACCUUUCGUUUUCUUGGAUGGAACAAGACCUGUCAGCUCCUUCCUUAUGUUUGUUAUCCAGUCCGAUCCGAUUCUCACCUUUUGUUCAUCUAUUCGCCAUUUUAGCUAGUUAUUACUACAGUUUUCAUAAAAAAGCAAUUUCCUUAUUUGCCACUUAUAGGUUAUGACUUACUCUGACAUUGCAACUUUUAUAUAGAGAAGAAUGGCAUGCAUGAGAAUAGGAGAUGGGAUCAGAGGACCGACCGAGCUAAAGAGUCCCAGACUAAUCGAUAAACUUCCAUCCAGCCAACUCUUACUCCGACGAUCUGAUGGGACUCGGCUUGGAUCAUCAUCAAUCAUCCACCCCCCCUGUAGUCUGUAGUAUUUCAGUAGUAUCAUCAGUCUCAGGGCCCACCGUCUGAGCCACAUGUCAUCUCCCUCAAUUCAUUUCCAACUAACUCAGGCCCCGUUUAGAUGCACUCCAAAUUCCAAAUUUUUAUACUCUCUCUCCAUCACAUCAAUUUUGGGACACAUGCAUGAAGCAGUAAAUGUAUGAAAAAGAAAUAACUAAUUGCACAGUUUAAUUGUACAUCAUGAGACGAAUCUUUUGAGCCUAAUUAGUUCAUAAUUAGAUAAAAUUUGUCAAAUACAAACGAAAACGCUACAGUGUCACUAUUGCAACUUUGUUGCAAUCUAAACAAGGCCUCAGCUCUGCUUCCCAACUAUCAGUUGCGUCCAACCAAAACCAUGUUAGUUCUGCUUUGACUGGUAGAUGAGCCACCUACACUUCUCCUGCAGCUACCCUCAAGAGACCAUAUACCACACAGUCCAAACUGUUUACCAAUAUUUUUCAUGGGUGUACAUCUUGUUGAUUGAUAGAUAGGUCAUGGGUGUGCCCAACCUAAAAAGCAUGUAUCGCCAUGGAAACAGGCUAUUAUGAGAACAUCGCAUGCAGUCACAUCACCUAGAUACAUACCCGCAAAAUAUCACACACGCCUGCGGCAUGCCAUUCUCACAUCAUCGUCAUCCACCUACUCCACAACUUCCUUCCUUCCUUCAAUAUACUCAGGAGCAGCACCAAAAUGACAUGUCACGCCAACACAGAUGGAACCACAAAGUUUAAGGUCACAUUGCCACGGUGCCGUCACAAACUUUCACAGUCCCAAGCCCCUGAUGCAGAAUCAAAGAAAGUUGUUGAAUGGCAGUGCUCACUUCCCUGCCCACCACACUCAGCCAUCUCACUGUUGCCUCAUCCAUUCAGUACCUCAAUGCUUACCAUAUUUCAGGCUACUGGGAAUUGUUGUUGAAACUGAUAUUACAUGUUCCCUUCCAAACACAUUUUUAAAGUAUUUACCACUAAAUCUUCAAUAGGGUCCCCAGUAUACAAAUCACUCCUGCAGUAUUCAGAGAAUAACCUAUAUUAGCCCACAAAUUGUCUUUACAGGAACUGGUUGCAAACACUUUGCUCAAAUGUAUGAAGCCAAGAUGUAGACACAGCACAUUUUAAACUGUCAAGAUGCCACGACAUGCAAUUUAUGGUGAAUUUAAUUACUCGAUCGAAUUCUGAUUCAUAUGUUGCACUGCAGGUGUUCUUGGUCUGCUUGAUAGCAGGGUGCAGCAUCUGCUGGUUCAACACAGUCUGCUUUGUUCUCUGCAUACGCAGCUUCUCCGCAAGCAACCGCCCCCUGGCCCUCUCCCUCUCAAUAAGCUUCAAUGGCCUCAGCGCCGCCUUCUACACUCUCUUUGCAAAUGCCCUAUCCCCUUUGUCCCCAUCUGUCUACCUCCUCCUCAAUGCCAUGCUCCCUUUUGCCGUUUCUAUUCUUGCGCUCCCAGCUAUACUUCUCUGCCACAAGCAAGAAAGCCAACACCACAGCACGCCCAACCAUGACAGGCGUGUCUUCCUUGGCCUCUACAUCCUCGCAUUCGUCACCGGCUCAUAUCUGGUGGUAUUUGGAUCUUCCACCGCAACCAGGUCUGCUGCAUGGGUCAUCCUCACAGGCGCCAUGGUCCUCCUCGCCCUUCCUCUCAUCAUCCCUGCCUGCUCCAGUUGCUCGUAUGUGGAUACACAUGGCCAUGAUGACCCACAUAAACCGCUACUAAUCAGUAACAAUCAUCAGGCAGAGUCCAAUGCCGUGAUGGAAAAAACAAUGGAGCACCAGCCGCAGGGCAGUUGUGGAACAUUACUACACAAGGGCCGCCUAGUGGUGCUUGGUGAAGAACAUAGUGCAAAGAGGCUCAUUGGGUGUGUGGACUUCUGGCUCUACUACACAGCCUACUUCUGUGGAGCCACUGUUGGGCUGGUAUACAGCAACAACUUGGGGCAGAUUGCACAAUCACUGCACCAGCAGUCACAGCUCACCAUGCUACUUGCUGUCUACUCAUCCUUCUCCUUCUUCGGUCGUCUUCUCUCUGCACUCCCCGAUGUCCUUCACAGGUCCUUCUAUCUUGCUCUAUAUCUCAUCAAUCAUCAUCACAUGGCCUCCUAACUAACUACAUAUACAAUUUGUAUACAGGAAGGUGUCACUUGCUCGGACAGGGUGGCUUGCUGCUGCCUUGGUGCCCAUGCCAAUGGCCUUUUUCCUUAUGUGGAAACAACAAGAUGGAAGUACUCUGAUAGUAGGAACAGCACUAGUUGGCCUAAGCUCAGGGUUCAUCUUCGCUGCAGCAGUGUCGGUGACCUCCGAGCUCUUUGGACCAAAGAGCGUCGGUGUGAAUCACAACAUCCUAAUCACCAAUAUCCCACUGGGCUCAUUCCUCUAUGGCCAGAUUGCUGCCAUGGUAUAUGACGCAAAUGGCCAAAGGAUGUCAGUAAUGGAUAACCGCACUGGCACAAUUGACACCAUGAUUAUGUGCAUGGGGGUGAAGUGCUACUCAACCACCUUCUUUGUGUGGGGUUGCAUCACAUUGCUGGGGUUAGCAUCGAGCAUAGUCCUAUUCAAAAGAACAAAACCAGCUUAUGCUGCUACUGCUAGUCGAUCAAGUUGUAAGCACCAAGUUUCCAGUUGAACAGAGAAACUCCUUGACCAGUGCCUUGCUGCUUUGAAAUCAUUGUUAGCUUGUACAAAAUUAUGGUUUAGUUUUAGCUGAAAUUGUUACAUAUAGGUACACGAAAUGAGUACCACCACAAGACACAUCAAGAAGAUAGGAAAUUACUAGCUUAGCAGCUGGUAUGUACAGAACCAGUAUUCCAUUUACUGGGCAUUAAUACUAACAAGUAGGCCCAAGAUUUCAUGAAAUCAGCUUGGAACGUUUGUUGCUGGUUGAAUUGAGAUGUGUAAAAUUCUACAUAUUUACUGUUGUUAUGUACUCUCUCCGAUUCAAAAUACAUGCUGUUUACGACAUCGACAAGGCCUAAAAGUUGACCCUUUGACCAAUGAAAAUAUGACAUUUCAAAGGAAGGUAACUAAAUAUUUUGAAAGUACUUCUCAUGGUUAAUCUAGUAACAUCUAUCUUACAUUUUCAAUCUAUAUUGUCUUUUAUAUAUUGAUGGUCAAAGUAAAAAAAACAGUUAACGACAGGAAUCCUAGAAUGAUACGUAUUUUGUAUCAAGGUAGUAAUAUAUGAUGAUUCAACACAUGCUAGAGCUCAGAGAAAAUAACUUAUCUUUCAAUCUUUGCCAGGGUGACACUGUUUACAUUAAAUAAGGAGGGCAAUGAGUUUUCUAAAUAGCAGAAAAUGAAACACAGUUUUUAAUUUUGGAAGGAUGCCUAGAUGGACCCCUCCAGUGAGCUGUAAUAAGAAAAGAACUGUACUUCACUAAGCAACCCUUGGAGCAUUCGAUUAUCAUGCAAACAAAUGGACCUCCGCCACCUUUUUUUAACAUAUAAUUUUGCUAUUAUAUUAUUAAAAUAAUAUAGUAUAAAGCAAAAUCCAGUGUGGACGUGUACAAGUUGGCACAUGCCUAUAAACAUUCCUGGAAGCUACCAUCCAGCAAUUUCAGGGAAGUAGGAGAGACCAAAAUGAUCAGAAAUUAACAGCUGGUAUGUAAAUUACAAGACCGGCGCUCAAUUUACAGGGCAUUAACACUAACAAGUCGGCCCAAGAUGGAAUUGCAUCAGUUUGGACUGUUGUUGCUGGUUGAGUGGAUUUGUGUGCAAAAUCCUCCAUAUAUACUCUUUUUAUAUAAUACUUAAUGACAUAAAGUAUGCAGAACUUUGGAGACCGAAUCUGACUAGCAUGUCAGCUUUGUGCCAAAAAUGAUAAUCAAAAAACUUUUUUUCAAUCUUUGUCAAGGUGAUGCUGAUACAGCAAACAAGGGGUCAAAUGAGUUCUUCAAAUAGCACAAAAUGACACGCAACAUCUUUAAAUUUUGCAAGAAUGGUCUAGAUGGACUAUUCCAGCGAGCAGUAACUACAAGGAACUAUACUUCAAUUAGUGAUCCACGUAGCAUACAAUUAUCAUACAAAGAAACAAACAAUUUUCACCAUUUUCUAAACCUAUAACUUCACUGAUAUGCUGUUAAAACAAAAUAUAACAAGUGAAAUCCAGUCUGAACGUGCACAGUUUAGCUCAGUUGUGAAAUCUAGGACAAAUAAUUCGACAAGCGCAAACAAUUCAUAUGCAUGUUACCUCAUUCAAGGGGUCUAUAAAUGGAGGACGCAAACAGUUGACAUGACUCAUAACUCAUGACUAUUUCUUGUGUUGUUCAUCAUGCUUGCACCAUGGAUUCAGGGCUUCUCUCAUAGCUUGGGCCUCUGGACUGCUUUUCCAAGCUCGUUUUUCUGUCUCCAAGACAGUCACCUUCUCAUCUGUAGGAUACGGGAAAAAAAAUAUAAGUGGCAUUCCUGUGUAGCAGUGAACAAUAGAGAAACCAAAUGAACUUGACAGAAUGAAUGGUGCCAGGUAACCUGAACCAGCCGCUAAAAUAUCCAAUCUUUAGAUUGUUGUUAGUAGGAGGGAGCACUGAACCGUCCAGUUUAGAUAGCUGUUAGUUAUUUGUGGUAAUUUUGGGAACCUUUGGCCACUUCUCGGUGAUUUAAAGAAGCCCAAUGGUUUCGUUGUAAACCAUCUACUAGCCUGAGUUUGGAUGAUAGCAAAUUUCAAAUGCCGGUAGGAUCUAGGAGAGCAGAAAAGCUGGACUUGGAAAUUUUUCAAUCCGCCAAAAAGCUACCAACAGCCAAAAUUGGGGACUGGACUGUAGAUAAUUCAUUCAUGAAAGUCUGAUGAUGCAUUAAAAGCUUCAAGAAAUUAGAAGAGGGAGGGUUGGAUGCUGAGGUGCAGAGGGGGGGAUUGAGGGGAGCGAGAAGCGUACAGAAGCUGGUGUGGAUCAUGAAGAGCUCCAUGGCGCCACCUAUGGAGGCCCCGACCGCCGAGAUCUUCAGGUACCAGCCCGCGAACCUCAUGAUAUGGUUCGCUCGCAGUGAAUCCUCGAGGGCAGGGGUGGCCGGAGCGAACUGCGGCGGCGGCGGCGGCUUUGAGGUCGCCGGCGAUGCGGGUGCUUUCCGCCGGGCAGAGGCAGACGAAUCGUGGCCGUUGAAGCUGACUAACCGACGCGUUUAGAUAUAAUUGGGUCGUUGUCCUUCCCAUUCCAACAAAAUGGGGGCCCGGCCCAUCGAGCCCAAAAGGCAGGCCCGCAUCGAAUUCAAUCCAAUCCAAUCACACUGGCGUCUCCGCUUCCCCACACCACAGUGACCAUGGCGGCGACCUCGCCGUCGACCGCACCUAUACGAGCCCUAUGCCCAGGGCCGAAUCGCGUCUCCUUGCCUGCUGCCGCCGCCUCCCCCGCCGCGCUACUCCUCGGUGGAGACCCCCGCGAUGCAGCCGUAAAGGGAAGCCGGCCGUCACAGACGUCGUGGAGGCGGCGGCACCGAGGGGACCAGAGACUGAGAGGAAGGAUGACGAAGAGCCGGAGGCCGGUGCGCUUCGUGGGGUGCUGGGGUGGCUCAGGAUUGAUGGGGUUGCGGCGGAUAUCAUCAGCAUCGCCGCGCCCGCCGUGCUCGCCCUCGCCGCCGACCCAAUCACGGCGCUCGUCGACACCGCCUUCGUCGGCCAUAUCGGUAAUUCUUGCUAGGCUGAACAACCAUGUAAUCUAGUGCACUAAACUUCAAAAUUUACGACUGCUUUGAGUUUGAGGGGAUCGAUUAAUCACUUGAUGUGCAUCUAUGUUGUCAGGCUCGGCUGAACUCGCGGCUGUUGGUGCGUCUGCUUCCGUCUUCAAUUUGGUAUCCAAGCUGUUCAAUGUGCCAUUGCUUAAUGUCACCACAUCAUUUGUUGCGGAGCAGCAGGCAGUCAAUGACAAUAGUAGUUCUAAUACCACAGGACAAAGUAAGCAAAUGAAGACUUCUAUUUUUCUGUCUGAAAAACCAUCCCUGUCGUUUGCAUUACACUGAUUAGUGUUUAGUUCUCGCCUAGGAGAUGAUUUUUUUACUCCACAAAAGAAGGCAAGCCAACAAAAGAAGGUUCUUCCGGCAGUUCAACGCCCUUGGCUCUAGCUGCCGGCAUUGGAUUGUUGGAGAUGGUGGCACUGAUUGUUGGAUCUGGGACGCUGAUGAACAUCAUUGGUAUACCCGUUGUACGUAAGACUAAUUUACUGGCAUACUCAGAUUCAUAGGAUCUAGUUCUUCUCUGUAACUUGAUGUCAGCACUUGGUGUACUUUAGGAUUCACCAAUGCGAGCACCAGCAGAACAAUUUCUUACAUUGAGGGCAUAUGGUGCUCCGCCAAUUAUAGUGGCACUUGCAGCUCAGGGUGCAUUUCGUGGAUUGCUGGAUACGAAGACACCACUGUAUGCUGUGGGUAUGUGUAUGCCAGCUCAUUUUGACAAAUUAUGUAACACAUAACUUUUUGUCCAUCUGGAAAUUUCUUGGACCUUGGUAUGCGUGAUUUUUGUUGUAACAGUUUUUUUUCUUAUUUAAGAUGUUCUGUGUAGUUCAUUUAAAAUGGUUAAGCAGGCAACUAAUGUCGUGAUGCAUACAGGUGCUGGCAAUCUAUUAAAUGCAAUACUGGAUGCUGUACUUAUUUUUCCACUUGGUCUAGGAGUAAGCGGCGCUGCCUUGGCUACAGUGACCUCUGAGUAUGUUGGUCGCAUUGUGAUAUUUUUAGCAAUAAAAUUAAUUUUCCUCAUUUGGAGUAUCUUUGCUUCCUCUUAUUAUCAUCUAUGCUUAUAUAAUUAUGAGCCGCUAAACAAUUUGGAUCAAUUGUCAACAUGUAUUCAGGUACUUUAUAGCAUUGAUCCUUCUUUGGAAGCUGAAUAACAAAGUAGACCUGUUCUCAUGGAAUAUCAUUGGAAAUGGAGUAAUCCGCUACCUGAAAUCUGGUUGGUCAAUAUCCUGUCAUGGUCAUAUCCAAGGAUGUUACAUGUCAUGAUUUUGCUUUAUUGUAAGCAAGCACUGAUUCAAACAGACAGAAAACUAUCCAUGAUUCAUUUCUGUUUGAUAAUUGUUUUAUUUAGCUCCCUGUGUUACAUCUUAGUGCAAUAGACCUUUAUGAAAACCACUUGAACUUGAACGAUUUUCAGGUGGACUGCUAAUUGGCAGAACAAUUGCAGUACUCCUGACAUUGACACUAUCUACGUCCCUGGCUGCAAGGGAAGGGCCUGUUUCCAAUGGCUGGCUAUGAGAUAUGCUUGCAAGUGUGGUUAACGAUUUCUCUGCUGAAUGAUGCUCUAGCCAUUGCUGGUCAGGUGUGCAAAAUUACUUAAGUGUCUUUCAUCAAAUCUCUUACCUGUGUGUUUAUUUGUGAGGUAUACCUAAUUUGUGCAGGCUCUACUUGCAAGCGAGUACGCAAAAGGGAAUUACAAGCAAGCCCGCAUGGUUUUAUACAAAAUCCUGCAGGUUAAGAAGUUAUUUCUUGGAAAAGUUCAGAAAAGACACCAAGUUUCUCCUUUUCCUCAAGGAGCUGAUACUGUUCCUCUUUUUGGUGUAGGUUGGAGGUGUGACUGGCGUUGCACUUGCUGCUACCCUACUUAUUGGCUUUGGAUCUUUGUCCUUGCUGUUUACAGAUGAUCCUGCAGUUUUGGACAUUGCCCAAUCUGGAGUUUGGGUACUGUUAAUUUUGAGAAAUUGAUGCUUAGUUUCUCAAGUGGUGUGCACAGGGAGUUUAUGUUAACGUUGUGAAUGUUGGAUUGAUGCAGUUUGUCACUAUUUCUCAGCCGGUAAAUGCUAUUGCAUUUGUGGCCGAUGGGCUCUACUAUGGUGUUUCUGACUUUGCCUACGCUGCAUACUCUACGGUUCUGAUUUAUACUCUUACUUUAUCACAUUAUUUUGUCUCCAACACAAUCACCUUGUCAUGCCAUUAGUUAUCACUUAGCACAGCUUUGUCAUGCUAACCAUAUAGAAUCUGGUUGUUUCAGUUUUUUGCAGGGGCCGUCUCAUCAGUAUUCCUACUUAUCGCUGCUCCUAAGUUUGGUCCUGGUGGUAUCUGGGCUGGCCUUACUCUAUUUAUGAGUUUGCGAGCAAUUGCUGGUUUCUGUAGGUAGUAAUUGAUGAUUCAUUUUGUAUCAGUCUAUUGCUUCUUAUACUGGAAUAUACGUAGCAGAAUGACUUAAGAGUUAUUUCCAGGUUAGGGAGCAAAGGUGGACCUUGGGAAACUAUCUUGUCAGAGAGUGAGUAAAGCACAGAUGUGACCAUGUAUAUUCAAGUGAUCUCCAACUGUCAACAUUAAGGUGGAAAUGCAUAUGGUUGCAGGCCAUAUAGCCGUGGGUAACAGAAGGCCUGUGUGGGCAGAUAACAAGGUAGCUGAAGUAUGUAGACAGUAUACUUGUAUUUGGUUUUAGCUAGCUGAGCUCUCUUGUUAUGCCUGCUCUAGGAGGAGGCGGCUUUACAGCUUUCGAGUGUUUACCAUGUAUGUACAAGAAAGCUGCGUUCCCAUAGAAGGCCCUUCCUGUAAAUUUUGCUUCUGGAAAAUCCUGCAUGUAAAUGAUAAAAUGAAUUGUCUAACAUUCGGAUCUGUGCAUCUUGUAAACAUUUUUGGCAUUUGUGUAACUCAGUGGAUGCUUGAAAUAGAAUUAUCUUAGUUGCUUGUUCCAGUAUUGUGCAAGUGCAGCAUCAUGGGACAUUUCAAAUUUGCUAAGAUUUGAAGUUGAACCCAGUUCCAGGCAAGGGCUGAUGUUCGUUCUUUAUUUAUUUUUUUUUAUUGUGUGGAGGCUAUACUAGAAAGCCGAUGGGCCAAGCCCAUGGUGCAGGAAAGACUUGAGGGCCCAGGCUUCCAAAGUUUAGCCCACCCUGGUUGAGAUUCCUUUCCUUCCGUUACUCUCAGUCCGGAGACAGCAGGCAGGAUAGAGAUAGAGAGAGGCAGGAGGCCAGCAGCCAAGCAGAGGCGGAGGAAGAGGGCGGCCGGGCCGGAGCAGAAAGCCACAAGCAGAAGGAAGAAGCGGCGAGGGCCGAGGAUGCCGUGCCUCAACGUGUCCACCAACGUCAACCUAGAGGGGGUGGACACCUCCGCCAUCCUCGCCGAGGCCUCCAAGGCCGUCGCCAACAUCAUCGGCAAGCCAGAGGCCGUAAGCAUCGCCUCUCCCUUUCCCCCUCUCGUUCCCUUUUUAUCUGCUGUUCCUGGAGGGAUAUCUCUCCCCUUGCAUCUGGUUGUUUUGUGAUAUGUAGGAUAUGCUUCCAUUUCGUGAUUGGACCUGUUAGGGUUUUGAGGAGGAUGUGCAUCGCUGUAUGGCACCUUUCUGUAGGCUAUCAGUCCAUUAAUCUGUCCGUUUACGGAUGGUAGUUUAAAGAGAACUUAUGUGAAUCAGCACGAUUUCCCACCACUAUUCCCCUUUGAUAAAUGCUACGAUGGGGAUUUUGAGCUCUAUGGCUAUUAUUUUGGGGGUAAUAUUACCUAGGUUUGUCAUGGACACUGCGAUGUUGGUACUCACUGAACUCGAAAACUUUGAUAAUAUUACAUGAAACAAUCUAAACAACUAGAACGGGACUGCAAUCUCUUGCAUAUCACUGCCAUCCUUCUUAAAUUGAGUUCAUAUAUAAUUGAACCUGUAAUUUUGGCAGUUUCAGCAUUGAGGAAGAAAAUCAGAUAACUGAAUAGUCUGAGACAGCAUCCCCAGUUUCUAUCUAGGAUUGAUAUUGUGACCACUGUGAUCACUCAGUACAAGAAAUGUCAAGCCUUUCGUCUAGCAAUUUCACGAAUCACUACCCUGCCAAUCUGACAUUUGAAUAGCAGUGCAACAUCAAUCCACCGAGAACAGAUGUAGUAUCUAUUAAAACAAACUAACUGAUGAAAGUCUAUGCUCACAAUUUUUCUAGACCGGAUUCCCAGCAACCCCUAGUGUACCAUUUCAUUCUCCAGCACUAAUCUGAUGUGCUGUUAAAUUUGUAGACCAUGGGCUGCAUGUGCUUUUCCUUUACGUUAUCCCUAAUACUACAGACAUCAAUUUUAUCUAUAUUAAGUUUGAAAAUUCAUGUCUAUCAGCAAUUCAUAUCAGUGUUAGUAAUAGUCAGGCAGCUGCUUUGCUAUUAUCAUGGACAAAGAUGACCUUUCUGGAUACUUCGGAUUCAAAACCUGACCACGUUAGCCUUAUUCUCAUACUGUCCUCCUUUGGGUUCCUGGUGAGUGUUCCUGUGGUGAUAGGCUCAGAUUGCUGAAAUUUAGAUUUUAUUUGUUUGUCUGUGCUUGAUUUAUAGUCAAAGCCAUUUCUCUUGGGUACUAUCAUCUUGAGGAAUUAACUGGAAUGCUUAUCCUUCCACAGUAUGUGAUGGUUGUUGUCAAGGGUUCAGUGCCUAUGGCAUUUGGAGGUACCCAGGAGCCCGCAGCGUAUGGCGAGCUGGUUUCCAUUGGAGGGCUGAACCCUGAUGUCAACAAGAAGCUGAGUGCUGGCAUUGCUUCUAUUCUGGAAUCAAAGCUGUCCGUUCCCAAGUCCCGCUUCUACCUCAAGUUCCACGAUUCAAAGGCAAGCAGCCACUAUUUCUUGUUUACUCAAGCUUUGGGGGGUCGUUUUAACCAUCACCAAGUUCUCAUUUCAGUUUUGUUCUUUGUUAGGCUUAUCCUGCACAAGAACAUGCUCAAUGUUUGCAUGCUUUGCAUCAAGAAUAGAUCAUGUAAAUAACCAUCUGUUGUUUGAUGACAACUUCCUAGUUUUGCAUAUGUUUCCUUUCCACUUGCUUACGUAGAUGGUGUUAGCUCCAGUGAUAUCUUGGCAUCAUGAUAAUUGUGAGAUUUAUGUUGAUCAUGCAGCGCUCAGACUUUGGUUGGAAUGGCUCCACCUUCUAGAUUUGAGGUCCGUGGGCGUGGCUUCGGUGAAGGGAAAUGUGCUAGCUAAUGUCAUGUCCAUUUGCAUGAUGGCCUAGUAAGGACAAAAUUGGAAGGUACAGUUCGUCUGUGGUGAACUGAGGAGUGAAAACUGUUAUGUGGAACUGGGGCAGGCUUGUUUGAAUGCAACCUAGCAAACCUGGCUAUCUUGGCUGUUCCUUUCCUUUGGGUAAUAGUAAGCUUGAAAUGAUUCCGCCUAUAUUGUUUGGUUUGAUAGGGGACAGUGGAUGGUAACUUUCCAAGGGCACUCUUUGCUGUUGUGAUUUGUUGGCUCAGUACGGUAUAUUGUUGGUGCCAGGUAACAAAAAAAAAAAGUCAUAUAAAGGAAGGAAUAAUGCAAGGGGAUGGAGGUUUGAUCCUCAGGUAUGGUGGGAAGAACUUUGCUGGUGUGUUGCCAGUUUCUUCCAGAACCAAGUGCAUAAUAUAGUACUUGUUUGAUACUAGGAAAAAUGGAGAAGAUGCAUUGCAGUUGUAGGCAGUGAUGUUUGACCAAACUGUGUCGGGUGCCUGACCUGGAAUGGAGAGGUCCUCUGCUGCCCGACCCUUUUGUUGAAUUCCUUCACACCAAGUCGUAUUGCGUGUUUACCUAACCAUUAUUUUUGGUUGCAGCAAACACUUCACUGCUUUUGUUAGCAACCCUUAUAACAUGGCAUUUCCUUUUAUAAGGGAGAUAAAUAAGAUUUUAUGCAUUUUUGAAACUCUAUAAACUCGCAAAUAUAUAUAUAUAUAUAGACAACGAAUUUUGCACAAUCCAUUGGCUUCUAGUAGACCAUUUGGGAUGGAUGAAUGUGCUCCUAUAAAGAGGCUUGAAAGAAAUAUAUAUACACUAAUGUUUUUUGUUUGUGCACAGGAAAAUAAAUAAAUAAAUAAAUAAAAGGAGACGUGCAGCCUAGUAUACUCCACACUGGAGCGUUGACCAGUCAGUGUGUGGGUGUCACGGCCUCCUAUUCAAUUCGCGCCCCUCCUCUCCUCAUCUCAGAUCCGCCAGACCCGGGCAGAUCGCCUCGCCACCAAUCCACCAUGGCCGCGGCCUCCCCUCCUCUCCUCCCCACCACCGUCGUUGUCCCGGCCGCCGCCACGCCAUCCCCCAUCCCCAGCGCCGACGACGCCAACCCCGCGGCGGUGCGCGCCUUCCUGUCCCGGCUCCUGGAGUCCGGCCGGCGCGCGCUGUCGGGUGCCCGCCCCUGGUCCGAGCUCGUGGACUGGUCGGCGCUCUCCCGUCCGGACUCCCUGUCCGACGCCACCUCCCGCCUGCGCAAGAACCUGGCCUACUUCCGCGUGAACUACGCCGCGGUGGUGGCGCUCUCCCUGGGCGCGUCGCUCCUCGCGCACCCGUUCUCGCUGGCGGCGCUCCUCGCGCUGCUCGCCGCCUGGUGCCUCCUGUACAUCCUCCGCCCCGCCGACGCGGCGCCGGUCGCCGCCUUCGGACGCACCUUCUCGGACAAGGAGGUGCUCGGGGGCCUGAUCGCCUGCUCGGCGUUCGCGGUGUUCCUGACCUCGGUGGGAUCGCUCAUCUUCUCGGCGCUGGCUCUGGGCGCGGGCGUGGUGUGCGCGCACGGCGCGCUCCGCGUGCCGGAGGAGCUGCUGUUCCUGGACGAGGGCGACCAGGCGGGUGGCAGCGGCAACCCGCUGAUGUCGUUCAUCGCCAGCGCCACAGCAGGCACAGGAGGAGGAGGACGCGUCGUGUGAGGGCUGCUAUGCUAUGCUUUGCUUUGCUUGAAUCGAUUGAUUCGUACUAGUAUUGUUUUGGCAGCUGGACGAGCUGCUGAGUACUUUAUUACGAAAGAAUAUAUACAGCGUAUAAUGUAAGAAGAAGAAGAUUCGGCAAUGGAGUGAAUUUUGGUGUUUGGUGAUGAGGGAGUCGAUUCAUUCAUUCAUUCAUUCAUGUCUCAGCUAGCUGUUGCAGUUUGCAUCACAUAUCCCAUUGAAAUGAAGGCUCCUUUGGCAGGGCACUUUGGGGAGGCGGAGCCAGAAAACGUGGCUCUGUCCGGCUCCGUCUCACCCUUUGCCAACCAUGCCCCCCGGUGCCCGCGGCAUUGCAGCAAGAGGAGGGCGGCGGCUAGAGUGGGGCGCAAGCGGCCGGCGGUGCGGGCCGGAGCACGCGGCCAAGGCGGGCCGGAGGGCGGGUGCGGAGGGUCAUAGUGCCGGGGCGGGGCGGGGUAGUGGCCACGGUAGUUCUCUCUCGCCAAAACCUAGCAGUGGCGGCGGCAUGAAUCCCCUCUAGUGAACGGCGGCUUUAACGCGCAGGGAGGCCACUCCGAUCGGGGAAAUCGACGGAUCCACUCAAGAGGAGGCUUAUGCAGGCGUUGGAGGCGGGUUAGGGCGCGGCAACGGGUCAGGACACGGCGGGGCGCACCGGCACGGGGUGCGGCAGGGCGCACCGGCACGGGGCGCGGCGGGGCGGGGCGUGGCUGUCGGGCUUGGCGCGUUGGCAUGGCUGGACGUGCCGGCCGAGCAAGGCAUCGCGGCAGGGCUAGGCGCGACGGAGUGGCUAGCUAGCGUGCUAGCAGCACAAAACGGCGCUGGCUUCGACAUCCACCAUGGACAGAUUUCAUGAUGAUCUUGCAUGGUCAAUCUUUCUUUCUAGAUCAUCAUGAGCAUGUAUCAAUGGUUAUAUGGUUUAUGUAAGAAUUUUUUUUCAGAAUUACUCUAUUAGGAUAACAAGACAAUGAUUAUGAUUAUUAGGUAACCAAUAUUUCUAUUUAUUUAUUUAUUUAUUUAUUUUAUAUUAAUUAAAAAUGUUAACCAAUAUUUAUUUAUUUAUUUUAUAUUAUGAUUAUGAUUAGGGCAUAUUGGAUAUUUGACAUAUUCAAUCCAUUCAAAAAAAUAGGGUGAAGUCGUUUUGCCAAACGUUUUUCAAAAUAGCUUCAGUUCUACCAGAGAAGCCGCUCCACCGGAAAAGCCGGAGCUGGAGCCGGAGCCCUGCCAAACGGGCUCGAUGAUCUCGUGAUGGAUUGGCUAGGCAUGGGCCUCUGUUGGGCUGGGCCUACAAUAUCUAUCUGUCUGUCUGGUCGGCCCAGCUGGGCCACCCCAGGAGAAGGAAGGAACCCAAACAAAAACAAGAGGCCGUCGGGGAGCAACGUUGUUGUUGCGUUGUCGGCCUGGCCUGGAAGCAGUGGAAGGGGAACGAACUAGCCGUUACAGAAAAUAAACAAUUAAACCGGCAGGCCUUGGCCCGGUCCGGCCCUCGUGACUGCUGCUGCCGCCGCCGCCUCUGUCUCUCUCCGUGCACCACCCACGCCGCCUGCUGCUCUCCGACUAGCCGUUGCGCCGCCCAUUCCUCCCCUCCCCUCUGCUCCAGCCAGCCACUCACUUUCAUCAACACGGGGACAGAGAGAGGCAUUGCAUUGAUCGCCGCCCUCGCUCCUCUCCUCUUCUCCACCUAAACAAACACCGCUCCCCUGCUUCCAUUUCCAAUCCAAAUCCACCACCAUGCGCCGCAGCAGGCCCCUCCUCCUCCUCCUCCUCCUCCUCGCUCCGCCGGCCACCGCCAAAGCAGCCCACCACCCCGCCGGCGACGGCGUCGUCAUCUCCCAGGCCGACUACCAGGGCCUCCAGGCCAUCCGCCACGACCUCGCCGACCCCUACGGCUUCCUCCGCUCCUGGAACGACUCCGGCCUCACCGCAUGCUCCGGCGCCUGGGCCGGCAUCAAGUGCGUCCUGGGCAGCGUCGUCGCCAUCACGCUCCCCUGGCGGGGACUCGGGGGCACGCUCUCCCAGCGCGGCCUCGGCCAGCUCACCCGACUCCGCAGGCUCAGCCUCCACGACAACGCCAUCGCGGGACCCAUCCCCGCCUCGCUCGGCUUCCUCCCCGACCUCCGCGGAGUCUACCUCUUCAACAACCGCUUCUCCGGCGCCGUCCCCGCAUCCAUCGGCGGAUGCCUCGCGCUCCAGUCGUUCGACGCCAGCAACAACCGCCUCAUCGGCGCCAUCCCGCCCGCCGUCGCCAACUCCACCAAGCUCAUCCGUCUCAACCUCAGCCGCAACGCAUUGUCCGAUGAGAUCCCCGCCGAGGUCGUAGCCUCCGCCUCGCUCCUCGUCCUCGACCUCUCCUACAACAACCUCUCAGGACCCAUCCCCGACGCAUUCGCGCCCUCCACCAAGUCGCCUUCCAAGCUCCUCAACAAGGAGUCCAUCACCGGGACCUACCAGCUCGUCUUCCUCAGCCUCGCGCACAACUCCCUCGACGGGCCCAUUCCGGAGUCGCUCGCAAAGCUCACCAAGCUCCAGGACCUCGACCUCUCCGGGAACAACCUCAACGGCACCAUCCCCGCCGAGCUCGGCAACCUCACCGCCACGCUCCACUCCUUCAACGUCUCCUACAACAACCUCUCCGGCGCGGUGCCGCCCUCGCUCGCCCGGAAGUUCCGGGAGCCCGCCUUCACCGGGAACAUCCUCCUCUGCGGCUACUCUGCUUCCACGCCCUGCCCGGCCUCCCCAUCCCCGGCGCCGUCCGCGCCGGCCUCACCCGCCGAGGAGUCCCGCGGCCGCCGCAAGUUCAGCACCAAGGAGCUCACUCUCAUCAUUGCCGGGAUCGUCGUCGGCGUCCUCAUCCUGCUGCUCCUCUGCUGCCUCCUGCUCUGCUUCCUCACACGGAAGAGGUCUUCUUCCGGCACCGCAGCAGGAGCAAGGAGCGGGAAGCAGCAGGCGGCAAAGGACGCCGCUGGCGCCGGCGCCGCGGCGGCCGGACGGGGCGAGAAGCCAGGCUCCGGCGCGGCGGAGGUCGAGUCCGGCGGCGACGUGGGCGGCAAGCUGGUGCACUUCGACGGGCCGCUCGCCUUCACGGCGGACGACCUGCUGUGCGCCACCGCGGAAAUCAUGGGGAAGAGCACCUACGGCACGGUGUACAAGGCCACGCUCGAGGACGGCAGCCUGGUGGCCGUCAAGCGCCUCAGGGAGAAGAUCACCAAGGGCCACAAGGAUUUCGAGGCCGAGGCGGCGGUGCUCGGCAGGAUCCGCCACCCCAACCUGCUAGCGCUCAGGGCAUACUACCUGGGGCCAAAGGGGGAGAAGCUGCUCGUCUUCGAUUACAUGCCCAAGGGAAGCCUCACCUCAUUCUUGCACGGUCAGACUUCUUAUCCCUGCUAUGUUCUUCCGUUUUGUUCUGUUCUGCAUUAUCAAUUUCUGAACUCUGAUAUAUGGUUGACAAAUCCUACUUAAAACUUCUUUUAAACAUAUUAGUACGAGAAAUGCUUGCUAGGAACACUGCCAAUUGACAAGGAGUUUAAGUAUUAGUUAAUUGGCAUGUGGUGAGCCUCCUGCAGCUUGCUAAUUGCUUGCUAGGAGUAUGUUUCAGCAAAGGCAUGGUCUGAACAUUUACACAUUCAGACAUUGCAAAGAUUGAUACAACUGUAAUUCUGUUAGCAGGUUCAACUUGGAGUUGCAAACUUUGCAUUGCAGUUGCUUUUGAUUAGUUAGAUAUAAGAAUGAACUCGGUUCGGACCUUAACAUGUCAAAAUCCUGUCAGUCAUAGCAUCUCAUGUUCAUGAAUCAUGGCGAAUGCAGACAAGUUCAGUAGCAUGCAGGAAGUGCUCGUGUUAGUUUCAGUGACAGUGAAAACAAACUAGCACCUUGUGCAAUUUUUGGUGGAACAAUUAGGAGGAUGUGUUGUCCAAGUAAAGGAUUGGAAUUUCUUGUCUCAAACGGUGCUACUUAACAGCAUUAUUAAACUUUGAUACUUGAAAUAUGUUGAUAAUUUUGUCCCCAACUCAGCAUUUUGCAGAGUUCAGUACCUUCUGAACUGAAACUCUCAACAAUUGUUGAACUGAAACUCUGAAGUUGUCAUAACACUGUGUUUGCUAACAGUUGAUGAAUUAGACAUUCUUUGUCCAAGUAAAGGGCAAAUUCUUGUUUCAACAGUACUGCUUCAUCAUCUUUUAUGAAAUCUCUUGAUAAAUUGCUCCCUACUCGACAUUGUUUUUCAUUUCUGAAAGCUACACUCUGACACUUGUGAAACUGAAACGCUGAACUUGUGUACUGAAACUUGAUGUUCCCUGAUGAAUGGCGUUGAUGCAGCUCGCGCUCCGAACACGCCGGUGGACUGGGCGACGCGGAUGACAAUCGCCAAGGGCACAGCCCGUGGCGUGGCCUACCUCCACGACGACAUGAGCAUCGUGCACGGCAAUCUGACCGCCAGCAACGUCCUCCUCGACGAGCAAUGCAACCCCAAGAUCUCCGACUUCGGGCUGUCCCGUCUGAUGACGACGGCGGCGAACUCGAACGUGCUGGCUGCGGCGGGCGCCCUGGGGUACCGCGCGCCGGAGCUGUCGAAGCUGAAGAAGGCGAACGCGAAGACGGACGUGUACAGCCUGGGCGUGAUCAUCCUGGAGCUGCUGACGGGCAAGACCCCCGCCGAGAGCACCAACGGCAUGGACCUGCCGCAGUGGGUGGCGUCCAUCGUGAAGGAGGAGUGGACCAGCGAGGUGUUCGACCUGGAGCUGAUGCGCGACGCCGCGGCGGGGCCCGUCGGGGACGAGCUGAUGGACACGCUGAAGCUGGCGCUGCACUGCGUGGACCCGGCGCCGUCGGUGCGGCCCGAGGCCCGGGAGGUGCUGCGGCAGCUCGAGCAGAUCAGGCCGGGGUCGGAUGGCGGCGCCGGGCCGAGCGAGGAAGGUGCUGGCGCGCAUGUGCCGGCGGCACCCGCAGGAGACGAUGAGUAGCGCCGCAUGCACCACCAGUUGUAAUGUUAGAUAUAUCUAGGAAUUCUUUGAUUCGUUUGAUCGCGAAGUAUUACUUCUACUUCUACCACUGGCGUUGCUAGGUAAUUUUCAGUUUGUAUAGGCAGAUAUUAUUUUUGCACACUAGAAUCAAAUGGCUGCAAGUAUGUAGCAGCCUAGGAACAAGGAUGGAAAAGAGGAGAAAUACUACCACUAGUAUAAUAAUGCAUUUUUCUAUUUGAGUUACUUGUCCAUCAAUCUUGAGGAUGGUAGUGAAUAGAUACUGAAUUUGUCAUACUGUCUUUGUUUCGAGCUGUGCUAGUAUUACAGGUCACAGCAGAUUGUGCAGACGAUGCAGCAGUGUUAACGAGUUCAAGUGAUCCCUGUAAACGUGGAGGGCGUACUUUGGGGUGCAACAAACAAAAAGCACCUGCUAACUGCUAGUCACCAUGCCCCAGCCUGAGCUGAGCAGACCAACCUGCAUGCCACAAAACGACAAGACUAUCCAACCACACCUUUGGUUCAACCAGAGGGAGACCCAACAUCAACAACUCUGGGAAUCUAACAGUCACUGAGUUACUGCGUUCACAUUCUACCAAAGGUAGCAAAACAGACGCAUAUACUGAAGAUAAGACAUCGUCAGUUCAGUAAUGUCAAUCAGCUUACACCAGCCAGUUCGCACGACUCUAAAGCUACACCAUUUUUGUGAUCAUACCAAUGCAAACAGGCUUUCGUCGCAGAAUGACAUUGCCAGACGAAAGCAAAGAAAUAAAGCAGUGCAGCAAGCUUUUCUUCAGGUGCCGUCUUCAGGCCGAAACUGACAGAAGAAACUCUGAUACGCGGCAUCUAGAUCCGUUUUGUCAAAUAGCACAGAUUGUGCAUGCAGCAGUGUACCGAGUUCAUAGUGAUCCCUAUACCAAGCACACUGCUGUAAAUGUAAGGUAAAUGGAUCCCAGGAACAACAGCUGGAGUACAACUUUUCCACCAUGCGGCCUCGUAUGCUGGCACACCAGCAUGUGAAACAUCUUUUCAGUGUUUGAAGGACAUGUAGUGGAGCACAAGAGUUGUUAGUUGCCUACAAAUUAGCACAGUGCUACAUCCCAGCCUUGGAUUAAAAUAUUUCUUUGAGCCCUUUGCCACCAAGCAAAUCUCUCCCUUUUAUGCCAAAUUGCAUUUCUUCCUUCUUCCUCAAGAUUCUUGCUGUUCUUUCUGUUUGACUUUAGACUGCCUUGAAUUGCAAGAAACCAUCUGAAGCUAGAACAGAUUGGGUACUUGCCUACUGGAUCCAUGAACAGUAUUUGGUGGUUAGCAAACAGCACGCUUCUUGUUGUACUUUUGCCAACCACAGCUCGUGGGCGUGAAUCAUUUGACAGAACAAGUAUUUGGCAACCUUACAGUUUCAGAGUCUGCAAAAAAAAUAUAUUAACACUGUUUUACUGUUGAAAUUAAGUUUGGUUCUGAUUCGCACUAGUCUAAAAUUGUACUGAAAAUUCCUCUAUAGUAAACAUAUAGUAGUACGGGUGUAUAAUCAAUGAAGCAAAUUACUAUUAUCAACACGUUUGAUCCCUAUAUCACAUAACAAGGUCAUGUUAGUAUACGUCACAUAUUGGUUACUUGGUUCUGUGGUGCAAGCAACAAAAAGGAGACAAUCUAGAUGUAGCGAUGCGCUUUUGAUCCUGGCAACAAAGGCAUGUCGUUAUGGUCAAACAGUGUAGUUAAACUUCCAUUUGAAAUUGGCAGUGCCAAAGUAAAGAUUCAGUUAGUCAUCAUGUUCGGAAAAAAUGGAUACAAAGAGAUUUGGCAGUCAAAAGGACGAAAGAAAGUUGCUACUGAGUAGUGAUCUCACUGUCUUCAUGGGAUUUCGGACGCGAAAAAGGUUGAUGCAGGAAAAGAAUUAGGAAUGAAGUGUUUGGUUCUAACAAAAUGAAACAAAAACUAAGGAAAGCUUUGUUGCAAGUGGAAACAUUUGUGGGACUAGUGGCCCCACAGGCUAUGAUUCCUUAAUUUAUGCAUAAUUAUUCAUGCUCAGCAUAAUUUGUGUAAAGAAGCACGUGAUGCGAAACCGUGAUGCUAAAAUGCAAGGUGCAGACAGCUCUAUGUGAUCCUUGGUUAGGAUAUACAUUUAUUUUGCUGAUGAAUUCUUGCAAUGCUGACCAUGAGUCUGCUUUUGGAGUCUGCCUAAACAUUUGGCUUUUAGAGCUCUGCCUGAUUAACAAAUGGACACUAGGCCUCUUUCUCUGUUUUGUUUUGAAACAUUUCAGUACUUAGCCUAUUAUAUUUGAUUUGAGAUAUUCGAUGAAAUUCCAAAUGGUGAAGUUGAUGCGAUACACAAAUAUGUAAUUUGGAUGUAGGGGAUUAUGUCCUUUGUAGGAUAAGAUCUGCUGACCACCGAUGCCAUAGUCUCGUUGAUCUUGGAAGCUAGGCUCUCUCUAUAUAUCUUAUUAUGAUGAUGUUUCAGUCAGUCCUUGAGGAUGUCCCGAGGAGAGGGGAGGAAAGCUAAGCUAGUGAUGGAAGCAUGAUCACAGGAGUCACCUGGCCAAAACAGUAUGUCGUCUGAUGAAAGUAUCCAACCAUAGAUGAUAAGAUAUGUAUAUCCUUCUAAUCUGUUUCCUUUUCGGAAAGGACCUGCCGACUAAUACAAAGCCACAGGCAUUAGUUAAUCUUUGGAAAGCUCUGUUAUCAACUGUCCUCUGAGGAGCUUCAUCUUGAUAUGCGAUGCGGAGGAAAAUGCAAUAGACUUGUAGCUAGUUAGUAGCUGGCCGAAAAGCAGGGGAGUUAACCACUAGGAGAAGUCUGUUGCCCUUCUUUGUUACCUACCAACUGGAGUGUGCGUGGUUGUUACUGUCAUUGGCAUGCACGUUGAAUUGAAUAACGGGCAUGCAUGCAUGACCAUGAAGCAACAAGUGAAGGAAUGCUGCUGUACUGUACUCCUACAAGGCUAGAAGCAGAAAAGUAUGAGAAACAGAAAGCAAAUGUGAGUGUCAAAAGAUGAGGCCAUCAUCCAUGCAUUCGUUCACCAGCAGCAGGAUGAAUGAAUUCAUUCAGGACCUAAAUAAUAAUGCCAGCCACAAAACCACCGCUGUCUAUGACUUUGUAGCUAGCUAGCUAGCAGGAAUGCAGGAUAUUUUUCCUUUGUACGUGCGUGAUCUCUGUGUUGGCCCCUGCUGUCUGCUGUGCACCUCUACCUGCUCCUGCUGCUGCUCCUAUAUAAAGAAGACACCCUUAAGCUUGCAUUGGUCGCUUGCAUACUAGAUAUAAGCAAUCCGAUCCAAGGCUGAAGCAGAAGAGAGAUGCUGCUAGCAUCCGGCAUGUCAAGGUCAAGCAGCAGCGUGUCGUCCUCAUCACUGCUACUCUUGAUCACCCUGCUUGCUGCUCUGCUCCAUUGCUCCCUGCUUAUUCAGCUGACCGUUGCCAAGGAGCAGUACCAUGAGUUCGUGGUAAUUACCCUACCAAUAUAGUAGAUCAUAUAUAGGAGUUUGUAAUUGUUUCAUUCAUUCAUUAUUACUGCUGCUGCACUGGUGAUCCAUCUGUUCUGAGCAUAUAGUACAUGAUCGAUCUGAAUGACAUGCAUGCGGCUGCAUGCAGGUCCAGGAGGCGGCGGUGACUCGGCUGUGCCGGAAGCACAGCAUCAUGACGGUGAACGGGCAGUUCCCGGGGCCGGCGUUGGAGGUGAGCGAGGGCGACUCGCUCAUCGUCCGGGUCAUCAACCGGGGCAGCUACAACGUGACUGUGCACUGGCACGGCGUCCGGCAGAUGCGGACGGGAUGGUCGGACGGGCCCGAGUACGUGACGCAGUGCCCCAUCCGCCCUGGCCAGAGCUACACCUACCGCUUCACCGUCGCCGGGCAGGAGGGCACCCUGUGGUGGCACGCCCACAGCUCCUGGCUCAGGGCCACCGUCCAUGGCGCCCUCAUCAUCCGCCCACGCGCCGGCGUCCCCUACCCCUUCAACGGCGGCAAGCCGCCCGUCAGGGAGAUCCCCAUCCUGCUCGGUACUCAUGCAUUUUUAUGAUUUCUCAAUGCUCAUGUACGUCCAAUAGUAGUGGCAUACGGGUCAAAAAUUCUUGCACAAAUAAUGUAUCCUGAGACCUGACUCUCCUAUAUUCCACAAAUUAACAAGUAAAAACUUGGAUUAACAGCUAGGUUUAUAACUUCGAUACUGAUGACAAAUGACAAGUUUUUUUUUUCUAGAUUCAGGAAAAGUAGUAUAUACACUCUGAAGUUUCGAGUUGAAAAUUAGGCUUCAACCUAGGAGCUGAAAGUGUACACCCACAUCUGGCAUCUCCCACCAACUGACCUAAGCUUACUAGCUAUAGUACAAUUCUAAGCUUGUGGAAGCAGGCAUUUGAUUGGCCAGGUUCUGCAAUGCAAGCUAAGUGUGGUGUGGGCCAGAGAGAAUAUGAAUAAUGAGAGAUGCAUGCAUGAUUAGCGGCCAUUUCUUUGUCGCUUUUCCCGCAUGUUAGUCAGUGUUAUCAUUCUGCUGCUAGUUGUUGUUGGUUGAUACCAGCUUGCUCGAUCAUUAGCUUACCUAAGCUCGCUGCUGCAAGCAUGAGAGUCAGACACUGCACGCAUCGUCAUCAUGUUGGAUCACAAACCUUUACAUACACAUCAAGCGUCAUCAACACGCUGAUGCUCGCUCUUCCUACAAAAAGGGAAAACAAUCGUGAUUGACGGGCGUCCAAAAAGAUUUCCAUGUGAGAUAUAUAUCCUUCUUUUGUUACAUACUCAAGAGUCAGAGCCAUGCCACUGACAUCAUGCGAGUCCAACAACUCUCUUACACCAAAAUCCUGUUCCCUGAACGGAAAACUAUAACAUGAUGGGUCACUAGAUCAAUGUAUACUGUGCUAAUGUUAGUGUACUAUUUCUUAAUCAACAAUAAGUUCAUCAGCUGUCAACGCAGAAAGGUUUAUGCCAGCUUGCCUCUGAAGCAUUCCAAAAGCCAAACAACUGGUUUCAGAGUUGUCUCCCGUGGAACCAGAUGGAACAGCUUCAUUUGCCUCGAAUAAUUUCCCUUCCCUCCAAAAGAACUUUGUGUACUAAAUUAAUCUAUAUAUCUACUCCCUCCGUCCUGAAAUGUAAGGCAUUACAAGAUUCAAAAUUUGUACCCAAAUAUAAGGCAUCCUAAGACUUUUGGGUAAGUAUUAAAGAAAAUCAUUUAAUUUAAUUUCCUUGACUCUUAGUUGCAUACUUACCUUUUUCUAUCCCUUCCUUCCCUGCUUAAUCUUAGGAACAAAUAGGCCUAACAUGAGCUAAUAAGCACAUACUGACUCAAUCUUCAUUAAUUAUAUCUCCACAACGAAAAGCUAAGCGUGAUGUUUAAAAUCCUUAAUAAAAUCUGUGUAGCAAAUAAUUAAAGUUCCUUCCGGGGUAAUGCACGCUGAUCGAUUGCGCAUUGCAACUUUGACAAAGAAUUCACCAAAUGUCUUGCUUACUUACUGUGCCAUGGGAAUCGAAUCGAAUGUGCAUGCAGGGGAAUGGUGGGACAUGAACCCCAUCGACGUGGUCCGCACCGCCACCCGCACCGGCGCCGCGCCCAACAUCUCCGACGCCCUCACCGUCAACGGCCAGCCCGGCGACCUCUACAAGUGCUCCUCCAAAGACACCACGACGUUCCCCGUCAAGUCCGGCGAGACCAACCUGCUGCGCUUCAUCAACGCCGCACUCAACACGGAGCUCUUCGUCUCCCUCGCCGGACACACCAUGACCAUCGUCGGCGCCGACGCCUCCUACACCAAGCCCUACGCCACGUCGGUGCUCAUGAUCGCCCCCGGCCAGACCACCGACGUCCUCGUCACCUUCGACCAGCCGCCCGCCCGGUACUACCUCGCCGCCCGCGCUUACUCCAGCGCCCAGGGCGUCCCCUUCGACAACACCACCACCACCGCCAUCUUCGACUACGGCACCAGCAGCAGCCGCCCCGCGAUGCCGACGCUCCCGGCCUACAACGACACGGCCACGGCCACGGCGUUCACGACAAGCCUGCGCGGCCUGCGCAAGGCGGAGCUCCCCUCGCGCGUCGACGAGAGCCUCUUCUUCACCGUCGGCGUCGGGCUCUUCAACUGCUCGACGGGCCAGAACUGCGGCGGGCCCAACAACACGCGGUUCGCGGCGAGCAUCAACAACGUCUCCUUCGUGCUGCCGUCCACCUUGUCCAUACUGCAGGCGCACUACGGUGGCGCGGCGGCGGCGGGCGUGUUCACCGCCGACUUCCCCGGCAACCCGCCAGUGCAGUUCGACUACACGGCGCAGAACGUGAGCCGCGCGCUGUGGCAGCCGGUGCCGGGAACCAAGGUGUACAGGCUCAGUUACGGCGCCGUCGUGCAGGUGGUGCUCCAGGGCACCAACAUCUUCGCGGCCGAGAACCACCCCAUCCACCUCCACGGCUACGACUUCUACAUCCUGGGCGAGGGCUCGGGCAACUUCGACGCCGGCAGGGACACGGGCAAGUUGAACCUGGACGACCCGCCGAUGAGGAACACGGUGGGCGUGCCGGUGAACGGGUGGGCGGUGAUCCGGUUCGUGGCCGACAACCCUGGGGUGUGGCUGAUGCACUGCCACCUGGACGUGCACAUCAGCUGGGGACUCGCCAUGGCGUUCCUGGUGGAGGACGGCGUUGGGGAGCUGCAGUCUCUCGAGGCACCUCCACCGGACCUCCCACUCUGCUGAAUAACAGUUGCAUGCAGACUCCAAGCUAGUUUUGGCCAUUCAUCUCAUCUGCUUAUUAUUACCUGAUGCUGAAUUAGUUGCUGAUUAUUAUGUACCAACUCACAUGAUUUUUUAUCCUCAAAAAAGCCUAGCUGCUGUCUGUCUACAUCGGAUUCAUCAAGAAACAUUGUCAAUUUAAUUCAGAAAUAUCGAAACAAAGAACUAGUACAUACUAUUAUGUAUAUUACAGCUGUCUGAUCUGUCUAACUUUUGUUUGUACUCGUCGUUCUUGAACACAAUGCACCUGAAUGAGUGAUCAGAGGAGACCUGAACAAUGCAAUGCAAAAGAAACCCCAACAGGUGAUUAAUCUGAUGAUGGAGCUAAGCAAAGUUGCUGUGAUCGGAGCGCCAGCAGUGGUGGUGUAAUCGGCCCAGCCCACCACGUGCCACUGCCGGAUGGGCCAGCCCUUCUCCAUCUACCAGGCAUACGAAGAGGACAGGACAGGACGGAGCAGUAAAAACGGGCACCCACCACUGCCUGCCAUCCUUCCUUCCCCUUCCUCUUCACCACGGCAAGGCAAGCCUCCUCCCCUGUACUGUACUGCUCGCUACACCAAGCGGAGGAGGAGGCAGGGAGGAAUCACGCGCCUGGCUCAGAUUUCAGUGCACUGCAGUGUGAUCGCCCCCCUGUUCCUCCUCUUCCGACGACGACGAUUUCAAUCAAGGUACCACCGCUACCUCCAACCGCAUUUCCCCCACGUCUUGCUUUUUGCUCCGCUCACCACCCAAAACCCCAUAGGCAACUGGCUACCAAAUCCUUCUCUGUUGUGGUUAUGCAUACGCUGCUGCGGCUGCUCGGGUUUAAUCUUAUCUGGGUGGCCUACUCUUCUCUUACUGUAGUGGUUUCGAUUCAUCGAUCAUGGCCGAGCUCCUUCCUUCCUGACGAUUGUUGCUUCGUUUGCUUGCGCUCAUGAUUCUGGGUGCGAUUUCGCUGCUUCUCCUCUCCGAUAAUGCAAUGUACCCGUCAGCCAUACCUAGUGUAUGUAUGUAGGUUUUUUCCCUCCCCCUAAUUGCGGUUACUUGUUCAUCAACUGGCCGUCUAGGAUCCCCCCCCCCCCCCCCUAAUUCUGAUUGUUCAUGAAUUCAGCAUGUCUAGUCCUAGCCCAAUUAUUAGUGACUUCAUGUACAACUUGUUUGCUUCCUUCAUUGAUUUUGCCCCGCAGCCCCACGUGAAAAAUAUUAUCUUGUGGUUGGACUGGGAAAUUGUAACGAUUCCAUCUACUCAACUGAGGCAUUCAUUCAACUGAUUUUGGUACUCCAUUCCAUCUUCAACAAAUGCAACUGUACCCAUUUCUUGACCCCACCUUUGUUUCUUGCUGCAUCUCCAUGUGCUAGUACAUAUCAACAGUCAGGAAAGAGGGACAAUUGCAUUUCUUGCACUUCAUUACUGCCCUGACUAUGUAAUGCAGCCGGCAUGUUUCACAUGGUUAAGCUUCAGCCAGACAUUAUUAACAUUAUUUGUUUCCUUCUGUUUCUCAUCUCGCUAGUAUCGGUACAAUGGUGAAGAGCAAAUCCUUGUGGAGCCAGGUUGUGAAAAGUACCAGGCCCACAAACCUGUCCAUUUCUGCAAGAAACCUCCAACCAAAAGAUCUUGGAGCUGUCAUAUUUGGUUGCACAAACAAUACCAUUGCAGAGUGUCACUCACGGCAACUUUUCGGUAUUUAUCUUAACCACGACUAUUCUCUUAAGUUAUGUAUUUACAAAACUGAGCUACUCCUUUAAUGCAUUUGUUUUCUUUUCCUCCGAGGGGAAUAUAUGCGAUGCCUCCCAAAGAAUAGCAAUUUGUUAGGUAAUCCACUGACCUAGUAACCAUUCGUGUGGUGUUUCAGGCUUGCCAAGAGCACAUAUCUCCUAUGUACGAAACAUUAAGGAAGGACUACCUCUCUUCCUAUUCAAUUAUGAUGAUCGCAAAUUGUAUGGUAUAUAUGAAGCUGCAGGCAGUGGUAAGUUCUGUCCUGAAUCAAAUGCAUGGUCAAAUGAUGGCCAGGGAAAGACAAGCUUUCCUGCCCAGGUACAAUCCCUUGUUUUUUGUAUCUAUGAAUGCCAUCUUCUUACUGACUCUCACUGAAAACCUCUGUGCAUGUCAAUGCCCUUUUGUUUAUUUAGGUUGCGAUGCGGGUAAGCGUGUGGUGUUUUCCGCUAGCAGAGAAUCAGUUCAGAAAUGCUAUUGUAGCCAACUACUAUCAGAACACGCCCAGUGUCCCUGGCCAGAAGCUUCAUUUUUUUCAGUUUGAAUUGGAUCAUGCUCAGACACGUGUUUUGAUAGAUAUGUUUACUCCAUCACCUCCUCCCAACAAUUUCUGGAUGCCCCUUGUUGCAGCACCAGCUGAUGAGCAUGUGAGAGAGUUAGUAUCGUCACCUGUACGGACACCAAAGCAUGAAGGGAAGGUCAAACCAGAAAAGGCACCUGUACGGACACCAAAGCAUGAAGGGAAGGUCAAACCAGAAAAGGUUGUAAAGUCAUAUGCAGACAUGGUAAAGAAGAACAAAUUUGAGGAAGUUGUGAAAGGAGAUGUGGACGAGGAACAUGCGAGCUCAGAUAAUGAAUCUUCUAAUGGUUUUGACGAUCUGGAUUGUGGAGAGACACCAACGGAGAGAGAAGAGUUUGCACUGUCAGAUCAGGCGGGUGAAAUUAAAAAGCAACAACACUCUGAUAAGAAGACAAAAGUGCUUAGCUUCAACCAUGUGUUAGAAGGGCAUGCAGCUUUGCCUGUGCAGCAGUGGAGUCCUUAUUUGUAUGCCAAUGCUACUGAGACUGAAGGCAAUGAUGCAUAUAGCUGCAAGUAUGCCCAGGAGGUCAAAUGCGCAAUUCUGGAUGGACACUCUAAUUUGCCAGAAACCUUAGAUGUUGAAGCUAAUCAGCUCUCCAUGGGGCAUUCUAAUUUGCUGGUGCAACUAUUAGAGUCUGAAUCAUGUACAGAAGCCAAGGUUAGAACUCUGUACUUAGCUGAUAGCUGCAUCCCAUGUCACCGUCCUUGUCCUUGUUUUUUGCGUAAAUUCAUUUAGUCUUGCUAAAAUGCUUACUUGUCUAUAUUUUCCAAAUUUCUCACACUAAUUUUGUUUGUGCAGAUGAUAGAUGUAGUUAAGGAGUUAUCUGGGCGCAUAGAGCUGAUGGAGAAGAAGCAGGUCUCUUCUGAUAGGCUAUAACCUAUUGAAGUGCCUUACAUUUGUUAUACCGAGCCAUGCAAGCUUAAAUUAUGAAUUGUUAUUUGAUAUACCUUAGCAUGAAUAGGCACUAAAAGUAGGGACCAAGUGAAUAAAGAAAGUAGCAUCACACCUACUUGCUUACUAGAAAUCAAAGAAGUAAGGCAGGACCGAAUUAAAUGAUUUUUUUUUAAUUGUUCUUCUGUUAUGGGUGGCCGGAGGACCAGCCCAUCUAUACUUUAAGUCAAGAAAUAAGGAUUAGGAAAGAUAUUAGAUCAGUUAGUUGGUUUGUUAGGACAAUUAUUAUGUUGUUAGAAGCUGGUUCUGUAUAAACAGAGGCACGGCAGUCAUAAAUUGGUCUUACAUCUAGCUAAUUAUUACCUGAUGAUUAUACUUUAAACUGAAGUUUGUUAAUUCUGGUGAGGAAUAUCAUAUGUUCUUGACUAAAGCGUGGAAGUCCUAGAAAAUUCUUACAAGGGGUUGGAUCUAAUUUGUGUUCAAAAUGCAGGCUUGGUCCAACAAAGAAGUCAAAUACUUACAAGGGAUGAAUGAGAGGUUACUGAAAAGAAUUGUUGAACUAAAGGGCACAGUGAAGACAUUGAAUUCAAAAAUAGACCCUUUAACCCUAGAUGAUUCACUUAACCAGUUUGUUGAACAAUGUUUGGGCUCAGAAGAUGUCAUUUAUCUAGUUGGUGGUUUUGAUGGCCUCUCAUUUCUGCCGUCACUAGACUCCUUUUCCCCUUCUUUGGAUAUACUAACACCUCUCAAACCAAUGCCUAUUGGGAAGUCAUAUGCUUCAACUGUUGCAUUAGACGGCAAGAUAUUUGUUCUUGGUGGUGGUGAUGGUGCUUGCUGGUUUGAUACAGGUUAGUAAUUGGUUUUUAAGUUUAAUUCCAUCUUGAGCUCUCAUUUUGCAAUUUCUGUCCUGAUUCUGCAUUUAUCUUUUGCAUGAAGUUGACUGUUAUGACCGAAGCCGUGAUGAUUGGACCACAUGCCCAUCAUUGACUCAUGACAAGGGGAGCCUUGCUGGGGUUAGUGUUAAUGGGAGAAUCUAUGCUUUUGGUGGUGGAGAUGGAAGUCAAUGUUUCUCUGACGUUGAGAUAUUUGAUCCUACUCAUGGAAAGUGGAUAAAGAAUCAGCCUAUGCUGGAAAAGGUAUCGGCAUCACUUUCCUGGUGUUCAUUUGGUCUAAACUCGUAAUGCUUUUUCCUGAUACAUUAGUGCACUGCUGAAGCAUUUAGUGGAAUGUGCAGAUAUUAGCCUAAGACAUAAAUAACUAGGGGAUAUAAUAAGCAUCUACUCAUGGAAAAGUGUGUAAUUCUAUGAUGAUGCAAAACUAUUCCUGAUUCCAUUUCAGUUUCCUGUACUCUCUUUCUUUUUUUGGAAAAAAUAUUUGCUUACGACACAUAAAGCUCUGCAUAAUAUGAUGAAUUCUUUAAUUUUCUUGACUUUUGUCACCUUGUUUUUCAGCGCUUUGCUCUAGCUGGUGUAGCACUUAAUGGUGUCAUUUAUGCAGUUGGUGGCUUCAACGGUGCUCAAUAUCUGAGGUACUGUCCUUUUCCUGCCUGUACUUAGUACUUGAUUGGUUCAGUUUUGAUCUGGUAGACAUACAACUCAUAAAACCUUCCAGCAAUUUUAAACCCCUUGCGGUGGCUUAUAUGGCUUAGUGUAAAUCCGAAUAAAGUGAAUCAUUUCACAAAUAUGCAUUAGCUUAUUCUCUAUUGCUAUCAUGGCAUCGAAAUUAUUAUUUCUUUGAAGUGAGAGGAACGCAAGAAAACUUUUCUACUAACAUUGUGAUGUGUGUUUCCAGCUCUGCUGAGAGGCUUGAUCCUCGAGAACCUAACUGGAAAAUGCUCCCAAUGAUGAGUGCAGGAAGGGGCUGUCAUACGCUUGCAGUGCUUAAUGAGAAGAUGUAAGUUUGUAGCUCUUUCUUUAUAGUAUGUUAAAACAAUGAACUGAAGAUACGUAGAAUGUUCCCUUUCAAAAAAAAUUAUUGUAGAACUUGUACCCAGCAAAUCAAAGGUAGGUGUGCAUCAGGGUGUAUAAUGUCUUUUCUUGAUGUAAUUUGGUCUUGUAUUUUCUUGCAGAUUCUCGAUUGGUGGUUAUGAUACUGGGGCUAAAGCAAUGGUAGCUACCGUUGAGGUGUACGAGCCAAGGAUGCCUUUAUGGGUGAUGGUUGAACCCAUGAGCUACACCAGAGGAUACCAUUCUUCAGCUGUGCUUGGUGGCUCGAUAUUCACAUUUGGCGGGGUGAAAGGUGAAGGAGAUACAAUCUUGGAUGUGGUAGGUACCUACACUUAGAGACCAAUUUCUUAUCAUGUCCAUUAGGCUGUUGACGAUGCAUUAAUUACUCAACUAAUCUGGCACCAAGACUCAAAAAUAUAAUUGCUUACAUUUGAUUUCAAGUGUUUGAUAGUGAACAGUCACUGAAUUAGUACUUGUCAAGGGUUUACCUGCAUCGGCUGCAUAUAUCGUUUGUUAUCAUAUCGGUCUUGCAUGAAAGCAUGUGUUGCACUUCAGAUGAACAUAGAUUCUUAGGUUCCUUAAGCACUUAGUUUCAUUAUCUUUGCUUUCCUGUCUCUACUGCGUAAAUCAUUUGUUACCAUCUCAGUCUAACGUGAAAAUGUCUACUGCAUUUCAUUGGAACAUGGAUUCUGGGGAUCCUUAAACACAAUUUUUUUCCCCUGUUCAAUUGUGUUGUGACUAACAGUAGAGCGUUUGUUGUUGGGCGAUUUGUGGUCAGGUGGAGCGCUACAAGGAAGGUUGUGGCUGGUUGACUACUGAUCUGAAGUCCAUUGGCAGGAGAUGCUACUGCUCCGCCAUUGUUCUCUGACCGUCUAGAAGUAUAUUGACAUGAUGAACUGACGUAGCUUAUGACAAUCAAGUGACCAGGAAACAGAUAUUAGUUAAGACUUAGAAGUCUCUUCCUUAGGCUGAACUGACAGCUGUAGACAAUGUGAAACUCUUCCUGCUCUUGUUCCUGAAUCGGAGAUGUGUUGUAAAACUUUUGAGUUGUUUGUGUUAUCUGGAUGGAUGAUGCAGCAACAUGACACGGGAUGCGAAUCUGAAUUGGUACUAAAAUCAAUGGAUGGAUAUUUGGUAUUCUGUAAUGGUGAUCUUAUUGACUCUUUCUGCUGAGAAGCAGCGGCGGCUUCACUGCAUCUGCAUCUGCAUCUUGUCCUUCUCUGCUUACCUUCUUUCUAUGUCAUAAAUUAAGAGUUGGUCUCUACAUACUUGCAUAUAUAUAUAUAUAUGUAUGUAUGUAUGUAUGUAUAGUGCACCCAGAAUAUAUGCUGAUUUCAUUCACUGGGUCGAUCGGUGAGUGUACAUCAUAUACAAGAAAGCCAAAGAAAGGAUGAAGGUUACAUGCACGCACAGAAAAAAUAACAUGAGCUUCCUUGUUGUAAGCCGCCUCAUUAUCGUAGUCCACCAGUUGCCGCCUGGUACGCGUCGUCGUCCGGCAGUAACGCAGGCCGCAGGCCUUGAUGAUGAUGAUCCUGCUGCAUGCACAUCAUCGUUCCUGCUGCCGAUGUUCACCGGCAAAGGUGGCGGCCCAGCUAUGUCGUCGUUACUGCUCACGACUUCCUGGAACUCCUCUGUGGCCUGCGGCAAUGGCGGCGGCGAACGUGGCGCCGCCCCGGUGCCGUCGUCGUUAUUACUACUUCUCAGGAUGUUCAUCUCCGACGACGGCGGCGGCUGCUGCUGCUGGCCACCUAUUCCAAAGAUCCGUGCAAGUAGCUGCCGGAGCCAGCCUAUUCCAUAUAUUCGAGCAACUAGUAUGGCAACUGCAAAUGCAAACAUUAUACAUAUGCAUCUCUCAAUGCAAUAUAAUGUGUUCCUUUGCAGGGAAAAAAGAUAAAGUAAAAAAUAGAAAUCAAAGUAAGACUUACCAAAGGAUAUUACUGCAAGACCCUCGUUAACAAUAUGCACCCACGCACUCAUCCAACCCACAUCCACACUAAACCUGAGGUGAAAUGCGUGCAAAAUAUAUAUAUUAUAUCAAACAUCCACCCAAGAAUAAACCAACACUUUAUUUUGAAUCUUUUUCAUUGCAACCAGGGUUCAGUGUGAACUUACUUUUCCAUUAUAUGAUGUGUGUCCCAGCCGAGAAACAACAUGCCAAAAUACAUGGAGCCCAUAGUGAAGAUAAAAUGGAAAAACCCGUAACCAUAUGGUACGUCAUCUUCCAAUCUUAUUACUAUGCCGUUCCUGAGCUGCAAAUAUUUGAGAAAUUCUUUUAUUUAACUGCUACAACUCAUUUCUAACUUUUAUUGAUUUGAUGGUUCGUUGAAUUUGAAUGAACAACAUACAACCUACCUGUAUAGUUUUGUAGUCCUUGCCCGUUGAAAAAGCGGAUGCGGCGGUGCUCAUCAGUUCACCCAGAAAACUCUGCCAAUGUUGAAACAUCAAUGAAAUAUUUGAUUAUAUAUAGAUAGAAAUCUUGACAGAACAAAGAGCAAACUUACUAUUAUGGUUUUCCAAUCUGCACCCGCACCGGCUUUUUCUUUCUUGUAGCAGCUCGUCUCUGGCUCACUGUUGAGGCAAAAUAUCAUAGACAAAGUGACACAGAAGGAUUAUAUUAUGUAUUAUUAGCUAGAUAGUCACAUCAACCAUAGUUUAAUUUAAAUAUUUUACUUUUUACCUUUUAAUUGCGGAAUAGCAUAGGAAUACACCGUACGCCCCCACUAGCCCUGGCUCCAUAUAAAAUCCAUUGGCCUAAUUUAGACAGCGGGUCAUAAAUUCAUUCAUGGUUCAGAUCCAAUAUUUCGACCAUUUCCUAAAUUUUGGCGUUUUAUAAGUGUGUGCUUAACUACCUUAGUCUUUAGUGCGAUUAGAGGCAUGAGGCACACCAACAAUGCUGUGGUGCCAAUGAACGCGAUGUUCAGCCAGCAGCUCGUGUACCACAGGGACAUCAGUAUGAUCCCUACCGUAGAGCCGCUAUACAUUAUGAUAGAGACCGCGAUCACCUCAAGGUAGCUGCAAAUGAUCACCAGAUGGAAACAACUGUUUACACUUACAGAUAAUGCUAGACAAAUAGUCCAAAAACCAAGGCAAAGCAAACCUACUGAUUUUCAGAAUCUCUAAUGCACCAUUUGUUGUUCCACCGUGUGAUGUAUCUGAUCACACUUAGGAGCUGAGUAGAAAGAAAUACCCUGUUCAAUUUCGGGAUACAAGAUAAUCUUGUGUUAGUGAGUGAAAGGGAAGGAUAAGAGCUAGUAAAUGCUUGAAAGAGUUAUUUGAGGUACCCUGCUCCAAAAGGUGCAACGACUUUUCCUAAAAAUAAUUUAGAUAGAAACGUCGUCGAUCAGUGGCGGCAGCAAGUGGUGAAAUUUCAAAAUUAUUGUUAUAAAAAGUUGUAAGAUAUGUCGGCACAAGAACUGACCGUAUAGUUGAAUCAGUUCGGAAGGCGCGAAUGUGGAGAUCAUGAUAGAGCCCGCCAAGAGGACAAUCUUGGCGAGCCACCACUGGCAGUGCCAUGAGUUUCUUCGGUCAUGUACCUUCCUCGUGCACACGGUGGAGAGGAACAUGACCAAGAAAAAGAGCUGAUGGAAAUUUUGUUAAGGCUAACACAAAUAAAAGGAGUGGAAAUGGAAAUUAAAGUUUCUAUUAUUAGGUGAAAGUAGUUUUAAUUUAUUUUCUGAGGAUACGAAGCUGGUGAGACUUAUCAUCAAGACACCCUCAGCGGCAAGGCAAUCACGGUCGCCGUGACAGCCAGUAUGGCGCUGUCCCUCAAAAAAUGCUACGUGGCUUUGACGUACCACCCAUGCAAAGAUGUUAGCGAGAAGGAAGAGCACUGCGUAAAUGUAUCGCACAACCAUAGGGUUUGGUUGCCAACAAAAACGAUGGAGGAUGCGAGGGUUGUCGUCGUCCCUGCUCUCGGUCCUCAUCAUCACGCCUGUCUCUGCUACAAUCUAAUAACAAAACGCAUGCAUGUGAGGAUGACGAAGAACAAAUAAAAUGGUUGAUGAUAUACUUACUUGAGAAGAGGUAGACAUGCUGGAUCGAUGGAUCAACAGUGGUGCUUGAUUUUGACUCCUACCUCGAUCAGAUCACUAGUUUGGUUGAUGAUUUUGGGUGUAUCAAUGGUUGGUUGGUUGGUUGGUUUGUUGUGAAGCAGUGAACGAAGCUAGCUGCUGGGAAGUGACAAGGCAACACUAUAUAUGCAAGUGCCUAGCUUGUGACUGACGCCGGUGCACGACUGCACUGAGCAAGCUUAUAUAUAGAAGAAGCAAUGCGAGGCCUGACUGGUGGAAGACAUGCAUGCAUCUAACGUGGAGCGCAUGAAUGGAAUGGAAUCGAAUCGAAUCAAUCCCCACGUACGUACAUACUGGACGUCGUCGCAUCGAUCGCAUGCAUACCUUGCUUUCUGUUUUGUGAUGACGCGCGCGAUCGACUUGACAAGGCCGGCCGGCCACGCUAGCUGUGUUCACGGCCUGACUGCGUGCCUGAGGGUAGCUCAUGCAUGGAGAUGCUGCGUUCGUAUUCCGAUCCGACCUAUCCUAGCUAGCAGACUCGAUCUGCUGUCUGCCGCUUUCGAUCGCUCUUCCUUCUCCGGCACCAUGACCAGUCCAACCCGACGACGACCGAGGAGGGCAAGCAAGCACCUUCGUACGUAAUAAAGCCUCCGAACUUGCGCGUGCACAUACAUUUUUCUAUCAGUUUAAAAUUCUAGCUCGUUAGUUGGUGCAUGCAUGCAACUCUAUUAUUGGUUAUGAUGUUUAAAAGUUGACAAAACUACAUAUAGCUAGGGAAAGACAAAAGAAGAAUUAAAAGUGCCAACCAUUUGUUGGCCGCUCAUAUAACUGUCAGAAAAGAUUAAACUCUUGUAGGGUAAAAGCCGGCGUGUAGGUAUGUGUGAGGUCGUGUCAUGUCUAUGCUAUUAUAUUACUAGUAUGUAUAUAUUGCGCCACUCCAUGAGCUUAUACAAAUUAUAUUUAUUUCGCUACUUUUACUUCACAGUGCCAUCUCCCGAUGCUAGCGUGCGUAGUAUGAUCGAUAGGUUGUGCAGAUACCUUGAACGUACCCACCCCUUCUUUUUACUCUCUGGAAGGUGCAGCAGCUAGCGCCCAGAGCCACAUUUAGUGAUUUCCUGAUGAAGGUUAGUUUCGGUGGACAGUAUUAUUGCAUUUUCAGAGGUCUAAACAGUGAGUACAGAUGUACAUGUUACAUAUGAGAUCAAUCCAUAUUUCUUAAUAUGAUUAGGUUCAGUAAGUUGGUUAUAUCGAAAUACGGUUAAAUUUUAAAAUAAAAUUAAGAUGGAAUACAGCUACAGCUAUAGCUAGGCAUAUGUACAAACCAAACCUUCUCAUAAAAGCACUCUUGUUCUAAAAUACAUAGCGCUUUCGCUUUCUUGCCCUUGUCUUUGCGUUGUUGCCCCGCAUAUUUUAACUACUAGUUGAUUAUUCUUCAUCAUUUAGCUAAUUAUUUCUUCAUAACAGAGUUAAUAAGUUGAUAGCCCUACGCUGUACAGCAUAGCCGCCAAUGUUUAGCUUAUGUCUUUGUUAGGCCAUUCUCAAUGUUUCCAAAAUGCCACAUAAAUAAGGGACCAUUAAUUCAUAGUUGUUCAAAUAGUUUCAUACAAUGUAUUGUUUCAUUCUUUGUUGUUUCCUAAACUACAUGCAAGACACCAAACUAUCUUGAAAACGCUGGUAUGACCCUCAAUUUAAUGGGAGCGAAAUUCCCAUUGAGAACUGUCUUACUUUUUUUUUAUCUUUCAUCUUAUCCGGUUUCUUGCUCUACCUGACUACCGGUUUCAUUACAAAUUGGGGAAAAUAUAAAUAUAGCCUUUAAUAGGAUCAAGGCGUGCUUUAAUCAGCAAUAAAUUAAAGGAAGGGGUCAAAGUAAAGAGAAUUUGGGUAGUGAUGAGCCCAUGGGCGUAGUUGUAGGCUUAUAUAUAUCAGCGAAGCCAAUUAAUGGUAUUUUAUACAUAUGGCUCUAGGUUAUAUGAAGGAAACUACAUGGAUGAAUUUCACAUAAAUUAAGGUCAAUGUGACUCAUCAUUUGGCUGAGGUGACAAGAAUAAAAGAAGUGAGAACUAACCACCAAAAAGUUAUCAAAAAAAAUAAAAAAGAGAGAGAACACAAUCUAUUAUUACAAUGUCUGGCCACUAAAACAUAUGUGUUUCUUAACACAGAACCAUCAAACCAAACAGGGAUGACAAAUUUAGAAAAAUAACAACUAGUUAACUUGUACUAUCUAUUGCUAGAAGAAAGCUAACUAGUUACCUAUAUGCUACCAUAUAAUUAUUUUGACAACACUACUUGAAGAUCAAGACUAGAAUACGAGAUGAUGUCUUCAAUUCUAUUUUGAGAUAACUAAUGUUUGCACAAAAGGCAAACACAAACAGACUGAAAUAUGUUUCCUUCACAUCUGUAUCCCUUUACAUAGGAACCAUCAGUGUAUUUGCCCUGGAUAAAACAAUUUGCCUUGCAAUAAGCCUUAAAGCAGAAUGGAUGCACUUUAACAAAUUGCCUGCAAGUUUCUGGAAGAAAUAUAUCUACACGUUAGUUGAUAAUCAUACUUGAUUUUGAUAAAAAAAAGUAGCAAUUAAAUACGCAGCAGUAUUCAACACCAAGUUUUAAACAAAGAAUAAAUGACUGAACACAAGCUAUAUGAAAGAACCCAAUCGAUGGAAGUCUAUCAUGCAUCAAUGUAUUAUCAAAUAUACAUGAAUAUGAUGAAAAAGUAAAGAUAAAGAUCCAAGGAACACAAACCUGCAGCCAAUGUUGGAUUUCCAUGUAAGACAAGGACUAAGAAGAAGCACAGAGCAACAUAUCUUGCAUCCAUAAUUGAACUUAGAUUGCGUAGGAUAUACUUUGUUGCAAGUAAGUGACAAAUGACUAUUUGCAUUUAUAGAGGGUGGAAGUACUAAUAAUAGAAAUAUAGCAUGACACAGCCGCACAAGUGCUCGGACUAUUUCAACUUGAACUAAUAAUUAGUUACUUGUAGAUUGAAACUAGCAAAAAAUGAUCUUGAAUUAACCACAUGCACCUAUAUAUGUAUUCGGUGAAGGAUCUAAGUCUUCCAAGAUCUGAAGAUAGAUCUCGAUCUAGAUCUAAAAAGAUUGGCAUCCCUAACACCACCAGAACUAACAUGCAAACUCCCAUAUAUAGGGGAAGACCAUCGAAUCUUCUGAAAAAGUCAUGUUUGCAUGCAUGCGUGGUACACAGAAAAGGACUAUAUUUUUUUUCUCUUAUUUUCUUCGCAUGCAUGUGCGGUGCUAAACAUAAGAUUAUUUUGCCAGACUUUGAUCUGGGUCAAAAAAAGAAUGCCCUUAUCAAUAGCAUGCAUAAUAAGCAUGUUGCUAUGGCAUUUGAUAUAUUUUUCCUUUGCUUCUUAUCAUCCUAGCUACACAUGCACAUACGUACUUCUGUAUGAAUGGAUCAAUGUUUAUUUUAUUUUGCAAGAUCCCAAUUUUUACAUGAUCCCAAUAUUCUUUAUUUUAUUUCUGCAAGAUCAACUAGUACAAGUCGUUAGCAGCAGCAGCCAAAAUUAGUACUCCGAUCCCUCCAUACAACAAAGUGGUGAUUUAAACUCUUUACAUGAAUAAGCAACAGCUGAACUAACUGCUCAAGUCCAUGGAGAGGAACAAGUUCUGCAUCCUUUUGAUCUAAAUAUGGCUGCCUUUGCUUCGAGGAACAAGAAGAAUCCAUGUGUGUACUCCCUGAUUACGUGAUAUGCUGGUUCUGCACCAAUCAAGCAGACCAAUAAAUAUAGAGAUGUAUGUAUGUAUGUUUACUAAAGCAGCAACAGCCUGAUGAUUUGUGCGGGUUGGGUUCUUUGCUUUGAGGAACAAGAACAAUUCAUGAUCUCAAAUGUUGUUUCUUUUGGUUCUUCCUAAAUCCAAUGUUUCGCUCAUCAUCAAAUGGUACUAGAAAUGCAUUCCUUUUUUUUUUCUUCUGUUUUUGGCAGUGCAGGGUUCAGGGGAGACGCUGGUGUCUGCCUCUACCUGCGUGGUGUUCCCACUGCAGAGUGCAGACAGGACUGCACGCGGAGGAGCAAAAGCAGACCACGACAGAUCGAUCGUUCCGAUGGCCCUCGGCGACGCCCCGCUGCCCAACCUCUCCAUCUCCGGCGCUGCCCUCGCCCGACGUGUUCUCUUGUUUCUGUUAUGAAUGUGUUGUCUGGUGAAAAUGUGUCAAAAGAAGACAAAAAAUGCUAAAUGGCUAAGUGAAAAAUGAUUUAGAAGUUACCCAAACUCUUUUUGAUGCCAUUUUCACCGUGCCCGGUAUUCUGCUACUUAUUAGAUGAAAAAUGAGUAUUGAGUUCAAGUGGUGUUACCGUGGACAUUUGUGAUACCUAUAUUACCAAUAUUCAGAAUUAUUUUAGUGAAGUUGCAAGUUUCAGCUCAUGAGAUCAACACUAUGUCCAUAAAUUUAAACCUUAGUUCUUGCUAUAUGAAUAUUUAUUCUUAUAUUAAUUUUCUUUAUGAAUUUACCUACAAUAGUGAGAUCUUAAUAUCUUCUAGAGUAGCUAGUUUAUGGAUAUAUCACAGAAAUAAGUACAUAUAUCCAUGUGUAGCUAGGCAGAGCACAAGGAAAGAAAAAAAAAUUAAACAUAAUAAAACCAGAUGAUAAUGCAUGUGAUUAAUAUGGGUUUGCUUCUAAUAAAAAAUGUCAGCAAAAAGCAUUCUCGCUAUUGCCACACAUUUGUAAACCGAGACAAAAAGAAUAUCAAAGCAAAAAAAAUGUAGUCACUUGUUUGGUGUAUGUGUGGCUGCAUGCAACCAAUGGCUCAUUCAAAAUAUAAAAGAUGGAAAAGGACAUGCAUGAUUCCAAGAUCUCCACUCACAAACGGGUUGUGCAUGUCAGAUCUGGUGGUGUUAGGAAUGCCGAUCUAUUUGGAUCUAGAUGGAUAUAGUUGCAUGUGGCUUAUCUAAUAUCAGCCUCUGCAGAGUUUAAGUCUACUAGUAACUAAUUGUUAGUCAAGUUGAAACAGUUCAAUAUGCAAUUGUGCGGUUAUGAUAUAUUGUGCUUCUAUUUAUGCUUAUAACUUACAAAUGUAAAUCAUCAUAGGCUGCUCACAUCCAACGAAGUAUGCUAUGGGUGUGAGAUAUGUUGCUCUGUGUUUAUUUUUACAUGGAGAUCCUACAUUAGCAGGUUUGUGUCCAUGAAUUUUUGUCUUUUUCACCAUAUUCACGUAUAUCUGGUAACCUAUUGAUACAUAAGACAUCAACUGAAUUUUAUUUUUUUCAGCACUUGUUUUUUCCUUACAAACCGAGUAUUGGAUACUGAUGCAUAUUUGAUGACUAUUUUAUUGCUAUCAAAAUCAAGUGUGGUUAUAAUCUACUAAUGUACGAAUAUAUUUCUUGCAGAAACUUGUAGGCUGUUUGUUAAACCAUAUCCAUUCUGUUUUAAUGCUAUGUGCAAGGCAACUUGUUACUUGGAAGGCAAAUUCUCUGAUGGUUCAUAUGUAAAAGGAUAUGAAUGUCAAUCAAAUGCAUUCCACUCUGUGUGUAUUUGCUAUUUGUGCAAAAAUUAGUCAUCUCAAACAGAACUUAAGAUGGCCUCUUGUGUUCCAAUCCAUUGUCAUAAGUAUUGUCCAAAUAAUUAUACGGUAGAAUAGUAAACAAGUUAGCUUUCUUCUAUCCAUAGAUGUAUUGGUUAACUAGUCAUUUUUCUAGACUUCUCAUUUUAGCUUGCUAAUUUCUCAUGUAUGUUUGUUUUGACAUUUUUAUGUCAGGAAACACAUGUUUUUGGUGACUAGACAGUUUUAUAAUAGAUUAUAUUCCCUUUUAAAUAAUUUUAAGCUUUUUUGGGCUUCUUACUUUUUUCUAUCAAUUUAGCCACAUCAUGAGCUUUAUUUUUAAAAUUAAUGCAUCUAAUUUCCUUUUCCUUUUGCUCUAGAGGCAUGUGUAUCUUUUGAUAUGUUCAUCGAUAUUCCUGGCUUUAAUGAUAUAAGCAUGGAGCUACACUUACGCAUUCAUUGCUAGAGAACAUCUCCAGCAAUAUUACCACCGACUUGUAAUUAAACCCGGCGGAGGAAGAAACAUAAUAAGAUAAAAAAUGCAGUAACAAGACAUAAGCCAAAGAAAGCAGAUACGCAAGACAACGCCAUAAGUGCUCUAGACAUACCCCAAAUUAUAUAUAUCAUAACAUUAAUAUAUAAAAGUAUAAAAAAUUUCAUUCAUGCACAAAUUAUUUUUUAGAUUAAUAAAGUUUUUUUUUGCAAAAAUCAUGUUAAAUCUUAAACAUCACUGCAUCCUCACCACCAUCUCCAGCGAGAGCAGUUAACACAGUCACAACGAUGAAUGAAAUUGAAUGAAAACGUUUUAAUGGAGAUCUACAUCUAACAUACUGGGUCAGGUCCAUCAAGCACGUGAUGGGCAACUUGCGCUCCGAGCAAUAGCUGCAUAGAGAGCUCGACUGACUUCCCUAGCUGAUACACUGAUCAGAGUACAAAGUUCAGGGUACAGCCGCUACAGCUCAGAGCUCCAACUCUUAAGUCUUGAGGCCUUCACCCCAAGGCAGGCCUGCCCCGGGGAGCACCGCUAGCCGCCGCAUGACCAGGUAAUCGACAGCCUUGAGAGAAAAGUGAGGGAGCAACACAAGAAGAGCUGGGUGGCGAACAACAGCCUUGGCACUGAGCUGCAUGUUUAUGCCUGCUAGCAGUCCUAUUUGGUCUUGGUGUGCUAGCUGCUUCCAAUUUGUCCAUGCUUAGCAAGCCUAAAAUCAAAGAGCUUUGCAUUAUGAAUUUUUUUCCUAGAAAAACACAGCGAGCCUGGUUAUGAGUCGGUAAAAAAUGGCUAAAUCUGGCAUGAACAUAAGGCACUGUAAAGGUCAAGCAAGCAUCCCUCUCUUCCCCUUGACAAAUCGUUAGCAGUAGCAACAACUAAAAUUAGUACUCCCUCCCCCUCCAUCCGACAAAGUGUUCAUCUUUAGGAAACCUCAAGUAGGUUUGUAUGGAGGAGAAAAGACGUGGGUGCCCUUCAUCAAGCCGUGGCUCCGUCUUGGACAGUUAAAUGCAUAGUUAACUCUCGAUCGAUGGUGACUUUUGGGUUGCCCGAGCCCAUUUAACUGCCGGUGAACCUGAUAUUGGGAUUGUUGUUCGCCGUCAUGGGCACUUAUCAAAAAUUUACAGGACUGUCCCAAAAGUUAACAAAUAUAACAAUAUACUAGAGACGUGAAGUUUCAGGCUGCAGCAAAACUUAUAGCUAAACUGGAGCCAAGUAUGGCAUCCAAGAGAAGAGAAGUCAGGGAAGGACAGGGGAGACGUGUUGUGCCUCUGCCUCCUUCCUACCCCUGCACACAUCAGAAAUUUUGAUAUUUAACAUCCAAUUCGCACGCCUUACGUCUUUUAACUCUUAAUUCGCAAGUUUUCUUUAUAUAUAUAUAACACUCCACGUGCCAAUUCUUUUGAUUCAGAGGAUUCCAUCUUAUUUCCUCUAUUUCUCUUAUUUUCUUCUUUCUUUUCAUUUUACAGCACCUGCGAACGGACGACUUUACCCCUUACCUUAUCCUUUUGCUCUCUCCCGUUCACUCGUCUCCCCGGUGCUAACUCCUCUUCCUCUUGGCUUCGCCUCGCCGCCGGUGCCUUCUUCUGCCUCGCCGUGCUCCUGCUGCGCGCGGCCGCGCAGGGGCAGCAGCACCGCGAGACGUCGCCGCGCUCUGCGGCCUGCACCGUGCGUUCCCACGAUUUGCCCGUCAAGGCCGACCUCUGCGUCUUCUGGUCCGGCGUCACCUGCCGUAGCCGGCUGCGUCGCGAAGCUUCGCCAGUCGUCGUCCUCCGCUUCGCCCGCGUCUUGCUGACUUUGCGUCCUAGCCUCGUGCGGCAAGGCAAGCUUUGCCCGGGGACGAGAGCCAAUCUGGCUUGCCUCAAGAAGCAAGAAAAAAAACUUGCUUUCGUGGACAUCGAGGUAGCCAGCGUACCAUCCAAAUGUAGAGCACGGUUCGCUCUCCUUGCCUAGCUGGGCAAGGCAAGCUCCGUCAAAAAUCCAAACGCACCCAGCCUCUCCGGCCCGAUUCCGGCGCCGCUGCUAUCAAUUCCUGGUCUCCGCGUUCUCGACCUCUCCAGCAUCAAUCUCACCGGGCCUCUACCGAUCCUUGUUGUAAAUACUUACGCGAGAUGGAGAUGCAGGGAAGAAAGCUAGCUGAUAUUUACAAAGGAAGAGAGACACACAAGAGCUCUUCCGGCAGCACACACAACUAUGCCUUUCCUCUUAUUUCUCUUAUAUCGAUCUGAUUACACGUACUCAUAUUUAAAGACUCACACCGGUGGCAUGCCGUCUCUUGCGCGUGCUCAACUAGCCGCAAGAGUCGGAUCACAACUGCUUAAACUCGUCCACUAAUUAACUACAUGCAUGACUCAUAACUAACGCGACCAGCCACAUCGCCAUCUCUUCAGGAACGCACGCCACGCACAUCUGCAUGGUCGGACCACUUCUUCCUCCUCGAUAUGCUCCAUGACUUGAUCAAACUCCUGGCCGCAACUCCCUACAUGGCUACCCAUGAAUACCUGCAUGCACUCAUCUCCUGGCCGCAAUUAGCUCACUAAUCACUUCUAAUUUGCCUUGCCAUGCAGCACGCACUCCUCUCACAUGGACUAGCCUAUUACAUUCUAAAUUCACAUGCACAAGACUAAACAUGCUGCUAAUGCAAAACCAACAAGAUUAAUCUAACAAUCCUGUCAGAGAAGGACAGUAAUGGAGCCAGAGUUCCGUUCAACGCUCCCAUUCCCCACGCUCCCGCCGCGCCGCGCCAUGCGAGGAGGUCAGCAGGAGAAAGGGGCUAGCGCGCGGAGGAGGCCGGCGAUUGAGAAGAAGAAGCGAGCGAGAGAGGAGAGGCCGGCUGGCAAUGGUUCAGUCAAUUCGAUCCAAACGGGUUCGGAUGACCCGUACUUUUUGCAUUUUAGCUUUUUUUUAAAUCACAUUUGAACUUCCAUAUUUCCGAAUUUUGAUCCUGGGGUUGGCGUCAUGACUCACGGCGCCAAGGUAACACAUCUCGGCACCGUGACUCACAGCACCGAGGUAACACGUCUCGGCGCCAUGAGCCAUGGCGCCGAGAUCCCUAAUGUAGCCGCUGAGUUGGCGCUGACGAGAUCUCGACGCCACGAGCCAUGGCGCCGAGCUCGGCGCUACAGAUCACGGCGCCGAGCCCUUAUCUACACGUCGCGAUCUCUUCCUCUCUCUCUCUCCCCCCCCGCACCCUCAUUCUCUCGCUCUUCCGCGCCAGCCGUGCGGCCGCCGGCGCCCUCCUCUGGCCGCCCCUCCGUGACCUCCUCUGCGGCCUCCUCCGGCCGCCCUGUCGGUGUUUACCCGGCUGCCCACCGAGGGAUAUGCCCAAGGUGGUAAGUUUUGGGUGAGGAGACGCCAAGAUCAGGAGCUCGAAGGUGCAAGGAACACAAGACUUAGACAGGUUCGGGCCGCAUGGAGCGUAACACCCUACGUCCUGUAUGGUUUGUAUUGCCUUUGAUGUAGAAUGACCUAAUGAUCUUCUGUUUUUAGAGGGGUCCCUGACCUCCCUUAUAUAUCCGAGAGGUCAGAGUUACAAAGAUGCCAACCAACUCCCGUCGAGGGAUCACACCAGAGCACAUCUCGAGUAGAUCCUCUCCGUGUUGGUUAGCUCUAUCUCCUAUUUAAACGGGAUAAAUAAGAGAUAAACAAAAUGAAUAAGAGAUAAGACGGGCUUAAUCUCCUAAACUUCCUAACGCGCCCAGCCCGGUGGCCCCGGGUCUGACAAGCCCCCAAGCUUUUCGUAGCUGAGUACUGCAGGCUUUUCGAGUACUUUCGAAGCAGUCUUCGACUUCUUCUGAAGCUUCGUCUUGAAGUCCUUCUUCGAGUACUUGCCUGGCUGCAUCGAAGCUAUGAGGUGCUCAUGCCCCGAAUUUUUGUUAUGGUGUGCGAUUUAAAAAUCGCACUUCAUAUGGAGUAGCCCCCGAGCCUUAGGUUGAAUCGGAGAAUCAGGCUGAGGGUCCCAUUAGUCUAUAAUCCUCCUUAUCUUUCAAAGAAAUUUGAAAAAUAAGUAGUCGAUGCCACGUACCCCGCAGCCCCGAGCCUUGAAUCCAAAUCCACAAAAUUUGGAGAUAAAGAUCCAACAACCGUGGCAUGCAGGCUAAAAAUGACAACUCGCCAAAUUACCAAACCAAUGGUACAGAUGAUGGAUGUUAGAUGAAUAAUUCGAAAAAAACGCUUUUUUCAGGCAAACGAACCCUGAAAAAAUGAUUAAUCGAAUAUCCAAUCCAAAUAACCCAUCAAACGACCCCUCAGAUUCGGAAUAUUCUCGGAAGUGACUCUUGAACUUCAGAACAGUAAUUUUUCCCCACCCCGCUGGUUAUUUAACCCCGCGAUAACUGUAGGAAAAAACCACGCUUUCAAUCUGCAUUCCAUCAAAAGCCCACGAAUUCCCCAAUCCGAGCCAAGCACCGCCUCCUUCCCCCCAAGAAAACCUCCCAUUCUGACCUCCCCGCCCCUCUCCCCGCAGCCCCCGAGCAUCUCGUGGCCGGCGCGUCGGAGAUGGCGUCCAAGAAAUUAGAGAUCGAGGAAAUGAAGAAGGAUGCGGGGCCGUCGAUCGCGGAGUGGACACACAGUAAGUGCUCCCUCAACAAUUUGAAAAAACUGGUUUCCGACGGGUUGCUGCAAGAGAAAAACCUUGUCAACUGGUGCCCCUCGUUCCGUGAGCCCUUCCCUAUGGAGAAUGUUGACGAAAUCGUCACAUUCUUCCAUUUUGCCGAACGGGGAUUGGCUAUCCCCACUUGUUCCUUCUUUCGUGGCCUUCUUUACUACUACGGGCUUGAGCUCCAUCACCUCAACCCGAAUUCCAUUUGCCAUAUUUCCAUUUUCAUUCACUUCUGCGAAGCAUUUCUCGGAAUCGAACCCCACUGGGAUCUGUUCCGCUUCCUCUUCCGCGUCAAACCCCAGCCGACCACAAAGAAACUUGCCGUGGUGGGCGGCGCAGGCAUCCAACUGCGACAGCAGGCCGGCGAAAAAUACCUUUCAUAUAAAUUCCCCUCAAACCUUCUUGGAUGGAAAAACCUAUGGUUUUACAUCGAAAACCAUGCUCCCCACCUGCCGACGAAGUCGAGCAGACCGCCAGUGGUGAGGGGGGAAUGGAACCUUGAACCCUCCGGCAUGGAGAUGAUACAGGUCAGAGAACUGCUGGAGGCCAUCGAGGCAUAGAAGAAGGAGGGAGUGACCGGCGCCUCCGUCAUGUUCUCAUUUUACAAGCGCCGCGUCCAACCCAUCCAACAACGCUGUUGCCUGGGCUUCGAGUACACCGGCCCCGCUGACCCUUCUCGCAUGUGCACAGAGGAGGUGCCAGACGAAGUUGCGCUCCAGCGAGUUCAGCGGGUGCUGCUGGACGUGAACGCCGUGCCGUACGUGCCCACCUUGUUCUCCGCGCAAAAUCCGCCCCCGCCGGUAAGUAUUCGACUUCUUUCACUGAAGAAAUCUGCUACUGCACCGGUACUGAACUGAAGAACUGUCUGCAGGGACACUCGGAGCUGUACUGCAGCUACCCCCCGCAGCCGGACCUCCCCCGAGCGUAUCACCUCCUCCCUUCUGCAGCCACGGCAGCCAAGAAGGCUCGCCUUGCUGCGGCUCAAAGCUGCAACGAGUCCGCCGAAUGCGUGGACUCGCAGGCGGGGGAAGAAACCGAAGGAGGAACACGCCCUGCUGCCGUCGUUGCCACCAAGACGGCUCGCCUUGCUGCGGUUUAAGGCAGCAGCGAGUCCACCGAGUGCGUGCACCAAGAACGAGCAGCAGCACCAGGAGCUGGAGGACCUCCGGGGAGCCGCCCAGGAGCUGGUGGACAUGGUGGAUCCGCCGAAAGAAGGCGAAGCAGGCCCGCGGCCCCUACUAGAGCGACUCCGCGAGGCCCCGAAGAAAAUGCUGAAGUUCCUAUCCGAAGCUCCAGUUGCGUGCGUGAGUAAUGCCCUCGCCUAUGUAAAGUCCUUCGUGCCAAAUGCGCAGCUGAGCAUCUUUGCGCAAGGGAUGGCGGCGGACUGCACAGACGAGCGAUUCGAAGAGUACUUGCAAGAGGCCCAACCUGUAGCGGAGCAAAUUGUACACAAUGUACUGCAGGAUUAGGGUGUAUGAAACAAUUAAUCAUUCUCUUAUGUAAAUGCUUUACUCGACAUCUCUACUUGUUUGCGUGUCUUAACUGAAUUGGGAUCCAGGCUUACGAGACUCAAGUAGUAGACGCCUCCCUGGGUGCAACGACCCGAAGGGCAGCUAGUAUUCGUCUAAUAGAAUAGCCACAACUCGAUCGAGCGGGUCUAAACUUGUUAGGAAAGAAUGCGAGCAUCGUCGCGGGGUUGCCGUGCGUAGGGCUUAAAAAUAAGACUGUCCCGAGUGCGGCGGCCGGGGUGUAGUUGAAGGUCGCUCCUGCUGUGAGUGUGCUCCGUAAGCUGGAGAAGACCCGGACGGACGGAUCAAGCUUGCAAGGAGCGAGUGCGGGCAGCGCCGCGAGCUUGCCAUUCCUUUUGGCAAAAACAAGACUGUUCUGAGUGCAGCCACUCAGGAUGUAGUCGAUGUGGCUUUUUAUGCGAGCCUUUCCAACGUACUAUGUGUAAGCCAGUCGAGCGGAUCGACUGUGUUGGAAAAAGUGCGACUGCUGUCGCGUGCGACCAUCGAAGGUCGCGGCGGAACUCGAUAUGCCGAGGAGUUAGCCGGAGCCGAGGGCUCUGUCAGAAACGAAAGUCGAAGGGGGAUGACCGUGGCCGUAGCCCCCGCGUCAUGCGCGACAAGAAGUCGAUAUAUAUAUAUAUAUAUGCUUGCACGUGACACUGGCCAUCGUGGAAGUAAGAAGGAAUGUACAACCCGAGUCGUGUGGCUCAUGGCCUCCAAAGUGAUUCGGGAAAAGGAGAUCUUCUGAGCCCCCGGGGAAUUAGCGAUCACCGCGCCUCGACUUAAGGGUAGAACUUGCGCAGGUUCUGAACGUUCCAGGAGUUCGGGACUUCACGACCCUCGGGGAAUUGUAGUCGAUAAGACCCUGGCCUUGUGACCUGCUUGACGACGAAUGGGCCCUCCCACCUUGAAUUGAGCUUGUGGAGGCCGGACUCGUCCUGAAUACGGCGCAAGACCAAAUCACCGACGCUGAAUGACCGCUCCCUGAUGUUGCGAUCAUGGUAUCGCCGGAUCCCCUGCAGGUACCGGGCUGACAGAACAAGGGCGGUACAACGAGCUUCUUCCACAGAAUCGAGCUCUAGCUGCCGCGCCUCGUCCGCCUCGCCUUCACUGUACAUUUCGACCUUUGGAGACUUCCACAUGAUAUCGGCUGGUAGAAUAGCUUCGGAUCCAUACACGAGGAAAAAGGGUGUUUGUCCUGUGGCUUUGGACGGCUGAGUCCGAAGCCCCCAGACGACAUGUGGCAACUCAUGCACCCAUUUGCCUCCCUUCUUGCUGUUUUCAUCAUAAAGUCUCUUCAUGAGGCCGUCAAUGAUCAAGCCGUUCGCCCUUUCGACUUGUCCGUUAGCCCUGGGGUGUGCAACCGAGACAUAUUUAACUUCAAUGCAAGCAUUCUCGCAGAACUCCCAGAACUGAUUCGCCGUGAAGUUUGACCCCAAGUCCGUGAUGAUGGAGUUGGGGAAGCCGAAGCGAUGCAUAAUAUCUGAGAUGAAGUCGACGACCCGGUCUGGCGUGAGCUUGGCUAUCGGCUUGUACUCGAUCCACUUAGUAAACUUGUCGAUAGCCACCAGAAUAUGGGUGAAGCCGCCUGGUGCCGUCGUGAAGGGCCCGAUCAUGUCAAGGCUCCAACAGGCAAAAGGCCAGGAUGGCGGUACGGUGAUGAGGCUAUGAGCUGGGACAUGCGUCUGUUUGCCGAAGAAUUGACAAUUUUGGCAUCUGCGCACGAGAUCCUCCACGUCGGUGACUGCAGUGGGCCACCAGAAGCCGGCCCUGUAUGCUUUCCCAACCAGCGUUCUUGAAGCCGCAUGGUUGCCGCAGACGCCUUCGUGGAUCUCCCGCAGUAUGUCGUAACCAUCUUCCUUCGUGACGCACUUCAUGAGAACUCCUGACCGAGCGCCACGCCGGUAGAGCUUGCCGUUGACCAGGGCGAAGCCUUGCUUCUUCGCAAGACGCGUACCGCUUCUGCACUCUUGGUGUCAAUUCCCGCUGGUAGCCGUUGGUCUUGAAUGAAGUCGAUAAAGGCCGCUCGCCAGUCCUUCCCCAGCACCAUAACCUCUCGAUCGGGUUGUUGGGAACCCGAGUCGAUGGUUACCUGCGGAGAAGGCUUGAUGGAUGGCUGAUCGAGCUCCUAGACGAAAACUCCCGGUGGGACUUGAGCGCGCGUUGACCCCAACUUGGACAAGAUAUCCGCACCAACAUUGUGCUCCCGUAGCACAUGGUGAACCUCCAAGCUGGAAAACUUGCUUUCCAGCUUGCGCACUUCCUGUACGUAUGCAUCCAUUGUCUCCUUGUUGCAGUCCCAUUCCUUAUUGACCUGCUGAAUAACAAGAAGAGAAUUGCCAUAUACGAGUUGUCGCUUGAUCCCUAGUGAUAUAGCCAAACGAAGCCCGUGAAGCAAGGCUUCAUACUCGGCUUCAUUAUUGGACACCUUCCAUAGGAUCUGAAGGACGUACUUCAGUUGUUCGCCAUGUGGGGAGAUAAGCAAAACACCAGCGCCCCCGCCGUUGAGCUUGAGGGACCCAUCAAAAUACAUGGUCCAGUGCUCUGGCUUGUCCACUGGGGUUGGGACUUGAUUCUCCCUCCAUUCAGCCAUGAAGUCGACUAGAGCCUGUGACUUGAUUGCAGUGCCUCGCUUGAAGUCGAUUGACAAAGCCCCCAGUUCCACUGCCCACUUAGAUAUGCGUCCCGUGGCAUCUUGAUUAUGGAGAAUAUCCGCCAGCGGAAAAUCCGUAAUCACCGUGAUCUUGUACUCGUCGAAGUAAUGGCACAACUUUCUUGAUGUAAUUAGAAUUGCAUAUAAGAGCUUUUGAACAGCUGGAUACCGUACCUUUGAUUCGGAGAGGACCUCGCUGACGAAGUAGACAGGCCUCUGCACUCCAAACGCAUGGCCUUCUUCGCCUCGCUCGACUACAACAGCACUGCUGACAACGUGGGUUGUCGCCGCGAUGUAGAGUAGUAGAUCCUCUUCCGGUAGCGGAGCUGUAAGGAUCGGAGGCGACUGGAGGUGAAUUUUCAAGUCUUGUAGAGCCCGCUCGGCCUUCUCCAUCCAUUGAAACUUGUCUUGGCAUUUUAGGAGCUUGAAGAAAGGUAGUCCUCUCUCCCCGAGUCGGGAGAUGAACCUGUUCAGGGCCGCAAUACAACCUGUCAGCUUCUGCACAUCCUUGAUUGUGGCCGGAGCCUCCAUAUUAGUAAUGGCAGUGAUCUUUACAGGGUUAGCUUCGAUGCCCCGGUUGCUGACGAUGAACCCGAGCAAUUUCCCUGAAGGUACUCCAAAAACGCACUUGGUGGGAUUGAGUUUCCACCGAUAUCUGCGUAGACUGCUAAAUGUUUCCUCCAAAUCUACGAUCAAGUUAUCGGAAUCCCUGGUCUUGACGACCACGUCAUCCACAUAGGCCUCAACAUUCCGGUGCAGCUGAUCCGCGAAACACAUCUGGAUCGCACGCUGAUAUGGUGCUCCUGCAUUCUUCAACCCGAAGGACAUUGUUUUGUAGGCGUAAGUCCCGUACGGGGUGAUGAAUGCAGUCUUGAUUUGGUCCUCCUCCUUGAGCGCAAUCUGAUGAUACCCUGAGUAACAAUCAAGAAAACAAAGAAGGACACAUCCAGCCGUCGAAUCGACGACUUGGUCAAUGCGCGGCAGCCCAAAAUGAUCUUUUGGGCAAUGCUUGUUGAGAUCGGUGUAGUCGACACACAUUCUCCAUUCAUUGUUCUUUUUCUUUAUAAGGACGGAAUUCGCUACCCACUCUGGAUGGAUUACUUCUUUAAUGAAUCCAGCCGCGAGAAGUUUAGCGAUCUCCUGUUUAAUGGCCUCACGCUUGUCGUGGGCAAACCUCCGCAGGCGUUGCUUCUUAGGCGUAGCCUUCGGGUGUACAUUCAAAGCAUGCUCGAUCAACUCCCUGGGCACCCCUAGCAUAUCCGCUGGUUUCCAUGCGAAUAUGUCUCGGUUAGCCCGAAGAAAGCUGACGAGCGUGAGUUCCUAUUUGUCACCCAAGCCCGCACCGAUGAUGGCGGUCUUGGAUGAAUCUCCCUCCUGGAGCUGGAUCGUCUUGAGGGCCACAUCAUCAGUCGACUGGAUGCUCGACUUGUUGGCCUUCUUGGAAGGAAUCUCCAGCCCGGUCUGGGAGAGCUGCUGCGCGGCCGCGAAUACUUCUCCCGAAGCAUCUGGCACGCGAGUAGUCGAAGCAUUCUGGAUCGCCUCCUGAUUGCAGUCGUACGACUUCUUCAAGUCGCCGCGGAGGGUGAGCACUCCACCGAGUCCUGGCAUCUUAAGAAGCAGAUAGACAUAAUGCGGCACUGCCAUGAACUUGGCAAGUGCCGAUCGACCCAGUAUUGCAUGGUAAGAAGAGUCAAAAGUAGCCACUUCGAACUUGAUGAAUUCAGUACGAUAAUUCUCCCGCGUGCCGAAGGUGACUGGGAGGACCAUCGUACCAAGCGGGUGCGCCGCGUUACCUGGGACGAUGCCGUAGAAGGGGGACUUGCUGGGAACCAGCAUAUCCUUGAAAUCCAGACCCAUCUUCUUCAAAGUGCUGACGAAGAUGAGAUUGAGCCCACUCCCGCCAUCGAUCAGGACCUUGGUAAGCUUGACCUCCGCCACCACAGGAUCCAGGACCAAGGGAAACUUACCGGGCUCGGAAAAGCUCGUCCACUGGUCAUCACGAGAGAACGAGAUGGGGACCUCCGACCAACGGAGUGGUCGUGGUACCGCCAGCUCAAUGGACAAGAUCUCCCGAAGAAGCAGCUUCUGGUCCCGCCUGGAACCGAAAUCCUCAUCUCCUCCGAAGAUAACGUUGACGACCUUCGAGGCAUCCUGGAACUUCGGAUUGCGCCCCUGGUCGUCGUGGUCUUCAUCCUCGGGUUCUUUGUCAGUGGGCUUCUUAUUCUUCUUUCCACCACCGGUGUUACUGAACGUCCUUGGAAGGUGGUAGCAGUCAAUGGCGGCAUGGCUAGCGCCCGGAUGCCAUGGGCACUUCUUCUGCAGGAGUUUCUCGAACUCCUCCUGCGUCGUCGACUUCUUGCCCCGUGAAGGACGAUCGAUAGCCGCGAUGACAUCAUCUGGCUUUUAUUUCCGGGGUGGCCCGGAAAAAUCCCGCUGGUCUUUAUCGCUGCGGUUGUCGUUUGGGCGCCGCAGAUUGUUAUCGUGGCGCCGUGGGAACCGCUCCUGCAUCUUCUCCUCCUGCUCGGACCAAUCGUGCAUCAUAUCACGAAGGCCCGCAACAGUUUUCGGCCUGUUCCGCCUGAAGUCUCUGUAUAUGCUCGAGUCGGUGAUGCCGUUAUAGAAACAGUCGAUGAUGUCCUCCUCCGAGAUGUUCGUGAUGGUGGCGCGGACGUCGAAGAAGCAACGCGUGUAGGACCGCAGGAGCUCGUUGCGUUCUUGCUUGCACUGGGCAAGAUCAUGUCGAGUACCUGCACGAGCAAUCGCUCCCUGGAAAUUGGCGAUGAAGACCUUCUUAAGUCGUUCCCAGGAGUCAAUGGAGUUGCUGCCGAGGCUCUCUAGCCAAGUGAGCGGCGCAGGAUCCAAAGCCAUCGGGAAGUAGACGACUUUGGUAACGUUUGAGCCCCCUGCUACCUCGAUAGCCGUGGAGUAACAACGGAGCCACUGCUGAGGAGCCUGCUUGCCGUCGUACUUGGUGAUGCCAAUGGAUUUGAAACCCUCUGGGUACUUGUAGCUGCUGAAACGUGCAGAGAAAGCAGGAAAUCGAUCGCUACAGUCAGUACCUUCGUUUUCGACUUCUUCGCGGGUCUUGCGCCUGGAAGAAAUCACGGUCCGCGCAUCACGGCCUUCAUUGAUGUGCUGGCGCAGAUCCUCCGGGGGAAGUCGAUGAUUGGCUUGUCGUGGCUGACCCCCUUGCGGUGGCUGGUGCCUCCCGCCAGGGGUCUGGCUCCCGCGAGCGUUGUCGUUGCUGGCUUGGUGUCGAGGACGGCCGCCAGCCGUUCGGCUGUGAGCCUGACUCCGGCUCUCACCCACAUGCAAAUCCCUGAUGGUGGGCGCCGGGUUGUGCUGAUCCAACUGGAUCCAGGCCCUCUGUGCAUAAUGGAGCGCUUGACGCACUUCCGGAUCAUGGCUGCGCUCGAGGAUGGCCGUUACCCUGGCGAUGUUGGCCACCGGAGUCCGGAAACCCCGCUCACUUACGGCGGAAAACUCAGGGUCAAGCUCGCGAUGCAUAGAUCGCCUUCGCUCGUUGGCCUCCUCCGCCGGAUCGCGCGGGCCCUGUUCCUGGCCCUCCGCGCUUCGCGAUCGGCGUCGUUCUCGUCACCGGCAUCGGCUGUGAUCUCAUCCUCAGAGAUUGCUUCAAAGUUGACGAUGAGGAGGUCCCCAUCGCCCUCGCCUUCUUCGGCCAUCAGCACCUGGCGGGAAGAAAGCUCAUGAGAACUUUCGUCGACUAGUUCAGUCGACCCCUCCGCCACGGUGGCCAAAGACCUGCCCUCUUGAAAAGGCAAGGGCUCAAGGUGGGCCACGAGUCGACCCUCUGCCUCGAGUAAAUUGGGGAGCGUCAUGCCCCUCCAGUGCACCACGUGCCCCUCCGACAGAGAGGUGACCACCAGAUCACCGGUACUGGAACAACCCGAAGCCCCCCGACACGCGGUGGCUUCAGGCUUUCCGACCUGGAGUAGCAAGUCCAGGUCCUUCUCUAACAUGGAGAGGGACCCAGAGGCGUUGGCCUCCUGAAGGUCAGUGGCCGAUUCGCACAAGCCGAGUUGAGAUCGGUUAUGCAGAUCCCUAGAUUGGAACAAGUCCAAACCAGGGGGAAUUGCCGCAACACCAGAAGAAGUCGAGGCUGGAGCGGACUCCAUCUCGAUCUGUGCUGUGGAAGUGUGGAGCGGCAAGUUGUCGAGCCCGUCGACAAACUUGUCGAGGUCGCUGCGGAGAUCCGCAAUGGAGGUCUUUGGCUUCAUGUCGACGAGGAAUCGCCGGAAACUGCCCGCACCAUCUGCGACGCAGACCCAUGAACCAAAAACGAAUGUCGUGCCCUGAGAGGGAACUGACCUGAUGAAUUUGAACGAUGCCAUCGAGCUCGCCGAUGGAUCUUCAACGCGCACCCCUACCUGGUGCGCCAGCUGUCGGUGUUUACCCGGCUGCCCACCGAGGGAUAUGCCCAAGGUGGUAAGUUUUUGGUGAGGAGACGCCGAGAUCAGGAGCUCGAAGGUGCAAGGAACACAAGACUUAGACAGGUUCGGGCCGCAUGGAGCGUAACACCCUACGUCCUGUAUGGUUUGUAUUGCCUUUGAUGUAGAAUGACCUAAUGAUCUUCUAUUUUUAGAGGGGUCCCUGACCUCCCUUAUAUAUCCGAGAGGUCAGAGUUACAAAGAUGCCAACCAACUCCCGUCGAGGGAUCACACCAGAGCACAUCUCGAGUAGAUCCUCUCCGUGUUGGUUAGCUCUAUCUCCUAUUUAAACGGGAUAAAUAAGAGAUAAACAAAAUGAAUAAGAGAUAAGACGGGCUUAAUCUCCUAAACUUCGUAACGUGCCCAGCCCGGUGGCCCCGGGUCUGACACGCCCCUCCGUGGCACCGGUCGCCGCUCCUCCAGCUCGCCGGCCGCCAGUAAGGUUUUUUUAGUUAGUUUUUUCAUUCAGUUAGGUAUUGUAGUAGUUGGCAAUUUAGAUAAUUUUAAAUAAUUCAUUUAAUUAGUUUUAGUAGUUAGUUAGGUAAUGUAGUUAGUAAUUUUUUUAGAUAGUUAGAAACUAUAUUUAUAAAAUGUAGUUAGACAGUAGAUGUAGGUAUUUAGUUAGGUAACUUACUUAGAUAAAUUUAGAUAUUUAGUUUGGUAAUUUGGUUAGGUACUUAAGUAUUUUUAAGUAAUUCUAGGUAUUUAGUUAGGUAAUUUAGAUAGUUAGAAAAUAUUAUUAGUUAAUUUUGUAUAUUAUACCCGUCAUAACCUUCAUGUUGUGCAUGUGAACUAGAUGGACAAUUUAGUGAUCUUGUAUCAUGGAGGCAAUGUCGAGAAAGAUGUACUUGGGAAUGUCACUUUUGAUGAAAUGCACGGGGUCUCCCUGAUAUUCAAUGAUCGGCCGUUGUUUAGUGAGGUGUUUGGUAGAGCUCGUGAUGAGAUUCAAUGCAUUUCAAGUGAGGAUGCCAUCUCAGUUCAAGGGGUCGUCCACUUUGGUAAAUCGGGCCAGAUUUUCAGACGGCUGGUCGCUAUUGCAUGUGAGGUUGAAUGGAAGAACUAUGUGAAUACUGUCAUGAAGAAUGAGUAUCAAUGUUUGGAUUUGGUUGUGCGGAAGUUCUCAAAUGCUCCCAGCCCUCAUGUGCAUUCAGCCCCUAAUGUGUCACCUGCUAACCCUCCGUUACCCAACCUUGAGAUGGAUCAGGAAGAUACGAUUGCGGUCCCUGAUGCUUAAUCCAUUCCGAAUAAGUUUGGUAUUUGUCACGAUGAUCAUGUACAUUGUCGGAUUGAUGAUGUCGGUGCGCCCCCAGAAGAUUCCUUUGACCCAGAACCAUCCAAGUAAGUAUCAUAGUAACACCACCUUUUCUUUUAUUAUUCGUCCUUGAUUCCAUUCAUUUAUCCUAAUGCCAUCUUUAAUUGUUGUUUAAAUGCAGGAAGAUAUUCCAGAUAAUAUUGGUGUUCCCUCUGUGCCUCCAUCUUCCAAUACAGGAUGGGAUUCUAAUAGUUUGGAUGUUCAUAUAGAUGAUGAUGAUGAGGAGCCUUAUGGGAAUGCAAGAGCCGUUGAUUCAGAUGAUGCCCGCCUAGUCGCAGCAUUGAGCGAAGAAGAUAUGGAGCGCAUUAGAUUUUUUUGUCCUGAUCAUGAUCCACUAGUUCAUGAUCAGUGAUCUCGGUCGUUCUCGUAGUGAUUAUGCAGAAGGAAGAGAUGGCGAGCUGCUAGAGGCUCCUGAGGCUGGGGAUAGCAUGGAAAUUAAGAAGGGCCUUACAUUCAAGGACUUGCCUACAUUGAGAAGGUGGUUACAGGAGGAGUAUUCUGUGUAACGUAAAAGACCAUUCAAGGUUAGGCACUCGUAUGUGGAGCGGCGCUACACAGUGGUGUGCGAGAAGGCUGAUUGCAAUUGGAGGGUCUGUGCUCGGAACCAGAAGGCCACGGGAAAGUUCAAAAUCAUCAAAAUUGUAGGUCCACACACUUGUGCGAACAUAGAUCUACAGCUCAGGCAUCGACAUUUGACCUCUACCCUCAUUGCUAGAAGUUGUACUCAACAUUGAAGUGUCAGCCCAAUUUGAAGGUGAAGACAAUUAUAGAUAUGACUGAGAAAAUAUUUGGUUACAAGAUCAAGUAUGGGAAAGCAUGGCGGGCAAGGCAACGGGUCUGGGAGAUGAUAUAUGGGGACUGGGAGGAGGGGUAUGAAAAGCUACCUGCACUGUUCAAUGCAAUGAAAGCAGCUAAUCCAGGCAUGCACUAUGAGUACAUUCCAAAACCGAAUGAAUGGAAGGAUGGGAGGCAUAUUUUCUUCCGUGCUUUCUGGUGCUUUCCACAGUGUGUGGAGGCCUUCAGGCAUUAUCGUCCCAUGUUAUCCAUUGAUGGUACUUUUCUGAUUGGCAAGUACGAGGGCACGCUAUUGAUAGCCAUUGCAGUUGAUGCUGACAACUCAUUGGUUACUUUAGCCUUUGGUUUGGCGGAGAGGGAGAACAAAGCCAGCUGGGGAUGGUUCUUGCAGCUAGUUCGGAUACAUGUUGUAGGCCCUGACAGGGAGGUUGGUAUCAUAUCUGAUAGAUACCAGUGUAUACUCAGUGCGGUACAGGAGCAGAUUCCAGGAUAUGCACCAUUGCACCACCGUUGGUGCACUCAGCAUAUGGCCCAGAAUUUACUAGAUACAGAUGGGAACAAGGAUAACUUUGCUCUAUUCAAGGAUGUUGCUCGCCAGCUUGAGGAGCAGUUCUUUCAAGAGAAGUUGGAGGAGCUAAAAAUGGCAAUAAACGAUGCAGGAAGGCGUUGGCUAAGAGGAGUUCUGAGGGAGCCUAGAAAAUGGUCAAGGGCGUACAAUGAUGAUGGCCAUAGGUACGAGUUUCAGACUAGCAACAUGGUCGAGUCAUUCAACAGUGUGCUUAAGGGGAUACGGGUGAUGCUCGUCGAUGCUACGUAUCAUUCACCUUCUACAGGCUUGUUGCAUGGUUCAAUAACAGAUACUUAGAAGCAAUAGCACUACAGAGCAAGAACCAGCUAUGGGCCCCCUAAACCUAUGCGUCAUCUUGGUAAGGCAGAGGAUAGGGCUCGCACACAUAAUAUUAAAUGUUUUGACCACACGACGGAAAGUAUGAGGUCACGAAAAGGGGUGGUACAACUUCCGAUGGUGACUUGCGGCCUUCGAGGAGUUAUAUUGUUAUUAUGAUUGAUUUCUCAUGCACAUGUGGGAGAACAAGGCAGUACCACUUUGUAUGUUCCCAUUAUAUUGCAGCAGCUCGGCACCGCAACUUUGCCUACAAGAGCAUGAUACCACAGGAGUUCACCGUUGACAGCCUUGUACGUACAUGGUCUCCCCGGUUUGAGUCUUACCUAGACGAGGGACAGUGGCCAAUGUAUACGGGUCCGAAAUACAUUGCGGAUCCAGGGGCCCGUUGGAAAAAGCCUGAAACUAGGAAGAGAACGAGAUAUAAGAUGGUCAUGGAUCAGGUUUCAGGAAGAACUAGAUGGAGGAGAGGAACCCCCUUUCUUUCCGACCCCGACGAAAACAAAUGUGUUAGAUGCGGCAGACUUGGUCACAACACGCGUACAUGCAGUUGGCCGCUUAGUCGCGUGCAAAUAGCUGUUGUAUACUACCGUUUUGUUUUAAUAUUUACUUUAUUUUAUGUAUAUGCAUGUCUUACUUAAUUAAAGUUUCUUAAUUUGUUCAUUUUCAUAAUUUGUUAAUUAAAUUACUAUCUUAUUUUUGUAGGAUGGAGGCACCGUACCUACUCGAUCCGUACUACAAGCAGAACCACCGAGGACGACGCACCGUGGAAGGGGAGGUAAUGAACAAAAUUUAUGUUCCACAUCAUCUGUUUGUGCCACUCUUUAAAAUUGACGUUGAGGUACUAACAAAAUAAUUCAAUGUCUCCAGGAAUUGCCUCUUCUUUGUCCUCGAACCCAUGGCAGGUUCCACGAGAUGCGGUACGACGACAGGUACACUCCUCUUCUGGAGAGGGCUGGCCUCGACAUUGUAUCGUACCAGGUUCACCCUGGUUGCCGGUUAUCAACCCCGCAGCGAUCAUAGCUUUGGUUGAUAGGUACAAUCAUUAACGACUAAUCCACUUCAUCUUCGUUUUCCAAGGUCAACGGGGUAAUUCACCAUAAGUUCUGUGCAUUUUUCUAUAGGUGGGGGCCGGAAACUCAUAGUUUCCACCUUCCUUGUGAUGAGAUGACAGUGACACUGGAGGAUGCUCAGAAGUUUCUUGGUCUCGUGUCAGAGGUCGUCCAGUCACCGGCUAGUGCAGGCCUGACGAUUGGAGGGGUCAUGAGGAGGCCUUCCUCGGCAGAGGGCUUCCUAAGGCAGUGCUAGCUACCCGAACCUCUAGAGUACCUAUCACCUGGCUUUGGCAGCACCUUUCUCACUGUCCGGAGGAUGCGAACGAGCAGAUAGUCGCCUACUAUUGCCGGGCUUGGAUACUUCACUUGUUUGGGUGUGUGCUCUUCCCCAACAGCAUAGGUGACAACGCGUCUUGGAUGUACAUACCUUGCCUGACAGACUAGGAUGCGGCAGGGAUGUAUAGAUGGGGGUUCGGAGUGUUGAGUUUCUUGUACCGCCACCUAUGCGAGGCGUGUCGCCGGGCUUCACAGCACGCGUCCAUCGGCGGCUGUGUGUAUUUGUUCCAGCUGUGGAUGUGGUCUCAUCUACCCGUUGGCCAGCCCACAGUUCUUGCUCCACGUCCGUGGUUCGACGUGGCCACCCCUCGACCCCGACCGAUGGUUGCUUACUUAUUGGACCAGGUCAAAGCUCCCUUCUCCAGGAGUAUGCAAGCAUACGUCGAGUACACUAAUGAGCUGGACACGCUCACACCCUUGAUGGUACGUCCAUUGCAUUCCAUUUUAUCUUUUCAUUUUGAUUUACCUAUAGUUGACUACAUGGUAUCCAUGCUACAUUUUGAUGUUUAGAUGCAGUUUUAGUGACUAUAUGUAGUUCAAUAUUUCGCAGGUAACUUGGCAACCGUACAAUGACAUAAGGGUGGCGCAGCUUGAGUUGAGCACUGCGUGUUAUGCAGAUGAAAAUCUGUACAGGAUGACGUGCCCGCUGAUCUGUUUCUACGCUAUGGAGUAUCACCUGCCUCACAGAGUUGCACGCCAGUUUGGCUUGAGACAGGAGUGGCCAGUAAGGCCAUUCUCGACGUCCGUGGAGUUGCACAAGUAAGUGUGAAGUACUUAAUUUAUCUAUUGUUGCCAAUAAUGCUGCCUAGUUGACUAUAUGAUUUAUCUAUUGCUGUCACUAUUGCUGUUACAGGAUAGAUCGUCAGAAGCAGAAGACGACAACCGAUUUCGAGACGCUGCACCACAAGCACAACGACAUGUGGGACCUUUUCCAUGAGAACGUGAUUGAGAACGACCAGCCGCAUACGGACUACAACUUCCGCAUGUACCUAUCAUGGUACCUAGCUGUGAUACGGACCAAAUUGAAGGGCCAAUGGACAGGAGCCGACUACGCCGACAUUCAAUCUUCGGAUGAUGAAGAUACAUCUUAUGACCUUGCAACACGGGAAGGGACGGUGGUCGAGGCCACACCCAUCCUAGAUCGAAUGGUAUGGUCACCUAACACUACUAUUCUGUAACAAUUCAGAUUUAUUGCAAUAAUAUGAUCAUGUACAACGACUAACCAUUUGUUUCAUUUGAGUGCAGGGAAACACGUUGAAGCAAUCCUUACUUGACAUCGAAUGUUUUCCAAGGCGAGGAGUGGACGAGACGACACUGAACAACUUCCUUGGAGUAAGUUUUUAAAAUUACUACAGAUAUGAACAUGUACCUCUCGUUUAAUCUUAUGCACUAACUUCAUGUUCAAAUGCAGAGACUUGCAGGUUGCCUACACUGUGCUGCUGCUUGUUGUGGUUGCAGGACUAGCACGGCGAUGGACGUGCACGGUCCUCCGAUAAGACUAUCCGACACCAGCGCAGGCCUCAGUACAUCAAUGCAGCAAGGCUCAGGCUCCAGACAACAGAGCUCAUCCAAGUCAACAAGGGCUACUUUUGAGGAUAGUGGUGGCGAGGAUGAGGAGGACGGAGCCGAGGAGAUUGAAGUGUCUUAGCUGGAAGACGCUCCUUUCACAUAGCCUUCACAGCAGGCAGCACGUAGGCAACGCUGUCCACAUGACCCUUACACUCCAGGUACCGACGCUCUUGGUAAGGGCAAGGGUAAGACUAGGAGGCAGUGAGGGUCAGUUUGUGGAUACUAUGGACUGUUCAGCUUGUAUGGACUAUUCCGCGCGUAUGGACUGUUAUGGACUAUGGACUAUGAUUCUGAUAUGUGUGGAUAUUCUGGUUCUUGGUGGAUAUGUUGGUGGUAUUUUAUUGAAUACAUGUUUAUAUCAUAUUAUGAUGUAUUAUUUUUAUUGUGAAUGCUCGUGAAACAAGUGAAGCUCUAGCAAAAUUUUCCCGUGAUUCGUUCAUCGUAGUACAGAGGCGCAUAUCAUGACUUUAUGAUAAUUAUGAACAUACCAGUAUAUUUAUUGCAACAUGUGUUGUCCAAUCGGAAAAAAGAUGUAUGAAUUGGAAUAGGCUUUUCAGUGUGUUUUUAUGUAGAUUUUUCAGUGUAUUUCCGUAUAGGCUUUUCAGUAUACUUUGAUAUAGGCUUUUCAUGUUAUAAACCUGCAUCGGUCUAUAUGUACAUAUUGCUGGAUGUAUUAUUCUAACAUCGAAAACAAGAGACACUGGAGUAAGAAUAUCUGGAGGGUCAUCCAGUGGAAAGGAUUUCGGCACUGGGAGAUGGAAGGGAGGAAGGAAGGGACCUCCCAUUAUGUGGGAGGGGUCUGUUGGUACUAAAUCCUAUUCGGAAGCAGUGUAUGAGUUUCCAGUUAAGAGCAAAGGUGAAUUCACCAAGGAGAAACCUCUUAGAGGAUACGAUGACCGCAAAGAAGAUUUGCCAAAAUGUAUGCAUGGUGAGAACUGCUCAGUGCAGAUGUGCGCCAAGGGGACCGAUGGAGGUCGUUGUUUCUUCAAAUACCCGCGAGCUUGGGUAAUUGUUACUGCAUUUCCUUUGUUACAUAUGUUUCUCUUCUUUUGUACAACUUACCUGAGAUAUUUGUUACAGUCUUCAGAUGCUUCAGAAAACUGCGGGUUCGUUAGGUGGGUCGAUCCUCCUCCACUUCAUCCGUAUCAGGAGUAUAUCUACUACCUGCAUAAUCGUAUCUUCAAUCUAGAAAGAGAAGUGAGCAGUGGUAACAAGGACGAUGAAGAGGAUGACAAUAGCAAUGGUGCCAGUUCACAGAAGGUAUCGUGCAUUGAUCCAUAUUGCAACUGCUCUUGUCACGGGAACAAGGGGCCUCAGUCACCACCGCCUGCAAUGGGAGGAUAUUAUGGAGAAGGGGCAACACGAUUUGCUAUAUAGGGAGAGUACUGGGAGUAACCUAUCUUAUUCACAUACUACAUCCAUGUGUUUAUUGUUUUAUUUAAUUACCUAAGCCAUGUUAGGUUUAGUUCAGGAUCUCUUUGCUGUUGUUUCGUACCAGUCCUCACAUGCCACUACAUAUGUUGUGCGUGUUCAAUUAUGUAAUGCACUAAUUUGUUAGUCUUAAUUCCAUUACAUUACCAAUUGAGGUCAUGGAAGAUGCAAUAAAUGACAACAAAAAAAGUCAAGUACAUGAGAAUACAAGGACAAAGUUAUUACUUGAAUAAACUAUACAACUAGCAAAUCUUGCAUACUACUGAGUCCAACAAGGCCACUUUAGCUUCCUCAAUGUAUCUGGAUUCUCCUCCAUUGCUGUCUUCGCUCCUCCAUUGCUGUCUUCGCACGGCGAAGACGCUUCAGCUUGUGUUCCCUCUCCUCCUUGUGCUGAGCAGCAUGCCUCCUUUCCAGCUCUUCUUACCGCUCUUUUUCUGCUACCUCCUCUUGCCGUCUCUGCUCCAACAAUUCCUUCCGCUCUGUAUCCCACUCCUUUAUUCUACGCAGAUACUCCUUAUUCUCCUCUUUGAUCUUAGUGUCGAUCCACUGCUCAAAGUCAUAAAGCGGGGUAGGGGUCUGCAAAACAUUCAAUUGAUACACACCUGUUACUACUCAUGAGGCAUACAUGAUUCUAUAUGACAGUGAAAUAUUAUAAAAAUAAAUAAAUAUUCUUACCAGCAACCCAAUGUGAAUCUGACGAGGAGUAGGGUCGAAUGCAUAAUUUUCACACAAUCCAAUACAUCUGGUUAUAUGAUUCCGCUUCGUCUAACUGGGCUACCUUGCAAGGAUCACCGCAGAAGCACAUCGGCACAGGAACACCACUAGGCAGCAGCAAACGGAUGAAGGCUGUUCCAGUCAUCACCUUUGGUUUACUAGAUUUAACCGCGCCUACGCAUCUAAGGUUGCAUAUUACAUAUAUUAAUAAUUAAACUCUAAACCUUAAGCAAUUACACUGAAUAAUAGAUAUAAUAUAGAUCAAAUCAAUACGUAAAAAUUGAGGAGGGGAGAAAGAGUACCUUGCUCUUAAAGAUCUAUGGAUCGAAUCAAAGUUUUCAAGAUCAAAUAUGUCGAUUGAUGAGGUUGGACGGGUGGGGGAAGAGACAGAAAAACCGAGACGGGGUAAGAAAUAUGGGAUGAAGGCUCGGACAGGGAAAGGGGCGGCGUUAUGGUAGCCAGCUCGGCGCCAUGAUCUGCGGCGCCGAGCUCGGCACCACGACCCAUGGCGCCAAGCUUGGGGCCAUGUCGGCGCCAGGUGGGUGGGCAUGUGGCAGCUGAGCUAGAUACCUCGUCGCCGUGACUCUUGCUAGUCACGGCGCCGGGACCCUGCGUUCAAAUUCGAAAAAUACGUUUUCCAGGAGUUCAAAUAUAGGUUUUUUUUUCAAAAAAAAGGCUAAAAUGCAAAAAGUCCGGUCGGAUCGACCAUGUUUGGGGUAAAAUGGUCCGUUCAUUUGAUCUAUAAACUGAAAAGAAAUGACAGAAAUUGAGAAAGGAGAAGAAAUCAACCAAAUCAAAAGAAUUCGCAAUAUUUUUUAUGAAAGACUUGCGAAUUGAGGGUCAAAAGACGAGAGUGAUGUGAAUUGGAUCGAAAUUUCUGUGCACAUAUGGCCCGUUGGUGGUGGGCGGCAUGAGGAUUGGUUCACCGUAGCUAAUUUUUUUGUUUUGUUUUUGGCCGACACUGCCUGCGGGGUUGUUCGUGUUCCUUGCUACUACUGCAGUGCAGGCAGGGGUAGGACGGCACGUCCGCACGCGGAGCCGGAGCACAAGCAGACCACGACACAGGUCGAUCGAUCGAUCGUUCCAAUGGCCCUCCGCGACGGCACCACCAACCUCUCCAUCUCCGGCGCCGCCCUCGCCGCUCUCCUCCACCGCUGCGCCGCCGCCACCGGCGACUGCGACGGCCUCCUCUUCGGCCGCGCCUCCCACCUCCCCGCGCCGCCCGCCGCCCUCUCCGACUACGACGACCUCGCCACCGCCCCGCCCACCCCCGAGCUCACCAUCUCCGUCUCGGGCCACUGCUCCCUCUCCCACCCAUCUUCCCUCUCAGAUCCCCUCGGCCGAUUCCACCCCCCCUCCUCGGACCCCUCCUCCGCGCCAGCGCCCGCCGCCGUCGGCUUCUUCUCCUCCCGCCGCCGCACCGCGCUCCGCCCCUCCAUGCGCGAGCUCGCUCUCGCCCACUCCCUCUCCAAGACCCUACAAGGACGCACCACCGCCCACCCCCUCCUCUUCAUCCUCGUCUCCCCCUCCGCCUCCCCCAACUUCUCCACCCACUCCUACGACUACCGCGCCUUCCUCCUCCUCGCCUCCCGCCUCGUCCCGGCCUCGCUCACCGUCGUCAACGUCGGCCCCGGAUUCAGGGACCAAUACCACGCCUUCUCCCCAGAGUCUCCCAUGCCCUGCCUGCCAUCCUCGCCUGCGGCCGCAGGUCACGCUCACACCAUUGGAGAGCAGAAGGCGGUCGAUGAAAUGGUCGACGGGUUUGGGAUCGGGAGGCUGCAAGGGCUCCUGGGCUCUGCGGCAGGGCAGGCGGCGGAGAUGGAUGACAUGUAUGCGGGGAUGCUCAGGAACCUGGAGAAGCUCGCCAGGGAGGUGGAGAACAGCAAUAUCCGUGUUCUCGAGCAGGUCUGUUUCACAAAUCAGUGCAAUCCUUGCUUCUAUGCUAUUACUGUUCAUCAAUUGAUUCUUUUGCAGAACUGCGUUUGUGUGUAAUUGGCUUAUUGGUUAAAACUGCCUAGUAGUAGAUGAGGGAUAUAUAUGUUCAUCAGUUAUUCAUAAUAUGUUCUUUCACCCUAUCCUUGAAUUGCUUUCUGAAGUUGAUUUUGUUACCUUUUGUUCAUAUUAUGUUUGUAGGAAAAUCGGAACCUGCUGCUGAGGUUCAGAUGUGCAGGAAUGGAAUAGGACCAAAGUGUUUCUUGGUCCUAUUAAGGUAUGUGUCGCAAGUUGAGGGGUUCUUCUUGUAUGUCAUGCAGGUUUGAAAUGGCUUGAAUUGUUCAUUAUUAGUUCCAAGUUUCACUCAUAUAUUGUUUUUUUAUGUGACCGUACUGUCUUGUGACUGACUGCUUUUGGUAUAGUAAUCAAAUGAUUCUGAAAAUAACAAUAACAUACUUUUUUAUGGGAAAUGGGAGGGGCACUGCCCUUCAUAUUACUACUGUAGAUAGGAAUUACAUAGAAACAUAGGCUACUAAAGUAGCCCGUUGCAAAGCUACAUUAUUCUAAAGCUAAGAACAUGAAGCAUCAGCUAUGCUGUCUGAAAAAGCUUUAGUUCACCACUCUCUUCACUCUCUUGGUGCGCUAGCCGGUGCAUGUUGAUCUGUUUCAACUGCUAUAUGUGUUAAGAUUUUGUCGCUGCUAUAUGUGCUGUGUUACAAGUUGGAAACCGUGCAUUGCGUGUUAAGAUUUCAACUCGUUUUAUUAUGUGGUAGCUGGACAUGGUAGUUAGAUUUUUGAUCUUUGUUAGAUACCGUCACUUUUUUUUUUUGAAAAGAGCAAAGCUCGGCUUUUCUUGAAAGCAAAAGGUUUAGGUACAACGCUGGGGGAAACCCAGUUUACAAGAGAAGAACAGGAACACACAUAAGGAAAGCUACAACUCCACUAUAUCAGAAACUGGAGCCUCACUCGGCAAGAAGUUGUCUAGCCAUGUCUUCAUCUUCAUUCCCAGCCCAUCGAUCUCCGUCUGUUCCGCCUCAUUCAGCAGCAAGCGCCAUUUCUGCACAAAGGAAAUACCAGACCAGAUCACGUCCAAAGGAGUUUUAGGGAAAGAUUUCUCAAUAGCCAUCUUAUUGCGAGCCCUCCAAAUAGCCCAGGACAUCCCCUCAAAAAUGAACAAAUUUACAUGUUUCGGAACCUUGGACUCAGCAGCAAACCCGUCCCCCAGCAGGUCGCUAGCUGACAUGGGACAGCGGUCCCAACCGAGCGCAUCCCGGAGACAGCCCCAGGCAAAUCUCGCAAGGGAGCACUCAAAGAACACAUGUCGGGCCAACUCAGGUUUGCCACAUAAGCAGCAGGAGAUGGCACCCUUCCACCCUCUGUUUUUCAGCGAGGUGGCUACCUGCAGCUUGUCAUGAUGUAACUGCCACAAGAAGAUUUUGAUUUUGAGGGGAAGUUUUGUUUUCCAAAUAUUCUCCGCCUCAGCCACACACACACCCCUGUGCGUGAUAAAUCUGUACAAAGAUUUGGUAGAGAAAGAUUUAGUACUAUCUAGGGCCGAAGGGAUCUCAUCUCUGCCUUCAGAGAGGACAACCUCUUGUAGUAAUUGCAGUAGGCUCUCCCAGCUCACUGCUUCCCUAGCAGACAAGCUUCUCCUAAAGCAGACGACCCAGGCCACCCCCGUCCCAGCAGUCUUCUACUGUCACUGAGGGAUCCUCACAAAGACAGAACAGUUCUGGGAAUUGAGUCUUAAUCGGAGCAUGGCCUAACCAAACAUCCCCCCAGAAGCUGGUUAGCCCUCCAUCUUUCACUUUGUGCACGGCACCCCAUUUAAAUAGGUGUUUAACCUUAUGCAACCCUUGCCAAAAUUGAGAAGUACCCUUUUGCUCCUUGACUUGAAAAAGUCCCCAUCCGGCAUGUAUUUUGCUUCAAGUACUUGUACCAAGUAUCAUCAGAGCCCCGAGAGAUCUUCCAGAUCCAUUUGGUCAGGAGGCAUUCAUUCAUGAUCUGUGUGUUGAUGAUGCCCAGGCCACCUUGGUCUUUUGGCCUACAAAGCGACUCCCAACUGGCCAUAUGAUACUUGAAAUCCUCCCCGGCACCCUGCCAGAAGAAUUUGCUUCUCACCGAGUUCAUCCCCCCAUGGGAACUUUUCAGUAGAAGGUAAGUUGGAUACCGUCACUUGUGUCACGUGUGGUCGGCAGCCCGGGUGGUCAUUGGCAGUAGCAGUAUUGAUAGUUUCUGGAUCCUGUUGUCAUUAUGAAUCAUCAUGUGCCGAAUUGCUGGUGACUUUUUCAUCUCGUUUUGCAGGGUUACUGAUGCUAUGCGCCUCUAAGGCAUAUAUGAUGCCAGAGGUUUGUCCUCCAAGUUGGGAGCUGAAUGUGUGCAUUGGACUUGGCAUGCAUCGACUAGGGACUAGGGAUGGUGGAGUGUGUGUGGAGAGCAUGUGUUUGUGUGGAAGAAGGUGCAUGGCGUCUGAGGAUGGAUGAUAGAGCAAGAUGUGUUGGGCAGAAACGGUUUUGUGUAUGGUGGUGGUGGCGUCAUUGAUGGGAGCAGAUUGGUGUAAGUAAGUUUGAUGCAUGAAGCAUCAGCGUUAUAUGGAGUUGAGUAAUGUAAUGCAAUGCAAUCCUUGUUGGAGCUUUCCUAUCGGUCGUUGCUGAAGAAUUGGAAAGGAAAAGAGCUUUAGUUUGCUCACUCCAUGCUAUGCUUUCACGUACAGUACAGUACAGUAGAGUGUAUAUAUAUAUAUAUAUAUAUAUAUUUCAUUUGAUUUCAUGUCAUAGAGAUGCUUAUUACGGUACUACAGUAGAGAGUUGAACUACCCAGAAUAAGACACUGAUGGGUCGGUGACUUUCUGUGAAGAAUGAACUUAUAAAGAGAAGGGAAGAUGCCCAGGACUUGUGAUGAUAAUUCAGGGAUGGAGGACGAUGCCUAGGGUGCUGCUGCGGUGGAGGUUGCGAUGCCUGCUGGAGUGCUGGUAGGCGCAGGGAGGGAGGACGGGCAUCAUGUGCUGGAUGGAUCAUCAUGCCUUGCCUUGGCAUUGGCACUUUGGCAGUUGGCACCACCAAGCAAAGCAAACCAGAAUAGAUAGAGCCUUCCCAGGAAGAGCAAGGUGAGUUCUUUGCUUAUCAGGGUGAGGUCACGACUGGGCUGCUGCUGCUGAUCAUCACAUCAUAUUCAUCGGAUCAUAGUGGGUCGUCCUUUUUAGGUACGGCUCCGCACACCACCAACGUCAACCAAUGUUUCAAACUCAAACUGAAGAAAGAAACACAAAACAAGGCCGCCCGAAUGGACAGAGUUUAGGUAUGUGCAACAAAAAAACUGCCUUUGCUAGAUGCCCAACAGUCACUGUGAACGGUCCAGAGCUUAUUAUUCGAGUACCAAUCUUUUUGGAAGCAAGUGGAACCAUCUCAUCUCCAGUUAGGUCUGUAAUUGACAAAUACCUAACAUUCUUUUAAUUCCUCUGUCCACAUCUAUCGUCAGCUACUGUCCUUCCUAGUUAUGCUGCUACCUAGCUAAAAAAAGAAGCAUAUAUAUGAUACGUUUCAUAUAUACUGUACUUUUCUCUACGACGGCAGCAUAUAAGCACUACUGAAAUCCAAGCAUGCCAGCACAUCAAAAUUAUUACUAAGGUCUCGAAUAAAACAUAUUAAGGUUUUUAAAAUAAAAACGAAGAAGAGGAAAAUACAACUGGAUUGAGACCGUGGAACGUGGCAGGGUCGGGUUGGCUUAUUUUCAUUUUGUGUGAAUUUUUAGCCCUCUGACAGUGUCGGGGCAAAUAUCAAGGAUCCCCAAAAUAUAUUUUCUAGAAAGCUAACUACGUAUUAGCUCUCUCAAAAUAUGCAGCUCAGCAGUUAUGAUGUGGCCACGGACGGCCCACUAAAAGAAGGGGCGCAAUACCAAGCUUAGACGAAGGGCACCAGCCGCCUCCCUUGACCACCAGAGGUCUGGCUUCGCCUCGCCUGAACCCUAAGAUGCGAGCAUGGUCUAGCACGACCCCUAUAUGAGAAGCUCCACCUCGCCCGAUCCUGUAGGGAAGCUCCGCUUCGCCUGACCCUGAGGGUACGGAUUCGGCUGUACCCGCCCAGAGACGUGGGGCCCUAAGGGUCUCACGAAAUGACAGGUCGCACCGGGGUCAGACCUCUGGCGCGAGGGUAGGUAAGGGCGUGCCUCGACAUGACCUCCGGAGAGGACAGUCCAUUACGACAAGCCAUAGUCAUCCGUGGCGUCGGGGUCAAACCAUAGAACGCGCCGGCGGCUCAUGCUGCCCGUCUCGUCAGGGCACACAUCGCCCACCAAACACGUCGGAUCCCGCGCCACCCGUCCUGUUGAGACGCACGUCGCGCAUCGCGCCAUGGAGCAGCGCAGGGACACCCCAUCAUCAUCUACAGGGCCAACGGGGUCCACACGCAGGGAGGGAGGAGGAGUAGCGGGAUCCCGGCGACCUACUCCCUCUCUGCCUUUCUCUCUCAUGUAUCCGACCCUACCUCUUGGCAUAUGAAAAGGAAGAGGUGGACCCCGUAAAGGGGGAGACCGAACUCAAACACUCAUACGCUCACGCGACACUUGGCCACCAGAGACUUAGGAGUCCGCUCCCUCUCUCGUCCGUUUGUAACCGCUACUGCAAACCAGUGUAAGAACACGAGCAGCUCGGAUUGGACGUAGGGAUAUUUCGCUUACACGAGCAGCUCGGACUGGACGCAAGGAUAUUCCGCUUGAACCGGUAUAACCUUCUGUGUAUUCCUUACAUACCAUUUGAAUCGGACGUGCGGAUACAAAUUCACUGGUCGGCGGUCCAAACCCGAUAGAAUUAAUUAAUUAAUUAUUGUGGCUAGCUAGUGUCCGUACCGGUAGAACCUGGUAAAUUACUACGGUGGGCACGACGGUACGGGAUUGCGUGUCGCUGACAAAGACACCACGAACGGAACGGAACGGGGAACGCCGAGCCGCCCCCGCCCCCGCCCCCGCCCCCGGGGAGGCCGGGACCAGUCAGCAACUCUCUAGAGUAAGUGCACGCGUCGCCGGCUCUACUCACGCUCUGAUUCCAAUGAGUCCCAGGCGCGGGGCCCACGUGUCGGUGGCACGGGUACACCAAGCACCCGGUAUGUUUAGGCUUGGCGUUUCGUACCCGUCCGCACUCGCAGGCUGUACGAUGCAGUCCUCGUUCGUCCUCCCCCGCAUCGUCCUUCCCCACUCCACUCCUCCCUCACUCUUUUCCCCUUUUCCACUUCUACCCCCGCAGGUACGCCCUCCGUACCGUACCUUCUCUCCAAUCAGAUUCCCAUGCCACUUGUCGAUUUCCCAUAAUACCCCCACUGACUGCAGACCAACCUGCAGGAGCCUAGGGGCAAACAUGGGAAAACACACGCGCAACUCGCCGCGCCCAGGACAACACGUUCCAGGGGCACUCUCGGCAUCACAUCUUCUCUCCUUGGUUAGUUAUUCUUGUUGCGUCAUCGCCUGGCCAUCAUUCUCCGCCUCCCUCCCUCCAUUCCGAUUCAGACCAAGAAUCCACCAACAUCAAUCGCCCAUGGCCGCAGCGGCAGCCCACCGGAACAACAAGCGCCGCCGCUUCUCCCCGGCUCCCGGCCCCACCUCCGCCACCGCGCCCCCUCUGGACUCGCUCGCCGACGAGCUCCUCUUCCUCGUCCUCGACCGCGUCGCCGCCGCCGACCCGCGCGCGCUAAAGUCCUUCGCCCUCGCCUCCCGCGCAUGCCACGCCGCCGAGUCCCGCCACCGCCGCCUCCUCCGCCCGCUCCGCGCCGACCUCAUCCCGGCCGCGCUUGCCCGCUACCCGUCCGCCUCCCGCCUCGACCUCUCCCUCUGCGCGCGCGUGCCCGACGCCGCCCUCGCCGCCGCCCCAUCCGGAUCAUCCCUCCGCGCCGUCGACCUCUCCCGCUCAUGGGGGUUCGGCGCCGCGGGCCUCGCCGCGCUCGCCGGGGCCUGCCCGGACCUCGCCGACCUCGACCUCUCGAAUGGGGUCCAUCUUGGGGACGCCGCGGCGGCCGAGGUGGCGCGGAUGCGGACUCUCCAGAGGCUGUCUCUCUCGCGCUGCAAGCCGCUCACGGACAUGGGGCUCGGCUGCGUCGCCGUCGGCUGCCCCGACCUCAGGGAACUCUCGCUCAAGUGGUGCCUUGGGCUCACCGAUUUGGGGCUCCACCUCCUCGCCCUCAAGUGCAAGAAACUCACCAGCCUGGAUCUCUCCUACACCAUGGUGAGCGCCGCAGCUUUCUUGAUUUCUUCACCCUUUCUGCUUGGAUCAAGGCGGCGGAAAAUUCUGUCUUUGAUUCCUUCCUCCUACAGUAAUUUUCUUGAUAUCAAGGCAUGGGAUCUCCCCUCUUAAUCCAUCAGACUACAAGUACUUUGUUUUCUUUUUCCCCUUGCUAAAUCUACUGGCUUCAAUUAGUGUGCUUAGGGUAUUGGACCACAGCAAUGUAUGUAUCGUACUAUUGAUCUGCAAGUGCUCUUAUCUAUACAUAGCAAUUGAUCUAUGCAACAAAGGAUCAUAAUUUUGGGUACCCAAUUUAUUUUGUCUUCUCGUCUCUACAUUUUGUGUGGCUACAGAUUCAGUUUCUCUUGCACUCCCGUGAGUACCAACCAGACGCACCUAUCAUACCGUGCUCAACUAAUGGAAACAUAUCUUGCAUUCUUGCAGAUCACAAAAGAGAGCUUUCUUGCCAUUAUGAAGCUACCCAAUCUCCAGGUGUUGCCACUGGUGGGGUGUAUUGGAAUUGAUGAUGAUGCUCUUGGUAGUCUUGACAAAGAAUGCAGUAAAUCACUACAGGUGUCUUAGUAGUCAUGUUGACACUAUUAGGUUCUGAACUUUGUAGAUGCCUGAUCUGAACCAGUCAUGCUGUACUAAAACAUAUGUUUGAUAGUAGCACAAAACUCUGCUUACUGACCUUGCAUGUUUGCACCGUUGCAGGUUCUUAAUAUGUCUCAUUGUCAGAAUGUCACUGAUGUGGGAGUUUCAUCCAUGGUGAAGUCAACACCAAAUCUAUUGGAACUGGAUCUUUCCUACUGCUGUCCUGUAAGUAGCUAAUCAUCUAGUCAUAUUGUUGUAUCAUCUGGGCAUAACUUGAGCCCUUGAAGCUUAAUUUACAUCCUUCCUGUAGCAGGUUACUCCUUCUAUGGGGAGAAGCCUCCAAACGAUUACUAAACUGCGGAUACUGAAGCUGGAAGGCUGCAAAUUCAUGGCUGAUGGACUAAAAGCCAUUGGAAGCUCUUGUGUUUCGAUCAGGGAGUUAAGUCUGAGCAAGUGCUCUGGAGUAACAGAUACUGAACUCUCUUUUGCUGUGUCAAAACUAAAGAACCUGCUGAAGCUGGACAUCACUUGUUGUCGCAGUAUCACUGAUGUUUCAGUAGCUGCCAUCACUAGUUCAUGCACUUCCCUCAUCUCUCUGAGGAUGGAGUCUUGUAGCCAUGUUUCAAGUGGAGCACUCCAACUGAUCGGGAAGAACUGUUCUCACUUGGAAGAGUUGGACCUUACUGACAGUGAUUUGGAUGAUGAAGGUACUUACUGAACUGGCUAUUGACAUACUUUUUUGUCAAAUCGACAUAAAGUUGACUAUAAAUAUUUUUUGUGCAGGGUUGAAAGCUCUCGCCGGAUGCAGCAAUCUCUCGAGCCUAAAAAUUGGUAUUUGCUUGAGGAUAAGUGAUGAAGGUCUGACGCACAUUGGAAAAUCUUGCCCAAAACUCGGAGACAUUGAUUUGUACAGGUCAUUACUAGAUGUGCCUUGUGGUUUUCUUUCUUUGGUUUGUUUUCUCGCGAAGCUGACUUGUAGUUUCUGUUUCAGGUGUGGAGGCAUUAGUGAUGAUGGGGUUAUUCAGAUUGCUCAAGGCAGUCCAAUGCUAGAAUCUAUCAAUCUAUCCUACUGUACAGAAAUAACAGACCGUUCACUGAUGUCCCUCUCAAAAUGCACAAAGCUAAAUACAUUGGAGAUUCGUGGCUGCCCCAGGGUUUCAUCUGCUGGGCUCUCAGAAAUAGCAAUGGGUUGCAGGCUGCUUUCCAAGCUUGAUAUCAAGAAAUGCUUUGAGAUUAAUGAUGUGGGCAUGCUCUACCUUUCCCAGUUCUCUCAUAGCCUCCGUCAGGUAUUAGCUCUUUCUCCUGUAAACUGAAAUCUAGUAGUACCAUGUGUUUUUACUUUCAGUUGUGCUGAUAGCAUGUAUGUCUCAUCGCAGAUAAACUUGUCAUACUGUUCGGUCACCGACAUUGGACUUCUUUCACUUUCUAGCAUAUGUGGCUUGCAGAACAUGACCAUUGUACAUUUAGCGGGUAUUACACCUAAUGGCUUGACAGCUGCUCUCAUGGUCUGUGGUGGUUUGACAAAAGUGAAGCUUCAUGAAGCAUUCAAAUCCAUGAUGCCUCCUCAUAUGCUCAAAAAUGUUGAGGCGCGGGGUUGUAUUUUCCAGUGGAUCAAUAAACCAUUUAAGGUAUUGUGCAUUGUUCUUUUACCUUGCCUGUAUGUCCCUGAAUUAUGUUGGAUCCUUGUGUCCAUCACACCGGCAAGACUGUGUCAACUUGAGAAAAACUAGUUCUAUGAAACUAUUCUGUGCAGUUAUGUUUAACCGUCAAGGAGGUUAUGCCCCCCUUUAUUGUGGUGUCUUCGCCUUUUGUUUUAGAUAGUAUUGAAAAAUAAAUGAACAUAGCACCGCCCUCUUAUUAGCUUUAGCAUUGGAUGGAUUUGCGUUUAGUAAAAUUACAAACCUGUGAACGCCAAAGUGUCUAACAAUAGGUGAGGUCUUGUGCAGGUUGAGGUGGAACCUUGUGAUGUGUGGAAGCAGCAGUCACAAGAUGUUCUUGUACGAUGAGAAGGCCUGAAGUGUGGCAAUUGUGGGAAGCAAAGGGCAUGCGCUGUGGCGAUGGAUGGAUUCUUGGCUGGCUUCGUUAUUGGAAGCAACAGUCACAAGAAGGGAAGCCUAAGGAACGAGCUAAAAUUUUUGUAGAGUAAUUGGCGAGGUACUGUGACAAUACUUCAGUAUGAAGAGAGGUAUGCUGAUGUUGUAUACUAGACUAGAGUAGCUUUUGUUUGGUUAAGUGUCCAAACCAGGGAGUAGGUCAAAAUUUUGUCAAACAAAAUCAGGAAGUUCUUGUGUUGUAUAUGUAUAGCAGCAUAUAGAGAUUAAUGGAAGAGAUUGAUAUUGAAGGUUUGGGUGAUGAGAGCCUUGUGUGAUGAUAUGGCUUCAACUGCUUGUGUGAUGGUCAUGACCGGUGCAUGAUGGUUGGAAUGCUGGAAUUAAGUGGCUUACGUGUGUUUGGAAUCGAAACUGAAACAUGCUUGUGGAUGUAUCUGCCUGACUGCCUAUUUGUAUUGAAGUGAUGUCUUGUCUCUGCUUACUAAGUCUGUUUUGGAGGGGAAAAGAAUGUGGAGUCAUCAAAUAGCAGCAGCAAACCAGAGGAGGUUUGCACAGUCCAGAUGUAUGAAUGAGUCUCGAGGGUAUUGUAGUUUGUGCGGAAGUAUUGAAAAUGAAGUCGUAGGAGUAGGCACAUGUGACAUGCUUUAAGUUUGGAGGUGUUGUUGGAAAUUGGUUUUGCCAUUCAUGGAACUCAAGCACACAGACUGAAGUGAAGGCAGAGUGGCACGGAAAGGUAGGGAGCGAGAGCACAGCAGGCUUCUCGCCGCAAGUGCAAUGCCAAUGCAAUUAGGCAAAGCAGGUCGAGACAGCUAGGUAGGUAGGCGGCCAUGGACAGCUGACGACCAUGGUGUACAGGCAUCAUGUGACAGCUGACGACCAUGGCUGGUGCCUGCUGGAUGUCGGACGAUGCUCCGAUCCGUUGCCGUUCUUUAGUAGUAGAACUAGUAAUGCAGGAGAUGGCAUCUCCAUUGGCAUGCUUCAGGAGGACUGGACUGCCGGCAGGGCAGGGGAAUGAAUUGCCUGAAGCGUUGUUCAAGCGAGCCUCUCAACAUCGUACCCACCGGAAAAUGGCAGCUGCUGCACUGCAACGUCCUUCUUCCUUCCUUGCCAUUGCCUCCAUCCAUUCCCUGGUAGCCUUGUAUGCCCGCCUGUUCCGUCGUCCGUGAUGCCUUGCCACCAUUCCGUCCGUUCCAUGAUCUCACUACUCCCUACCCGUCCUCAUUAAUGCGAGACCCCACCCACAUUGAGAACCAACCAGAGAUACAUCCCUCCCCUCCAUUAAACAAGCAAGGCUCCUGCUGCUCCUUGGACAGGACAGGAGGGAGAGGGAGGAGAGCCAACAGCAACAAUGGGGAUCUGCUGCAGCAAGGCCAAGGCACCAGCAGGGGACCUCGACGACGGCGAGCAAGGAUUCCCAUGGAUGCACGACGACCUGUUCCACCACCACCUCUGGACCAGCGCCGCCGUCUCCAUGCACACCAAGCAAGGAUGGAAGGGUGCCAACCAGGACGCCAUGACCGUCUCCCAGGUGACUUCUCUCUACCUCCCAGAGGGCCUAGCUAGCUGUCCCUUGGCCUCCUUGUAAGUAUCGUCUCGUUUUCGCAUCACACAAGCUGCCGCAAGGCAUGGUGCUGCUACUGUUACCAUGCCAACUUUAAUUUGCUUACCCACUGCAACUUGCAUCCACAAAUCUUCCCCUCUUUUUUCCCCCACACCAUUGCAUCCGCAACUUUGUUUUAUUGUUUAACAACAAUGCACCUUUGGAUCCGUCUCGACUUACUGCAACCUGAAAUGCUCCUAAUGUUCCAACCACCUGUGUUUCUGGGUGCUGUUGCAAGCUUCUCUACCCAGUACUUCACUAAAAUUUACUGCCUAAUGAAAUAUGUAGGGAGGGGGGCAAUCAAAAAAUGAAUUUUUACAAACUAAAAUUUGCCUCAAGUUAUGUACUUCACUACCUUUACUGCCCACCAAUGUCCUGAAUGUUUGAAUUCACCUCCAUAUCUUGUACUACAUUAUUAGCAUCUCCAAUGCAAGUACAUUAGCCUUUCUCUUUUUGCACAAUAAUUCGAUUAAUCUUCAUGUGUCACAAUUGUGUCAAGAUGCUUAGGACUUUGCUGGCCACAAAGGCCACAUCUUCUGCGGGGUAUUUGAUGGGCAUGGCCCUCUUGGCCGACAAGUUGCUCGCCGUGUCCGCGACACCCUUCCCUUGAAACUAUCCUCUGCUUUGAAGCCGAAAACUGAAGAAGAAGAUCCCUCAACCCAUACUUCCAAGCUCACAACUGAAGAAGACCACUCAAGCAAUACAGAUUUGAAUUCCUGUGACAAGUCAGACUCCACCUCGUUUAGUGAUGAUACAACCGAUGAGAAGCUCCUGUUGUCAACUUGGAAGAACAUAUUUAUGAAGGCAUUUGAUCAGGUGGAUGAGGAGCUCAGGCAACAUUCAGGAAUUGACUGCAUUUGCAGUGGCACCACAGCAGUCACUGUUGUUAGGCAGGUACUAAUGCUACUAUUAUCCCUCAGUAAUCCUGUACUAGUUUUGGUGCACAGUAAAACUAGGAUUCUGAAAGAGCAGGAACUGAACCAGCUGGGUUGGAAGCCCUGUUUUAUUUACUGUAUUCCCAAUUAUCCAUAGAGCAACAUAACCAAAGUAUAAAUCUUAUUCUGUUCCCCAAUUAUCCUUCUCAUGUCAAGGGUGAUCACUUGAUUAUCGCCAAUUUGGGUGACUCGCGUGCUGUUCUUUGUACCCGGGACAGCAAGGACCGUAUGAUCGCAGUCCAACUGACCACUGACUUGAAGCCAGAUCUUCCAAGUGAGCUAGCAUCUAAACAUCUCAUUUCUCAGUUCUUGAAAUAUGUGUGUAUCUUUCUUGAUUGCAUUUUGUACAUUGUUGUGCACUGGCGAUAGGUGAACUCGCAAGGAUUCUGAAUUGCAAGGGGCGAGUUUUCGCCAUGGAUGACGAACCAGACGUGCCCAGAAUGUGGUUGCCGGACCAGGAUGCACCAGGCCUUGCCAUGGCAAGGGCCUUUGGGGACUUCUGCCUGAAGAACCAUGGCCUUAUCUGUACACCUGAAGUCUACUACAGGAAGUUAUCUGAAAAGGACGAGUUCUUGGUGCUUGCAACUGAUGGGGUAAUAAAUUCAUUUAUUUGAUUGGCAAUUUCAGAUUUCCAUCACUUCAUUUUAAGAAGAAUUUUGCAAUCGUAUUCCAAAUGUUCUGGGUACAAAAUAGCAUAAAUCCCUUUUAUGAUUAGACUGACAACAGAAACUGUUAACUGAAAGUGACAUUUCUCUGUCAUCGAUUUAUUUCAUGAUAGGUUUAGCUGAUAACGAUUUGUUCGGACAAUAUGUUUUUACACUAGCAUGAGCAAAAAAAGUUCUAUUUUACGCUAGCUGGAAAAUCAUUUCUGUAGCCAUUUUCAGUGGUCCGCCUUGUUUAAAAAAAAGGAAAGAUUCCAUUCUGCACCUUUUCAGGGCUACUACAAAUUGAGUGUGAUUAAGUAGUAGGAUAAAGCCUUUAUGGUAAAUUAAAAGCGACUGCUAACUGUACGCUUGAAACCAAUACAUCACCGUCACCUAUUUAAUCAUUAUUCUAUACAUCUGAUUUGUCUAGAGAAUACAGAAAAUAUUGCUAGACUAUAGUAGCACAGCAUGAUGAUGAAAAAAAAAAUGCAGAUUUGGGACGUGCUGUCGAACAAGGAGGUGGUGAAGAUUGUGUCUUCAGCCAGCGACCCUUCCAAGGCCGCGAGGCAGCUGAUCGACCGUGCGGUCCGAUCAUGGCGGCGCAAGUACCCGACGUCCAUGGUGGACGACUGCGCGGUGGUGUGCCUCUUCUUGAACAGGCCGGCCUCUCGUCCCGACGAGAAGGCGCCUCAGGCCGUAUCGUCGUUCACGGGGAGCUUCCGCAAGGUUGUGAGCGGCGGCCGUGGCGUUGAAGCGUCGGAGGAGGGGACGACGGUGUGGAGAGCCCUGGAGGGUGUGGCGCGGGCGAACUCGGUGAUGAGGCUGCCUCGGAUCGGGCGCGUGCUCAGCUGGCGGAGGCGGUCGUCGAAUUCGCUGAUGGAUGAAGACGACGACGACCGGGAUUGAUGAUUUUUUUUCAUGGUGGGAGCAUGCAAUGGCCGCGAGCUUUUAAUUGGCAGAAAUGAUUUUAGGAUUGGAUUGACAUGAUGCCGCGUCGCAUUCAAUUUGUUGAGAUGAGGUGGAGCGGUAGGCCUAACUGCUGCUGAGACGACGACGCAGCAUGCUGUAACUCGAGAUUCAUCAGCUCGCUUGCAAAACCAUCAGCAUGAUUCAGCAGGAGAUGGCGGCGGCGUUGUGCGGGUGCAGAACCAUCGCCGGCGGUUUGUUUGUUGUGCGAUCAGCCACGACGGCCAUCGAGAAGGACCCUCGCACGCUCCUAGCCGGAGAACACCUCGCCGGUGAAGUAAUCUUACUUGGCCGCAUCGGUGUGGUCGCCUGACACGGAGCGCGGACGAGCCGGCGAGACGUCCAGACCCUGGACGGUAUUUCAUUUACCGUCCGGGCUGAGCUAUCCAGAGCCGUCGGAUCUAAAGAGUAUGGUCAGGAUUCGAUACACCAAUAUGAGGCCCAGUUACCCGAGCCCGAUCCUUUCCUUUUUUGUAGAGGCCCCGUUUGCGCGGGCGACGGCCAACGACGACCGCCGCCGGCAUCGUCCUCCGCCGGCGUGUCGAUGUCCGACCGCGUGCAUACAUGUCCUCCGGAUGACGCGACGAACGUCGAGUUCUUGAACCCUAAAGGAUCGGAUGAGCUGCUUUCAUCAUCAUCAUCAGCAGCAGCAGCAGCACAAAGCUGUUAGCAAGCAACAAGCAUGAAUCUGCAUCAUCUAUCUCUGUUUUUUUAGAAAACAGGAGGGGAGAUCCCUACCGGAUAUAUUAAUAAAGAAAAGUUACAAGAUUCUAUAUUACAAAUAUAUGGAGCCAAGCUGUCAUGGUUUGUAUAUUCUUUGCCUUGGAUCUAUGUAUUACUGAAGAAAAUGCAGCUUUAAAAUUGAUUUGGACUGUUCUAACAUUUUUUUGCUGUCGUCUCAAAGAUGAGAGCAUUGCGCGAGAUCCAUAUAGACCAACACAUAACGAUCAAAAUCUCCAUGAAGAAGGGUACCCGCAGUCUGUUUCUGAAAAGUUCCAAUAUCUGUAGAGGUUCUAGAUUAAGGACACUAUUCAGGCCCAACGUGCUCCAACAUUUAAUGGCAAAUGAACAUUUUAAAAAGAGAUGCUCCACUGUCUCUUCUGCUCCAGGAUCACACAUAGCACAACUAUAAUCCUCUAGAGUCAUGUUCCUUCUUCUCAAAACACCUCUUGUGCUUAGCUUGUUGUGUAACAUCAACCAAAAGAAGAUUUUAUGCUUUAACUGACAAGAUGAGUUCCAAAGCCACCUGAAUGCACGGUGAAUAUCUACAUGUCCUUUCAAGUGCUUGUAUGCCUUCGAGCAGGAAAAUUCUGCUGAUUCCCAAAUAUAUUUCCAUGUAUCUUUCUCUGCAGUUUCUGUAGAUUGAGCAAUAGUCUUUGGAGCUCUAGAAAUUGCACAAAAGCCUCUUCAGAAAGUGGGAGGUGAAAUAUACUAUGCAGUUGAUCCUGCAAAAAUUUAUCUUUCUGCAGAGUGAUGUUUUUGUUCCGGGCAAAUGAGUAGAGCUCAGGAAAGGUAAUCUUUGGAAGAACUUCAUCCCACAUGUCAUCCCAGAGGUAUAUGGUAGAACCAUACAUGGAGUAUGCUGAUGCCAUUCUUUAUAGAGGUCCAAUAAUUUAAGUAAAUCCCUCCACCAAAAAGAUCCUUUCUUAACUACACUUGGAAGUCUGCCAUUCUUAUAGUAGUUCUCCCAUAUCAAAUUGACCCAUGGCAGAUUUUCUCUGUUAUGGGAUUUAUGUAAGCUUUUGAGCAAAAGUACAUCAUUAUGAGUUCUGAUAUCAAGAACUCCCAAACCUCCUUCCUCUUUAGGUAGACAGACUAGUUUCCAAGCUGCUUUUGGUAGCUUUUUUGAGUUGAUAUCUGAACCUCUCCAUAAGCAACAGUGGCAAUUUCAUUGAACACAUCAUGAAGGUAGGAAGUGAAGAGAUGACUGAGUUAACCAUAAUUAAUUUUCCAGCUUGUGAUAGCAUGUUGGAAGUGACUAGAAGUCUUGUUUCCCAUUUCUUCACCAGUGGCAUGAACGCUUGCACUGUUGGCUUUGUUGUUCCCAGUGGCAAGCCUAAAUAAGUGAAUGGCAAGGAACCAGUAGAGUAACCCAAACAGUUGGCAAGGGAGGUUAGUAUUAAUGGGCACUAUGACAGACUUUGAAAAAAUAACCUUUAGACCAGUCGAAGAUGCAAAUGCAUCUAGUAAUUCUUUCAGAUGAGUUAACUGACUUUCACAUGCUUCCAUUAUAAUUAGUGUAUCAUCUGCAUAUUGGAUGACUGGGAAGUUAGUUCCUGCUCUUGUUGGCAGUGGCAAACUUAUAUGUCCAAGCUCUUUAGCCCUAUUAAUCAGGGUUUGAAGGAGGUCAGCAGCGAGCACAAAUAGUAAGGGAGAGAGUGGGUCACCCUGUCUUACUUUUACAGUGAAACACUUUUCCGGACACUCCAUUUAGAAGGACUGAAGAGGUCCCAGACUGGAAGAUCAUUUCCAUCCAGUGCAGCCAUUUUUGGCCAAAGCCUUUGUGCUUCAUUACUUGUAGCUUUAGCUGGUGCUCUACUUUGUCAAAUGCUUUUUUAAAAUCCAAUUUGAGAAUGACCAGCUCCUUUCUGGAUUUAUGACAAAGAUGUAAGUACUCAAAAGACCAAGCUAGGCAAUCUUGAAUUGUCCUAGAUUUGAUAAAGUCAUACUGAUUCUGAUGAACUAUGCUUCUGAUCACUUUCUAGAGCCUGUUAGCUAAAAUCGUGGUGAUAAGCUUGAUGGAACAAUUGAGCAAGGAAAUAGGUCUAAAAUCAGAUGCUGUUAGAGGAUUGCCCUUUUUAUGUACCAGUGCAAUGAAAGACCCAUUUAUACUUUGCAGACAAAGAUUACCUUCAAAGAAAGCCUCCAUCAAUCUGUAGAAAUCAGGAGCAAUGAUGUGCCAAUAUUUUUUUAUGAAGUUAGUAUUAAACCCAUCUGGGCCUGGGGAUUUAUCUAAUGGCAGCAAUCUGACCACUUGAUCUAUUUCUUCUUUUGCGAAAGGAAGUUCUAGAUUCUGAAGAUCCACUGAUCUUUCCAAGAGAUUCUGCAGGUCCAAUUGGAUGUUAGCAAGUUCAGAAAUUCCAAGUCUGUCCUUAUAUGCCUCCCAAAGAAGGUCAGCCCUUCCUGAAUGUUCUGAAAUCAAUUCCCCAUUACUGUUAUGAAGGAAUGCUACAGAAUUUUUUCUGAAUUUUAUUGUUGCAUUUGCAUGAAAGAAUUUUAUGCUGUCAUCCCCAAACUUAAUACUUUUAAUAUUGGCUCGCUGCUUCCAGUAAAUUCUUUGCUGAUCUAGCAAAGAUGACAGCUUUUCAUUUAGAAUUGCUUUAAAAUUCCAUUCCUGAACAGAUAAAUCCCUAUAUUCUUCCAGAAUUUCCUUGAACUGCAGUAGGACUUUGAUCUUUUCCAUCAAGAGAGAAAGGCUGGAGAUAUGCUGCUGCCAUGAUCUGAGUACUCUUCUCAGAUUCUUAAACUUAGCCAUGAUAAUCUUAGCUGCUGCCAGUCCAGGCGUUCCAGCAGUGGCGGGGUUUGUUUAUUUGUCCAUGUAAAGGUUCUUCCUUUUAAAGAAAUCUCUACUAAACCAAGUGCACUAAUUGCUUCAUUAAACAUGAAGAUUUCAUUUGCAUUUGCUCCCGGUUUAUUUCUGUCCUCAGCUUUCCUGAUAAGAUUAAAAUCUCCUACCACCAACCAGUCUACAUUAUCUAGCAUUUGAAUAUUUCUAAACCAUGUAGUGAACAUCCUCUUUCCUUCAUCAGUACAUGGUGCAUAAACAAUUGUGAGUAGCCAUGAAGCUCCAGAAAGCAGAGAUGUAAACAUGAUUGACUGUGCAUAUUCCUUGGUGAAAACUGCGUCCCCAUCAAAGAUGUUCCCUUUCCAGAUGACUAUGGAGCGCCCUGAUGCCCCUCUUGAAGGUAGGAAAGAAAAUUUAUUGAAAGCUGCUGGAGAGAUUUUCCGGAUAAAGAUUGAAUCAAACAUCUUUUUUUGUUUCCUGGAGGCAAGCAAUGUCACAUUUUGAUUCUACUAUUUUAUCACGAAUUGCAUUCCAUUUAUGCUCCGAAUUAAGGCCUCUGACAUUCCACGAGAGGACUUUCCAUGAUCUAUUCUGAGAGUGAUUAUUCAUGGUAAACUAAAUAGAAAAGAUCGAAAGCCAGAUGCACAACAAAAGGCAAAUAAAACUGGGCAGCCACAAAAUAGACACAAACUUGACCAAGUUCUGACAUAAAAGUGUCCCAAUAACCAAACAACUUGACACAAAUCGACUGACAGUUCACUGUGAUGAGCAUAAUUAAAAACAUGUCCAGAGACACUUCAAAUGUAACUAAACCAGGUCUUGACAAAAAGAGAGACCCAAUGAAUGAAGCCAGAUGCCUUCUUCUUGGACUUCUUUCUUGGUGUGUCUUCAUCUGCACUGGAUUUCUUGGAUUUGGCCUUGGAGUUUUUUGAUGGGGCUUGGCUGGCCUUUGGAACUUUGCUCUUGCCUUUCCUAUGAAGGACUGCAUCUGAAACUUCUUCCGGGGCCAUUUUGGCGAAAGUGAUCCUCAAAUUCUUUAUCGCAUUUGAGGAGAGUGUUGGAGGUGUUGCUGAACAAGCCAGGCAAUGCUUUUCAGAACAGCUAUUGCCUUUGUAAUCUUGUUUCAUCAGACUCGUGUGUCUAUUAUCCCUCCCGUCCACAGCUAAAAAUAGCCUCUCAUUGUCAUGUCCUUCAGUCUCUCGCAGCCAGCCACACUGAUUGAUGCGCAUUGCCCACAAACAGGGGAGCAAAGCCAAGAAGCAAAUGGAUCGGAAGGGAUGAUCACUUAGCAGGCAGCAAUAGCAUCCAAACCCUUGUAAAUAGCAUCAGAGGACGAAUUCAAUUCAAUUCAAGGACACAUGGCGGAGGUUGCCAACCUCUCGUCGGGCUCCCUUGAGCCGACGGUGAAGCCGCUGGCGGCGGCGUGCUACGACAACAACCUGGUGAACUCGCAGGGCAUGUUCCUGGGCGACCAGCCGCUGCGCUUCUCCCUCCCGCUCCUCCUCGUCCAGGUCUCCGUCAUCCUCGUCCUCUCCGCCGCCGCCCACCUCCUGCUCCGCCGCCUCGGCCAGUCCCGCUUCGUCACGCACAUGCUCGUCGGCGUCCUCCUCGGCCCCACCGUGCUCGGCCGCAGCGAGUCUUUCCGCGGCGUCCUCUUCUCCGAGCGCGGCACCUACAUCCUCGAGAGCGUCUCCCUCGUCGCCCUCAUCCUCUUCCUCUUCUCCAUGGGCGUCAAGACCGACCUCAGCCUCCUCCGCCGCCCCAGCGGACGCGCCGUCGCCGUCGGCAUCACCGGCUCCCUCGUUCCGCUCGCCGUCACGCUCCCCGUCUUCCACGCCCUCCAGCCCUCGCUCCCCGAGGACCUGCGCGGCUCCUCCCUCAUCACCGAGCUCGCCGUCCGCCUCUCCCUCUCCUCCUUCCCCGUCAUCGCCGACGCGCUCUCCGAGCUCGACCUCCUCAACACCGACCUCGGCCGCAUCGCGCUCACCGCCUCGCUCAUCACCGACGUCACCUCCUGGUUCCUCCGCGCCUGCUCCGCCGCCGUCUUCCUCGUCUCCGAGGCCAAGUCGCCGGCCUUCACGGCGCAGAUCCUCGCCUCCUUCGUCGCCUUCGUGCUCUUCGUCGGCUUCGUCGCGCGCCCCGCCGGCCGCUACAUCGCCUACAAGCGCACCCCGGCGGGGUCCCUCCUCUCCGAGGGGUCCUUCGUCGUCGUCGUCAUCGCCGCGCUGCUGUCGGCGCUGGUCACGGACGCCAUCGGGUUCAAGUACAUGAUCGGGCCCAUGAUGCUGGGGCUGGCGCUCCCCGGCGGCAUGCCCAUCGGCGCCACCAUGACGGAGCGCCUCGACUCCUUCUUCAUCGCGCUCUUCCUGCCCGUCUACAUGGCGCUCUCCGGCUACCGCACCGACCUCGCGGAGCUCACCAAGGAGGAGACCUCCGAGAAGUGGUGCGCGCUGGAGCUCUUCGUGGGGCUCUGCGUCUCCGGCAAGCUGGUGGGCUGCGUCGCGGCGGGGCUCUUCUUCGCCAUGCCGUUCCGCGACGCCAUCGUGCUGGCGCUGAUGCUCAACAUCCGCGGCAUCGUGGAGGUGGCGGCCAUCAACAACUGGGGCGACACCAUGAAGGCCACGGCGGAGCACUACAGCAUCCUGACGCUGUCCAUGGUGCUCAUCACAGCGGUGUCGACGCCGCUGAUCAAGCUGCUGUACGACCCGGCGGGGCAGUUCAUGCGGGCCAAGCGCCGGACGCUGGAGGACCUGCGGCCCAGCGCCGACCUCCGCCUCCUCACCUGCCUCUACAGCGAGGACCACGCGGCGCCGCUGAUCGACCUGCUGGAGGCGUCGGCGGGGUCCUCGCGGGAGAGCCCCGUGUCGCUCAUCGUGCUCCACCUCACGGAGCUCGUCGGCCGCGCCGCCUCUGUGCUCAAGCCCCACCGCCAAAGUAAGAGCGGCGGCGGCGGCGGCAGCAGUAGCAGCGACCGCAUCAUGAACGCGUUCCGGCACCUGGAGCAGCAGGCGGCGCCGGGCGCCGUGACGGUGAGCCCCUACGUGGCGCAGGCGCCCUACAGCUCGAUGCACCACGACGUGUGCUCGCUAGCGCACAGCCGCAAGGCCAACCUCAUCCUGCUGCCCUUCCACAAGUCCUCCGAUGGGGCGCGCAGCACCGCCAACAACUCCAUCCGCUCCAUCAACCGCGCCGUCCUCCAGUACGCGCCCUGCUCCGUCGCCAUCCUCGUCGACCACGGCCUCGCCGCCGGCUCCGCCUGCGCCACCAGCGCCAACAGCCUCCUGCAGAGGGCCGCGCUCUACUUCCUGGGCGGGCCCGACGACCGCGAGGCGCUCGCGUACGCCGCGCGGAUGCCGGACGCCGGGAACAUGUCCCUCACCGUGGUGAGGUUCAAGCUGCGCAACUGGGUGGGGAUGGGCGGCAGCGACGAGGCCAGGGACGAGGAGGUGCUGCACCAGUUCUGGACCAGGCACCGAGACAACGACCGCGUCGUGUACGUGGAGAAGACGGUGGAGGACGCGGAGGGCACCGCCUCCGUGGUGCGCUCCAUGAGCGAGAAGUUCGACCUGCUCAUCGUGGGCCGCCGGGGCGGGGACGACAAGGACCUAGAGGGAUCGGCGGCGCUCACCAGCGGGCUCUCGGACUGGAGCGAGUUCCCGGAGCUGGGCGUGCUGGGCGACAUGCUGGCCUCCGCCGAGUUCGCGUCAAGGGUCUCCAUCCUCGUCAUCCAGCAGCAGCCGGUCAAGAACGCCCCAGCCUGUUAGAUCAUGACGCACUGCACUGGUGUUAAUUAAUUUUGAUUUGAGAAGAAAAUUGUUGUCUUUGUUCUUGUAAUCAGAUCAUGCUGGCUACAUACAGUUUUACACCAAAUGGAAAUCCAGACGAAAUCAAUUUUACAGUAGCAUUUGGUUUUUCAAGCAAGAUUUUGUGGAAUGUUGGAGAAAAGCACGCAAGACCGAAUGGUCGUCUCAAGUCAAUGACCUAUUGGUCUGCGCCGGUCAUUCUCCUGAAUGAAAUGAAGGUCUACUUGUUUCCUUUUCUUGUCCACUUGUAGUCGGCCUGGCCGGUCCCCUUCCUCCCUCACCUGCUUUAGUUACAAGUGAAGUGGAGGAAGCGGCAGCAGCCAGCAGCUUUGCAGAGCAGAGAGUGAGUGACCCAAAGAGAAGAGAGGAGAGAGCUCGAAGAAGGAAAAGGAAGGAAGGGAUCCAUCUCCUCCCAGGCCAUGGGAAACAUCCUGAGAAGGUGCUUCGCGGGAGGAGGAGGAGACAACGGUGAUGACGAUUACUACCCCUACUACAGCUACAGUCCAUCCUCCAGGCCCCGCUACGAGCUGCAGAUCGGCAGGUGGGAGAAUGAGCCUGCAGCAGCUGCCUCUCAGACUGCAAUCGGCUUCACGGGGAGAGACGACGACGAUCACUACCCCGACGACCUGCUCCAGAGCGGGAGCGGCUGGGUGGAUCAGCUUGCACAAGACUCUUGGCUAGUACAUCACGACGUCGCCUCCCUGAUUCAGGACAUCCUCUACUUCGAAUACACAUCCAUGGUAACGUAGUGCAAAUCAGCUUACCUCUGAGUUUGUUCUGAUCCACUUUUUGAUCUCUGAUUCUGUUAACAUUUCUGUGGAUAUGUGUGCUAGCAACGACUGAACUGCAGCGGUAAUAAAGCGACCUUGCAACCACUAGCAUAUUCUAUGAAAAACGCUUGCAGAUAUUAAGAUUUUGAUGAUUCAUCAUGGCAAAUUCACAGCCUUAUUUUCCCAAAAUCCUGUGGCACGUUUUCCAAUGAUGAAAACACAGUAAAUAAAUUUUAUUUGUCAUAUUUUCAGGUACCUGAAGCGCUCGGACAGAAUGUUACAUCAUCCAAAAAAGCACAGGUUAAAUGGUAGGGAGCACUUUCAAAAAGCCAAUGCACUUGUUUUUUUAAUAACAGUACAUUUGGUGUACCUACUGACGUCAUGUCAGUGUUGCUUUAAUUCCUCCCCGAAUUCAAAUGCUGUUUGAGUUUUCUUACCCAAGGUUGUCCAUAUACACUCAUCCAAGCAUAGAACAAGCCAUGCUUCUUGCUUCAACAUGCAGAAGUAAAAUAAGCAGGACAAACAGAGCUGAACAACUUGAUUGUCCAUUGGACAAAGUUAAUGAAUGCUUUGGUCAUCUAAUUCUCACAAUACUAGGUACCGGAAUAUCUUGGAGGCAUAUAAGAACUCGAGCUCCCCACUGAAAACACCAGCAGAGGCUGCCAAACUAGUUGCAACAGCCCUAAGCAGGAUUCAGAGAGCUGAUUUAGAGGUAAACUUAUUUUUCCCACUUUUUCUACUUAGAAAUAUUAAUAGGGACCGUACAGGAAUAAUGCAUUGAUUAGCAAUAGCGAUAUAUGUUUAAAAUGCAGACCAUCUAAAUUUGUCAACCUAUUUUACAAAUCAGAGGGAUCCUCCUUUCAUUGGUACAAGGUGUUGUCUAACUGUCCAAGUAAACACUUUGGCCAAAGAUCAGUUCAAUAAUAUAUGAGUUAUCAUAAAAUUGAUAUCACAGGAAGCUUAGAAAUGAAUGGAAUAACCACGCAUGAAGCUUAGAAACCCUAGGAAGUUCACUACGAUUUGCAUUGUAUUAUCAAUGUUACUAAUAAUGACUGCAUAUGUCCAACUCAUUCCAUACAAAAAAGCGUUUUUUAUCCUCAGGCUAUUCUUGCAUUUUACAACCUCCCGAUCCCAUUACUCCCGGCAGCAUCAGCAUCCUUAGACCACCAUCCAUCCUCGCUGCCAGAGGGUGUACAGUUUGUGCUGAACACUUUGCCGGUCAGAUAUGAUCAACCAUUCCAUGCAAAACUCUUUACCAGCAAAUGCCAUAUUUUGAACAAUGAACAAUGUAUUUUAUAAACAUUUUUUAAUGAUGGUCCCCAUCUAUCACUACUGCUAUUAGGUUAACAACAAGUGCAUUGGAGAUGGCGAUGGCUUUAGUGCCUAUGUUGGCACAGCCGACCCACGGGAGCCUGCAAAUGUGCCGAUGGAAGUGCAUGAGAUGGUGAUUAAAAGGGCUCAAGCACGCACUGAUAGGGAUUACCAGAAGGCUGAUGCUCUUCUAAGGAGCCUCAACAAAGCAGGAUAUAAGUACUCAAACUGAACCUUUACAAUCCUUUAUAUAUCAUAAAUCCAUAUAUAACCAUUGAAGGUUUUUUUUAUUUUUUAAAAUUGAGAUACAUUCAGUUACUUGGAUAAUAAACUGGGUCUCAAUUGAAAAUUGGAUAAAAAUGUCAUAUUAGUUUAGCAUUUUUUUACUUUUUAUGGAAUCACCAAAUGCGCAACUUAUUAAGCUUAAUUUCGAUGAGCAGGAUAAUAACCAUUUCAGGCGAAGAGAUACUUGCAAGGAAAUACAGAAUCAGAAUGAGGUAUCUGUUGCUCUAAAUUGAACUCGUACACCCAACAAUAUCGGAAAUAUUGUUCUCAAGGGCAUAUAUGUUCUUUAUUUCAUGACUUGAAGGGGCGUUGAUGCACCGGAGCUUAAAAUGGCUAAUGGGAACGAAUCGAAGAACGCACUGGUGAAACUCAUUGGUGGGAAAAGGGUCACCAUUUAUGUGUAUGGGCAGGACCAGUUUGGGCGUUACGUGGGUGACAUAUAUUGUGAUGGUGUGUUCAUCCAGGUGAAGCAUAAACUAUUUAGUAGCUCACAUAACCUAUGAUUGUAUUGCUUCAGUUCUUAUCUUUACAAUGUGUUUCUGGAGUUUACAGGAGAAAAUGCUGAAGAAUGGCCAUGUAUGGCAUUUCAAGACUUACGAUAAGCGUCCAGAAUUUGCGCAGGUAAGAAAUUGAGAUUCCAUUGUACCUAAACGCCCAGAAUUUCCAAAUUCAGAAUUAUGUGUGUAUGGAUAUUGUAGUGGGAAAGAGAGGCAAGAGCUGCACGUCGAGGGCUUUUUGCGUCAGAGAACCCUGAGAAGCCGUGGGAUUGGAGAAGAGACCAGCGCAACGCAAACAUUCAGGUCUACUAAUGGGGCUGAACCAAAUGAUCUGAUAGACACGUAGUUUCUUGGUGAGGUUCUUGUACAGCUUGAUGCAAAUGAACGUAUGUGCAUCAGAAGUGCUUGUUUAGUGUGAAUCUGGGAAUGUACAGAUGAACUGUUGUCAAAUAAGUAUCAGGUGUUCAUUGUUUGCAACAAAAACAAAAAUGAUGUCUGGCACUAUCUGACAUCUGGAUGAAGGAAGGAAACUGGAAUAUCGAUCAACAUUUAGUCAUCUUGAUAUCUGAGGUACAUUACAGAUAAAACACAUGAGCAAAUAAACAGAACGUAUUCCUUCCUUUCAGCAGAAACAAUUGAAUGGAAAAUGAACUAUAAUCAACCUGCCUAAUACUCUGCCACUGCUAUGCUUCAAUCACAACUCUAGCUGGCUACAGGUUUACAUCAAAUGAAAAUAGAGAUGCUCCCUACUCUCAUGCUGCUCAAAAUUGCAACAAGCUGUAUUUACUACCAAUAGUCAUUGCAAGAACAAUGGCCAUCUCUAAAGCAAUGAAAUCGAUUGUUAUCUCGAACAAUAAUUUCACGAUUGGUUAUCCUAGAUAUGAGCUUGAUGGCGGAGUGGCAAUCACUGCAAACUCGGAGGUUUUUGGUCACCCUUAUGCUCUCGCCUGGUUCAGUGGUGACAAGGCUAAAUGCAAUGGCAAUCUUCUCACUAUGAUGCACUAGAGUGUGCUCCUUCUCUUCAUCUUCAAUGUCAAACAUCACCACCUCAGUAGUCGGUUUAUAACCCAUGAUCUUCAUUUCCAUGCCCAAUUCAUCGAGCUUUUCAUAAAUUUUAUUUGAGAGGGGAUGUCAGUUAUCUCCGACAUGGAACUCGUGGACCUUACCAUCAAGUUCAACCCAGCUAGAUGCAGGGACCUUCUCAACCCCCCUUGCCUUCAUUUCCAACCUGAGCUUUGCCGCAUCUUCCCAUCUUCCACUGUUAAGAGUAUAUGUUAGAGAGCAUGACAUAGUUUCCGGAAUUCCAUGGCUCCAGCAGGAUGAGCUGCUUCAAUGCAUGUUCAGCAAGGCCAGCAUCACAGUGGAUCUUGCAACCACCAAGGAGUGCCCCCCAUAUAACUGCAUUUGCCUGCAUUGGCAUGUCCUCGAUCAGCUGAUGAGCCUCCUCCAGCAACCCCGCACGUCUGAGCAGGUCGACCAUACAACCAUAGUGCUCAAUCCUUGGGCUUAUACAGUAUGACUGAGUCAUGUUAUGAAAAUACCGCCGCCCAUCCUUUACAAGGCCAGUAUGCGUACAGCUGCAGAGCAAUCCAAUGAAGGUAUUAUCAUUCGGUGUCAUACCUGACUUCUCCAUCUGACCAACAAGUGCAAACGCAAUCUUCUCAUGGCCAGUCAUGCCGAGCCCCAAGAUCAUUGCAUUCCAAACAAUGAUGUCCCUCUUCCUCAUCUGCUGGAACACCAUCCACGCCUCACCUGUGCUCCCACACUUGGCAUACAUAUCGAUCAGUGCAGUCCCCAGGACUGGGUUGUCAAGACCCUCAUCCCAGUGCACCAUUCUGGCUGCUCGCCGUCCCAAAUCCAAAGCACCUAACCUUGUACAUGCUGAGAGUGCCCCGGCCACUGUGUAACAUUCUGGCAUCAUUCCCUCUGCCUGCAUUGCAAAGAACAAUUCCAGAGCCUCCUGCGGAUGCCCAUUGGAUGCGUAUCCACCAACCAUAGCACCCCAGGCUACUGCAUCCUUGUUCUGCAUCUUAUCAAACACCGCCCUUGCCUUCUGCAUCUCCCCGCAUUUGACAUACAAGUCCAAUGCCGCAGUUGCCACGAACACAUUCCCUGCGAUCCCCUCCUGCUCCACCGCCCUCCACACUGCCUCCCCGGUGACCAAAUCGGUGACGCGAGCGCAUGCAGUCAGGACACGGACGGCUGUGAAGCUGUCAGGACGCAUGCCACUGGCAAACGCCUUCCGUGCAACUCCAACGGCUUCCUGGACGCGCCCCGCGUCCAUGUACGCGGUGAUGAGCGCGGUCCACGAAACGGUGCUGGGGUGGGACAUUUCGUCGAACGCUUUCUGGGCGUCGUGCAAAAGGCCGCAUCUUGCGUACAGGCUGAGGAGCGAGGUGAGGACGUGGGGGUUGGAGUGGUAGGGGAGCUUGAGGGAGCGGCCAUGGAGUUGUAGGCCGGCGGAGAGCGGGUCGGGGAGGCGGGAGGCGGCCUUGAGCGCGACGGGGAAGAUGAGGUGGGAUGGGUUGGGAAGGAGGGAGUGGACGCGGAGGGCGUGGAGUUGCAGGCCGGUGGAAGAGAGAGCGCGGAGGAGGAGCGGGGAGAGGUCGGUGAGGAGGUGGAGGCGGAGGAGGCGGGCGUGGAGGAGCUUGACCGUGAGCGGUGGGAGGUGGUUGUUAGGGCGCAGGACGCCGGUGAGGAGGCGGCCAACUGCGGCGGCAGCGUCCGACAUGAACGGGAUGCUUCCCCUUCGCAGGGAAACGGUUAAAAGCAAUUUCCUCCCUUGGACAUGAUCCACAAGUUUUGAAUGUCGUUUUAGUUUUAUAUCUCUUAAGUCAAAUAUAUUUAGCUUUGACUAAAGUUUGCACUUAAAGAUUAGUAACCAUGACAUAUGUCUUUAGUGUAUUUAUUUGAAAUUAUAGAUGCUGGUAUACUUUUUUAGAAAUUUGAGAAGUUUCAUUAUUUUUUUAAAAGAAGAACAAAACUACCUACACUACACAAUGGAGGAGGGAGCAUUCUCAAGAUACAAUUUUGAUUGGAUUAUCUUAAACAUUCCUCCAGGUAUAUGAGUCUGCACAUAAAUCAAUCCCUCUACUUGUACGUGGUGGUGAUCAUCACCGGCACCGCCGGUGCAUCGAUGGCUACGGCAUUGCCAGCGGUCCAUGGCACGGCGCGCCCUUCCCUGUCCAGAGGCGCCAUUGCUGGUUUUUCUUUCUGCUCGACGUCGUACAGGUUGCCCGUCCUCACCUCCUGCGCCAGCGCACACGGCGCGCAGAGCAGCCACUUUACGUAGUCCGCGGUCGCCGGCCGGCCACCGCACACGGAGCGGUCUGCCGGCAGUCCGAGCCGCCGCCUCAUCUGCGCGCGCCAGAAGCCACUCCCGAGCGUGGCGUCGUGGAUGUUGAGCGCGGCGACGGCGAACACCAGCACCGGCGCGGCGCAGAGGAGCGCGAACGUGAAGACGUGCACGUACAUGUUGCCCAGUCCCAGGCGCUCCAUGUUCCAACCCAACACGCAGAACGUGCACGUCAGCCACAGCGCCGCCACCGCCGGGUCGUCGGCGAGGUCGAACAGCCCGCCAGCCCACUCCGCCUUGGUCACCACCACUCUGCCGCUGUACUGCGACCGCGACGCGUUCACGGCCGUCGACUCCUCCAGGGCCAGCACCGCCUCGUCGCUGGACUCCCGGAGCACCGACUUUCCGCCGCCGAGCGGGCCGUAGACCAUGUAGAGUGCGGCAGCGACGGGGAAGCCGAGGCCGAGCGCCAUGCACAGGUUGACAGCCCAGUCGGGGCGCGUCUGGACAGUGAAGCUCCAGAAACAGCGCGCAGUAGGCGUACUGCGCGAAGCACGUGGCGUGCAGCAGCAGCAGCAGCACGACGCCGACGUGGAGCCGCUCCCGCCGCGCGCCGCCGGCGUUGCUGCAGUACACGCCACGGAGCUCGCGGGCGUCCGCGUCGCGCCACCGCAACAGGAGCGCCAGGUGGUGGCAGAGCCGCGGGUGCUGGUACACGCACAUGACGGUGAAGAGCGCGUUCAGCACCUGGUUCGCCACCUCCGUCCACCGCCUGCGCCGGGACGCGUCGGGCACGGCGGAGUUGAGCGCCCCCGUCAUGAGCAGGAAGACAAACGCGACGCCCGCGGCGACCAAGGCGAGCCACACCAGGAGCGCGGCGUUCGUGGGGUGCCUCGCCCAGGCCUUGCACCUGGCGCGCAGGGCGCGCCAGUCCACGGUGCGCGCGCGGAGGGUGGUGACGCUGAAGCGGUGCAGCCAUAGUUUCUUGGAUGGAGCUGCCCUGAGGCAGUCCAGGAACCUCUCCUUCUUCUCCUUGCCGUGCCUCUGCGUGGCAGUGGCGCCAUGGCUUUCCAUGGAUGUCUCGUGAGAUUCCAUGGUGGGUAAUCAAAAGUGCAAUUUUAUCUUCUUGUUUUGUAUUGCUGUUCCAAAAUUCUCCUUGACAGUCAGUGCUGUGUGGGGGGAGAUCCCUCCAGCUUCAAUAUAUGAUCUGAAUCUGUACACGGUGCUUGAAAUUCUAUAAGUAAGGAAAGGGAUUAGCUCGGUGCGCAUUCUUUCCAGUACAAGAGUGAAAAAGUGACAAAUUUGGCAGGUAGCUGCUGAAACAGAAAUCUUGGUCUCGUUGCUGAUGCUUGAAACGGUCAGAAGGUUUCACCACUGGAAAAAGUCAAGGCGGGCGGCCGGGCACAGUGAAUGGAUUGGACCGAUUCCUGCAUUGCUGAUGUGCAAUCAUAAGAGACUUCCAGCGAAUCAACUUUGGCAUGCUGACAAGGUUCUGUUCAGGCUGCACAGGACGGCCAUUCAGACUGGACUAAGGGCCUGUUUAGAUCAGUUUGCAAAAAUGCAAAAAAAAUUUUGCAAAGAAAUCUUACCAAUUUGAAGUACUAAAUGAAGUCUAUUUGCAAAACUUUUUGCAUGGAUGGGUUGUAAAUCACGAGAUGAAUCUAAUGAUGCUAAUUAAUCCAUGAUUAAGCAAUAAUUAGCGGAUGGUUACUGUAGCAUCACUGUUGCAAAACAUGGAUUAAGUAGGCUCAUUAGAUUCGUCUCGCGAUUUACAACCCAUCCAUGCAAAAAGUUUUGUAAAUAGACUUCAUUUAGUACUUCAAAUUAGCUAGAUUCCUUUGGCAUCUUUGCGUUUACAGCUUUUUUGCGUUUUUACAAACUGAUCUAAACAGGCCCUAAGCUGCGUGACUGCGUCUUGUGGUUUUCACAUGAUUACUGUUGAUGCUAUCAAGAAUACUUGAAUCUGCUCAGUACGCCAAAAACGAGUUUGACAACAUGUAAUAUGGACGGCAAAAAAAAAAAGAGGAAACAUGUAGUAGGUGCUUUCAGCACACCAUGUAAGACUUUGAUGCUGUUUAAUUUGAUGGUCUUCAGAUUUUCCUUUUUUGAAAGAUGGUCCGCAGAUUUAGAUAAAAAAACAGCACAACCAUGGUAAUCAGAUUCCAGAGGUUCAUAAAAAUAGGCGGCCAACCGGGAUCUGAAAGACUGGUAUUUCUGCAUAGGUACACUCUCGUGUAUGCCGUUCUGCUUUUUCUUCAAAGAUUUAUGAAUAGACACAGAAGAAUUCAGGUUGAUUAUCUACCCUGAUCAUUCGCCUCUAUUAGGUUCCCUGCCAUUUCAAUGUAGUGAUAAAACGAACAGACAAAGUGAUAUAAACCAUUGCUAUUUCUUGUUGGCCUUCAUCUAUGCUUUCAGGCAUGCAAUCCAUAUGCUUGAGGAUUGUCGCGCCAUUUUAAAAUUAGUUUCUGAAACACAAUACGCAUUCACUGACUAAACUGAAACAGACAGAAGAAGACUUAAAAAAUGUCUUUUUUACUUGUUCCUUUUUGCAGUUGGGGUUUAUACUCUCAUACAUCACAAAAGUAUGUGUUUUAGUAUAUACACACCAAUGAACUCCAUAACAAACCGAUUUCCUGUAAUCCUGCUUUCACCAAGAUAAAAAGGAGUGGAGAAAUAGGAAACAUGUAGGAGUAAUCUAUAGAGUUCAUGCAAAUCCUAAGCUACAUGUCCGAUUCCUUCUGCUUCUCUAGCUAGAGAACAAUUCCCCUUGUGUACAAAAGAAUGAGCCGAGACACCAGAGUCACCAUAUUGAUGAGCUUCUUCACCUUCACCCCCCCCCCCCCCCCCCCCGCGCCACGCCUCCAAUUUUCCAGCAGAUGAUAAUCUAUGGUCAUAAUCAUUCACCAUUGCUUGGCUCGGCUCUGACAAAGAUUCAUAUUCCUCCCCCGGCGGCACAGAUGUCGGUAUCCAAGAGUUGACCAUUUCCCUAUGAAGAGAAACGCUGCAUUCUUCAGGUUUUUCAUCCUCGAUUUGAACCACUGCAACCUGAUGAACCGGUGGAGCCAUUGUCGUGGUUUCGUCAUGAACAACAACCAGAGGACCAUUUGCAACCGUGAUAGUUGCGCUCAACAACACGUCGUCAUGAUCACUGGACACUGCGAGGAGCAACGGCUGCCUCUCCUCGUGGCCACCGUCAGCCACCUUCGAGUAGAGGAUCUCGCCGUCGACGUGGUAGAGAUUCGCCGUGCGCACCUCCAGCGCCAGCGCGCACGGCCAGCACAAGAGCCACCGCGCGUAGUCCGUCAGCGACUUUGAGCCGCAGCACGCCCUGCUUCCCGGAAGGCCGAAUCUCUUCCUCAUCUGGAUCCUCCAGUAGCCGCCGUAGAGCAGCCCGCAGGCGCAGAGCACCACGCCGGCGCCGCCGACCAUGUCGCUGAUGGCGUAGUCGCGGAUGUGCAGCGCCGAGACGCCCAACACCCAGAGGGGCGCCAUGCACAGCAGCGCGAACGUGACGGCGUGCACGUACGCGUUGCCGAAACCCAGCCUCUCCAUGUUCCACCCCGACACGCAGAAGGUGCACGGCAGGGAGAGGCACCAGGCCGACGACGUGUCGCCGCCGCAAUCCAACAUGCCGCCGGCCCACUCGGGCUCGGUCACGACGUGCCCAAUGGGGGUGGGGUGCAUUUGUGACUGUGUCUCCGCGGCUGAAUUGGAGCAGGCGAGCUCGUGGCACUGGCCGUCUUUGCCCAAGGGACUGCACACGGUGUACACGGCGGCGGCGACCGGCGCGACGACACCGAGCACGAAGAAGCCGUCCUCGGUGAGCUCGGGCCUGGUGGCCUUGGUGUACCGUGUACCCCCAGUAGAGACCGCAGAGCACGUACUGGCAUACCACCGUGAGGUGCAGCAGCGCGACGACGACGGCCAUGUGCACGCGCUCGCCGGCGCGCCCUUGCAGUAGGCGGCGCGGAGCUCGGCGGCGUCGUGCGGGCGCCAGCGGCAGAGGAGGAAGAGGUGGUGGCAGAGCGCGGGGUGCUGGUAGAGGCUUAUGAUCGUGAAGAGUGCGUUGAGGACCUGGUUGUUGAUCUCGAUCCAGCGGUUCCUUUCCGCCGGCGCCGGGAACGCCCCGUCGAACAGGCCCAAGAGGAGGAGCACCAACAUGCCGCCGGAGAUGCUGACGAAGAGCAGCCAGAGCAGCAGCGCGAUGUUCGUGGGAUUUUUGAGCCACUACUUGCACGUCCGGCUGGCAGAGGUCCAGCUGACGGCCAGAACGACACGGCCGGCGAAUGGUUCGUUGCCGGAUUUCUGGCGGCGGAAGGAUGGAAGUUCGCCGAGGCAGUGCACGUGCUGCUGCGGCGUGUUGGGGAGGUGGUGCUCGGCGUCGGCGAGUGGCGGCGUGGAAGGCCGCCGGUAGUUGAGGAGCAUCGGCGAGAGCAGCGCGGCGGCGCCGGUGGUUGGAGCAUUGUCAUUAGAGCUGGCAACGGCAAGGGCCGCCAUGGCGAAACGCUAGCAUCUAGCAACGACAACUUCUGUGCUGGUUUUGUGGAGAGGGAGAUGGAGAUGGUCCUGGGAUGGAAUGGAAGCCGUCAUCAAUCUUGGGCGUCUCCUUGGUCAAACUCGGGUGCUCAUAUUCAUUUUCUUCUUGGAGUUGGAGACGGACGGAGGUCAGCAGCUGCUCUGCUCUGUGCCUCUCGCCAUCGCCAUCCCCUUCGCCUUCUCCACCCACCCACCAUGCAUCCAUGUCCUCGCAGCUCCACGCGCGCACGGCGCCGGUCGGCCUGUAUCCGGGCCGAGCAAGCUUUGCAGAGAAAGACCCCUCGGGCUGCUUGUCUCUAUGCUCAGUGCCGAGCAGUGAUGAUGCCUAUGUAUCGCUGUCGAGUGUCUAUGCUGAAGAUGGAGAGUGGCAGUCUGGAGAGGAGACCGGGACUGGCUGAGAAUCAAGUGCAAGAGUUGCCAGCUUACAGCAGUGUUGGGUUUUAGCCAUUCAUGGAUGUUGCAUAUAUUGAAGGAGUACUAGCUGGUGCUGAAAACAGAAUAACGACGUUAGGGAAGGGGCAGCAACAUUUUGUAUUGCAGUGAAUGUGAAUAAUAAUGAUUUUUACCGGGCAUUUCAUAACAAACAGCCACACAUAAACACUCCUGAAAACAUGUUAGAUCAGCUGUUGUUCGGGCAUUUGCUACAUAAUGCAUGCUAAUGCAGAAAGGAAACUGUUCUGUUUCUUUUCUGUGCAAUCAUAUUUUGGGAUAAGAGAAAUUCAAAUAAUGAGUGACAACAUCCAGUAACCAGAUCAACCGCUCAUCUAUGACUAAACUGGCCAUUAACUAACUACCUCGGUUCACAUAGUUCAUCAGGGAUAAAAUCAGCUAAUGGCGCCAUCAAUCUUGGGCGUCUUGGAUGGUCAAAAUUCGGGUGCUGAUAGUGAUAUUCUUAUCCGGCUAAUUUUCUUUUCGAGAACGCAGCAAAUCAUAUGGCCGUCAGAAAACAGACCAGAGCAAGGAAGCAUCAGUCUCAUGUCAUCUGCUGCUCUGUGCCUUGGCCAAGCCACCAUUGCCUUCACUUCACCUUCUCUACCCUUGCCAGCAUCCCUUCACCAUCACGAAUGUCGUGGGCUCUACUCCUCGCUUUUCACUGCCUCAGCCACCAUCAAUGGGAUCGCAGCUCCACACGUCCACCAUAAAGCUCGCCCGUGUGAACAGUUUUCAGCAUAGUUUGCAACCAGAAUAUAAAGAUCGGUAAUAGUUGCUUGAUUCGAAAUUCACUAAGCCGACCAAAUUACUUUAACCAUGAUAGAGGCCUCAACAAUCUUUAUUUGUUGACUGUCAUAUCCAUGCUUCUUUGCUUUGAAGGAAGCACAGCGUUCAACUUCAUCAAUGACGCCUCCUCUUUCAUCACCAAACUUGAACUUCAAAUGCAUCCAAGUAUUUUGUACCACCGCAGCAACCACAAACCUUCUUAAUCCACGUGGCUCACUAAUAAUGCCAUGAAACAGCUGGGUUUCUUUCUCUAGUCCGCUAACAGAAGAACUAAGAAGCAAACUGAAACCAUUCCGAUGAUGAACUACUUGUAUGGUUGCCUCCACGGCACUGUGAAACAUAGCUAAUGUUAUGUCAACUGCGCCACCGACACCAUCAAUACGACUCAAGAACGGUUUGCAUGAUGGUGUCAUCGAAAUCUGAUACUCCAUCGAUUAAUUGCACUCUCAUCUGCUUCCGGUUCUCCUUUCUUCUCGAUCCUCAUGUCAUACUCUAUUAGGACAGCAGAGUACCAGUGGCGGAACGUGAGCUGAAUUCAAGGGGGCUAAUUUAAAAUGGCUGCUAAGAGUAGAGAGCACAUUUACAUGGAUGCAUGCAUGCAUGGAGCCAUACAAGAGAGAGAGUUUUCACAGGAAGGGGGGCCGGAGCCCAACUUCGCCUCCAUUGCAUUCCGCCAGUGCUCGAUACCUCAUCCUGUAAAAUCAUUAUUUCUUUCAGUAACUAUUUAGAAAUAGUAUUUAUUUCUAUAUAGAAAUAUGCCCAUGCAUUUGUGAAAUUUGAGUUAAGAGCAUAUAUGAUGGGAUCACCCCUACUCCGAUUAAAUAUGUAUAAUUGCGUAACGAGUCUCGAGUGUCACGCGUAGCGAUAUAACCAUAUAUCUCCACUGAAGCAGAAGCAGUAUCCCAACGUAACUGUAUUGGGAAUAUUUGCAUCAUUGGUCGCGUGGAAUGAAGUUGGCAAGUUUCCUGCAUGAUUGCACUGUCCAAAACACCGACGCGUUACAAACUCCAUGUGUCCAAAACACCGACGCGUUACAAACUCCAUGCGUCGGUUUAAUCGGUCAACUGCUUCUGCAAUGAGCUUGGAAUUGAGUUUUUCUUCGAUUUUCUUCUGCUUUCCAAGUGUUAUUCGAUUUCUAUGUGUUGUUUAGGACUGAGCUUGAGCAGGUAUGCAUGAUUUCAAGGCCAACUUUCACUAGGUCAAGCUACUAAUUAGGAGCCCCUCUUAAUAUUACGGUCAAAGGCUAAAAGCUACAAAACCUAAACUAAAUCUAGUGUCCUUAUGACACUUGACACUAGAGAGGUGUCCAAGCCCUUGACACGCAUUUCCAUGCAAAUUGAAAGGUCUUCUUUCAUAUUUCAUUUGCGACAACCAAUAUUCGAUAUCCGCUUCAAAAUACACGUUAAUCACAAAUGGUUAUCAUUAGUUACCGAAACUUACCAAAUGCAUCUAUCGGCCUAAGAUGCUUCAGCGUAUGUGUCGCUAUCAGGUCUACGCUGAAGAUGGACCGGCAGUCUCGGCCUAAGAUGCUUCAGCGUAUGUGUCGCUAUCACGUCUAUGCUGAAGAUGGAACAGCAGUCUGCAGAUGACACCAGGAGGAGGAUGUCUGAGAAUCAAGUGCAGAAGAAGGCGCAAGGUUACAGCAGCGUUGGGAUUUAGCCAUUCAGAGAUGUUGCACAUAUAUACGAGGUGUGGUAAUUGGUGCUGACAACAGAAUACUAACCACGUUAGGGGCAGCAACAUUUGUAUUGCAGUGAAUGUGAAUAGCGAAUACUUUUUUUGCCGAGCAUUUGGAUAGCAGACAGCCACACACAACUACUCUUGAGAACAUGUUAGAUCACCUGUUCAGGAAUUUGGUGCAUAAUGCAUGUAAAUACAGAUCAUGCGAUUCAACCGUUCAAAUAUGACAGGGAAAAUCUGACCAUAAACUAAGUAGCUUGGUUUACAUAGUUCAUCAGGAAUGCAAUCGGCCAAUGAUGGCAACCAUAAAUUAACUACGUUGGUUCAAAAGCUCCCAUCUAUUUUUGUUUCACAGAAUUAUCUCUGAACUGGAAAACUCAGUUUUUUUUUGCGUGUCGAUACACUAUUAUCAUUGGAGGAAGGCCCUUACAAUUGGAGUCAACCACUACAAUUUAUUUUAUGCUCAUAUAUCUCCCGCAGACUGAUUUGCCUCCAGCAAUGAAUGCAUCCCUUAUAUUUUGGUCGUCUUUCAGAAGAUUUGCUGUUCUCUAGAAAUACAUCCCUAGUUAGAUUCCACCAAUUCACCACUUUGGGGUGCUUCUUGCUUAGGAGUUUCUGUUUCCUCACGCUGCAUCACUGCAGCAUUGCUUGGUGGCUCCUCCUUCACAUCACCAAUUCACCACUUUGAUGUGCUUCUUGCUUAGGAGUUUCUGUUUCCUCGCGCUGCUUCAUUGCAGUAUUGCUUGGUGAUUCCUUCACAUCUGUAGCGUCCCUCUUAAAUUGCAAUGCUACAUAGGCGCUCACUGACUCCUGCUCUACAACUCUAGCUUCCAUGUUAGGCUUCACCACUUCAGCACUAUCGAGUGGCUCCUGUUCCACACAUCUAGCUUCCUCAUUAGGUUCGGCCGCUGCAGGAUCUCUGGGUGGCUCCAGUUCUAUUAUCCUAGCUUCCUCAUCAGAUUGCAGCAUUACAACUUCCUUAUUGAAUUGAACCAUUGCAGCAUCUCUAGAUAAGUCAGGUUCUACUCUUCUAGCUUCUUCAUGGUGUUGAAGCGUUGGAAGCCCCUGCUUUACACUUCUAGCUUCCUUAUCAGCUUGCAGCAUUGUCAUAUCUCUAAGAAGCUCCUGUUCCAAUAUUCUAGCUUCCUCGUCAGGAUGCAGCAUUGUACUGUCCCUGCAUGGCUCCUCUGUUAUAGUUGCCUGCAUUGGGACAUCAGAAUCAUGAACAUCCCCAGCCUCCCUAGUCCUAUCCUUUUCAGCAUCAACAAUCUGGUCGGUCUUCCUCAUGAAUUUCCGCUUGUUCCAUUUCUUUUUUCCACCACUUUUCUUGAUUUUAAGUGAUUUGGGGGUUUCAGUUGGCUUUUUAUCUGUCUCCUUAACUUGCCUUUGUCCAGGAACAACAAUGUACUUCAUGGCACCAUUUGCACAACCUUCUGAUUGACCUGCACAAAACAUUGCCCAUUAAUGGCCCAAUCCAAGACAAAUCCAUAAAGGAGGGAUAAUGUUUGCAUACCGAAUGGCUCUGGAUUGAAUAAUAAGAAAAUUACCCUGGAUUGCAAGAAGAGCUGUUCGGGCAGCUUUUAUCUCUGCAUCCUUCUUUGUUCUAGCUGCAGCACCUAUGUAUUGUAUGCCACCAAUCUCAACAGUGCAUACGAAAGGAGCUACACCUGAAGCUUGCUUAGAGCAAAUAUAAGAUGGAAUGGCGUAAUUCAUCUUCUGAGCAUACUCCUGAAGAAGAUUCUUGCACAGGCCAGUCUCUUGCUGCAAAGCAUAGUAAGAUGUAUCAAAGCAACAUGACAGUCAAGAAGAGGUACUGCGCUGCUAUGCUUCUAAGGACUAUAUGAUAUAUUCAGAUUAUCUAGAAACCAUGUGCUAUAUGCAUGGCUCACAAACUGGGCAGAACAAAUUCGCAAGCAUCUUCCUGACUAAUUCCCUACUAUAUUUAGAGGAUAUCUUAGCAUAACCGAGAGCUUCAAUAGUUACAAUCAGAUGGAAUAACAUAUUGAAUUUGGGGAAAUGCCAUGAAACCUAAAACAGACUUUCAUGAUUGUACUCAGGUGCUGUUAGAACUUAGAAGACCACAAUUGAACUAAUCGACAUUACUUAAAAAGCUAACAACAGCAAGGAACAUACAUUUUAUUAGCAGUCUUCCAAUACAUUCCCUGAAGGCUUCACCAUGGCAAGUUAAGUAGGGCUAAACAUAUGUAAUUUAAAGAAGCAUGUACAUGUUCUAGGCAGCAUACAACAGUGAAUGAGUCAGUUCGUUUUUGCCCAAGCACAAAAGGACAAAAGAUUGCAGAUUGCCACUCAUUCACAUAUAACUUGAAGUUGAUGGAAUGAAAAGAUUUUUCUUGUUGGAGGCUGAUUUUGUAUAAAACUUAGAAUCUCUACUUCCUUAGCAACAAUAUCUGCGUAAACGAGUAACUUACUACUGCUGGGAUGCUUUUAGUUUCAGUUGCUGGAACAGACUUGACUAUCUCCAUAAGCGCAACUUCAGCGGCCGACUGUUCUGCAGCCUUUCGGCUGAAGAAUCCAGGCAGCGAAUCAUACUUGGUGUUGUUAACAACCACUGUGGACUUGAAUAUUGGUUCAUGGGACGGGCCCUCUUUGAGGGUAUGAUACUCAGGGGUUGGGAGACCAGCUUUCUGCGUGUACUCUUGCAGGCGGCUCUUGAAUACGUAGCAAUUCUCAACCCCUGUGCGAAAUCAAGCAUACAGCAACUAAGAAAACGGCAGUAUUGCAAUGUUGUUGAAAAAAGAACAGAAAUUUGGAAUGAACUACCCUGGAAGCCUCCGGUAGGAUCAGGGGCGGACCCAGCAUAGGACAUGGGUGUACACCCGAUAAUUCUUGCAAACGAAAUCGAAGUUAGUAGGUAAUAUAUUGUAACUGGAUUCAGAUCCGAAUAUAAAUACUUUUGUUAGGGUUUGGGGUGCUCCGUCUCGCACAGCAGAAGUAAAGAGAAGGGGUGGGCAUACCUGGAGGAUGCGCUCGUCGCCGGCAAAGGGCUGGGCGAAGACAGGACAAAUGGCGCCGCCGCUCGCCCAGUCGUCGCCGCCAGGGAAGGAAGAGCAAGGGAGGACGGAGGAGAGAGUCCGAGAGAAGGGAAAGGUUUAAGAAACAGAGGGAGGAGAGGAACCUCAGGCCCUGAGCGGGGAGCGGCUGAGCCCAGGGCUGUCUAUGAGCCGAGCUCGAGCGACGGAGCGAGCCUGCCACUAAAGCUGGAGGAUCCCGAGCCGAGGUUGAUCCGAGCCCGAGACGUUUAACAUUUGCGAGAGUAUAAAAGAACAAUUUUACCGUAGCGAUACAAGACGUACGUACAAAGGUGGUCUUAGUAGAAAUUUUAUAGAUAUUAAAUGUUAUUGCUGAUAUGACAGAGUUAUUACGAGAAGAGAUAGAAAGAGUGCCGUACAUGUGAGAAGAGUUUCAUCCAUAUAACACUCAUCAGUUCGGUUACCAAGUUUUCAUGGUCGUUUGUAAUAGUAUAAUAAAACUACGCACUGAGAUUUAAACGCAUUUAAUUCGAUAAAUGAAUGAAAAGAGAAGCAUAUUUAGAUAUUUAGUUUUAUUCCCUCUAUUUUCUUUUGAUAGUCCUAUUUUCAAAAUUGAAUCAUUCUAUUUUGAUAGUCUCAUUUAAGUUGGUAUCUUGAAAAUAGUAUGGAUGGUCGUUCGAUUUCCGUGUAAAGUGAUUUCUCUUGAAAAAAGAUUAGUGUAUGUAAUAAUAACAUCAAAAAUAACAAGUCGUAGUUAAUCUCGUAGUUAAUGAGAUGAUACACAAGGUUCUUCUUCUUAUCAUUGUACCAAGAUAGAAAUACUAUAUUGUAUCUAUUUUGCUUGUGCAGCACAGUAGUUCGCUAGCUAAUGCAAUACUAUAGCCUCUAGCUAUAUUAUUUUAACUUUUGAUGGUUGCAAAUUUAAUUAAUAGAGGUAGCAGGGUGCAUGCACAUGCCACGUAAAACUGAAAUACUCGAGUUUCAACGUCAAUCUCGGAUUAUUGGAGCUCACGAGCUGCAGGUUAGAUCCAAGCUUGGCUUGAUUGCAAAUAUAGAUUAGCUUGAAUUGAACUUUUUAGCAAGUCAAAUAUAAAUAGCUCGUGAAUUUUGAGCUUUUCUGUUAACCCUACUUAUGGAUAGGGGUGAACCGUAAAUACUUAGCAGGUCAGCAAGUGUAAAUUAGCAAGUCAUCAGACCGUAGUGUUGGGACGAGUACGCAUGUUAAUACGGUGGGCACCCUCAUCGUUGCUAAAGUCAAGGUCGUGACAACCAGCAUCGUGAAGAAUGGGAGGAAGAUUUUUUAAUGAAGGAGGAUGGGUAGCAUGUAUGAAAGUGUUAAGAAGUGUUAGAGGUCAAAUUUUAUUUGAAAGAAUUUUGAAUGAGAUGUUGUCAUACAAAAUUUAUUUAUAUCGUAAUCAUAUCUAAAUCGAUAAGGAUAAUAAAUGCUUCAUAGUAUCACCUGUAGCAACACACAGGCAUAUUUGUUAGGGUCAUAAUAAAUUAUUCCAACUAAAAGAAUCUUAUUCUACCUAAGUAUUAGAAAACAUAUCCUGAAAUACUUCAAAUCAUAUAGUGGAGCAAAAUAUUACAUUGAUAGAUAUUUUAUAUGCUAGCUAUAUAACAACUAACAUCAUCUAUAAAUAAAGUACUCAAACUACUAAACGAACAUGCACAAGAUAUGUAAAAUUUUUAUUAUUUAUUUUUGAGAAGCUAUUGCCUAAAGAGGAAUGGGAUGUAUGUUUAAGUAAUGCUUCUUUAGCUCGUAAAAUAAUAUAUGUUUCAAACUAAACCAUAAUAAUUUUUAUUCAGAAUAUGGUUAAGUACUAGAAAAAUAUUUAAUUUUAAAGAUCAUGUAUACCCAAGUUUUAAAGUUUAAAGUUCAGAUCCGCCACUAUGUAGGAUGGAUUAACAAGCUACCUGUAAAGAAAAGAAAGACACUAACGGCGUAAACUACUUAAAAAAUAUUUAAGAUACCUUCUGGACGAACAUGUAGCUGUAUGAAGUGACUGGGUACUAGCAAAGAUCAUCCAAGAAAUUGAGCGAAACUGGCAAGAAUCAGAUGGUUGGGUUAGAGGGGAAGAAAAUGUUGGGGAAGCUUACUCAUUCCGAUAGAACGGCCGCGAUGAUGGAUCCAGCAGAGAAGUUUGUGGUGGCAUAGGGGUUGUGCGUGUUUGGCUCUAGCAUUUUUAUAGGUAGGGAUUUCAACUGAACGGCAGUGCUUAAAUGCAAGUCCCACCGAACGGUGAUGUUCAGGUAUUAGAAAUUGUGCGUAGUCAUGGAAGAAGCGGGGAGCUGCGGCCACGAUGCACGCACGGGCUUACUGUAAAUGCACAACAACUCUCUUUCAAAAUAUAAAUGCACAACAGCAGCCAGCAGGCCUGCUAAUUGCGGGGGAUUAUUGCUAAUUGCUGAAGGAAGUCACUACGGCGGCCUCCGAGCAUGGACCCUCGUGGCCUGUCACACAACGCUCCUUCUCCCUCCAAUGAGCUGCUCAAACGCCGACGCAUCCAACCGGCCCGCGCAGCCGUCACGCAGGACUUCCAGCAGCAGCCCCCGCGCCCGCGCGAGAUGGCCGCCGCCACGCAGCGCGCCAACCAGCUCCGACAGCGCCGGCGCAUCCCACCGCAGGCCCCGUCUGACCACCUCCCGCGCCACCUCCCUCGCGGCGUCCAUGUCCCCAGCGGCCACGCACCCGGCGACCACGACGCCGAACGUCGUGACGCCGGGCGGGCACCCUGCGCGCUCCAUGCACCCCAGCAUCCGGCGCGCGCCGGCCAGGUCGCCCUUGUCGCACAGCGCGCCGACGUAGACGUCGUAGACGCGCGCGCCCGGCACGAGCCCCCGCAGGAGCAUUUCAUCGAACGCCUCCUCGACGGCGUCGAACGAUCCGUUCUCGCGGAAGGCGCGGAGCACCCGCUCGAACUCCGGGAGACCCGGGCGCGCCCCGUCGGCGUCCAUCUGCUUCGCCACGACCUCGUACGCCUCGGCCACCAUCGCCUCCCGCAGGAGCGCGUCGAGGACGGCGUGGUGGUCCGACCGGCUGGGCGAGACGCCCCACCGGCGCAUGUCGUCCAGGAACGCUAGCGCGUCCCGAGCGGGGGCGCAGCGGCAGAGGGAGGCGAGGACCGCGCGGCAGUGGCGCUGGUCCGGGUCGAGCAGGAGGCCGGGCAUGCAUCGCAGGAGGUCGACGGCGGCGGUGGGUCGCUGGGCGCGGCAGAGCGCGGAGGUGAGGAUGCGGAAGGUGGUGGCGUCGGGGGCGGCGUGCGGCGCGGCGCGGAGGAGGACGGAGGGGGCGACGCGGAGGAACGCCGGGGAAGAGCAGAGCGCGGCGAGGAGGGAGUUGAGGGCGCGGGUCGUGCAGCGGGCGGUGGAGAAGAGGGUGGCGACGGCGGCGAAGCGGCCAUGGCGAGCGAGGGUUACCAGCAGGCGGUGGUGGUGGCCGGUGGCUUCCGGCGGCGCUACGUCGUGCCUCAUCUUCCCUUGUGCAGGCACAGCAGCUUGUACUCUGCUCGUGUUUCUGACAAAACAAGAUGACGCGGAGCCUUUUUGUUUCUGUUCCUGAUGGCUCUGAAUUCUGAAGCGAGCCCAAUGCCAAUGGGCCGGACCUGCCUGGUGAUCACUCACCAAGAGCCAAGAGACAUACAUCUCCUUUCUAUCAGUCCACUCAAGGGUCCAGUGAUCAAUCAUCACAGAUAAGCACUAGCCCCAUGUAUUAUAUAUAUACACACCACAAGGGCCUCAGGAAAACACAUCUUCGCACACAUUACACUGGCUCAAGACCAGAUAGCUGACAACUGUACAAACACGAUCCGUAAUUUACAAAAGGGCAAUCUGAAUGCAAGUGACUCGAGGACAUUCAUUCAGGCCAUACCAACCCCAUCUAGUGCUAUAUUAGCUGGACAAAUGCAUCUAUCUAUUCGGAGACAUGUGCAUGCAUUCUAUUUCCACCUUGGGCCCAUAUGCACAGCACAACCCCACUUAACCCAGGCAGCAGCAGCCCCUACCACACCUGAUUUAUGGUAUCAACCAUCUCCAAACCUUUUUACAGUUGGUAAAAGCAAAGGAACGGACAACCCGAAUGAGGUGACUAUUUACAUUUCGGUUAACCUAGGUAUGAUUAAUUUAUUUGGGGUGAGCCUCCAAGUUCAUUGACAGGACCAGGGUAGGGGUUCACAAACCUUCUGCAAGGAGGCUAAUGAAUCUUGGCUUCGCUGUAUCUUACAAACUGCACACGUCGCCCAACAGGCAAUAUGAACCGAGAGCUCCGGUCAUAUACCACCAUGUUGUCGGUGACCGGGCUUCACAUCAUCUUGGAUCUUGUAGCUGGACCUUGGUGUGGACCCAUCACUUGGCCAAAGAGAUAAGGCCUACUGGUUGCAUUGUUGAUGCAUGUCAAGGGAUGUCGACCUCAUCUUACUUGUAAUUUUCCUCAGCAUAGAUAGAGACAAGAGCAUUAUCACCAGCACCAGCGGCCAAGAGUGAUUUGUACGGGUGGAAAGAAAGGCAGUUUACACUGCCUAUUCUUUGGCCCAUAAAUGAUGGCUGGUAGCGAAUUAUCGUCAACUGCUCUCCUUCAAGACUGAACACUUUAAUCAUCUGCUUGGCUGAGCCACUUGCAACAACUGGGGCAUGCCGAUGAACAGCUAAAGCGGUAAGUGAACCCCUGUGUGCCUCAAUAGUCAGGUAGGGUUCUGCUGCCCUUCUAACAUCGAGAAACUGAAUGUCUCCAGCUUGAGAUGCACUUACAAUCUGUGAUACCAUAGAUGAUAGAAAAGGGAGUCUUGUAAAGCUUUGAGCAAGCCCGCAGUUGCUUUGACAGCUGAGAAUAGAAAACAUAGCAAUGCAAAGAAGUGGUAGUACAUACCUUGUAUGGAUCAAACCCAGGUUGAAACCCUAUGCCCACAACCUUUUCCAUUCUUGGGGCAUGUGGCCUUGCCAUAUAGAUCAGCCUACAGUAUAGGAAAAGAAUAUUCAGAGUAAAAAAAAUGAUAUAGGUUGACAGAAAAGAAAGAGGAAGGAUGACAUUUGACAUUGGAUAGGGCACAUAUAACAUUUGCAUGGUAUGCUGGCAAAAGGACAGAGGAUGUAGAUGCUAUUGUACUUACCUAUCAGGAGAGCGAACAUCAAAUAUCCUGACAGAACCAUCAGCAAAACCAGCAGCAAAGUGUCCAGAGCGGACCUGAGACGCAGACUGAAACAGAAGCAACAAGCAAAGGUCAUGCUCGAGAACAGAUAAUGCAAACAAGAUUAACAUAAAAUUUCAUGUCUGUGGAAUGAAAAUACAUGUGUUCUUGAGAACUUUCAAUAUGUUAUAGGAGAAUAACAAGAUAAGCUGAUAAACCAUUACACUGGAGCACAGUACUUAUUUUUUGUUAGUAAAAAAACAUAGUUUUAGACACAACAGGAGAAAAUCCUUUGGAAAAUUCCUAUAUUUGCCUCUUCUCACAUUGUUCAACCUACUUGAGACAAGUUGACAAUCAUACAGAAAGCAACACCAAAAGCCACUUCCACUCAUAAAACCUCGCAAUUUCAACUGCACACAAUUAGGAGUCUAGGAGGGUGCAUGUGCAUUAAUAUAGUGUACCUCAACUCUUUACUACUACAUGUAUUUUGUUGUCAAUGUAACUAUCAAAUACAAACCCUGAAUUAUAUGAUACUGUGCCUAGCAGUCAAAUACAGGUACACGAUAAUGUUGCAAGUUAUUGAUUAAUAUAGCACAGGAAUAUCAAGUAAACACAGAAUCACAGAUCUAUGGUUAUUUCCUCAGUAAGGAAGUGCAAAAUAGCCUACUCAAAUAACAAAGGAAGUUACUUGAACUAAUAUUUGAUUGCUCAUAUAGCACAUGGUAACAAGAACUUACCAGGGCAGAAAUUGCACUGUCAGCAGAUGACUGAAUGGUGCUGAGAAGUUGUUCCUUGUCAAGAUCCCAUACCAAGAUGGAAGACAUGUCACCAGAUGCAUACUAUUGAACAACAAAAGGAAGCAAGUUCCUGUAUUAGAACAGCCUACAGCACAUAAAAUAAAAUUACAGAACCAAUGGGAAAAUAAUAGAAUAUUACCAGGCAACCAGAUUGCUGCUGCCAAUCGAUCACAAUACUGCGACCAGCAGCUCGAUGACCCUGAACCGAUGAGAAAGCAGUUACAAGUUUUUGUCCUCCCUUUUGAGUAAAGUUUUUCCAUAUACGUACAUUUCCAUCACCUGCAACAUGAAAAUUAGAUAAUGCAAUGAUAGAAGAUAUAAGUAUACAAGGAAAAGCAUAGAGAAGAGAUGCAUACUUGAGGCAGCUAAAAGCAAGCUCUCAUCAAGCUCAUUGAUAAGCAAGAGUUUCGAUAGCCCUCUGUCGGACAAUUUAUGGUUUUGAAAAGAGUUCACUGGUAGUGCAUCAUCGUAGUUCCACACUCUGACAUGAGACAGAACUUUAGCACAACUGCAGUAGUGCAUUUCAAGCACCAGGAUCGUUAAUUGAAAUAACAAUUUCACCUUAUUUGUUCAUUUUCAUCAGCUGCAAUGACGAUUGGAGAAAAUGGCAACAAUAAUGCUGCUUUUGUACCUGAAUCAAACCUUGUAUCCCAACUAGCAAUUUGGCUUGUCAUCUUGCAAGCUGCUAUUCCCAGGGCCCACAAUAAUAAUUAAAAAACAGAUAAAUAAGCAAGAAUAUCAAUAAAAAUAAUGUAACGCCGACUAAUGUAGGCCACGUACAUGAUCGCUGGCACUUAGCAAUGCAAUCUAGUGCAAUUUGUUCUCUCUCUUCUCUUCUAGCAUGGGCUUCUUCAUUAUCAUCAGAACCAGUUAAAAGUGGCCUAGCAAAGUGUCCACAACUCCAGUUGUAAAUUGUUGAUUGGGGAAGUAUGCUUAGUUCAGCAUUACUGGGAGUCGCAGCAGAGCUUAAAAGGGGAUCAGCUAAGCCCUCAGGAGAAUUCAUAGGAUGUGAUUUGAACUCCAUAGAACACACUCGGCGUAAUCCUGUAAGAUAAUCAUGUUGAGGGGGGCUAACAGGAGGCGUCCUAAAUGCAAUUGAGAAGUUUCCUGCAAAAUAUUCGAAGACUCAAUUCAAUAAUUAUUGUCUUUCCCUGAACAACCAGCGCACAAUAUUGAGGUAUUCCGGCCUCCAAGGACAGCAAGGAAAGUGAGGGAGUAAAACUCACCAGAAUUCAUAUCAAACCAGGAAGAAGAGCGUGCCAUUCCAAAGUUUGAUGGAGGUACAGAUGUCUCUCCUUGAUGUGCACCUCCACUGUUAAAUCUACUAUUUUUCAUGACCACUUGCUCGACACCUAUAAGGGACAGUGCUCUCCGACCAAUAGUUGCAAUUCUUGGGUAAGGAUCUUUAGCAACAGAACACAUAGUUGAUAUAUAUUGAGAAUAAAUGACACUGUCAACAGGCCUCGAUCUAGUGUAGCUGAGGCCACCAUUACUUGCAUUCUCCCUCAGUAAUAUGCCUGAAUCAGAGUGUUGGGAAGAAUCAUCUGACUGGGGAGAGCCAUGCAUGAUGCUACUUGUUGCAAUCGGGCUGCUCGUAGAAACCUUUCCAUCACGACCAGUGGCACUGCUAUCACUGCCAACCCUUAGCACAGGACCAAUAUGAGAAGCAAGGCCACUGCUGCCUUGUCGGAUGUUGUUGGGACUGUAGAUAUUGUUUGGACUACUUAUAUUGGCCAGUGAUGGUAGUGACUUCAGCAAUGAAUUGGUUUGAGGUUUCCAAUACUCAGCAGCAACAGAUUUGAGAUGCUUAUUGUGACCAGAUGCAAAACGAGUAAGCGCUGGAAAAACAUCAGAUCAACUCAAAAAGGUUAAAAAGAAUAUUCUAUGUUCAACAUAAUAAAAGGGUGCCCUACAAAAAACGAUAUAGUUUUUCUAAUGCACAUACCUAUAGCAACCUCACAUCUAACAAGGGGGCUACCAUCUGAAGAGACCUGCAGAAGGCUUCGAAUGACAUUUAUUUCAGCUUUUACUUUUUCAUCGUCAUCAGAAUCAUCAUCAACACCAUUUGAUGAUGUUGAUCCCAUAUCCAGGAGAUUCCCAAGUGCAAAAACAGCAGAAGCUCUGACCUGGCAAGACCAAAUAUUUAAUAAAUAUAUUGUGAAGAAAGCAAAGGAAAGAACAGAUGAAAUAUGAAGGCAUUGUACCUCAGGUUGUGGCUCCGAUAACAAAUAAAUUAAAAUUUCUGGUGCAUUUGAUUGCAGACCAAGUAACUGAGCCUCAGGAAAAUCUUCCCAGAGUUUGCCAAGGCAUAAACAAAGCCACUGCAAAAGCAAAGGCUCUGUCUGUGCAUCAUGAGGAUUUUCAGGUUGCAGAUGUCUCAGACAAACAUCUAUAAGACAUGCAUGAAUACAGGCCUCUUGACCCUUCCUAUGCCCAUCCACAAUAACUGCUAAAACGAAAGCGGCCAUUGCACGCUGCUCUGGGUAAGCAUCCAAACUGUCAAGAAAUCUGAUAAAAUAUGCAUGUCCUCCAUCUUUAACCAAGUCAACCUGGCACGACUGCCAUUUGGGGAAAAGUAUAUAGGUUAAACACCUGAUCCUUACAAUACAAAGGAACUUCACAAGACUCCAAACAAGAGUGCAUACCUUAUCAAGAGAUAGAAUUUUCGUCCAUAUGAACACAAGAAUUUGACGCAACUCCAUUGCACUUGUUUGAAGCAGUUUGAGCACAUAAGGGAAGAUUCCAACAGACAGGGCCUAAAAGAAUGCGGCGAAACGGUUUGGCAUAGAAUAUAAAUAACAAGCACUUGUAAAAAGGUACAUGCAGAAGAGCUCAAGUACAAACCAAAUCAACUGCCCAUGGUCCCAUGUCAAGAAAUCUUCCAAGCAGAACAAGUGCUCUAAAUCUAUGUGAUUGACUAAGCAGGACCUGCACAAAACUGAUGUAAGAAAGAAAGGAAUGGGAAAAGAAACAUAGUAGAUAGGAUAAUUUAAGGGAAAGCAUGCGAAACAUUUUACUAAAUUAAAAUUAUAGAAGCGAAGAGAAAGGAAAUGAGGUACUUCUAAGGUUGUGAUUGGUAGGCUGCAUAAGGACCUAUCCGGGCUUGCAUAGUGCAGGCUUGGAUGUUUGGUAGCCUGAAUAGGCCUGUUAGCCAGGCUCCGAUUGUGCAAAUGGCCCUGUACGGCCUGCAUAGUGGGAAACGCAAAUGAGGCUCGUCUCCAGUUGUGCAGGCUGCACAGCACCCCGGAUGGCCAAGUUUUGGCCCCAGCCUAGCUACAACUGUGCAGCCUAGGAAGCAAUGCAGCCAUUCAAACAAAAUCUUAUGCAGGCCAAUACAAGAUAUGCAGCCAACCAAACAAACCCACAAAAUACUACAUAAGCCUGGCUUGGGCUGGCCCUGCAUAACUCCUAGCCAGGCCAGAAAUAGACCAAGUAACCAAUCACACCCUAAAGAGCUAACAGAGUUAGACUGGGUUUUACAAAUGAUACUGACCUUUACGAAACUGUAACAUAAAAAUGUCUUACCUGAAGAACUAUAGGUAACUGUUCAGGGGGCUUCUUGUCCUCAGAACCAUGAUCAAGCCACACUUCAAAAGCCGUCAGUUGUUCCGUGAAAAAAGGGCUCGGCUGGUUUGAAUUAGCAGACAAAUGAAUUGGAUAUAGUGAAGUGAUUAUAUUCAAAUGGCAAAAUAAUACUAAACAACUGAUGUAUUUCUUAAAGGGCUAAGUAACAAGUAGAAAACCUGAAACUCUGCAUUUGGAUCAGCAAUUAACUGAGGAAGCUUGGAAAGGCAAAUCUCAGCAGCCAUGUCCCAUGCGUCCCUGGGAUUUCACUAGUUACAAAAUGCACAAAAUAGCUAAUGCAAAAACAUAAGGACUAGUCAGGUUAGCUACCACAUAUGGUGUUGAUGUGUCGGUGGUAACAACGGGUAAGAAAUUGGAGAACAAUUUGCGGAUCGCAUGAUUCUCUCAGCAAGCAAGAAGUUACGGAAGAGACUAGCAACCAGAAGAUCUUGCCUGAAAAGCCUUUGGAACAGAUCUGCACAGUGAAACUUUGUCAUAAACCCAAUACAGCCAGACAUUUACUUUAACUCAAAUGAUCUUCUCUGAUUUUCUUUUUUCUCAAAAAGAUUAUAUCUAUCUCCUAGAUGGCGUACCAUGAGGAAGAACAUUCCAUGCAAUAGUGUCUGUAAUGGCAGUGAAAAUCCAAUUCAGCUCUCCAAGAAGAGUUUUACGGUCAUUUUGCCUUCCAGGAAUUUGGUCAAUAAGAGAAUGAUCCAUAGAACCACGGAGUAAUGAUCUCUUACAAAACCUGCAUAGUUUAUAGGCAUGGCCCCAUGUAAGCACAAAAUGCAAAGUAGAGAGAGAGAGAGAGGGAGAGAGGGAGAACAAACCAGUGCAGUGCCAUCUUGAUGGGUGUUGUGAGGCAAGCCGUAAACACAUCAGCAGGAAAUUCUGCACUCUGGGGAAGAGUUUGAUGUGCUUCGCAGGCAGCAAGAAGAAUGCAAUCCUUCUGCGAAGAUGAAGAGGAGCUAGAACUCCAGUCUAGGCGCUGAAGUAAACAAAAGUCACUACGUAAAUUAGACAAUUCAGGAAUAAGAACAAAAUAGACACAUAAAUCAUGAUUACCUUCAACUUCAAGAAUAAGAGAUAUAAAUUAAUAAGCAUACAGCAUACCUCUAGAAAAGCUUUCACAAUAAUUCCAGCUGCUGAGCAGUCAAAAACAUAAAUGGAAGGUGUUUUUAGCCAAGAAUCAAGAUCAGUAAUCGGAAGUGGAAUAUACUGCGUGUAACUCUGCAAAAAAUUACAAAAAAGACAUUUCAUGAAAGACGCCUAUGAUAAGUACAUGCAGCAAUCAGUACAGUGUCUUAGUAACAUUUACCUUGUUAAACACCCAAAUCUCACCAUUAGUUGUAGCCUUUGGUACACCAUGGCCAUUGUAAUGGAAAAGGACUCUCUCUGAUCUGGCAUAUUUGCGGCAAGUAUUACAAAGCUUCUUAACUUCCUCCACAGUUGGAUCUAGCUGAAGCUUGUAACGAGCCUGCAAGCGACAUUAGUAUUUAGGACAUGAAGAUGCAAACCAUCAACAUCAAAAUUCAAAAUACCACAGAAGUUAAACAGGAAAGCAAGUUCCUCACCUUAGGUUGCCAGCGCUCAUACUGUGAGUGCAACGUUUUUCCAAUAUUUUCAAGGGCUUUAGGAGGUGCCAUAGAAAAUGGAUCUGAAAAGAAACAAAAAUCUAUGAGCAGAUCUCAAGGCAAUUCACGAGGGAAAUAACAGUAUUUAAGUACAAAACUAUCAACCAAUAUGAAUUCCCAUGUCUAAAAUCUAGUAAAUAAAUUUUCCAGUUUCUUGACAAAUAAUUUUUCAAGCACUACAAAGUUAUACAAUUUUCAUCCCUGGGAUUGGUACAUAAAAUGAUCUAAAAACUAUGGAGCAAAAUAAUGUCAUAUGGGAACAGUAGGUAGCAGACAGUUCAUUGCUAUGGUUAUUUGGCACUGAGAUGCAAAAGGUUACAAAAAAAACACAGUUUCAAUCAAAUGGUGAAAAACAGAUCAUUUUUUAGUGCAUCCUAACUUGCAAGGCAUAUUCACAUAGAGAUGAGCUCAAUUCCACAAACAUCAUCGGCAAAAUCAGAUGCAGAUAACUGUAGUUUUUCCUCAGCUAAUAAGAAAUUUGAAAAUAUACACUCAAAUAAACAUUUACCUAUCCAGCACUCCAUUCUUGCGCAAGGGGAGAUUUUAAUUACAUCUGGUGGAUCAACACUAAUGUUUAAACAUAAUACAAGUGCAACACAUCCAGUCUUCAUCUGCACAACCAAAAUCAUCAUUAGUAAAUGUCAUGUAAACAUGCGGACAACAUACAAAAAACACGGAGAAUCAUCUCAUGGACUGACAAAACAAAACAUUAAAUAGCUAUAAAUUCCAUAAUGACAUAGUAAUUUAUGUUGCAGACCAACACUCAAACCAUUGCAUGCCAGCUAUAAAUACCCGAUGCCCCAUCUGGUCUGGUGCUUCAUGCAAUUGCAAUAUGCACAAUGUGGCAUCCCUAAAACCACUGUGUGCUUACAAGCCAGCUUUGUUACAGUGGAAUCACAUAGGCAUUCUUUAAGCCUCCAGUGGCACUAAUAACUUGGGCAGCAAACUUUGCUUCACAAUGGGUACUAAACGACAUGAUCCAUGUUUUAACUUAUAGUUUCACCAACAGUAAACCAGCAACCAAGUAUUUCUUUAACAAUAUGAUGCCAGUCACUGAUAAGUAGUGUCACUUGGAAGGGAGACAAGUCAUUCAUUCUGAAUGCAAUAGCAACUAUUGGAUCCCAAAAAUACUUUGAGGAUUCUGCAAUUUCCAUUUUGUUGUAUAUGUAGGUAUGUGGAAGCCACCAUAAUCAUCACAACAUUGACAGGACCUGUUAGGCAAGUCCAGGGUAACACUGUUUACUUGGUAUCCAAAAACAGACUGGUCAAAAACUGGUCAUCACCAUGCUAUGCUUAACUGGUCCAAAAAAUUAAGAAUGCGCACGAGUCUGAUGUCAUAGCAGGCUACAACAAUUUCCAUUUUGUAUUAAUUAUUGUUAAAGCCAAUCAGUGCGAUACACCUCAGAAGCAGAAGAUACUCAGCUGUGGCAAACAAUAACUCACUCCACCACAUCACAAUUGUCAUGCUUGCAAGACUAGCGAACGUGUCAUUACUUAUUAUGUGACUUUCGAGGUCUCAUUACAUCUGGCAGCGCCGCAGUUAAAAUCGUUUUUUGUAACGGAAAUUUUGAUUAACGAUGUUGAGUUUGCAGGUACUAUAUAACAACUUCACCCGACCAGCCGCUGCCCCCUAAUUUACCAUUUUUAAGCUUAAUCAGUUAAUUGCAACCCUAUGAAUCCCCCCAAGCCGAAACACACCGAAUCCAGCAAACAAUCAAGUAUAAUAGCAGAAUCGGUAGAAAGAGCAUCUGCAUACUGGAUCGCAUCCAUUACCCGGUCCUUUGGGCGCCACUUGGAGACAAGGCCGCUGGUGGAGGGCCCGGCGGCGGCCGCCGCAGCCUCGUCGAUCCCCUCGUGGCGCUGCUCGCACAGCACCACCACCUGGGGCAGGUACGCCACGGGCGCCGGCUUCUCCACCUCGGCGGGUUCCAGCCCAUUCCUGGGCUCCGGCCCGUUGGCGACGGGGAGGUCAUCCGUGACGUGGUUGUGGUGGUGAUUCGGCAGCGGCGCCGUGGGCGCGGCCGUCGAUGGCGACGGCGACGGCGACGGCGAGGACGAGGAGUGGACGAGCCUGGACGCCAUGAGAUCUCCCAAUGCCAUGGACGCUUGCUGUGUCUCCUGCCCCCUCAGCCCGCAGCCAUGAUGAGGUCGGGGAGCUUGGUCACCUACAUCGAUCGAAUCCGGCCAGCUUGGCGAAUCGGGAGGGGGCAGCCAGGUGGUCAGUGGGGCGGGGAAGAUUGGGCGGAGGUUGUUGGGGUGGGAGGGGUUUAGGGUUAGGGUUUGGACGCGGCUGGAGGAGAGAGAAAAGGAGGAGGUGGGAAGCGGCGUCCCGGUGCGGUGCGGGAGGAAGCAGGCAGGCCGACGACGCGAGAGGCGAGGCGAGCACAGAGAUGGACGGGCCGCCGGAAAAUCACUCUCUUUUUCCCAUGUUUUUUUUUCUCCACUACUAGUAUAUGUAGUUUUGGCAUGCCACGCGUAUCCAAUUUUACAGUUUUCGCCCCCAUUUAUUUCAUCCACGAUAAGAGGUCUUAUAUCAAUUUUAGAAAAAAAACGUACGCAUACCUUUAUAAACACACACGCAUGCUCAUCCUUAUAAAUAUACGCACGCAGCCCUAUCUUUAUAAGCAUUUUUGAGAGACUGAGCUGACAGACGCUAUAUGUAAUUUAUGUAACCGGCUUCUUUUAUUUAUCGAACAGAUAUAUACAGAAAAAAUAAAUACACAUGUUAGAAUUGACUUGCAGUAAAAACAUAAACAAAAGCAAAUAGACCUAUAAAAGCAAAUAUGUAGGGUUCACCUACUACUACCUCCGGCAAGAAAAUUUACAUAUACAUAUAAGAUAUAUACAUAUAUAUAUAUACAUAUAAGAUAAGAUAGUACUCUUAGAACAUAGAAUUGUAUUAAACAACUUAGGUUGACCAAUUAUUGAACACCACCUCCUAGGAACAGGGUUCGGCAAUGUACACCAUGGAAUCUUCAGUUUAUCCCUCAAUCUUUAUACCUAGUAACUUGCCACGUGCUUGUAGCAAGGGAUCUCCAAAAUCUAACUCCCAGUCAAUAUGCACAUCCGGAAUGCACCACUGGUAAUCUAGAUUGGCUGAUCUGAUUAUUCUCACCCAUCACUAAUGUGGUAAUCAUGUUCGACCUACAUAACCUAUAUUUUUUAGAAAUACAGUACAGACUCAGACGUCCACAAACACACGCACGUUGGUGUGAAGCUAAAUCUGAUUACAUAUAUACUUGCAAAGGUGAGCUUGCGAGUCGUGAUAAAGUUGCAAUGCAGAAGUAGCAUUGGUGCAAACGUUUAAAUGAAAUAUUUUAGAAUGCACUAGUGCAAUAGUUAACUAUGUUGGUUCAAUUUUUUAUGCUCGUGCUGACUCGGAGAAACUUUGCAGAUGAAGAGCCUAACCAUGGACUGCUAUGGUUCAGUUUUUUUUCUUGUGCUGGACUUCCAUCCAGCAUGCCAAAUCUUGAAGCUCUUGCCAUACAUUCAAAAUUAGAGGUAUGAGAACUUUAGCUGGUUGUUAAUUUGUUAUAGGCAUAUCUUAUGAUACUACUACAGGUCUAAUUAAUCUGACCUCUUUAUGCGGAGGGCCUAUGUACCAAUGUUGUGUAGCAAAUUCCUCUUCCUCGGGCACUUGAGCAUUGCUCUUAUUGGAGCACCCGUUUACCCAACCUAUGAUUAUUUGUCCUUAGCUUCCUUAGCUUCCUUUUUUUAUGCUGCUCCUUCUCUGGAAACUUUCAACUUAAAUGUGAGUUGCCAUUCGUACUAGUACGAUAUUAUUAGUAUCUGUGGUAGAAAUAUGGCUUAAUUCUGUCCUUUUGUAUCACAGGUAUGACAGCGAUACAUGAAGAAUGUUUCGAUUUUUGCAGAUCCUGUGGAUCUGAGGCAGAUGCAAGAACUGCAGCAUCACAAUCUUAGCAGCGUGAGUAUCACAUGAUUCAGCUCUGCGAAGAGCUUGGUUGAGUUGACAUUUCACAAGAUUAUAAUCUCACUUGAGUGCUUGACAUUGGAAGCCCCUCAGAGUUGUGUCAGAUGCUCUGGUUCUGCCAACAAAUCUGGCAAAUACUCCCUACUGGCCUUGGAUAUUCUCAUGGAAGGUCACAAAGCGGUCGUGGCUAUCAGAAAGUAUAUCGAACCUAGAGUCCUCUCCACAGUGAAGUUACAUGUUUUGGAGCCUUGCAGCUGCCAUGAUGUUGAACUUCAGUUGUCAUGUUUAUCUUAGUUAUUCAAUGUUUUAUCAUGCUGCUGCUGCUAAUCAUGCCAUGAUUUUUGUAAUGCAUAAUGAAGGAAAAAUUUUCAUGUGUACCUUUGGAACAAAAGACGCAAUGGAUCUUGGAGGGAAUCUAAUAAUGUUUCCUUUUCCUGUGCUGUACUCCGCCCCAUUGGCAAAUUUCUUGCAAUCUAAGGAUGAGCAAAUGUCAACCAGUCAGAAUCAUGCGUUUUCCCCUGUGCGUUUGAAAAUCCUGGGCGCCAUACAUAGAAGCCCUCUCAGUAAAUAUUUGUCGACUGCGUUCAACCCGACGUCCUGCUGACCGAGAGACCUGCAGUUGCAACGGAGAGCUCAGGGAGUAAUCACAAUCAGCGGAGGACUCGGAGUUGGCAGAGGAACAGGCGGCCGCAGAGGAGCUCCGUGGGCUGGCUGGUUGACCUCGCGCGUCGCGAGCAAGCCACGCAUGCGAUGCGUGAUGGCCUGGGGCGCUGGCUGACUGGCUUCGUUCACAGCUGCGUCGACGGCCACCAAGCUCAGCGUGCCGCUGGCCAUGAUAUCCAGAUAGGCUCCGCUGCACCAGCAAGUAAAUUUAAUAGAUAAGUCAAGAGCCUUCUUGCAGUGAUUACCUGCUCCUGACAGAAGGCUCUUCUACUAAUUUAGUUUGCUCACUCAUCCGCACCAGUGUAUCUGUGUAUGACAAUGGCAGACUGCCCUGUGUUGGUUUCCAUAACUAAUCAGAUAAGUCAAGUGAUCCAGUUGCUUAUCAACUGGGAUCACUUGAUGUUGGUAAAAGAAAAAGCCCGCAUUAACCUUGAUGUUCUCCUGCAAUUUAAACUUUGCCUAAAUUUUGGAUUAAUGAUGUUGAUAGUCAAUAACAUCGGGGUCAGGUUUGGUUAUCCUCUGUCUGCUGUGCCUUUAGAGUAAGGUAACUCUAAAAAUCUCUGCAAGGUUGCAAAGUACCAUUGAAGAAAUCAAGUUCUUUGGUUUGAAAUAUUGGUCAAAGUCUUCUUUGGGUUUGGAGUGACAAUUGGUGCAGAACGGACUCAUAUACGAAAGCAUACUUAUUGUUUGGCCUAUGAAGUACUUUCACUUUUACCAGGAACAUAGUAAGCUGUCAAAAUCUACAGUAGCGCACACCUUAUUGACCAAUAUCAUGGUUUCUGAUGGACUCAAAAGAACAGCCAUAAUAUUUCUCAACCAGGUCAAAACCUUUUACAACAGAUACAUCAAGAAAUGGAAUAAGUGAAAAUAAUUAGGAUCAUGUGUAUAAGUAUAAGCAUUGGGCAGCAAUGACUAACAGAAAGAAUGAGCAUUGGUUUUGAUGAUACCGUCUAGCACAUUGAGAUGACCUACCACAAAUAUAAUACCUCUAAAAUGGGAUUUAGAGUGAACUAAGGCUUGAGGACAUCUUUUCUAGGUGGUGCUAGGGCUAACAUCUUCACUAGUUAUCCACAGAUUAUUGUUCUUCAAAAUUAAUAUAAACUACAUUAAUAUAAUACUUAAAACAUUGUUCAUGAUAAAAUGUUUGGUGUCAGUACACCAAAAAAGCAACAUUCCCAUGAACAGCCUCCACAUAUCGCACAAUAGCAUCCUUGUUCAUUUGAUGCAUUGCUCUUGUCAUGGCAGAAACUGCCAGAGUUUGAAACCUAGUUCAGGUACUAAUGAGCAUACAUGUUCCAUAAAAUGUUGUGGUCAAAGACUCAAAAGUGGAAAAGAGAAAGCAUUACUGGCACAUAGCCAUGUAGGUUACAAAACAGAAGAACAUUUGAGAUAAUCUUAUACGCAGUUUACACCAUUAACUAGGAAUAUACAUUACCAUCCAUCAUAGUACAACUACAAAUUCAAAGAAGCCCUAAAAACUGAUAAGUAAUGAUGGUCAAAGUAAUGGUACAACUAAUGUCCACAGCUCAACCCAGAAGAAAACCGAGACAUCCAAGUUUAUAGGGGGUACUAAGAUGUCAAGUACAAAUGUAGCGGGAUGAAUUCCACAAGAUUUUUUGUUUUAUAAAUUAACGAACGAUGCACCCAAGGAUUUAUGUAAAUAGGUUUCAGCUGUCCAAAUAACCACUAACAAUUCAGCUUCACUGAUGUUGUAGAUAUGUCUGGGUCAUGAAGGGUCCCUUAUUGCCUACAAGGAGGCCAGAUAACUUUAUAUGGCUGUGUCCAAUUUAUAGGAACAAAAUAGGGGCCAUUCAGCCAUUUUUCCGCAGCCUAAUUCAAAUUUUAUCCUACAGAGUAUAGUCACAUGAAAAUACAUUCAAAAUGAUCACAAAACCCUCAUGAAAGUAGCUAAAAUGGAAUAGAAAAAAAAAACAAUUUCCAUUUCUCUAACUAGUACUGUACAAAGAAGAAAAAAAGGAAAAAAGAGAUAGGUUUCCGGAUCAUUAGCUGCUUCAGAAAUUAAUGAUUAUGCCUAUUCAUUAAUUUCACAAACUAGUACUAAUAGAAAACAAGCAAUAGAAACUAUAAACCAAGAGCUGGCAAAUAAAACAUCUAGAAAUUCUGAUGCCAAGUUAUAUCUAUCAGUAAAUCCGACAAGCUUCACACACCUUUCACUAGCUUGAAAUUGACUGCCUCCAGUUCAGCAACGGAACAGGAACAACCUUAGGACCAUAAAGACAACCCUUAAUUGAGUUUGGUAGUACAACUUUGUCUUAUCAUAACCUAUGACUAUGAGUAACCUAAGCAUGCUAAUGAGAUCAUCUUAAAGCUAUUGGUCCCAAAACAACUUCCAUAACUGAUGGAAACAUUCAAACACAACAUGAAAAAUGAACUAAGACUGCCUGCCUAGAUUUUAAAAUCGAAGCUCACUUCCAGGUCUCCUCUGAAGAAUUAACUGGAAGCAGAGCAUCCAAGAGCAAUGUUGGGCAGGCAACCUGAACUCCCAUUGACAUUCACCCAUCAAUCAUCUAUUUCUGAACCAAUGCUCUUCCUUAGUCCCCUUGGUGGAUCAACAGAGACACCCCUUCCUUUUGGUAUCACGAAAUUCCCUAAUUAGCAAAUCCAAGCCCACAAAAGCAUCCAGAACUUCACCUUACUCGAGGAAUAGGACAAACUAAAAGCAUAUACAAAAUAAGAUCAUAAGAAUAUAAAUUAUGCACACAACAGAUCUGUAGCUGUAUGCAUAAGCACAACAAACAGAGUUGAAGAAGCACGCAAAUUAAACAAAGUGGUUGGACUGCGGUGGCACGGGUGCAAGAGCAGUAACAACCGUGGCAACUACAAGCUGAGACAAGAGCAAACAAUAUGGACGCUCCCCAAGAAGUUAUGAAAAUUCAGAAUGUUCCAAUAGUAGCAACUUGUAGCAAAAAGAAAUUGCACCAUUAACUAUAACAAUUCAGACCACAGGCAACAAUUUCAACAACAUAACAUUCAGAAUCACAGGAAAAUCUAGUAACAACAAACCACAACAUUCAGAACAUAAGCAACUGAUGAGAGCAACGCAAGUAUAUAGAUGCGAGUAUUUAAGGAGCAAUGGCAAGUGCAUAAGAUCCAAUCACAUAUAGUCACUGAAAUGAUCGAAUGAUCCUUGGGAACCUUUCAACUACUAGACAAAAACUAUAGCAAUAGAUCUAUACAGGCUGGGGCAUCAAGGACUCAAAACUUCAUGGACUAGCAACCGGUUCCUUGACCACGACAACGACUUGCAAAAAACACUAGCAAUAGAUCUAUACAGGAUCGGGUGUUGACGGACUCAAAAGUUAGUGCACUAGCAAUGGUUCCUUGACUACGACGACAACUCACUUUGCGCCGCCCUUGGUGCCAUCUUCCUCGUCGGUGUUGGACUCGUCCAUUGGCUCCAGGCCCUUGACGGAGAUGUUGGCGGGGAGGUCCUGGCCCUUGACAGAGCCCGGGUCGACCGCCGGGAACUCGACUGCCCAGUCGAGGCACAUCUGGACGCUGUUGCCAUGUCAAGCUUGUUCAAGUAUCUAGCUGUUAGUGUGUUAGCGUGUCAAGGGUCUAUGCAUGAGCUCACGGACUGUGUGCGGCCAUGCAUGCGUUGUGGGGGAGAAUAGCUCGCGUAGUCCGAGUUCUCCGCGUUCUGGACUCGCUCUCCCGUCGUGCGUCGUGGGGAUGGACGCGGCAAUGUCACGGCAGGAGAAGCGCUCCAGCGCUGGUUUUUCCGUUUGAUGUAAUCGCGAGUAAAAGGAUGAAUAGAGUCAGAAAAUGCUGCGACAUUUUGGCAGCUCAAAAACUCCCUCGUGCUCGUGUGUUCUAGUGUUUCCAAGUGAGCUCUGGCUGACAAUUGGUACCAGAGCAUUAAGCUGGGACUCACGCCGUGAUGCAGUCACCAAAGUCCCAAGGAUGUUCGCCGCUGGCGGCGGAAAAGGUCGGAACGUCGAGCGGCGACAAGAAGGGCUCAGGCGGGGAGAAGAUGCCGCCGCACUCACCAAAGCGCACGCCGUCACCAAGCUGCACGCCCUCGCGUCGGUCGCGCACUCGUGACGCCAGGGGUGGGCACAGGCCGCGUCGCUCCCGGGAGAUCGUCGUCGAGCGCGUCAUCCAUGAAGGCGGUGGCUUCGGCAACUGGCCGUAAUUGACCGAGGCGAAUUACAACUCGUGGUCACUGCUGAUGAAGCUCAAGCUGCAGGCGCGCCAUCUCUGGGAGGCGGUCAAGGUUGGCGACGUCGACUUCCAUGACGACCCCACCGCGCUAGAGGCGAUCUGCAGUGGUGUCCCGACAGAGAUGGUCCCCAUCCUGGUGACCAAGGCGUCAGCCAAGGCGACGUGGGAGGCAAUCCGGACGAUGCGGAUCGGGGAUGAUCGGGUGCGGAAGUCUACGGCUCAGAACCUACGCGCGGAGUAUGAACAGAUUGCAUUCCGCGACGGUGAGCCGGUGGAAGACUUUGCCCUUCGCCUGACGAAUAUUGUGCAGCGGCUGUCAAUCCUCGGCGAUCCAGAGCCGGAGGCCAAGGUGGUGGCAAAGUACCUGCACGUGGCCUGACCAAGAUUUCGGCAACUCGUCGUCUCAAUCGAGACACUCCUCGACAUCGACACGCUCUCGGUGGAGGAGGUCACCGGGCGCCUCAAGGCGGCGACCGACGACGAGCCGGCUCUGGUACGCGCGGAUGGAAAGCUCUACCUCAUGGAGGAGGGAUGGAUGGCUCAUCUGCGGCAGCGGGACCAGGGCGCCCACGGUUGCGCGGGUGCCGUGGCGGAGGCACGAGCAAGAAGGAUGGCGGCCCAAGUUCCUCGUCGGGCGGAGGGUGCAGCGUUGGGCCGGAUCAAUGCCGGAGAUAUGGGAAGACCGGUUAAUGGGCCCGGGACUGCCCAACGAAGCCCAAGCAUGCGGAGGCCCAUGUGGUCCAAGGAGAGGAGGAUGACAGCCCUACCCUUUUUUUUUUGCAGCGGCGUCGAUCGGAGUUGAGGCGACGCCGGCAUCCGCCGCUGCGCACCUAAUGGAGAAGAAGGUGGUGCUGCAGCUAGAUGGAGAUGCCAAGCGCGACACGGGGCUUUGGUAUUUGGAUACUGGGGCCACAAAUCACAUGACGGGUGCGCGCGACGCCUUCACCGAGCUUGACACCAGCAUACAAGGCAUGGUCAAAUUUGGGGAUGGAUUUGUGGUCUCGAUUGAGGGCUGCGGAUCCAUCAUGUUCGAGACGAAGACCGGAGAGCACCGGCGCCUCUUGGGGGUCUACUACAUCCCGCGGCUCACGGCGAAUAUCGUGAGCCUCGGGCAGCUAGAUGAGGGAGGCUGCAAGGUCGACAUCGACGACGGCGUACUACGGAUCUGGGACCAGCGACGGCGACUGGUGGCGCGGGUGCGUCGUUCCCCGGGACGCCUGUACCUCCUCCGCAUGAUGAUCGCCAAGCCGGUGAGCAUGCUGGCACGAAAGAUUUGGGCACCUUCACUUCGACGCACUGCGGAAGCUGGCGCGGGAUGACAUGGUGCAAGGUCUCCCCGAGAUCGAGCACGUCGAGCAGCUCUAUGACUGCUGUAUGGCGACGAAGCAGCAGCGCCCCUCGUUCCCGGCAGCAGCCAAAUACCGGGCGCAGGGGAUGCUGGACUUGGUCCGCGGCGACCUCUGCGGGCCCAUCACGCUGGCGACACCUGGAGGCCGGUGACACUUCCUGCUACUCGUCGAUGACCACUCACGGUACAUGUGGGUGAGGCUGCUGAAGACAAAGGACGAGGCGCCGGCGGCAAUCAAGCAGUGGCAAGCACUCGUCGAGGUGGAGACGGGUCGAGCGCUCCGGGUGUUGUGCACCGAUCAUGGGGUGAGUUCACCUCAAUUGAGUUUGGCGAGUGGUGCGUAGGGCGUGGCGUGCGCUGGCACCUAGCGGCGCCAUACUCGCCGCAAUAGAACGGCGUCGUGGAUCGUCGGAACCAAACGGUCGUGGCGAUGGCACGGAGCCUGCUGAAGGGAAGAGGUGUGCCUGCGGAGUUCUGGGGCGAGGCCGUCGUGACGGCCGUAUAUCUCCUCAACCACGCGCUGAUGAAGAGCCUCGCGCGGGCGUACACCGUAUGAGGCAUGGCACGGUAUCAAGCCGGCAGUGCAUCACCUGCACACGUUCGGGUGCAUGGCGCACGUGAAGACGGUGAAGCCACACCUGAGCAAGCUUGAAGACAGGAGCAAGAAGAUGGUGCUGCUCGGGUACGAACCAGGGGCCAAAGCAUACCGGGUGUACGACCCAGCGGCACGGCGCGUCCACGUCUCUCGCGACGUCGUGUUCGAUGAGGAUGCGGCCUGGAGCUGGAGUGACGCCGAAGGGGAGAAGAGCAAGGAGUUCGUUGUGGAUGCAGCGUGGGAGAUGGUGCACCAGGAGAGGCCGUCACAUGCUAUGACGGCACCCAUGAAGGCAACAACGUCGCCGGGUGCACUAGCACGGGGUGGAUGGUCGCCUGCAAUGGCGACACCUGCGAUGGCCACUUCUCCUACCUCGACGCCCUGUACCCCGACACCAACGCUCCCAGGCGCGCCCGCGACACCGAUCGGUACUAUGCAUGAGAACGUGGCCGGGCCAGGACAGGAGCCAACAAGCGGCGGAGUGCCGGACAAUGCCCAGUACACCGGUGGGGUACUGGACAGCACCCACCUCGACGCCGAUCACAACAGCAGCUGUCCGCUCCGGCUUCGCUCCCUCGACAACAUCAUUGGGGAUGCGGAAGUCCCGGGCAUGGCGGGGCGAGAGUUUGACUAUGGAGAACUCAUGCUGGCGGUGGGAGAAGAGCCUGCAACGUUCGCCGAAGCGGAGCAGCACGCUCCGUGGCGUGGGGCAAUGCUGGAGGAGAUGGAGGCCAUUGAGCGGAACAAGACAUGGCGCCUCACCAACCUCCCCCCGGGCACCGACCAAUUGGGCUCAAAUGGGUGUACAAACUGAAGAAGGAUGCGCAAGGGAAUGUGAUCAAGCACAAGGCCAGAUUAGUAGCUAAAGGCUACGUGCAGAAGCAAGGUGUGGAUUUCGACGACGUCUUUGCACCGGUGGCGCGGCUUGAGUCAGUUCGAGUGCUGCUCGCCAUGGCUGCCCAGGAGAGGUGGAUCGUCCACCAUAUGGACGUCAAAUCGGCUUUUCUCAAUGGGGAGCUGAGCGAGGAGGUGUACGUCAUCCAGCCGCCGGGCUUUGUGCAAGAAGGGGAGGAAGAGAAAGUGCUACGGCUCGACAAGGCCCUGUACGGGCUGUGCCAAGCUCCCCGGGCGUGGAAUAUCAAGCUGGAUCACAGCCUCUGUGAGAUCGGCUUCAAGAAGAGCAGGUGUGAGCACGGAGUUUAUGCUCGCGGACAUGGCACAUCAAGGCUCCUGGUGGGUGUGUAUGUUGAUGAUCUCAUCAUCACCGGGAGCGACGUGGAUGAGAUUAACAGGUUCAAGAAGGAGAUGACGCGGCUAUUCCUGAUGAGUGAUCUUGGACCCCUGAGCUUCUACCUUGGGAUUGAAGUGAAGCAGGGAGCUGAGGGAAUCACCCUGAACCACUGAACCAGAGCGCGUACGCGGCAAGGAUCGUGGAGAAGGCGGGCUUGGCUGGCUGCAAUCCCGUGCAUACUCCAAUGGAGACACGGUUCAAGCUGAGCAAGGAGAGCUCGGCGCCGGCGAUGAACAUGACAGAGUACUGCAGCCUCGUCGGAUGCCUACGCUACCUCGUCAACACGCGCCCAGACCUUGCAUACUCGGUGGGGUACAUGAGUAGAUUCAUGGAGAAGCCCACCACCGAGCACCUGGCGGCAGUCAAGAGGCUCCUGCGCUACGUCGCCGGGACGAUCAACUACGGGUGUCUCUACACCAGGCAGGACAGCGAGGCCAAACUGAUCGGCUACUGCGACAGCGACAUGGCUGGCGACGUCGACACCCGAAAGAGUACGUCUGGUGUUCUCUUCCUCCUUGGUCAGAACGUGAUCAGCUGGCAGUCACAGAAGCAACGUGUUGUGGCGCUGAGCUCCUGUGAAGCGGAAUACAUCGCAGCCACCACAGCAACCUGUCAAGGUGUGUGGCUGGCACAACUAAUAGGCGAGCUGAGGAAUGAAGAAACCAGGUCGUUUGCACUGAAGAUUGAUAAUCAGUCCGCCAUUGCUCUUGUGAAGAAUCCGGUGUUUCAUGAGAGAAGCAAGCACAUCGACACACAAUAUCACUAUAUUCGAGAAUGUGCAGAUGCAGGGAAGGUGAAGGUUGAAAGCAUCGGGACGGAACGGCAACUGGCGGACAUUCUGACCAAACCCCUGGCGCGCAACAAGUUUGUUGAGCAGCGACUGAAGAUUGGAGUUCUAGAAGUUCAGUGAACAAAGCUUGAGGGGGUGAAUUGUUGCCAUGUCAAGCUUGUUCAAGUAUCUAGCUGUUAGUCUGUUAGCGUGUCAAGGGUCUAUGCAUGAGCUCACGGACUGUGUGCGGCCAUGCGUGCGUUGUGGGCGAGAAUAGCUCGCGUAGUCCGAGUCCUCCGCGUUCUGGACUCGCUCUCCCGUCGUGCGUCGUGGGGAUGGACGCGGCAAUGUCGCGGCGGGAGAAGCGCUCCAGCGCUGGUUUUUCCGUUUGAUGUAAUCGCGAAUAAAAGGAUGAAUAGAGUCAGAAAAUGCUGCGACGUUUUGGCAGCCCAAAAACUCCCUCGUGCUCGUGUGUUCUAGUGUUUCCAGGUGAGCUCCGGCUGACAGACGCGAGCUCUGAAAUCGCCGAUCCGGUCCUCUGAAAGCUUGUAGUCGAUGUCCAUCCUCAGGGCCUGGCGGGCAGCUCUCUCGAGGCUGUUUGAGAAGUAGCUGGUUAGGUGGAUGAGAAGAGGUUGUUGACCUAUAGCCCCUUGGUGAAGACGGCGGAUCGUCUGGUUCCUGGAUUGGAGACCGCGGAGGUCUCGACGUCGGUGGGGUUGUUCGCGAGCGUGGGGAGGAUAUCGGCGUCGAGGGCGGUGAGCAUGUCGGCGAAGCGAGCGAAUCUGGCUGCUGGCUUCCUUUUUAUUUUAUUUUUAAUUCCAAAUAGUAUCCCAAGAAUCAAUUCAAUUAUAUUUCAUUCAUGGCUUGUUGGACAUGUUGUCCACUGAUAGCAAUUAAUCUUACCUUAAUUAGAAUCUGUUGUCUUGUCAUCAUGGAUGCAUCUGAAGAACUGAUUGUCUAAAUGGCCGUCCUGAUAGCCAUAAUCCAAGCCUAGGAGUGAUAUUCUUUUCUUGCGAGGAGAGUGAUAUUUAAACUUCAGCCGUUAAGAUUUAUAUCAUUUUCUUAUAUACUCCAUUGUAGCUGUUUAAGUAUGAUAUGAUGCACUCGAUCAGUCCAGAAGUGCAUGUCCUUUAAAUAUGUAAAUCUAUCUAUGGUUUGGUUGGUACAUUCAUCAAUAACAACCAUGCAUUCAUUCCAGUUCCUUCUAUCUCUACACCUCACGCUUUCUUUUCCAAAAAAAAAACACCUUACGCUUUCCACCGAGUGGAUCGUUCAUUGGCAGACAAUUCAAUUCGACGAGGAAUGUUUUUCGUCAAUCUGACUGGUGGAUUCAGUUAAAACAAUGUGAAGAUCCUUUUGCCAAUGUGGGCGGCACAGGCAAUCUGAUUGAUCGAUUUGAUUUAUUACUCAAAGAAUAAGCUCAAACAAUCUGAUUGGGGGCAACAUGCCAACCGUUUCUAACAGCCUUUUCCGAUCCAUCCACCUUCAAAGUUCACAUGAUAGGCAAGGAUAUUCAUAUGCUUCUGCAAACCAAACAAAAAACAGGUCCAGAAGCACUUUGAGCCCAACUCUGUACAGGAUACAUGCAACUCAGGGCAACACUAACAAGUAGUAAUACUCUCACUCAUCUUUCAUGGCCGUCUCGUGCCUCCUUUUCUGUGCAACCUCUACAAGCAGGGUCAGCAGGGCUUCGCAUACCUGCGAUGUGUCCGCCUCAUCGCCAGGCUCUUCUUUCAGCGAGGAAUACACCAUCCAUGCGUGGUCUAGCUUCCUCUCUGGCCGGACCACCACCGAUCCAGGAACCUCAGCAUCCUUCCUCGUCACAAGACCAUCACUUUUCUCGCCAUACCUUGCCACCAGAAGCUGAGAGCAUGCUGCCAUUGCAGCUGAAAGUGGCAUUACAACCGGUAUCCUGGUGGAAUUGCCAUCGGCAGCAAUCGGGAGCUCCAAGUGCGCAACAUGAGAAAGCGCGGUGAGCACACUAGGAGUGAUGCUUGCCUCGGUGUGGAAUGAUACGAUUGGAACCUCCUGAGGCAAUGGAUGCUGUCGCAGGAAUUCUUUCCUCCUUUCAUAGGUCAGAUCUUCUAGAGCCUGCACAUCACCCUGAAAAUAACACGACAAAUAGAGUCAAGAACACUAUCACUCAUUGUUAGGCAAGCUGGUUAGUGGCUGGAAUGAUCAAGGCAAAUACCUUAAGGACUUUGGAUACCAAGAUCUCCAUGAUUUUACGCAACCUGACAUAGUCACCAAGCUGCCCCUCUCGCAGGAUAUCUGAAGCAACUGGGCUUCCUCCAUAUGGACUUUGAGCUAAUACUAAACCUGCAACUUUGUCUUUCAGCUGUGGCCAGUAGAGGGAGAGGGCUGCAGCCGAAUCUACACCGCCCUUACUAUGACCGAGAAGUAGCACCCGUUUCCUUGAUCCCCAGUAUAUUUCUUCUAUGUAUUCCUUUAUCUCUCGUGCGUUUUUACUUACUGAAGACUGCAAUGUGUUUUUUCAUGUAUUUCUUAAUUAGAACAAAUAUCAAGAGGCAAGUUACAGGCUAAUGUAUGGAAGUACCUCACUAUGAAUUUUGGCAAUAUGACAAGCUAGACCCAUCUUGGAGAAGUAUGCCUUUGUCUUGACAAAGUAUAGUGGUCCAUGGUUACUAAACAGACCUAUAAAAAUGUUAGCAUAAAAAGUUGGAAAUUGAUAGCUCACAAUCGAAGAGGUAACCGACUGACCUGGAACCAGCAAGUAAACAACUGAAUCAGGUAGCUUGUGCUCAUUUUUCCUGAAGGGGAGUGAGAUGGUCCACAUGAGAUAUAGUUCAGAUUACAUCUUUCAUUAGAAGCAUUUUUACAAAUCAUCUGCAUUGACAUGCAGUUUGGUGCUUUUCCUGUCCUCACAGAGUCCAAGAUCUCCAAGAAUCUGGCUGUCCCAUCCUCAGUUGUAGGUAAGCUUUGAUCCUGCUGGAGCCAGCCGAUAUCAUCUGCCGAACCACGAACAGUUUUCCGUGCACGCUCUACAAGGCUGCACAAGGUAUCAAAGGAACAUACUAUGUUGUGAAAGACUAUUACAUCCACUAAAUUUGAUUUUCCCAUCCAAAUUUACUAAAAAGAAUUGCACCACUAUGGCGUCUGUUUUCUACUCUCAGAUGUAGAGUUUAAUCUUCAGUAUGGACAAUACAUCCCCAGCAUAGCAGAUUCUAUGAGAAGUGCAGCACUACAUGUAUUGAGUCCUUAAUGCAUUGAUUAGAGCUUGCAUCUGAAGGAACAAAGCAUAAAGAUUCAAGAACAAACUGUACCCUUGAAACAGCGAAGUUCCAUUCUGAAAAACAUGUGAAGGCACCAUUUGACCUGUGUUUUCUUGAGAGGGGCUUCCACUGCAAUCUGCCUGACCAAGGGAUGAAUUGGUGCCAGCAGACGCUAUGGAAGAAUUCUGAACAGAAAGCCUGUCUACUGCUGAUGCAGGUGGCAGUGUUACUAACUCUUGAUCCUCCUCAGAUAGACCUGCAUUAAGAUAAUAAACACAAUCAAUCUGUUAAAAUGGAAUUACCAUAAGAGCCCAGGUUGCUUAUGCAAUUGACGUAGGGAAUCAUUUUUCUGAAGAAAGAAAAAGAACUAACCCACAUAACCAGGUACAGGGAGGCACUGGGAGAGAAAUGAAGCUGUGUGGGCAAGAAAAGAUGCAGCUUGAUUUAAAGCGGGUACGGAGAGGAAUAAUUGUGAAUCUUCAACCCUGUCAGCUGAGCAACUAUCAUCAACCUGUAUUAAUCAAGUAACUGUUAAAGAAAGAAAUAACCAAAGAGAUUAAGUACAACUAUAGAACUUUUGCCAAAUAUGAAACUUUACAUAUAAAAUCAAUGGGAUUUAGUUAUGCUGUUAAUGGUGGUCAUGUUUGAAGCAUUUGUGAAAUCACCAAUUUAGGUGGGGUGCAAUAUUAUAACAGUGAUAAUCUUUACACUUAAACUUUUAAAAUUUUGUAUUCGAAUAACAGGGGUGCCAAGGAUAAUGAGUGGACAUGAUCAGUGUACUAAUAAUAACUUUAAGGUUUACAUCAUGAGCAACUGAAAAAGAAAAGAGGGUCAUGGUUAAUUGGUUCAUAGAGUGACAGAAAAAGGAUAAGAGUUGAACAAAGUUUUGGCAAUUCAGUGCACGUGGUAACAGCUGGGAAAAUUUGGAAAUUCAACAUACCGUAGCAGAUGUAGAUGGCUCCCCCUGUGUUGAAGGCGAUUCCCUCAUGUUUGGUAUGGUUAUCCAGAGAAUUGAAAUCUGCUAGCAAUGCUCCCAUUUGUCAGGACGUUCAAUGUGCAACCAAGCAAUGAAGCUGCAUAAGGAGAGUAAGAGGAAAAAUAUGGUGGAGCUAGCGACAGAUCAGAAGUUUAUGACAAAUAGAACUGACAAGGAAACACAACUGGCGAGCAAGUGAUGAGGUCCUUUUAGAGCAAAGGAAUCACAAGUGCACAAGUAAGGAAAAGGUGGUACUCUUAUCGUGAAGAAGGAAAGGAUCAAACGCAUCUCCAAUCAACAAAGGCAUCGGAGCUUCCAGCAGGUGCAUACGUCAGAAGCCAAUUUCCUUUUUUUUCUUUCUUGUUAAGAUAAAAUAUAAAAAAAGGCCAGCGCGAAGCCUGCGCUGCAACCUAAGAGGAAGCAGGUUUCUCUGGAUAAAGGAAAGCUGAAAAUUCUUGCACGGAUAGAAUCAGACGACCUUAUGGUGAUGCGAGAUGCUAAGUGCGGAACUGAAUCAGGAGAUGAAGUAUUGAAGGGAAUCAGUAGGUGAGAGAUCUAACAAUCUCAACCAAAUUGAAUACGACUGGAAAACGAAAGAAAAAAAAGGGGACAUCUAUCUAUUUACCGGAAUUCAGAGCGGUGGAUGCUGCCAGGACACUAUGGUGGAUCGGAGGGGAGUCUUCGUCUUCCGGCAGCCGCGUCUCGGCUUUCGUCUCCCACGCCGCGCCGCCCUUCUUUACUCUUCAGUUUUUCUUCCCCGUUCUUCUUUUACGUGGCUCGCUCUCAGUCUGAGUCAUCUGAUGGGCCAUGGGCCGUCACUGCAUCCUCCUCCUCCCCCGCCGGGCUGAAAAUAUAGCCCUGCGGGCUGCGGCCGGUUUGGCAGUCCCACACGGGCUUUCUUUCCUCACGUCAGUAGGGGGGUGCACGUAAUAUCAUUAUACAGUACAAUAAAACAAGCAGCAUACAUGACAUUUUCAAAUUCCAAAGAAUUCCUAGAUUCUUCUCCUCUGGAUAAUGCAGGGAACACCUUAUCACACACUGAGAUACAAUGUUUACUAAGUGAUGUGUUACACAGUGCUGAGCACGUCCAUUCCUUUCCCAGACUGAGAAACACAAAGAUUCAGUAAUCAUCCCUUCCUCACAUUACAUUCAGCUCACACACUAGCCUCCAUACAUUUACAACUGCACCUUUCCCCCGCAAUUUCAUAUCACCAUUGCUCGUCCCCUUCCACCUCUACUUCUUCCUUUUCGUACUCGGAGCCAGAACCCUCCGUGUCUCCAAAAGGAUCCUCAUCAUUGCUACCAUCAUCAUCAUCCUCAUCCUCUGACAAUUCCUCAGGAUAAUCAAAAAGUGGAUUGUCUUCAGCUGCAUGUUAUGCGAUGGAAAAGUUAAGCUAACUAAAAUAACCAAGGACCUCAAUUCUCACUGAUCAAAUAUGUGAGCAACAUGAUCGUACAAUUACCAUUUGAAUCAUCUGUGUCGUACGGGUAGUCUUCGUCAUCAUCCACUUGUAACCUAACAGUCAAAGAUUGUUCAGAAGGCACUCUCAAGGGAAUGGAACAGAGAUGCCCCCAUGCGAUUCGUAUUUACCGUGGAUAUGAAGCUGCUGACAUAUCCUCCAUGUUUGUAUCAUCCACCUCCUUGACAGUGUAGAUGUCAUAAACUUCUGAAUAUGCUUGUCAGAAAAUUUAUACUCAUCAUAACCAGUGCUGGAGCUAAACUGUUCACCUUUACUAUUUCAGCACCAGCACUAUUACAGAUUGAAAUCACUUCUUUUAUUACUAAUGAAAGCAGCAAGAAAGUCUCCACUACUGUUGAGAUCAUCUCAAGGCAAGAAGCUUGCAUACCUUCUGAUUGCGCCCAUGAAAUAAUAUCUGACUCGAUUUCCACAGCAGCUGAUGGCAAGUACUCCCGUAUAAGUGGAAGAAAGUUGCAUAAAACAGCACCCUCUUCGAAAGAAGUAAUCCUGCAGGGACUAUAGUGGGACAAAUUACAAUAGUACAACUUCAAAUUAAAAAGAACUGGUAAAUAGUUAGAAAGCAAGACUUGCCGUGGUUCUGCAGGAUUCUUCUCUUCAUCUGGAUCUACUUGGACAGCAUCAUAAAGAUGGCAUAUUUCUCUCAGUGACUCAUCAGCUUCAUCCUUUUCUCCUUUCCGACUCUUCCAUAUUUGUGCAAAGCGGGCAUUUCUUCCCAGAUCCUGUAUGGUCAAUGAACAAAACCAUGCAUAAGAAUGACCGAAGCAGAGCAUCAUGGAGUUUAAGAAAAAUAAAGUACUUGAUCGCAGUUUUCUAGUUUCAGGAAAAUUAAGGAAUAGCAUGGCUUCAUGAAACUGACACACAUAAAUAAACACGCCAAGGCCCAUGCUACAGCAACUCCAGGGACUAGCCCUACUUAGCUAAAAGGGAAUAAAUUAGUACAAAUAGGUCCUUGAGAAUUCUAUACUAGUCUCAAAUACCUCCUUGUAACUUGCAACUAUCAAAUAUUACUCAACACAACUAGUCAACCACACAUUUGCGUGUAUCCCUAUUGGUCUGAGCCUAUCCACUUGGAACUAUCAAAUAUGCCACUCUCAAAGAACCAAAUGAUCUUGUAAAAAAAAAGGAACCAAAUGACCACAUUGCUCAACACAAUAAGUGUCCAGAAACAGGAUUUGGCAGUGUACAGUGUACACCAUAGAAUCAUUUAUUUAGUCCACAAGCUUCGUAGCUGUAAGUCUGCAUAGCUAGCUUGCCAUGUGCUUGUGGCAAGGGUGUCCAGAGUCUAACUCCCAACCGAUAAGCACAGCUGAUGUGCACAGUGUAAUUACAGGAACCACUAGAUUCCUCCUGUAGUUAAUUCUGUGCUUGAUUUCUGGCACAUUUCAUGAUUUACACCAUCCGUCAAACUAAUUGCCUCAUUAGUAUUCGUACACAAUUGAGAAUCACGAGCUGACUGCAGCGAGAAUAAUAUGAUGUGCGUACCUCAUGCCUUUGCCUGGCUGCUGACCGUAGCUGGUCUGGUUUCUGUUGGCACAAGAAGGGAAAAAUUCAUAUAGGAUAUGCGAGAGUAAUAGGAUGUGCGUACCUCAUUUUAGAAUUCCACCAACUAAAAUUCAUAUAGACAGCUCGAUAUGGAAACACUAUUUCCCAGAUUGUAAACGCGGACUGACAGCCACGUUCAAGGGAAAAACUAAACAGUUCGAUUAACUCAUGACCCUCGUGAGAUCCAGCAGAAAAAAAAUUAAUGCGGUAGACAGUAGAACAAAGUUUCUGUUACUUUGUCUUGCUUGAUUCUGUCAUUCCACUCCUUCGUCUUGCUCUUUAUCUCUUUGGUAUUUGAGUCAGCAAGCUACAAAAACAAAUAGAACUGUUUACCAAAAAAAUCUCAUACACGUUAUAGAACAAGUUUUGUCGAUCCAUCGUGUAGCCAUGUUUUAAUCUGUAACAGAAACUGAGACCUCUUUUCCAUGCAAGUGAACAUCAAAACGGCAUUCAAGAUGUGAUGAAGAUUCAAAGCCAUCUCUAUAGAGCUCACAGAAAUAAAAAUAACAAGAGGUCAAAUGAAGCAGGAGUAUCGUUGAAUACUAAUGAGAAAUGAAACAUCUACCAAAAUUUAAACAUGAGCCAAGAAAGAGUUAUGCCAUGCAGAGAUGCCAAAUCUGGAUGCCAAACCAGUUUGACAAGAACAUAACAACAACAACAACAACAACAACAACUUAGCCUUUUGUCCCAAGCAAGUUGGGGUAGGCUAGAGAUGAAACCCACAGAAACAAGAAUAAGAAACACAAAAAGGCACAAGCCAAAGGAAGAGUUAGGGGUUAAAUAAAAAGUAACAAAGGUCACGGUUCAGGUACAUUAAUUGCUAAUCUCCAAGCGCUCCUAUCCAUAGCUAAUUCCUUAGCGAUAUUCCACUCCUUAAGGUCUCUCUUAACAGUCUCGUCCCAAGUUAGUCUAGGUCUACCUCUACCUCUCUUUACAUUAUCGCCCCGCUUUAAAACUCCACUACGCACCGGCACCUCGGGAGGCCUCCGUUGUACAUGUCCAAACCAUCUCAACCGAUAAAAUAAAAAAAACAAAUGGAAAAGGAUAGGUAUAUUACCAAAAGAGAGUGCAAAACAUGUUCAACGGCUUGAGAAUGGUGCACUGUUUCUAUGUGUUGAACAAGAAGCUUCUUAACCCGUGGUUGCUCCUCUGAAGCUGUGGGCAUCCGGCAAGACAGUAAGACAUUUUUCAGGUGAAGGAGGCACUACUACUACUAUAGUACUAUGUUCUUUCUGGUCUAUAAUUUUUUGUCUGAGUGAGGAGGAUUUGGUAUUAUAUCAUGUAUAGUAUCGAUGUAGGGUGACAAAGUUGUUUUUGGCAAAGCACCAUGGCGUCAAGGUUACAUUCUGUUUGGUCCGUACCUUUAGCACUGGAGGAGGAAGAGGAUGGUUCGAAGAUGGAGAGGCUGGAGAAAUCGAGCAUUGCCUUCUUCGCUGGCCUUUCAUUAAUCUCUAGCCCUGAUAGAGCAAAUAUUUUUUUGUGUGAAAACAUCUCCUUUUAUCAAGUAGAAAUUCAAGGAGGAAGGGGACGGGGCAAUGCGAAAGGAAGAUAGAAGGGGAGCUCACAGAAAGCGUCCGGGCGGGUUUGCGAGGGCUUGCGCUUGACCCGGACGACGAUGGGCUUCUCCCUCGCCGCCGCAGGCUCCGAGGUGGAAGCUUCUCCGGCGGCCGCCGCCGCAGACGCCAUGACCGGCGAUUGGGUAGUAGGAUUAAACAAGGCGCGGCCUGGGGCGACGGUGCUGUGCACGCGGGCGGCGCCGCGCAGGCGGUGCUGCGCAGGCGGGCUGGCCGAGCGGCAGCGCUGCGCAGGGGCCGGGCGGUGCGUCGGCGGGCAGGCCGAGCGGCAGCGCUGCGCAGGCAGGCGGCGGCGGAGCGUAGCUGCGCAGGUGGCAGAGCGGUGCGGAGGCGGGCAGGCCGCGUGGCAGAGCUGCGCAGGCGGGCAGGCCGCGCAGCAGAGCAGUGCAGAUGGGCGGCGGCGGAGCGCAGGCAGGCGGGCGCUGCGCGAGCGGCCGAGCGGCAAAGCGGCGCAGGCGGGUGGUGCCGGAGCGGAGGCAGGCGGGCGGGUGGUGCGCAGCAAAGCAGCAACGCGACAAAUUGGCGGCGCAAUUUGGCCAGGCGGCGGCGCAGCAGGGAGGGGAGGGGAGGGGAGGGGAGGAGACGAGAAGGGGAGGAAGAGGAAUGGUGGCUGACGGACGGGUCCCACGUAACGGAGAUUCACAGAUUAGGAGCGAUUCGAUUCUCCUAAAAAAAACUAUUCCAUCCCUCCAACCAAACACAGGCUAUGGAUAGAAUCAUCUCACCCUAAAAUUUAAAAUGGAACCAAUCCAUCCAACUUAACUCUCCAAUCAAACACUAUCUAACUUUAGAUGGUGCUUUAGACUUUAGAAUUCAUGCACACGGUAUCUGACGAAUAAGGAGAGGAGGAGCAUGGUUGGUCGCCAGCGUACAGCGGCGCAGUCCAAUACCAACAUCAACAACAAUGAAUAGAUUGUUUGAAUUUUGUCGCCAACAUCCUCAACAGUAUAGCCUCAUCUUGCGCCCCCAAAUACAGGCUCCAGAUAAGAAGAAGCGGACGCUGAAUUCUCAUCGACACAGCAUCUUAUCUAAGCUAUCAUGAAUCUGCCGCUGACAUCUAUGCAGCGGUGCCAAGCCCAAACCACCAAUAAGCCUACUCCUCGUGCCUUCCUUGGCCUCCUCUCCGAUGUUAUCACUCAUCAUGUUACUUCAACGGUGCCCUUUUGUUCUCCUCUUGUUAUGUUGUGAUGUGAAUUUGUUCAUUAAAAAAAACACUAGGAGGAGAUUUCGAUCCAACGGUAUAUUAAUUUUAGUGGUGGAUAGUCUUCCUUGUGUUGCUCCUUCUCACUUAGACUAAAUAAAAGAGAUUUGGUGUAGAUUGGAUUGCUCUUGAAAAAAUUAGUAUGAUCAAUUAGAGUUUCCACCUUGAACUGAAAAAAACUUUAUCUUUUCAUGUUUGGAUUUGGAAAAAAAUGGUAGCAUCAUCACAUAAGAUUGGCAAGAGAAAAUUUAGUUGUUCCUCUAUGUGUUGAACAAGAAGCUUCUUAACCCAUGGUUGCUCCUCUGAAGCUGUGGGCAUAUGGCAAAGACAGUAACAUAUUUUGCAGGUGAUGGAGGCACUACUACUACUGUAUUCUUUCUGGUCUAUAAUUCUUCGUCCGAGUGAGGAGGAUUUGGUAUUAUAUUAUGUAAAGUAGUGAUGUAGGGUGAUAAAGUUGUUUUGGCAAAGCACCAUGGCAUCAAGGUUACAUUCUGUUUAGUCCGUACCUUUAGCACUGGAGCAGGAAGAGGAUGGUUCAGAGAUGGAGAAGCUGGAGAAAUCCAACAUCGCCUUCUUCACUAGCCUUUCAUUAAUCUCUAGCCUUGAUGGAGAAAUUUUUUUUUUUUGAAAACUACUCCUUUUAUCGAGUAGAAAUUUAAGGAGGAAGGGGACGGGGCAAUGAGAAAGGAAGAUAGAAGGGGAGCUCACAGAAAGCGUCCGGGCGAGUUUGUGAGGGCUUACGCUUGAUCCGGACGACGAUGGGCUUCUCUCUCACUGCUGCAGGCUCCGAGGUGGAGGCUUCGCUGGUGGCCGCCGUUGUAGAUGCCAUGACCGGCUGUUGGGUAGUAAAGUUAAUAAGGUGGCGUCUCGGAAGGACGAGUGGUCCCUCUGGUACUCUAGCUAUGGCGGUGCUUCAGGAUUCGUGCGCACAAUAUCUGACAGACAAGGAGAGGGGAGCAUGAUCGGUCGCCGGCGCCCGGUGGCGGAGUCCAGUCCACGAAAUCUGUAUUGGCAGUUCACGGUAUCAUGGCCACCAAGAUACCUUAACGCCUUGGUUGCGUGACGUAAUUGAUACUGAUAUCAUCUAAACUGUCCACACUAACUUCCUAUGUGCCAUUCUUACCGCAACCAACUCGUCUCGAAAUACUGGUGGGUCCAGACAUCUUUAUCGGAAUUGCAAAAUUUUAGCGAUACAAACGCUGCUUUGUGACCUAUGAUAAGUGGAUUUCAUAAAAAUCCACAAGGGGGCACUUUUUCCAAUUUAGCUUCUCUAGGGUGAGACCUCACACGUUGCAUCUUAAUCUCGGCUAUCUCUCGGGUACUGUUGGGAUCAAGUUCUAUUGUGGAUAGGUCCAUCGACCUGUGAAGUUUAGAUUAACCUCUUGCUGCCAGCAUUUCUAGAUUGCAAUUACCGGACGCAUCGCUGCAGUUUCAUCUAGAAAUACUGGUGGUAAUGUUAGUUUAAGCUUCAUUAGCUUAUGGCCCCAGUCAUAGUAGAGCAAAAGCUCAACGGCGCUCCGUUUCCUAUCGGCUUUCUAGCUAAUAGCUUUCACGCUUUAUUAUCACCAAUUAUAUGGAUCCGAUUUGGACAACCGAUGAGCCGCUCAUGCUUUGCUUAUCAGGAUACUAGGAUCAGCCUUAUGGCUUAUUAUUCAUUUAUCAUGCUUUAUUAGCAUGUCGGGUGACAUAGUCUGUAGCACGUACCAUGAUUGCUUUAGUCAUUUACACUACAUAAUUAUAUUCAAUAUCUAUUUACAUAUGGUGUUUAUUCAAAGUACCCCUAUCUAUGAGCACACGAAGGCUUCGCCGCCUAUCAGCUCAUGUAUUUUAGGCUUCUCUUGUCAGUUGCAGGUUAAAUUGAGUGGCACGCUUUGCACCUAUACGAAGCUAAUUGGAGCCUGCGUCGGAGUAAAGCAAAUCUCUCGGGUCCUCGCGUGUGGUCACGUAGAAAGCCGAUAGCCGGUUUUUUGAGUCAACACCAUACCAUAGCAUAAAAGGUCUUAAGUAGGUGAUGGCAAGAUCACCAUGUAGUAUAGUUCUGUCAUGGUAGGGUAGUCACGUAAAGAGUGCAAGAGUCUUCGUGUUAUAUCCUAUAUUAUCGUGGUGAAUAAAGAGUUGAGUCCUGGUAGUCUCCCAUAUUGGUAUUUAUGUGAAGGUCUUAUUGAUGUAGUGUAGGUAUAGAGUCCACAGAAGAAGUGGUAUCACAGUAGGGUAUCGCUUCUUGAAAGUCGGCAUCGAUUUCUCAACAGGCGUAUUGUAAAUCUAGAAGUAACACCGGUGUCAACCUAAGACCGCCCUGGUAAAAUGCAAGCAUCCCGAAACAACCUUGCUCAUUAGGUGGCCCACCACAUGUCACACACGCUGUCACUUGACACGCACCACACGCACCUAUCAAUGCUUUGAUGCAUAGAUAUUCAUUCGUUUAUUUUGCACGCGGAGAUAAACAGCCAUGCUAGUGGAAACGCAAGCACGUCUCCUUCGCGCCUCGCAUACAGUUGCAUUUCACAGAUGGAAGUACGUCCACAUCAUUUGAGCCGCACCAAAUUGGUCACUAGUUCAUGGCAUGUGGGUUUUGCAGAGGUAACUGGGUGGCAACUGAAGAACCAGAUUGCAGGGAAAGAUGAGGUUGAUCGCGGCGUGUUUGACUUAUGCAUGCGCCGCAUUGGGCCAGGCCAUUCGAACUAGAAAGAUCGAACCAGACAUGCAUAUGUUCAGCAUGACUAUGAAUUCAGCAUGCGCUAUCAGCAUGACUAUGAAUUCAGAACCAUAUUAUAUUAGGGCUUUAUACAAUGUUAAAGAAUGCAUCGAUCACGUACAGUGAUGUACCUGUCCUUCUGUAUCACAGGUACGCCAGCCAUACAACAUGAAGAAUGUUUCGAUUUUGGGGAUCGGAGGCAGAUGCAAGAACUGCAGCAUCAGAACCUUAGAAGCGUGAGCAUCACAGGAUUCAGCUCCGCGAAGAGCUUGGUUGAGUUGGCAUGCCAUGUUCUCAAGAGUAUAAUAUAUAAUUAUUUAUAUACCGUAAUUAUUCGAUGUUCAGUUAUGUAUGUUUCUAAAAUUAAAUCAGCAGUGUUCUCCUGGCUUUGGGGGAAAUAGUUGAGGAGGCGAAUGAGAGGUUGCGUUUGGUUCAGCUGUGAGAUGUGAAAAAGCUGCUGUCAGAUAUCUGCUGUGAAAAAGCUGCUGUCAGAUAUCUGCUGUGAAAAAGCUGAAAGUCGUUUGUUUCAAACUGCUGUGAGUUGUCGACUGUGAAAAAAUUAUAUAUUGUCUUUAUGCAAAUUGACAGUAUACAAUAUUUCUUUGUGAUGAUCAAAUUAUUUUUCCUUUAAAUCUUUAUUUUUAUAUAAAUAUGAAAAUAUUUGGAGUUAACUUUUUUAUUAUUUAUUAUUUUUAUUUUUCUAUAUAUGAAAAUCUUUAUUUUCUUAUAUAUAAAAAAUAAUUGAAAUGGUAUAUAUGUAACCAAUAGUAGGUGUGUAGUUUUCAUAAAUUUGAAAAAACUGCAAAAACAGGGUACAACCUGCUUUUAAAUUUUUACUAUAGAAAUCAGCUUUUCAAAAUAGCUACACAAAAACUGAAUCCAUUUGAUUUAACUUCUGCUUUCUGAAAGCAAAGCAUUCUGAAAGCAAAGCAGAAGCAGGUUUAGAAAGCUGCCUGAAUAGUUCGUUGCGUUUGGGGCCUAGCGGGCUGGAGCGAGACUCCUUGGUGGGCCUUGCAUGGUAUGUCCUCUUCCUCCUCCUCCUCCUCAUGGGCCGCGACCAAAAGAGGAGGAGAGGCUCGGGCACUGCACAUGGCGAUGGCGGCCACCACUCCGCUCCUCCUCGUCUCCUCCCGCCCCUAUCCACACCGCCACCGCCACCGCCACUUCCCCGCCAACCCCAAGCCUAACGCGCUGCCCCAUCCUCUCCUCUCCCUGCGCACCAGUCCGGCCGCCCCCCUCGUCCCCCUCCCGCGCCGCCGCCGCAAUGUCACAGCAGCCUACGGCGACGACGACAUGGACGACGACUUCGGCGACUUCGACGCCGACGACGCGGACGGCGUCGGCGACGACGACGACGUCGACAACGAGCAGGACUACGACGUCGACUACGACCGCCUCCUCGCCCCCGUCAAGCCGCCGCCGCCGCCAUCUUCGCUGCCCGGGGAGGAGGGGGACAUCGCCAUGGUGGCCGCCGACAGCUUCGUCUCCACGCAGGACUCCGCCUCCGACACCGUCGUCGACUACGCCGUCGACGAGGACGAGUUCCGCAAGAUCAGGCUGCUCCACUGCGACUUCCUUAUCCGGAAGGUGCCCGACCCCGACGACGACGUCUUCGACUUCAGAGAGGUAAGGUCUCCAUCCAUUCCCUCAUUAGUCAUUACUACUGCUGACUAGUGCGUUCUGUGACAAUUGCCUGCGGCAUUUCAUCAAUUUUUCCCUGAUGCAUUUCAUUUCAUCGAAAUUCGAACACGUGUCUGGCGAUGCUAUCCAAAUUUACAUGAUCAUAGAUACGAGUCUCUUGAGUCAAUUGCCUGGUGCUCAUUUUGCUGAACAUGGCAUUUCCUGUGCACCAGAUGUAUGUCACGCCGCCAGACACUGAUAUCUACUCCAUUCCGAGGGUUCUUGCCCCGAUGCCACAGAAGGUGCCACUGAAAGUUUCAGUCAUUUGGUAUUUCUGCUGAAUCUGAACUGGCCUGACGUGUAACUAACUGUUGGUUUCCUUGUUGCAUUUAGUACGUGAGGUGCACGAAGAAAGGUUUCGGCCGUUACAACGUGACUGAACCACCAGUUGAGCAUUUGCGUGAUCCCCUGUACAAGACUGAGAGGGAAAUCAUGAAGGUAUGCUGGCAAUUUCAUCUGCUCUCUUUAGUUUCCCCCCCCCCCCCCUGCCACCCCUAUUGUGCUUCUUUCUGCCAAAAGCCAUGGUGGACUUGAUAUUUAGCCCUUAUGUGUAAGCUACUACCAUAUUUAGCAUCUUAUGAAGCACUCUGCGGUGGUUCUAUUUCUCAUGUACCAGCUUAUUUUUUGAAUGUAUAGCUCGUCUCUUGUCCUAAUGGUCCAAAUAUUGAAUAUCCUAAAAUAGGAAUAGAUGAACAGUAUAGUGCAUAGGUUUCAGUUUUUUACCUCUACAAAAGGCAGCCAUGUGCUUUUAUGUGUUAAUUAGCAAUAUUAGUAGAAAGUAUAGAUGGUGACCUCUUACAACAGAAAAUUUACAAUCAGAGUGCUAUGAGGGACUAACACGCUGUUACAGCAGAGAAACAAGAUGUAUUACAGACUAAGAUUAGGGGAUAGCAGCAUAUUGGUGGGUGGCCCAGCAUUGAACCAUACUGAGAACGCACUUCCCCAGAAUAUCUUUGUUUCUGAAGAGCCUGGAUCCUGGUCAUUCCAGUCUUCCAGAUUGUCCAGAUCAGUUGAAUUAGAGAUGUCCGCCUAGGAUUAUGUACUAUCCUACUUUGCUUACCCUUGAUCAGUGAGCUUCUAUGUGGUCAGCUUUAACUUUUAACUUGAUUCUACCCUGGAAUGUGAAGCGUGGCUGUUGUUAAUACUUAACACGUAUUAAAGAUUUAUUCGUAUUGUUUAUGUACAGCAUAGUUUGACACUGGUACAUUGCUUCUCCAUGUUAUGAUACAGUAAGAAUUUGUGCUUGUGGCGUUGUGAAUUUCAUAUUCAGAAUAUAUGUCUCAUGUUGUUUCGUAUUGCAGGUUUUCUUAACCAAACACUACAGAAACAGGCGCGCUGAUGACCCAGACUUUUUCCUUGAUUUUGAGGAGAUAUAUGUUAUUGACUCGAAAACAAGGUCAAUCACAAGAGCGAAAGUUGUGGUAAGAUAUUCUGUAUCUAGUUCGGUAUAUACUAUUCAAACAAUACUUCUUUUGAUAUAUUUGGGUUCCACGAGGUGUGUUCUGAAGAAUUUUGGAGUAAUUCUCCCUCUGUUUAAUGAUUUUUGAGAUACUUGUACAUGACACCAAGUAUCAAAAAUAAACAAAUAAAUAAAGGAAGUAUCUACUUAGGUCACUGAUAUCCAUCCAUGUUUAACAGGUUAGCGUUCCUGAAGGAAAGAAAAGAGAUAGGCGAAACGACCUGCUACUGAUACGUGAUGGAGGGGAGUCUUUUAGAAUAAUCGACAAGGUAGUCUGCUUGCUUCUGAUAUCUAGCCUUCUGUUUCGUUGAAGUGGGCUCCAAUAGUAAUUUUGGGUGGCUAAUGAUAUCAUCACUGUAUGUCUGUAACAGACUAAAAGGGACGAUGCCACCACAGUCAUCCAAAGAGAGGAGUGGGCAAAGUCGAGACAGGAUGUGGAGAAGCAUUUCAGGAAGCUUAGAGAUUUCGACCACUCAAAUUGGUUCUGAAGAAAAGGUGUGGGAUUUGUUGCAGAGAAGAAUGGAACGCAGCGAUUCUGCCGACUCUGCUGCUGAUUGAUUAGAGCAGGCUACCGGUGUGAUCAAGUGAGAGAUGCCAUCUUGGAGUAGAUAGGUUGUUGUAACAUUAGAUGUAGCAAGUAGAAUGUGUGCCAUAUAGGGAUCGUAGUAUGUAGGCACAAAGAUUGAGUGAGAUCUUAGGGAAUCCGCUACUUGUUGAGUAGCCAACCGAAGGAAUAUGUGGCAGUUGGGCUUGUUCUCCGCAGAUUUGCACUCUUUUGAUAGACCUCAGUUGAUCAUUAGGAAUGUGUUUUGAAAGCUUCCAGUCUUGGUGGAAAACAAAAGGAAAUUCUGUUGCUCCUGCCCUUGUUGUUUCUUAAGAAAACCUGUUGCGGCAGAACAGAGAGAAGAACAUGACAAUAACGUGAGAAGAAAUUCUGCUGCAACAGCAACAGAGGAGAAAACAUGAUAAAACGUGAAAAGAAAAGUUCUGCUAUAACAGAAGAAGAAAACACAUGAAAAAGGAUGCGUGGGGUGUUGCGAGAAUCGAACUCGCGACCUCUCGCACCCGAAGCGAGAAUCAUACCACUAGACCAAACACCCAGCGUGCCUUGCUGUCGAUAAUAUCGGAACAAAUACAAAUUCCGUGCGCUCAAAUUUGUUUGGAAAUGUCCCAUGCGGGGCAAAAUCCUUGCAGUAUAUAAUAAUAAUAAUAAUAGAGCACGACAACAAAUAUAACAGAAAAUUUGAACCACGAGAUGUGAUGCGAUACGAUACAAGGGAGCUAGCGAUGCCAUGGAUGCAAGUCUCUAUGGCUAUGGAAGAGGGAGGCACGUACGAGACAUCCAUCCAUCCAUCCAUGGCUAUGGCAGGCAGGCUGUUUGGAGGCACGUACAGCUCACGCCCCCACGAGAGCUUGUUGUAUUAUGCUUCUUAUCAUGUAGCCGCCAUGCAACAAACAAAUUAAAGCACACAAGAACACAAGCAGGCUCUUGGAAUGAUUAGAGAAAUUGUAGUUUUUGGCGUAACUGCCUUUUGAACAGAAAUUGGCGUAACUGCCUUUCAAACAAGACACACGCGCGCUUGUUUGCGUCACCACGCAAUGCAAGCAUCAAUCUAUCUUUCUAUCCAUCUCUCCGUGUCUCUCUCUUCGAUCUUAAACCCUCCCCAAAUAAUGUAGUUGCUUGAUGUCAAUUCCUUGAUUACCUUUUUGGGUGCCUGAAAGCUCCUCCGAUCCUCGGCCAUAUUCAAAGCUCCACAUAUUUGGUUUAGUGCAUGUCUCGGAUGCAUGAUUGUGAAUGAAACCGUGUUGACGCAACCAUGCACGGUCCACACAGAAAGAAAGAAAACGACUACUGUAAAACCAUGUAUGUAAUCAACAAUAAUAGUCGAUCCUUUGUCUUAGGAGCAUCCGAUCCACUGUGCAUGUCAUGUGCACCCCAAUGAUCGAUCGAUCAGUACUCAGCGCAUACAGUGCCGUCUACUGAUCUUCGAGAAAGGGAAAAAUAAGGGAGAUGAGAUCUCGAUCAUAUCUGUCUGCAACUUACCCGUCCUUGUAUAUAUAUAACUAACCUGAGGAGCUUCCUUCCUGACAUCCUCAUUGCAGACCUACUAUGCUCUGGGGAUGUUAGGGAGAUAUAUAUGUCAGGAAAGGAGAAGAAACUCCAGCUUCUGCGCUCCGUUACAAAGUCGAAUGCGGUAAUUUCUACUGAGCACUAUAUUUCUGGCCAUCUAAUUACAAGUGGAGAAAGACGUACUAGCUAGGAAAGAUUCAGUUUCGUCAGUUCGCUGCUGGAAACUCGAUCGAUGUGUUUUUCUGUGAGCAAUGCAGGCAAACAAGACGUCAAUCCUGGUAGAUGCGUCGAAAUACAUCAAGGAGCUCAAGGACAAGGUUGAAGAAGCAGCCGCUGCUUCAUCGGCAGCUGACACUGACAGUAGCAGCUCCAGUAGUUCUGGCAGCGCCAUGGCAGCUGCAACAGUACGCACAUAUAUACGUUACAUUUCUGCUUGUCGUUAAUUGCAGAGGCAAUUAUAUUGCACACAAUUUAUAUAUAAGCGUUCACAUUAAGUGAAGUGAAUCAUCUCGGUUCGUUGAUCCAUGCAUGCACAUGAUGUAUUGUGUUUAAGCAGGUGAGCGUCUCAUCAGUGGAUCUGGAUAACAGCAACAAUAGCUGCAGGAGAGGAUUCCGGAUCAACGUGUCGAUGGAGAGGACCCGGCCUGGGCUGCUGGUGUCCGUCCUGGAGGCUUUUGAGGACCUCGGCCUCGACGUCCUGGACGCCGACGUCUCCUGCGCCGACGACACCGCCUUCCGCCUCCAGGCGCUCGGAUCAGGUCAGGGCCAGCAGCAGGGUGGAGGAAGUGGAAGCGUGGAUGAGCAAAAGGUUCGCCAAGCGGUGUUGCAGGCCAUCAGCAAAUGCAUGAACGAUGAUGGCGAUGAGUAACAGAUUGCUUAUCGGUUGCAUUGCAUACAGAAGAGCAUGAAAGAAUAAACCUGAACUUUGCCAUUAUUUGUCCUUGGAGCGCAAGCUGCUUGGCCAAGGAAUAAUUCGUCAAGUUAAAAAUAUAGUUUUCUGUCGUUCCUCAGCAUGGUUAAUUUCACAACGGACGCUACUAGCUACUUCAAGUGGUCUUGUUACUUUGUAAUAGCAUUUUCUAUCCAAAUAAAAGAAGGUAACUAAGGGACAAGCAAACGAAUGUGAAUUUUUCCAUCAUCAGUUAUGUGGUCACCUCACCUGUGCGUUGCAAUGCAUGGAAAGUCAAAACUAAGCAAGGGCUCUGUUUACAUCCUGAUCUAUGCAUGAUGGGGAUCCGAUCGAUUUAGUUGUCGUCGUCGACAUCUUGUUCAGCAGCGCCCGGGUGAUCUCCACGCACAGCGCCGCGUUCCUGACGGCGAAGCCUUCGUACUCUGGCGAGAACACCACCUGCUCGGCGUGCUCCAGCACGGUGCCCAUGGCGCGCUCCCUGAGCACCGCGCUUGAGCUCAGAUCGGCCACCUCCAGCGUCCGCAGAACGUUCCGGGGCUCCACGCGCGCCGCCAGCCUCGCCUCGCAGGCCCGCCGCAGGAACGGGAUGUCGUACUUGUCGGCGGCGACGAGAAGCGCGUGCAGGUGGCGCUCCGGCAGGUCCUGGUCGAGGGCGCCGGUGUAGAGGAAGGCGAGGAGGAGGGAGAGCUCGUCGUGGGAGAGCUCAGGGAGGGAGAAGGAGUCGGCGGCGGGGGCCUUGCAGUGCUCGUCGGCGGACAGCAUGUGCCGGAAUACCUCCGACCUCGCGGCCUGCGUGGCGUGCAUUCCGUUCCACCAGAUGUGAAAAAUUGAUCCGAGUUGGGCUCAACUGGAACUUUAUGAGUGGAGGCCCAUCAGCAGGCUAAAAGACCCGACCCGACCCACUUACCAGGAUGGCUUUGUGGGCUGGAAUUGGGGCCCCAGUGCCAGGUUUCACGACGAUGUCGGUGUGGAUUCCCUCCUUCCACGCCAGCGCGAAGCCGUGUUCAAGGAAGGCGGCUCGCUGGUUGGUCUCCUCCGCCCUGUCUCUCAUCUCCUUCACCUGCUCCCAUGCAUCUCUCAUUCCCUGCAUUCAAUCAAAAAAAAAAAGUGAAUUCUGUCAGUAAAUCCCUUCAAUUUCUAGCACCUCUGGCCUUACUGACACUAGCCACUACUUAAACAUGGAUCGAGCACAAAUUGCAGAAGCUGUUCUUUCAACUCUCAAGGAUCGACGCUGUUCCAAACGCAACAAAAGUAGAGUGUGAUCAUCAAGGAGAAUAUAUUAUGCAUUGCAUAGCAGCAGAGGCUAAACUGUUGCUGAAACAAACUUUAAGCAUCCAUUGACAUCCGCGUCAAUUUUAGAAAACCUUUCAAAUUAAGCAUAUAUAUCGUCCUGCUAGGAGGCAAACAGUGCUAUCAAACCGAACGUCAGUGAACCAUCACAUUGUACAACGAACAAAGGGUGAAAUCCAAUGCUAAAAUUCAUAUUUGCAAUUCUAGCCUUUCUGAAAUCAAUCGAGAUUCUUAGCGGACGGGCCUAUUCACUGGAGAUAAGAAACAUCUGAAACCAUAAGGAACAAGUUAGGUUAGGAGCUCUUACCUUGUUCGAGCUGUUAAGCUUCGAUGGCGCGUGGGAGUUGACUGAACCAUGGCCACCAUCUUCUUGCUCCUCAUCCUUGUUCAGGAAGCCGAUGAUGGCCUUGGCACCUUCAUGGCAAGGAGCACAGACAGAAUUCCUCGGAAGCCUGUACAUGGUGGCCAUUGGGCUGCAGAUGCAGCAAUCCAUGAUUCUGCCACCUCCGGCGAUUCCUCCUUGCCUUCCUUUCCUUUGCUUCGUCCUCGUCCUCCUCCCCCUCCCUCUGGUUCUGCAACUGCAAUGACAAUGAUGCUAACAACAAGCUGUACGUUCUCCAUUGCUUUGCGUUGGGUGAGGGUAUAAGAAUGAAAGGAGGAAGAGGCAGCAGGAAAGGAUGGUGUGCUGCUAUUUCUUUUUCCAGAACUGGUAUGCGGUGGUUGCUGACGGAGACAAUCAGGGGAAUAAAAUUUCUCCUGCUUUCUUAACUGUGCAAGGCAUGAAUGUAGUCGGUGCAUUGACACUCUUUUCGUGUCAGGUACAUUUACUAAACUGACCUCAGCAGGGUAUCCUCCAUUUUUCCAAAUGGAAUGAUUGUUAGAUUAGCGGUACAACAACUAAUCAUGCAAAAAUGUGAGUGGUACUGCAGUUAGACACAGCACGAAGAAGUAAGUAUACUAGUGCUUAAAGCAAGAGAAGACAUUGUCUUUGUGGAUUUUCCUUUUAUUCGGUGCAAGGUUAGGUACAAUUUUCUCAUGCUGGCCAAUAAGCCAACUACUGUGUACCUAGAACAGCCUGUUCAUGCACUCUACCGUAGAGGCUAGUCAUUGUUCUAACUAAGGGUUCUACGGCAUAGCUAGUGCAAAUGAAUUAGACCUUAGCUGGCCCCAAAAGUAGUCAGCAACGCUAGUAGAUUGCUGAUACGAAAGCUGUAAAUUUCUUUAGUUGUGUUUUUAGUGGUACGAUUCGUGUGCUGUGCGAGUUUUACUCCAAUUAAGUAAUGUUUUUCCAUAAAUUUCUUUACUCCAAUUGAGUCAAUGAAGACGGAAGGUCAUCACCGUGUUUUCCUCUCAAGGUAUAAUUAAGUAGGUACCAGACUUAAAAAAAUUCAGACAAAAUGAUGAUUGCAUAUAUGAUUAUAAGAUGAAUGGAGAGAAUCAUCAUGGGCCAGAAGGUUGAGAGUGACUUUGUAACCUGCUAAUAAUUAAAAGAGACCUGCUUUGGGGGAGCUGAAAUAGAAGAUGUGGAUGUUGGAGACUUGGAGGGUGGCACGCUUAGGCUAUGCUGCGUUAACAAGUUAACCACUCACCCGACAUCAGGUACGUAGGGCCCCAGCCAGCUCUCUUCAAGCUAUGCUAGCAUACCACAAGAAUAUAUAUGAAUAUACUAAGUAUCAUUGCAGAAAAAGCAAUAGUAAUAAUAGGUGUGAAAAUAAUAGUGCGAGUAGUUAACAGGCAUGAAGUUAUUAUACCUGUUUGAUAAAGGGCUAAUGUCCAAUAUAUUAUUAUUAUUAUUAUUAUUAAUUAUUAUUAUUAUUAUUAUUAUUAUUAUUAUUAAUAAUAAUAAUAAUAAUAAUAAUAAUAAUAAUAAUAAUAAUAAUAAUAAUAAUAAUAAUACCUACGAUUUGAGGAUAUGUUGGGUUGGUUGGUUACCACACACAUAAUAGUCGUAUGGUAUGUUGCGUGGCAGUACAAUACAAUUAGCUGAUUGUUCCAUUCAUAUAUGCUUUUGUGUAUGUCCGCUGCAUUAGAUUAGAUGAAUGCAAUGCAAUGCAAUACAGGGGGUCAUCAGAGCACAGCAGGUCUUAGCUUACGUGGGCUGACUCCUGUGCACUGCUUAUAGACCAUGGCCUAGUGUUCACUUUCUGUGUGUGUGCAUCGGCCCACCGCCCACAUGGGGGGGGGGGGGGCCGGGGGGAGUUUUUUUAAAAAAAGGUUAAAAAAAUUUAAAUUCGAAAAAGGGUGCCGGUUUGAAAAAAUUUGAAAAAUGGGGGUCUCCCGCCCGAUCAACGGGCGGGAGGCGUGGGGCCAGAGACCUCCCGCCCAUCCAACGGGCGGGAGGUCGAAAAAUAUUUCCCAGGCCCCCGGGAGGGGUCUCUUCGCGAAAGAAAAUUUUUCUUAUUCGCAAAGAGACCCCUGACGCGGCAUCCCGCCCGUUUAACGCGCGGGAGGUCUCCCGAGGGGCAUCCCGCCCUCCCAACGGGUGGGAGGUUCCCUCGAGAGGCAUCCCGCCCUCCCAACGGGCGGGACGUCAUCCUCCCCCCCCACUAUUUAAGCCCCCCACCCACCCCUAAUUCUCAUAAUAUUCAGCAAAAAUUAACAAAAUAAGAAAGGGAGGAGAGGAAGAGAGGAGAGGAAGCGGCGAAGCCCUGUUCACACGUCGGUUUGGAGGUAUAUUCUUAUUAUAGUCGUAUAAUUAUCAAUUGUUUUUACGAAUAUUUGUUAGGGUAGUUAUAUUUUGAAUAGUUUUCAGUAUUUUCAACAGCUUUUAGAAAUAUUUAUUAGGGUAGUUCUAUUUUAAAUAGUUUUUAGUAUUUUCAAUAGUUUUUAGAUAUAUUUUUUAGGCUAGUUAUAUUUUGAAUAGUUUUAUAAUUUCAAUAGUUUUCAGAUAUAUUUCUUAGGGUAGUUAUGUUUUGAAUAGUUUUUAGUAUUUUCAAUAGCUUUUAGAAAUAUUUGUUAGGGUAGUUCUAUUAUAAAUAGUUUUUAGUAUUUUCAAUAGUUUUUAGUAUUUUCAAUAGUUUUUAGGAAUAUUUCUUAGGGUAGUUAUAUUUUAAGGAGUUUUUAGUAUGCAGAUCGAUCUGAUCAACUGCGCGGAGGUCGAAGCUACAUCUUAGAUCACCUUGCUAGAACAUGGAGUACGUGUACCGGACGCACGGUACAAAGACAACUUUCGUAAGAUUCAAGACAACUUGACGCGAGCGUUACGUGCACUGACGUGUCGUGGCAGAGACGACGUGGGGGCCUCCAGUUCGUCUCAUGCGUCUGCCCACGUGUAUACAGCUGGCCCGUCGACCCCUGCAGCACCGCACACAGCGUCCAGCGGUACUGCCGCUAGUUCCAGCUGUAAGUCCUUAUAAUUGCCAUUUCGAUCAACUUUGAUUUACACGACUAAUUUUGUUUGUUUUCAUAGUCAUGCACUCGACGGCAAUGGGACCUCCUCCUGCAAGAAUGGAGCCUCAGACGUUUCGCACCUAUGCUCCAGGAACGUCUCUCACGUCGGGUUCGACGCCAGCUGCUCCGUACUCUCAGGGCUAUACUCAGCAUGCAUGGUCGAUGGGAGCUUCUGCACACGGUGGUCCAUUCGGUGUGCCGGACUGGGACGACUGGGAGGGCGGCUCCGUCACUUGAUCGGAGUUGGUGGGUGGCGGCUGUCGGUGUUUAACCGGCUGCCCACCGAGGGAUAUGCCCAAGGUGGUAAGUUUUGGAUGAGGAGACGCCGAGAUCAGGAACUCGAAGGUGCAAGGAACACAAGACUUAGAUAGGUUCGGGCCGCACGGAGCGUAACACCCUACGUCCUGUAUGGUUUGUAUUGCCUUUGAUGUAGAAUGACCUAAUGAUCUUCUGUUUUGAUAGGGGUUCCUGACCUCCCUUAUAUAUCUGAGAGGUCAGAGUUACAAAGAUGCUAACCAACUCCCGUCGAGGGAUCACACCAGAACACAUCUCGAGUAGAUCCUCUCCGUGUUGGUUAGCUCUAUCUCCUAUUUAAACGGGAUAAACAAGAGAUAAACAAAAUGAAUAAGAGAUAAGACGUGCUUAAUCUCUUAAACUUCGUAACGUGCCCAGCCCGGUGGCCCCGGGUCUGACAAGCCACCGAGCUCUUCGUAGCUGAGUACUGCAGGCUUAUCGAGUACUUUCGAAGCAGUCUUCGACUUCUUCCAAAGCUUCGUCUUGAAGUCCUUCUUCGAGUACUUGCCUGGCUGCAUCGAAGCUAUGAGGUGCUCAUGCCCCGAAUUUUUGUUAUGGUGUGCGAUUUAAAAAUCGCACUCCAUAUGGAGUUGCCCCCGAGCCUUAGGUUGAAUCGGAGAAUCAGGCUGAGGGUCCCAUUAAUCUGUAAUCCUCCUUAUCCUUCAAAGAAAUUUGAAAAAUAAGUAGUCAAUGCCACGUACCCCGCAGCCCCCGAGCCUUGAAUCCAAAUCCCACAAAAUUGGAGAUAAGGGUCCAAAAAUCGUGGCAUACAGGCUAAACAAUGACACGUUAAGGGGAGAUCAAAGUGAUGAUACAAAUGAUGUAAUUAGACCAAAGAAUACCAGGAGCAGCUCAAGGCAGAGAAGAAGGCGCACCAAGGUAGGCCCGCACUUCCCUCGAGUACUUUUCCUCAGUAACUCCCUUUAGAUGCUGAAGUGCCCUUACCACAGAGCUUAGGAAAAUAACAAAAUGCAAAGAGGAGCUGCUUACUGACGUGAAGAAUAUGCUGUAUCGACGUACAGAUGAUGUCGAAAGGCUGCAGAAGGUGAUCGGCGACACUGAACGUCAGUUCGUCGACUGCCUUCAGCAAGUCAAAGCGCUGGGCGAGAAGAACGAGCAGCAGCACCAGGAGCUGGAGGACCUCCGGGGAGCCGCCCAGGAGCUGGUGGACAUGGUGGAUCCGCCGGAAGAAGGCGAAGCAGGCCCGCGGCCCCUGCUGGAGCGACUCCGCGAGGCCCCGAAGAAAAUGCUGAAGUUCCUAUCUGAAGCUCCAGUUGCAUGCGUGAGUAAUGCCCUCGCCUAUGUAAAGUCCUGAGCAUCUUUGCGCAAGGGAUGGCGGCGAACUGCACAGACGAGCGAUUCGAAGAGUACUUGCAAGAGGCCCAACCUCUAGCGGAGCAAAUUGUACACAGUGUACUGCAGGAUUAGGGUGUAUGAAACAAUUAAUCAUUCUCUUAUGUAAAUGCUUUACUCGACAUCUCUACUUGUUUGAGUGUCUUAGCUGAAUUGGGAUCUAGGCUUACGAGACUCAAGUAGUAGACGCCUCCCUGGGUGCAACGACCCGAAGGGCAGCUAGUAUUCGUCUAACAGAAUAGCCACAACUCGAUCGAGCGGGUCUAAACUUGUUAGGAAAGAACGCGAGCAUCGUCGCGGGGUUGCCGUGCGUAGGGCUUAAAAAUAAGACUGUCCCGAGUGCGGCGGCCGGGGUGUAGUCGAAAGUCGUUCCUGCUGCGAGCGUGCUCCGUAAGCUGGAGAAGACCCGGACGGACGGACCAAGCUUGCAAAGAGCGAGUGCGGGCUGCGCCGCGAGCUUGCCAUUCCUUCUGGCAAAAACAAGACUGUUCUGAGUGCAGCCACUCAGGAUGUAGUCGAUGUGGCUCUUUAUGCGAGCCUUUCCAACGUACUAGGUGUAAGCCAGUCGAGCGGAUCGACUGUGUUGGAAAAAGUGCGACUGCUGUCACGUGCGACCAUCGAAGGUCGCGGCGGAACUCGAUAUGCCGAGGAGUUAGCCGGAGCCGAGGGCUCUGUGGGAAACGAAAGUCGAAGGGGGAUGACCGUGGCCGUAGCCCCCGCGUCAUGCGCGACAAGAAGUCGAUAUAUAUAUGUUUGCACGUGACACUGGCCAUCGUGGAAGUAAGAAGGCAUGUACAACCCGAGUCGUGUGGCUCAUGGCCUCCAGAGUGAUUCGGGAAAAGGAGAUCUUCUGAGCCCCCGGGGAAUUAGCGAUUACCGGGCCUCGACUUAAGGGUAGAACUUGCGCAAGUUCUGAACGUUCUAGGAGUUUGGGACUUCGCGACCCUCGGGGAAUUGUAGUCGAUAAGACCCUGGCCUUGUGACCUGCUUGAUGACGAAUGGGCCCUCCCAACUUGAAUUGAGCUUGUGGAGGCCGGACUCGUCCUGAAUAUGGUGCAAGACCAAAUCACCGACGCUGAAUGACCGCUCCCUGAUGUUGCGAUCAUGGUAUCGCCGGAUCCCCUGCAGGUACCGGGCUGACUGAACAAGGGCGGUACAGCGAGCUUCUUCCACAGAAUCGAGCUCUAGCUGCCGCGCCUCGUCCGCCUCGCCUUCACUGUACAUUUCGACCCUUGGAGACUUCCACAUGAUAUCGGCUGGUAGAAUAGCUUCGGAUCCAUACACGAGGAAAAAGGGUGUUUGUCCUGUGGCUUUGGACGGCUGAGUCCGAAGCCCCCAGACGACAUGUGGCAACUCAUGCACCCAUUUGCCUCCCUUCUUGCUGCUUUCAUCAUAAAGUCUCUUCUUGAGGCCGUCAAUGAUCAAGCCGUUCGCCCUUUCGACUUGUCCGUUAGCCCUGGGGUGUGCAACCGAGACAUAUUUAACUUCAAUGCAAGCGUUCUCGCAGAACUCCCAGAACUGGUUCGCCGUGAAGUUUGACCCCAAGUCCGUGAUGAUGGAGUUGGGGAAGCCAAAACGAUGCAUAAUAUCUGAGAUGAAGUCGAUGACCCGGUCUGGCGUGAGCUUGGCUAUCGGCUUGUACUCGAUCCACUUAGUAAACUUGUCGAUAGCCACCAGAACAUGGGUGAAGCCGCCUGGUGCCGUCGUGAAGGGCCCGAUCAUGUCAAGGCUCCAACAGGCAAAAGGCCAGGAUGGCGGUAUGGUGAUGAGGCUAUGAGCUGGGACAUGCGUCUGUUUGCCGAAGAAUUAACAAUUUUGGCAUCUGCGCACGAGAUCCUCCGCGUCGGUGACUGCAGUGGGCCACCAGAAGCCGGCCCUGUAUGCUUUCCCAACCAGCGUUCUUGAAGCCGCAUGGGUACCGCAGACGCCUUCGUGGAUCUCCCGCAGUAUGUCGUAACCAUCUUCCUUCAUGACGCACUUCAUGAGAACUCCUGACCGAGUGCCACGCCGGUAGAGCUUGCCGUUGACCAGGGCGAAGCCUUGCUUCUUCGCAAGACGCGUACCGCUUCUGCACUCUUGGUGUCAAUUCCCGCUGGUAGCUGUUGGUCUUGAAUGAAGUCGAUAAAGGCCGCUCGCCAGUCCUCCCCCAGCACCAUAACCUCUCGAUCGGGUUGUUGGGAACCCGAGUCGAUGGUUACCUGUGGAGAAGGCUUGAUGGAUGGCUGAUCGAGCUCCUGGACGAAAACCCCCGGCGGGACUUGAGCGCGCGUUAACCCCAACUUGGACAGGAUAUCUGCACCAACAUUGUGCUCCCGUAACACAUGGUGAACCUCCAAGCCGGAAAACUUGCUUUCCAGCUUGCGCACUUCCUGUACGUAUGCAUCCAUUGUCUCCUUGUUGCAGUCUCAUUCCUUAUUGACCUGCUGAACAACAAGAAGAGAAUCGCCAUAUACGAGUAGUCGCUUGAUCCCUAGUGAUAUCGCCAAACGAAGCCCGUGAAGCAAGGCUUCAUACUCGGCUUCAUUAUUGGAUACCUUCCAUAGGAUCUGAAGGACGUACUUCAGUUGUUCGCCACGUGGGGAGAUCAGCAAAACACCAGCGCCCCCGCCGUCGAGCUUGAGGGACCCAUCAAAAUAUAUGGUCCAGUGCUCUGGCUUGUCCACUGGGGUUGGGACUUGAUUCUCCCUCCAUUCAGCCAUGAAGUCGACUAGAGCCUGUAACUUGAUUGCAGUGCGUGGCUUGAAGUCGAUUGACAAAGCCCCCAGUUCCACUGCCCACUUAGAUAUGCGUCCCGUGGCAUCUUGAUUAUGGAGAAUAUCUGCCAGCGGGAAAUCCGUAAUCACAGUGAUCUUGUACUCGUCGAAGUAAUGGCGCAACUUUCUUGAUGUAAUUAGAAUUGCAUAUAAGAGCUUUUGAACAGCUGGGUACCGUACCUUUGAUUCGGAGAGGACCUCGCUGACGAAGUAGACAGGCCUCUGCACUCCAAACGCAUGGCGUUCUUCGCCUCGCUCGACUACAAUAGCACUGCUGACAACGUGGGUUGUCGCCGCGAUGUAGAGUAGUAGAUCCUCUUCCGGUAGCAGAGCUGUAAGGAUCGGAGGCGACUGGAGGUGAAUUUUCAAGUCUUGUGGAGCCCGCUCGGCCUCCUCCGUCCAUUGAAACUUGUCUUGGCAUUUUAGGAGCUUGAAGAAAGGUAGUCCUCUCUCCCCGAGUCGGGAGAUGAACCUAUUCAGGGCCGCCAUACAACCUGUCAGGUUCUGCACAUCCUUGAUUGUGGCCGGAGCCUCCAUAUCAGUAAUGGCGGUGAUCUUUACAGGGUUGGCUUCGAUGCCCCGGUUGCUGACGAUGAACCCGAGCAAUUUCCCUGAAGGUACUCCAAAAACGCACUUGGUGGGAUUGAGUUUCCACCGAUAUCUGCGUAGACUGCUAAAUGUUUCCUCCAAAUCUACGAUCAAGUUAUCGGAAUCCCUGGUCUUGACGACCACGUCAUCCACAUAGGCCUCAACAUUCCGGUGCGGCUGAUCCGCGAAACACAUCUGGAUCGCACGCUGAUAUGUUGCUCCUGCAUUCUUCAACCCGAAGAACAUUGUUUUGUAGGCGUAAGUCCCGUACGGCGUGAUGAAUGCAGUCUUGAUUUGGUCCUCCUCCUUGAGCGCAAUCUGAUGAUACCCUGAGUAACAAUCAAGAAAACAAAGAAGGACACAUCCAGCCGUCGAAUCGACGACUUGGUCAAUGCGCGGCAGCCCAAAAUGAUCUUUUGGGUAAUGCUUGUUGAGAUCGGUGUAGUUGACACACAUUCUCCAUUCAUUGUUCUUUUUCUUUACAAGGACGGGAUUCGCUACCCGCUCUGGAUGGAUUACUUCUUUAAUGAAUCCAGCCGCGAGAAGUUUAGCGAUCUCCCGUUUAAUGGCCUCACGCUUGUCAUGGGCAAACCUCCGCAGGCGUUGCUUCUUAGACGUGGCCUUCGGGUGUACAUUCAAAGCAUGCUCGAUCAACUCCCUGGGCACCCCUGGCAUAUCUGCUGGUUUCCAUGCGAAUAUAUCUCGGUUAGCCCGAAGAAAGCUGACGAGCGCGAGUUCCUAUUUGUCACCCAAGCCCGCACCGAUGAUGGCGGUCUUGGAUGAAUCUCCCUCCUGGAGCUGGAUCGUCUUGAGGGCCACAUCAUCAGUCGACUGGAUGCUCGACUUGUUGGCCUUCUUGGAAGGAAUCUCCAGCCCGGUCUGGGAGAGCUGCUGCGCGGCCGCGAGUACUUCUCCCGAAGCAUCUGGCACGCGAGUAGUCGAAGCGUACUGGAUCGCCUCCUGAUUGCAGUCGUACGACUUCUUCAAGUCGCCGUGGAGGGUGAGCACUCCACCGAGUCCUGGCAUCUUAAGAAGCAGAUAGACAUAAUGCGGCACUGCCAUGAACUUGGCAAGUGCCGAUCGACCCAGUAUUGCAUGGUAAGAAGAGUCAAAAGUAGCCACUUCGAACUUGAUGAAUUCAGUACGAUAAUUCUCCCGCGUGCCGAAGGUGACUGGGAGGACCACCGUACCAAGCGGGUGCGCCGCAUUACCUGGGAUGAUGCCGUAGAAGGGGGACUUGCUGGGAACCAGCAUAUCCUUGAAAUCCAGACCCAUCUUCUUUAAAGUGCUGACCGACAGAGAGGUGACCACCAAAUCACCGGUACCGGAACAACCCGAAGCCCCCCGACACGCGGUGGCUUCAAGCUUUCCGACCUGGAGUAGCAAGUCCAGGUCCUUCUCUAACAUGGAGAGGGACCCAGAGGCGUUGGCCUCCUGAAGGUCAGUGGCCGAUUCGCACAAGCCGAGUUGAGAUCGGUUAUGCAGAUCCCUAGAUUGGAACGAGUCCAAACCAGGGGGAAUUGCCGCAACACCAGAAGAAGUCGAGGCUGGAGCGGACUCCAUCUCGAUCUGUGUUGCGGAAGUGUGGAGCGGCAAGUUGUCGAGCCCAUCGACGAACUUGUCGACGUCGCUGCGGAGAUCCGCAACGGGGGUUUUUGGCUUCAUGUCGACGAGGAAUCGCCGGAAACUGCCCGCACCAUCUGCGACGCAGACCCAUGAACCAAAAACGAAUGUCGUGCCCUGAGAGGGAACUGACCUGAUGAAUUUGAACGAUGCCAUCGAGCUCGCCGAUGGAUCUUCGACGCGCUCCCCUACCUGGCGCGCCAGCUGUCGGUGUUUAACCGGCUGCCCACCGAGGGAUAUGCCCAAGGUGGUAAGUUUUGGGUGAGGCGACGCCGAGAUCAGGAACUCGAAGGUGCAAGGAACACAAGACUUAGACAGGUUCGGGCCGCACGGAGCGUAACACCCUACGUCCUGUAUGGUUUGUAUUUCCUUUGAUGUAGAAUGACCUAAUGAUGUUCUGUUUUGAGAGGGGUCCCUGACCUCCCUUAUAUAUCCGAGAGGUCAGAGUUACAAAGAUGCUAACCAACUCCCGUCGAGGGAUCACACCAGAACACAUCUCGAGUAGAUCCUCUCCGUGUUGGUUAGCUCUAUCUCCUAUUUAAACGGGAUAAACAAGAGAUAAACAAAAUGAAUAAGAGAUAAGACGGGCUUAAUCUCUUAAACUUCGUAACGUGCCCAGCCCGGUGGCCCCGGGUCUGACAGCGGCGCCGAGCCUGACAUCAUUGGUUCCUUCCAGACGUAUGACGCUCCAGGUGCACUGUCACAGGAUGACCCGUUCACGCCUGCACCUCCUCCGCCUCGUCCUCACCGUGCUCCAGAUGCAUUUACGUACUCGGAGGACCACAUACGCCGAUAGCCUAGGACUAGGGGGGAGGACGAAGAGAGCGCGAGGUACGGGACAGGCGGGGUAGAUACUCUUAAUUCGGUGGACUUUUUAGAUUUAAACUGUUUUUGUAUGAUACUAUUUUCUUUUUAAUUGGUUUAUAUAUCGUAAAAUUGAGUUAAAAUUUUAUAUGUAUACAAAAGAGUAUGGCGAAUAAAUAUUGUAUUUGAAAAAAGUCUGAAUUUCAAAUAGUUUGUAAAACAUAAAUUCCAACAAAAAAUAACCAAAAAAUAAGUAGGGGGACCUCCCGCCCACUGGCCGGGCCGGAUGCCUGCCUCAGGGACCUCUUCGCGAAUAAGAAACUUUUCUUAUUCGUGAAGAGGCUCUCGGGAGGGGUCUGGAAAUUUUUUUGGAACCUCCCGCCUGCUGGAUGGAUGGGAGGUCCCCGGCCCCACGCCUCCCGCCCGAUCAUUGGGCGGGAGGUACCCAUUUUUACAAUUUUUCGCAACCGACACCCUUUUUCCAAUUUUAUUUUCAUGCGAUGGGGGAAUGAACAGCACGUUCAGGAGAAGUUGAGAUGAAGAGGAAAAGAUUGUGAACUAUGGAUUCCAUUCCAUUUCCAGGCACCACAUCGCAUCACAGGCCGUCACAUCGAUCACAUUCACCAUUUUCUUUAAGAAAGGAAAAAAAAUCAUUGUCGACGUCAUCAUCACUCACCAUUCGAUUCGAUGGAUCAGAUGGUAGUACAGAGGAAGAAGGCAGCAGCUUCUUGCAUUGCUUCAGCUUCAACCAUGGAAAGAGAAAUGCCACGCUACACACAUACAUACCCAGCUGCCCAUACAUACAGACAUCUCUACUCCUCGAUCGAGUCGUCUUGUCGUCUCCGGCUCCGGCCAAACAGAAAUGCUCCAGCCGGCCAUGACGUGGAUGGAUAAUGUAAAGUAAACGAAACCAUGGGCGUCUUAGCUGGAUGGAUUAGGACAAACCCGCCACGUCAUGCACGCCUCCCCCAAUUAUUGCUGCAACUACUAGUAGUUUAUUGAGUUUCCCCCCAUUGCUUCUUCUCCAUGGAUCGUCUGCAAGCGAGUUUACCAGCUCCAUCGCUCGUUCUCGUUGCCGUCGGCGUCGGUUGCCGGCGGCAGAUGCGAGUAGAAGUCGAGAUCCAUCUUGUCGGCGCUGCUCUUGCUCUUGCUGUAGUAGUGCAUGACGGCUGCUCCCCCGAGCACGGCGAGGGUGAGGGCCUGGGCGUGCAUCCUGGCGUGGAUGAGACGCAGGCUCGUCGCCCGCUGCGGCGCCCUCCGCCGGCUGUACGCCACCGACGCGCCCACCGCCGCAGCCCACACGCCUCCUGCACACCACAGUCUCAGAUUAAUCAAGCAAGCAAAGCAAGAGAGAGAGAGAUUCAGGUGAGGGGCUGAGGGGAUGCUGCUGACCGAUGCUUGCGAGCUUGUGCUCCUCCACCCAGGACUGCACCGACGAGCUCAUCCUCUCCAUCUUUGAUUCCAUCGAUGAUCUGCCUGCCUGCCGAUGACAAGGAGUCGUGUUUUGGAUUUGGUGGUGCUUGAUGAUGAUUGAUUGUAAAGAUGAACGAACGAAUGGGAGUGCUGGAUGUGGAUGGAAUUGGUGGCACGCAGCAGGUGUGUUUGGUCAGAUACUUAUAGGAAGGAAGGAUCGAACUCACGAGUGGAGUGGAGUGUGUGCGGUGUGCCCACUGGUUUUGAGCUCACCAUCGAAGACGGAGAGGAAACCAGGGACACCCAGCCUUCUGUUUCUGUCGUGGCUUCCUGCUGCUGCUGCUGCUGCUGCUGGUUUCCUUUGCUUGUUCUUGUGGGCGGGCACUCGCUUUCGGAUUAUAAGGUUUCAGGCAGGCCCACCUUAUCUGCUGCCGGCCAAAAAAUAAAAAGAAACUUGCCCUGAUCAGACACAGACAUGUGGGCCAUGCUGGGACCUCUGUCAGUGACUGCUCUUAGCUUGCGAUGACUAGUUAUUAAGCAUCUCUGUGGACUGAAUUCCAACCUCAAACUCCAAGGCUGGGAUGCUUAAUUAGAUUUUUUUAUAUUUAAUUAAUUCCACAGCAGCUGUGUGCUACGCUGGUAUAUUCCAUAUGAAAACAACUAAUCAAGUCUGUCUUGAUGAUGGUUUCCCUUCCUUUUUGCGAAAAUGAAGUAGGCCUGACUCCAACCGUGGGCUCAUGGCCCAUCCAAAAAAUCAACAGCAACCAAUCAACAAAGUAGGCCCACCGCAAUCCGGCUACCUCACCACUUCUUCUCCAGUCUUCCUUCCAUCCCUUGGAAGAAGCCGCCUCCUCCUCCCCCUCCCCAGAUGAGGCACCCCGCCACGGCGCCGCUCUCGAGCCCCAAGUCUGGCGCCAUCAAGCGGCAGCGGCCGCUCAGCGACGUCACCAACCGCCUCCUCCCCGAGACCCCGACCCCCAUCAAACCCAGAAGGACUGGACUCCGGCCCCUCCCCACGCCCUCCGACGCCUCCUCGACCUGCUCCUCCACCGCAUCGGUCACGCCCGCACCCCAGCCUUCGUCCGCCGCCGGUGAGUGAGCCUGCUCUGCGUCCCCCAUUUGUGCUCGAUCUCGCUGCGACUGCUUCUGCUGGCGGCGUCUUCGACCCCCAUUGGGGCCGGGAAUUUCUGAUAGUGCUUCUGAUUCGCAGUCAUCGAGGAGGAGCGCAGUGCGGUUAAAUCCCCCAUCUCCACGGUUUACGCGAGGCGCGGGACUACUGAGACUCGAAGGAGGAGGAGGACGAACCCCACCGCCACCACCCCCCCCAAGGGCAAGGAACCCGUUGCUGCUGCUGGAACGGCGAGUUGCCCUCCUCUUGGAAAAGCCACAAGGAAGAACAGCAGGUGAAAUUGCUUUAGCUUGCCUGAUCCCAUUACAAUUUCACCUGUGUUUGGUGUGUCCAGAUUCAGCCACCCUCGGUGCUCCUGCUUCUCCUUGCUGCAAUUGAAUGUGAGAUUUUUGGACAAAGUUUGUGGUAGCUUCUUCUGUGGGUGCUACAGACCUCCCUUGUAGUUUGCUUCUCUUACAGCCAAGUUUGAAGAAUGCACGUACCUGAUUGUCUCUAAGAAUUAAUAGCUUGUUAUUGGAAAGUGUACAAUGAUAUAGUAAUCAGUGAGAGUCGCCGUACAUCAGGCUUAACAUGGUGCUCAUCCUGUAUGCUCAUCCAACUUAGCCUGUUAGUAACAACUGUCCAAGCCCUCACUGUUCCACACUGAUCUGGAAUGUUACAUUUCUUACUAUUUCCAGGCGAUGGAACUGCUGUAGCACUCUACGCCUUGAAUGCUGGCAUUCUUGCUGUAAAAUGCCAUGUAAUGAUAUAGAUUAGGCUAGAAGAACUUGGGCGAAGUCUUUCACAUUUCUGGCAGAAUAAAAUAUCGCAUCAUAUAAUAUCACAACUCACAAGUAACAGGAUAUUAAAAAGUCCAAACUUUAGUGUUCCUUUAGUUCAUCACAGUUACAGUCUGAGUGCAUUUCAGUAUCUGAAAUAUUGAAUUACAAUCCUGUUUCAGGAAAGACUCUAUGGCUCAGGAUACCCAGCCCAUUUCUUCUUCAGCUCCUUGUCAUGGAGCUAAAAAGGUAAGAGUGCCACAAUCUGAGUGUAUUCAUGCGUAAGGGACCUACAAAGUUUUCUAUUGUUAAGACUUAAGAUCAUGGUGCUCUCUUUGAUGAUGUACAUAAUGAAAUACUAUUAAGUGUGUUUUUUGUUAGAACUUGUUAUGUGUUAAUAUUUCUGAAAUGGUGGCUAGAACAAUAGCAAUGGUGUUCAUCUUUCUGACUGCCUGCAGUGUUUUAGACAGAAGCUAUCGAUCUGGAAACUAGGACAUCAUUGAACUGUUUGAGAAAACGAGCUAGUUUAUACAGCACCAAUCGCUUGAUCUUUAGUUUGUUUGCAAUGAUGUUCAGCUUUCUGACUGCUUGCGAUGUUUUAAACAGAAGCGGCCCCCUCCAAGCAUACCCAAGUUGCCAGAAGACUUUGUGAAGAAGCAGAGAGCAUACUUUGCAGAUGUGGAUGCAUUUGACCUGCCCGAGGAAGAGGUGUCAGAAUCUGAGCUCGAGUGAAAACUGAAGCUGAUCCCAGAAUAUAUGGCCGUUUUUUCUGUACAGACGUAGUUUACUGGAAUUACGCUUACAAUGUAAGUUUGAGUUAUGGUGGUAGCAAUGUAUAGCUCUCGUAACACGAGGAAGAGGCAGUGUAACCCUUUAGUGAUCAGCGGUCAUUGGCCCACCAACGACCCUUUUAGCAUAGUAGUAUGACAAAUACUGAGACCUGAAACGAAGCAAGCUUUGGCUGCACGAGGAAAUGAGCCAGUUACUCAGUACUGGGCACUCGAUCUUUUAGCCUGUCCCGAAGCAGCUACUCUGGAUUAUAAUCUGUGCCCAUGUUUGUUCAUAGUUUCUUCUUGUGUCGUCAAUUCUGCCGUUGGAGCUGAACUUGGGUAAACAAAAUCAUUGCAAAUUUAGUUGGUCUUGGUAUGAUAUACGUGUUACAUGCGAUCUGUCAAGUAAAGACUGCACAGUAAACCUGCAUCUUUGGCUUGGUUUUCUCAGUGACCUUACGUGAUCGAUCCAACAAAGAAGAAUGUCGAGAAAAAUAAGAGGAUUUCUAGAAUGUUGGAUGGACCGUAACCACUGGGAAAGACAUCGGCUGGCCUCUCUUCUUCGUUGAUAGUCUUUGGAUGCCAAAUAUGAUAGGUGCCGCCAUUCUCUGUUCCGUAUUUCUUUUUUUUUUAAAAUAGAGGUACAUAAUAAUAACAACAACGGAUUAAAGAAGCAGCAUACUCCCGAGGGAAAUCCUCCAAACCAAAAUAUUGAUAACAAAAACUGAUGAGAAAACAAAGAAAAGGAGAGAUUUUAAAAUCAAGCGAAGCUUCCAUAGUUUGGGGGUUCUCCGGACACGAAGCAUGAAUUUCGGUACCAUUGUAGUAUCUUACUAGCUCGCUCAUACUUUUUAAGAGAAGAAAGGAGCUAAAGGUGGUUCAUUGCGCCCAGUUUGUUGACAAAGCAAGAUUCGGCCAAAUCGGAAGGGUUCACACCUGAGAUAAGAUAGAGCUUAUGGCCAAACUGAUCGAUACUCAGGACUCACUGAUAUGCUCUGUAACAACCACUCCAACUUGGAGACGCUUUCUCUAGCUUUUCGGCGCUAAAUCACCAACACUCUUGUUAAUGGCUUGCUUGGCCAAGUCAUUAUCCACAACUCCCCACUCAGGAACAUGUUCUAAAUGCCUCGAUUCCCUGUCGACUUUUGACAUAAGUUGAACAGUACUCCCAGGUCACCAAAUGAAAAUUUAUACUUCAUACUCAUGGUAAUUUCGUAGUUAUGCUCCAGUGUCGUUCAUGAUAAACCAGAGGCUCUGCAAGCUUCUAGUAUUCUUUUUCUUUGUUCCCCUUUGCAGAAUAAUAUGAUGACGCCACAUUUAAAUGCCUGUUAUUUUGUAUGGAUCCAUCUGUAUAUUUGGCCAACAAUUCUUCUUCGAGUUAUGUUUUUUAAGUUAAAUCUUCGCCUCUACCAUCCAUCCUUGCGGUUCCAAAGCACUGAAAAAAAAAUCCCCUGAGAUAAUUCAGUUCCGUUUCUGUUCCCAGGCAAUUUUGCUCUCACAUAGCUUGCGAAACAAUGUGGAAGUCAAUUUCAUUAGAUAUUUAUCAACUUAUAUCAGGAACCAAGAAGUGCAGAUGAUUGCUAAACAUAGUCAAACUCUUCUCAAAUACGUCAAUCCACAAAAUACUUGGCUAAAUUCUAUCGUACAAUAGCACCUUAGGUGAGAAACUCCGAUAUUAAUAAAAAAAAAUGAGCCAAGAACGAAAAACAAAGAAUUCUCUACUAUGAGCUAAAACUUGCCACCAUAAAAUAGAUUAACAUUCUCUUAACAGAUCUGAUCACACGGAGCAUAUUCAGGUUUCCAAAAAUCCUUGUAUGAAUAUUCUCUUAAAUCUUCUGUCACCAGCCAAAUUAGGACUAACUUUAGUUGGCAUAGUAAACCACAUAAUAUACAAGUCAAUGUAGUCAUGCCUGUGUCCGAUCACAUCUGUUAAUGCAACGUGCUUUAGGAGUACAGACCACUCAACUUAGCCCGAUAAAGAAAAUUAAGGAAUAUUCAAAGCCACUAGCAUAAAGUUAGAAACUUAGCAUGCGAAAAUAUUCUGCCUAUAAAUAUCUGCGCACAUGGACACUGGCCAACACACUGCUCUAAAACCCUGAGCAAAAUGGCCUCCCAUAAACCCCUCGCUUGCAGUGUCUCGGCCUUCUUCUUUGCUGCAAGCUUAGUUUCAUCUCAGCUUACUGCAAAUUUCUAUGACAAGUCAUGCCCAAAUGCACUGUACACCAUCCAAACAGCCGUAAGAUCUGCUGUGGCCAAGGAGAACCGCAUGGGUGCAUCAUUGCUCCGCCUCCACUUCCAUGACUGCUUUGUCAAUGCAAGUGUCACCAAAUCUGCAGAUAGUUUCAUACUUACAUUUUCUGGAUCAUUAACAUGGAAAUGCUAAAUAUACAGGGUUGCGAUGGCUCCGUGCUGCUUGAUGACACCCCAACCUUCACAGGGGAGAAGAGCGCUGUUCCGAACAACAAUUCCCUGCGUGGAUUUGAUGUGAUCGACAGCAUCAAAGCACAGAUUGAGGGGAUCUGCCCGCAGGUGGUAUCAUGCGCUGACAUCCUUGCUGUUGCAGCACGCGAUUCCGUUGUUGCGGUAAGCCAAAACAAAAAAAGCAACAACAUCUAAAAUUAGUUUAAAAUAUUAAAUGUUGAUUCUGAACCACAUGCAGCAAACUACAAUGAAGUGCUUGUCCGUAUUUUAACUGAAAUGAUGAUGGCAAAGUCUUUAUGUUUAAGAGACUAUGAUAAAUUGAUAAACAUAGACCUAAACAAAGCAUCAGGAAGCACUAAACUAAACUACUAAAGUCAACACUCCAUGAUAUCCAGAGAUUACGUAGCAACUGAUUGACUAAGCAUAUUUCAUGCAUUCCAACACAAACAAACAAUACUAAAAGUUGACAAUUUCUAUUUCAGCUUGGAGGCCCUACUUGGGUUGUCAAUCUGGGAAGGAGGGACUCAAUGACAGCAAGCCUAGACACUGCAAACAAUGACAUCCCAGCACCAACCCUUGACCUCAGUGAUCUUACCAAGUUGUUCUCAAACAAAGGACUGGGUACAACUGACAUGAUUGCACUCUCAGGUAAUGAAAGACUGCAAUUUUUGUCAUUAACCAUAUGCCUGGUUCAUAAAUCAGUCCAAGCUAGAUUUGUUCCUUGAAUGCCAAUAGUACUACUACUGAAUAAAGACUGACAUGAAACCAAAAAUUACCAGGAGGGCACACCAUUGGGCAAGCCAGAUGUGUCAACUUCCGCGAUCGCAUAUACAGCGAAACUAACAUUGACACAUCCCUUGUAACAUCACUGAAAUCAAAUUGUCCAAAAAAGACUGGCGACAAUAAUAUUUCCCCCCUUGAUGCCUCAACACCCUAUGUUUUUGACAACUUCUACUACAAGAACUUGCUGAACAAGAAGGGUGUUCUGCAUUCUGAUCAGCAAUUGUUCAAUGGAGGCUCAGCAGACUCCCAGACUACCACCUACUCUUCAAACAUGGCAAAAUUCUUCACCGAUUUCAGUGCGGCGAUGGUGAAGAUGAGCAACAUUAGUCCCCUCACUGGAUCAAGUGGACAGAUAAGGAAAAACUGCAGGAAGGUGAACUAGGACUCACAUUAUUGCCGCCUGUGCUGGUGUGUGGUUUAGUACCUUGUAAUCAUCAUUGAAAGGAGAAGUGUCCCUUUCAUGAUGCAGUAGUCUACUCCAAAGAUGUAUUCACUGCUUUCAAAGCAUACAUGUGCAAGGAAUAAAAUGAUACGAAGAAUACUUUUAAUGCAGUAAUUGGUCUUACCUUUCAGUGUUUCCGCAUCUAUCUUGAGCAUGCAAGCUCACGGACAAAAGUUGCUCCGAUAAUGGCACAAGAAUAACACUAGGAAGACUUGACCAGAUCAAGGUGUAUUUUGAUCAAAUAUCGUCACUUUGGAAUUGAAGGGAUCAAAGAUGGUACUCAUAGCAGAGAUACUUGGCAAGGAUUCAUUUUACAGUUUUGUACGGAAAAACAGGAAGCAGUUGUAUACAAGAGGGUUUCCAGCUCGCAUGAUUCGAAUCAGCACAUCUAAUGACAUGAAUACUUCCUAAAGUUGUGAUUGCAGGUAAGAGUCAUGACUGAUGAAUAUUGCGUAUCGCUGCAUUGAUACUUUUACAGUCAAAGUCCAUGAUCUUCAUCCAGUUCUCGAAAUCUCCAAUUUCCUAGAGAUAAAAUUAAAAACCAGAUGCUUCAGCAGCAGCAGCAAAAAAUAAAAAAAAUACUGUAUUGGAUGUUUAGUUUUAUGCACUGGUUCAUCUAUGGAAAAAAUGAAACCAAACCUAAAGGAACAGGCCAAGAGCAUACUAGCCCCUGGCCUAAAAUUUCAGUUGGGCCAUUUAAUAAUAGGCCUGUGAAUUUCGAGGGCACGGGAGUAGCAUAUCAUGAGUGCGAGUCACCUUCAAGACUGAGUUGAUUUCGUUGGUGGCAGCCAGCCACUGGUCAGUCUGCUUUCUGUAGCGCGCGAUAGUGAUGAGAAGCGCGCGGGCCUCAUGCUCGAUGCGCUUCUCGUUGACGAAGAGCUCCUGCACCCCGCCGUCGACCGUGUCGACGAGGAGAUCGGACACCCGCACCGCGCUUCUCAAGGCAUCCUUCUUGGCUCUCUCUACGUGUGUGUGAAGGAAGAUAGUGUCAUGCUAAUUUGAGAGAAGAAGUCAUAGUAGCAAGGAAAGAUGGGAAUUUGCAUAAUCGAAAUCAAGGGAAUCUGUAGGAACCGAACACAGCGGCGUACCAGUUUGUUGGCGUUGGCGGAAGGAUUGGUGGUGGUGGUGUUGUUGUACGAUGUGGAGCAGUGCCUCUUCCAGCUCCUGCUUCCCACCCGCCGCCGGCGGCGGCUUGGCUCCGUCCAUCCCGUCCCAAUCGCCGCCAGUCGCCGGAGCGAUUCCCCCUUUUUUUUCUUUUGCUCCCCCCUCCUCCGAAGUGAAAUCACACCCCCUGCCUUGUGAAUAGUUAAUGGGCCACAGCCCAGAUGAUAUCAGAAGGCCCAACAACACCCAAUUUUAUUUCAGUUAAUUAAUUAGAAUCUCAAAAAAAAGUUAAUUAAUUAGAGCUAUCUUUUUCAAAGCCGCGGCUGUUAUUAAUUUGUUGUUGAUUCCUGUGGUACGUAUAUUGUUGUGCUGGAAAUUAAGUUUUGGCAAACUAAUAAUUCUACGUCGUUGCAGAGUUUUGGCUUUGAAAAUUUUGGUUAAUUAUUGAUUACGACAUGCAUUCGUGAAGUCAGCAAAUUUAAAGGCCGCCCGGUCGGUGUGUCAAAAUUAAAUCAUACUAUACACAGUUGCAUGGUAUAAGGCCACUGCCAAUGAAAAUUUUAUAAAGAGUUUCAUAGCAUUAAAUUAUAUAUCACAUCAUUAAUUUUGCUGACAUAGCAAGGAGGGAAAAAGAGAAAGUUUCAUCCCUACGAAACUCAAGCAGCCCAGUUAACUUAGUUCUUAAUCUGCAGGGCCCAUCAGGUCAGAAAGAUUUGAGAUGUACGUGGUCAGGUCACACAAGUAAUUAAUUUAGUUUUCUAUACGCGCGCGGGUGUCGUCUUGCGGUCUCCUCCAUUCAGUUUUGGGUCUAUCUGAGCACCAGAACAUGUCCACAUCCAUGCAUGGAACCUGAAAAUUUACCGUUAUAUAGUUUGUCUGCAGCAGCUGCCCGGUUCUUGUCCGCAUGAUUCGAUUUCAUUAUUGGUAAAGCCAGUUUACCUUACUCGAUCAAAUUUUGUUUAUCCACGUCCAUCUUUCCAUCUUUAAUUUUUAGGUGUGGAGUGCGUAAGAUAUGCAUGCAGUCAAUGUCAUGAGCUCAAAUUAAUUAACCUACAGUACAGUCUCAUCCUACUCACGUACGGCAUCUAUCCAUCAGCACUAACUUUUUUUUUAAAUAAUGCAGGAGCUCUGCUUGAUCAUUAAAGACGAGGAGAGAAAGUCCAGAGUCCUUACAUAUAUAGAAGAUCAUCAGCACUAACUAGGAGCCUAUUUGGUAGAGCUGAUUCUAAUUUUUUAUAAGAGCUGAUUCUUUGAGAGAAGUGAUUCUGUGAUUGAAGAUGAUUCUUUUUUAUUCUCUAGCAUAAACUUUUAAAAUCAGGAUGGAGAAUCACUUCUCAUAGAACUAGAAGAAACUAUUUUUAUCAGCUCCCAGCCUCCUAGUUCAAUUUAAACGAUCACUCCGCAGAAUCAGCAGAGAAUCAUUUCUCUGAAAAAUUGUUUGACAGAGCUCCUGCUGAGAAUCAGCUCUACACCAUUUCAUAGUAAAUUGUUCUCUACGUACGCCUCACUUCGUGUGUUCAGUUUCCACCUUUAGAUCGAUUCCCUUGAAUUAGAAGCAAGACACAUAGACAGCAAAUCUACAACUAUAUAUAGGAAAGGAAUUAACAGUCCAAGCCUAGCUAGGUAGCUACUGCUUCAGUCCAAGUGACCAAGCCCCCAAGACUCCAAGAGGGUGGUUGGAUGUGUGAACAGUGUACCUUACCUAAUGACUUCACUUAACUAAAAAUAUUUUUUCAGAAGAAACAUACGCAAGCAGAUAGUUCUGGUGCAGGCAUUAUUUUGCAGAAACUAAAAAAAAUCACGGGUUGAACUUUCCUGAUCUCGUGGAUGUAUAUGCCUGUCCUAUCCCCCAACAACAUUGAAGCAAAACUACCUGCUCAGACUGGGACUGUUGACUCCUGGCCAUGUACAUUAUUGUUGUGACUAAACAAAAAAUGGAGAUUACUAACGCCAUGCAUGACGACUUUAGAGAAACAGAUAGCAUAUUUUUUUCCCUUCAUCAUAAAUACUCCUUUGUAAAGUACUCAAGUUGAAGGGAGAAUCUGUAGCUGACUAGUCACUGCCCAACAUGUUUGACCAUGGUCCAGAUGCAAGGCUGCUGCAUGUAUGAGGUGAUGAGGUGGAUGAUUAGAAUGCUUCCAGCAGGCCAGCACCAGAAAAUUCUUGUCCCCAUCAAGCUUGACAGUUUGGAAAUUGACAAAACGCUAAUCCAAGGGGAUGACAGAAACUAUUAGGAUACAUAAUGGUGAAACCUCGCCGUGUUGUUUCAUAACAGAGGGCCGAUCAUCAGUUUACCAAAAAGGAAAAAUUAAAUUACAUCCAGAUGGACUGAUGGGCAACGUGCAUAGCGGCUAUACCUGAACCUGGUCGACCAGCAGUUUGGUUUGAUCCUACAGGUCCAAGUGUUCCCAUUCACCAGAACCCCAACAACUCAUGCUGUCCUAAACUACACUAGUCUACAGUUUGAUGCCCUGUUACAAAGUCGCAGGCGGCCGGCAGGCUGGCAAUCAACGACAUUUCAUCUGUUUUGUACCGCCAAUCAUGACGAGAUGAAAAAGCACAUAUGUCUGUUUAGUACCAUCAUUUUUUGUAUUCUGAUGUACUUGUAAAACCUACUGAAGUUAAAUAUCAUCUCCAUUUGCUUGAAGCUUGAUUACACUGAUCACAGUUAAAAGCAUACACCAUUUGGAGCAAGACAGAGAAGAGACAGAGACAGCAAGUCUAGAAUAAUGCCCAAAUGAAAAGGAGUUACUGUACCAGUCCUACUACUUGAUGUUUAAAUAGGGGCGGAUCUAAAGGGGGGAUCAAAGCGCCCCCGCCACCUCUCAAGAUCAAUGGAUACCCUCUGAGCCGCUUCUCUAUUUUCUAGACAAAGAAUGAAGAAAAAUAGGGGAGGAAGAAAAAUAAAAGAAGAGGAGGAGGAAGAAGAGCCCUUCUUCACUUAGUUGCUGGAUGCGCCACUAUGCUCAAGUAACCAUGCAUGACUCCUAUGGGGUUAUCGGCCCGUGGCGAACAGCGAUGAAACCGUGCCUAAUUACUUUAUCGUAUAAUUUGUUGACCAACAAUGAUAAACAAAUAUUUCAAUGACAUACAGUAGUAGAUAGUUCUGGUGCAGGAAAAGAUACGCAUGCAUCGUAGAAACUUCACAGGGUUGAACUGUUCUGAAAAUGUGGAUCUAUAUCAAUCUUAAUAUUACUAAUUGGAGACUUCUCGUAAAGCCUCCAGGUGAAGCCAUUUAGAAUACUAAGUGGACACUCUGAAAAAGUAGAGAAAUUCUCACAAAAAUCAUAAACAUCCGAACAUCAAUUCGACAACUCUAAUCAUAAUUAUAAUAGUCGUUGUCAUUGGAUCUGUUAUCUUUCCUAAUAAAUUACCCACACUGCCAUUAUAAAAAUAGACUAGAGUAACUUCCUAAACAUGUAUCUAAAUUACCCAUCUCUACUAUUAUAAAAAAACUAAAGUAACCCCCUAAUCUUCAUGUAAAUUACCCACCUAUGCCAUUAGAAAAUAAUACAAAUAACCUCCUAAAUUUGCAUAUAAAUUAUCCAAUUAUGUCACCAUUAAAAGUUGAAGUAACGCCUAAAACUGAAUCUAAAUUAUAUAAUUAUAACAAAAUAUUAAAGUGCACCAAUAUAAAAUUAUAAAUUAAUAUUUCUAUCAUUAUUAAUAUAUUAUUGGUAUUAUUGUUUAUAUAAAAAUACUACGAUAUGUGUCACCAUGUAUUAAUGUAUGAUGGAAGAGAUAAGAAUACCAAUUCACAAACAAAUGGUUCAAUUAAAUGUAUAUCACAUACACAUGAAGGUGUGAUGCAAAAUAAAAUUUAUUGCAACUAAAUAAUGAUAAAUAUGUAUUCUAGAGUAUGCGUUAGAAUAUUUAAUAGAUGAAAGAGGACGUGAGAUAGAUGAUUAUAAUUAUUAGCUAUAAACCUUAUUUUAUAUUAAUUUUAAUUAGCCCGUGCGGGAGCACGGGUUCAUAGGCUAGUGUUUUAAAUAGCGGGCUAUAGGAUUUAGAUGCAGGGUCCAAAAAACGCUAUUAGUCCCGCUAUAGCCCGCUAUAGCGUGCUUUUUCUACUGUAAUGGAUAUAGUGGCAGCUCCGCAAAUCCGGCUAUUUAAAACAUUGAUCUAUAUGCUUUUCCUAUUCCAAACAACUUUUUAACUUUUGAAGCAAAACAUUAUGAGAAUGGAGACUGUUGACUCCUGGUCAUGUACGCUGUGGCAAACAAAUGGUGAUAACUAACCAUGCUCGACGACUUUAGAAAAAGAAGAGCAUGCAUGGGACAUAGCAUAUUUUAUCCUAGUAAUAUACUAGUUGCAUAUGCUUGUAAAGUUGAAAGGGGCCUUUAUAGUUGAAUACUAGUGGGUCCGUGCCACACAAAAUUGACCAUGGUCCAUGCAUGUCGAUCUGCAGCAUGAAUGAAUUGUAUGAUGUGGAUGACCAGAACAACUAUUUCAUUUCCAGCAGUCAGAUUAACUUCGCAAGAUCAACGAAACUAACCUUAUUAUCAGAUGUUAUCAGCAGCGAAGUACGGGUGGAUUCAGAAUGAUGGGCAACAUAGACAGCAAGUAGCAGAGGAAUGGCACCUUUGCGUAACCAUGUCGGCCUGCAGCUUGCUGCUUGGAUACUACUAGAGAGGUCCGGUCCAAGUGUUCCCACUCAGCAGUCAGUGGUGUACAGGGGAUGGGACCCUUUUACAAAGUCGCACAGGGCGGCCGGCCGGCUGGCAGGCAAUCAGGCCUUCCUCGACUCCACAAUAACAACGACAGCGGCCAUGGUCUGAAACGCGUGAUUCCUGUGAGGCCAACACGCAGGCAUUCCUUGGUCGGUCGAUUGCUUUCUUUUCAACUCAAAGUCCAAAGGGCGCGCGGUGUAAUCUAAUCAUAUAUGAUGGAUCGACGCGCAUAGUAUGCUGCAGUACGAUACUGUAGUCUAAACAUGCAAACCGACUCCAGGUAUUAGUUUCUGCCAGCUAUAAAUAUCAGUCAGUGUCGUCCAGGCAGGCAGCACUCUCUGCUCUUCCUGCAUCUUGUUCAUCAUUUAGCAGCAGCUCACCGUCAGAAGAUCACCAUGGCUGCUCGUGCAUCAGCAGCUGCAAGAUGCAUCGCUGUCCUCUUGAUGCUGGCCGGCACCUCGUCGGCGCAGCUGUCCACCAGCUUCUACUCCAGCUCCUGCCCCGGCUUGUACAGUGCCGUCAAGUCGGUGGUGCAGUCCGCCAUCGCCAGGGAGAAGCGCAUGGGCGCCUCCAUCGUUCGCCUCUUCUUCCACGACUGCUUCGUCCAAGUAAUUACUAAUACUACUAAUAAUAUCACUCAGAAGUACUACCUGAUGAUCAACUUGAUCACCUAUUCUUACUUAUUUAUUAUCCGCAAUUUUCAUUAUUCUGCGUGCAGGGUUGCGACGCGUCGUUGCUGCUGGAUGACACGGCCAGUGUCCAGGGCGAGAAGAUGGCGACGCCCAACAACGGCUCCGUGAGGGGCUUCGAGGUGAUCGACGCCAUCAAGUCCGCCGUUGAGAAGGUCUGCCCCGGCGUCGUCUCCUGCGCCGACAUCCUCGCCAUCGCAGCCAGGGACAGCGUAGUCAGCGUAAGCUAGUUGCUUGCCCCUGUCAAGAGCCUAAUCUGAUCAGCAAUUAAUUAAUACUACUGUGACUACAUGCAGCUUGGGGGGCCGAGCUGGGACGUCAAGGUUGGGAGGAGGGACUCGAGGACGGCGAGCUUCAGUGGCGCCAACAACAACAUCCCGCCACCGACGUCGGGCCUCGCCAACCUGACAUCACUCUUCGCCGCGCAGGGGCUCUCCCAAAAGGACAUGGUCGCGCUCUCUGGUACGUCAAACUACACAUUUCCUAAAUUCGUAAACAUCUCCUCAGACAAAAAUUGCACUAAUUGCUACUUGCAAGCUAGGGACUUGCAUCUUUUUGAAGAAAAAAAAUCAACUAUAUAUAGUGGUGUAGAGUGGGAGAAUAAAGAACCAGUCCACACUAUGCUUCUCAAGUAAAGAUACAGCUGGUAGACACUAUCGCCAACGGAAUUGAUAGAGACCUGUUUUGACUCUAACCUUCUUCACAUAAGCCGUGCAUGACAGGAUCAUUUAUCCUGAUGGUGAAUGGACCAUGGAUAAUAAAGCUUACAUUAGUUGUCGGUUAUUACUAACAUAUAACACACGUCCAGCACGAGAAAGUUGGUACAGAUAUGGAUGGAAUGACAUGAAGUUCGUAAAGGUGACAGCGAGGCCGGCCACACAUGUUGUCGGUAUGGCCGGGUUUCUGGAAGGAAGGAAAGUUUGUGUGUACAAGCUUUAUGCUUUCGCAUGUUAUGAACCUGGCCAUAUAUAUAUAUAUAUAUAUAUAGUAGCAACUUCAACGAACUGUGUCUGUCUAAUUGAAAGAUCAAUCAACUAUCAGAUAUGCUAGCUAACUCGAUGGUAUACUAAAAGCAAGCAUAAAGUCAUCAAUCAUCGGUCGACAUCUCCCAGCUAGAUAUAUAGCAAUCAAGUUAACUACAACCACACACAUUGUUCCCUUUGGAUCGCUAGAAUCGAAUAUUUUUUCCUUUCUUAUCUAUUUGCAGAAUCAAGACCACCUGUUUCAGAAACAUUGUUUGUGUUAUAAACCAGUAAUUUGAUUAAGUAGAGUGGUCCGUGCAUGCAUCUUCUUUGCAAAAUAAACAAAUAGGUCAACCAUUCACUUCUUCCAUUUUUUUUAAAUACUAGAUUACUAUAAUAAAUUAUUUCCUUAUUGCGUCUUGAUUAAUGAACUCUUAAUUUUUGCCACCAGGUGCUCACACCAUAGGUCUAGCACGUUGCACCAACUUCAGAGCCCACGUAUACAAUGAAACCAACAUCGAUGGUGCCUUUGCAAGGACAAGGCAAUCAGGUUGCCCUAGCACCUCAGGUACAGGUGACAACAACUUGGCACCUCUGGACCUUCAAACGCCGGCCGUCUUUGAGAACAACUACUACAAGAACCUUGUUAGAAAGAAGGGACUUCUGCACUCUGAUCAGGAGCUCUUCAAUGGCGGAGCCACCGACGCACAAGUCCAAUCGUAUGUUAGUAGCCAAAGCGCAUUUUUCGCAGAUUUUGUGACAGGCAUGAUCAAGAUGGGUGACAUUACACCUUUGACGGGUUCCAACGGGGAGAUAAGGAAGAACUGCAGAAGGAUCAACUAGUGAAGAUGGAAUGUGCAUUAGCUUAUUUGAGGCUUUUUCUUCAGUCACAUUCAACAACUUUGUACCCUUUCCAAAUUUUCAUUCAACAAUUGUGAAAUCAUCAUGUUGUGUCAAUGUGUUGACAUGUUAGUUCAUUUAAAUAAUGAAUGAAUGUAUCACUUGUUGCCUACAUCAUCUUUUUUUGUGUGUCUAAAAUAAUUUGCAUGAGAGAAUAUAAUGCAUCACUUGUACAUGAUGUCAAGGUAAGCACGCCUCCUUCCAUGCAUGUAUUGUCCUCCCUCUCAACACAGGAUCGAUACAACUUAAUUUGCCCAAAGCCAUCUGCGGCGAGCCUUAAAUUUUCGUUGGGAACAACUGAAUAAGCAACGCAGCUAUACAUAUUAGGUUGUUGGUACUAGAACUGGGGUUAGGUUAGCGUGAUGUAUUCAGAUGUGGUUGAUCCACCUCGCUGUUUUAAAUUUUGUUUGGCUAUGUUCAUAUAUGCAGUCAGCUCAAAAUUGAAAUCAUCAUACAGUGUUGCCUGGUUCGGAAGGAUAACCAAACCACACCUGCAACCUGCACAAGUAUUAUGUACUAUAGGUUCGCCAUCGUAUAGAAUUAUGAACACUGAUCGAGAUAGAAUUGAUGUUCUUCACAAGACGAAUUACACAGGAUAGGAACCCCAGGAUUCUUUCUAACAAUAAUUUUCCUAUUACUAAUUGGAGGGUUUUUUUGACGUGAAGCCACCUAGAAUCCUAAGUGGACACUCUAAAAAAAUAGAGAAAUCCUAGAAAUUCUUAUAAAAAAAAGAGAAAUAUCCGGCCAUCAACCCGACAACUCUAAUCAUAAUAGUCAUUGAAUCUAUUAUUUUUCUCUAAUAAAUUACCCACCUCCGCCAUUAUGAAAAUAGGCUAAAGUAACCCCCUAAACAUAUAUCUAAUGUACCCACCUCUGCCAUAUAAAAAUUAAUCUAAAGUAACCUGUAAUCUUCAUGCAAAUUACCCACAUAUACCAUUAUAAAAAUUAAUGCCAAAUACUCCCCUAAGUUUGUAUAUAAAGUAUCUAAUUAUAUCAUUAUUAAAAAUUAAAAGUAACUUCUAAAUCUGAAUCUAAGUUAUCUAAUUAUAAUAAAAUCUUAAAGUGGACCAAUAUAAAAUUCUAAAUUACUAUGUCUAUCACUAUUAAUAUAUUAUUUAUAUUAUUGCUUAUAUAAAAAUACUACUCAUUUGUCAUGUAUGGGAGAAGAUAAAAGAGUACCAAUUUUUAUGGUUCAAUUAAAUACAUAUCAAAUACAUAUGGAGGUAUGAUACAAAGUGAAUAUAUUGUUACUGACUAAACAUAUUACAUUACAACUAGAUAAUGAUGAGUAUAUAUCUUUAGAGUAUCGUACGUUAGAAUAUUUAAUAGAUGAAAGAGAACAUGGGAUAGAUAAUUAUAAUUAUUAGCUAUAAAUUUUAUUUUUAUAUUAAUUUAAUUAGCCCGUGCGGGAGCAUGGGUUGAUAGGGCAGUGAUCUUAAACCAGCCGGUGAUAUAUAUAUAUAUAUAUAUAUAUAUAUAUAUAUAUAUAUAUAUAUAUAUAUAUAUAUAUAUAUAUAUAUAUAUAUAUAUAUAUAGCUUGCUGGAAGUACAUACCCUUUUGAUUAGCUCCGAGCAUAGUUGUUUUAUUUUUUUUUGAUACCCUGUGCCAAACACCCAACGAUUGAGGUGGAAUAAAGUGGCCACGUUAGGCACGUAGCAUUAAACUCAAUUGGACUGUGUGACACUAUAUAUACUACAGAGGUCUUUAUAGCUAACUACUCCAGUCAUCAUCGAUCAGUCACAAGGUCUUCAGAACUAUUCUCCGUCUCCCAUCGUUGUCGCGUUGAAAAAUUCACCUGCAGAAGAGUGGCAACUGGCAAUGCUGUCAUCGAUCGAUCUCCAUGCAGUGCUUCCAGAGUUACAUAACUUGGAAUUUUUCGCACAUUACAACUCUAGAUACCAGCAGCUGGUCAAAUCCCCCACGUCCUUGGUGCAUCUUCCUCCGGUCCUGUUGCUUGCAGAUCACACUCUCCAAAUGGAACAUGCAUUGUUGUUGAUUCUUCAAUUCGCUGCUGCAUGUCAAGCCGGGAGGGAGUACGUCGUCAUUUUCGGUGAGAAAAGGUCCACUCUUUUUGACAUGCCCAAUCUGAUACACAUUGCUCUGACCAAAAGGGACCUGCCAUCUCUCGUCAAAGGGACAACUCCUUGAUUAGUAGCUAGGUUUGUGUUUUCUCAUAUAUAGUUGUUUGGUGCAUGGCCACCCACCCACUCUCUUUAAUGUGCUUGGAACCAAAUGUCUAGUAGGUUGACGAGCUAGCUUGAUUGCAAGUUUUUCUUUCUUCAUAGGGCAAAGCAGUACGUACGCUCCAUGAACCUGCAGUGUAGAUGACUACGCUAAGAUUACUAUACCUUGAAAUUGUUGGAAUACAUAUAUAGCUAGGAAGACAACACAGAACUAACACCAUGCAAAAUUUGGCGACCCACCCAACUCUCUUUAAUGUGCUUAUUACAAAAGUCAAAGUUGACGUGCUUUGUUGUAAAUCUGAGGAAAUUCACAUGCAGCCUCACUGAACUGAACUGAAGCGACGCAAAGCAACGACCAUUCUGAUCCCCAAAAGCAACUUUGCUGAAACUGAACUGCCUCUUUUAGGCACAAAUAACACCUUUGGAAUUUUCACUGCCUUUCAGACAUAAUUUGACCACCUAACUACCCCUUGAGGUCAUGGUCUUCACAAUACAACUUGGGAAUAUAGGACAAUUCUGAAAUGAAAAUAUUUGGUACUAGUUUGGGUCGCAAGUGGAUUAUAUAUAUUUAAUGUGCCAACUUCCUGUCCCUUGUAGCAUGGAAAAUCCAGUUGAUUAUCGUGGAAAUUAGAGUGUGUAUGUGUAUGGUUGAAGUUGCCACUGCUAUAGUGCUAGGUAGCCACAUGCUGCAUACAAGUUUGAACAUUCCCCACAGGCAUGCGUUGCUUCCCUGGAUGGCUGAUGGGUAGGUUUAUUUAUUUGUAGCUCUGGACUCUGAAUGCUGCCGGGCAGCCAUCGUGAUGAGACUGUUGAUGAACAGCUUGAUAUAUCAGGCACGCAUACAGGUUUGACCAUUCCGUAGGCACCUCGCUCCCUGAAUGCUAACUGGUCUUCGCACGCGAGACUCUGCAACGGACCGGCCGAUACUACAGGCUGCAGCAGAAACGGGUAGCUUCGCUGAACUGCAGCAAACCGUGUUGUGCUGUGUUGCUCUUUUUGCUUUGACACACAUCACACUGCAGGCCCAAGCGUUCCCAUUAACCAAAAUAAAUUAAAGCAGAUCGAGAGCUGAUGAGCUCCAUGCAUGCUGUCCUGAUAAAUUAUAAACUAUAAAGUGUACGCGCAGAGAGAGAUGCUGCAUGCUGGGGCACCCGGCAAUCAAGCAGGCCUCAACUCUUCCUAGCUCCUCCAGUCAUGUAUCCUAGUAGACUCUGAUCUAUAGUAGCUAGCUAGCUACUACCAAAUAAAUACUCUCGCAUACAUUAAUACUACACACAUCAGCUGGUGUGAAAACGUACGUGGCUGUGAUCCUGGGCUGUUGCUGUUUGGGCAAUUAUAUUUAUGCAAGCACGCCGUACCCUUGAUUGGCGGAUGAUCGAUAGGUUGAUUGCUUUUCAACUCAAAGUCCAACAGAGUAGGUAGGUGAUCGAGAAAAAAGCCGGCACUACACAUAUGUUUUUUAUGCAUGCAUAUAUGGAGUGCUUCUAUUCUACUCCUAUGUAGCACUACUACCUAGCUUCAUUCUGCUGCAAACCAAUGCAAGACCAGGGCUUGCUAGCUCUCGAUCGGCUAUAAAUAUCCAUGUAUGUUCCCCAGCUGAGCUGAUUAAGCACACUGCACUGCACGCAGACAGCACUUGCACACCAAGCUAAGAUCGAUCACCAGAGAAUAUAUUAAGCUGUCUCUCCAGGCAAGAUCCAUUGUAUUUUUGAUCUAUCGACCGAUCAUGGCUACUCGAGCCGCAUCAUCAGCUGCAAGAUGCGGCAGCGGCGCCGCUGUCCUCUUGAUGCUGCUCGCCGUGCUGGCUGGCACCUCUUCGGCGCAGCUGUCCACCGGCUUCUACUCCUACUCGUGCCCCGGCGUGUACGACGCCGUCAAGUCGGUGAUGCAGGCCGCCAUCGCCAGGGAGCAGCGCAUGGGCGCCUCCAUCCUCCGCCUCUUCUUCCACGACUGCUUCGUCCAAGUACUAGCUUACUACUACUAAUAAUAAUAUGAUCAAUAAUUGCUCAGUCAAAAUUACUUCCUGUUGAUCAACUUGAUCGAUCACUUAUUCUUACUUAUUUAUUAUCUGCAAUAAUUUUCAUUAUUCUGCAGGGCUGCGACGCGUCGUUGCUUCUGGACGACACGGCCAGCUUCCAGGGCGAGAAGAUGGCGACACCCAACAACGGCUCCGUCAGAGGCUUCGAGGUGAUCGACGCCAUCAAGUCCGCCGUUGAGAAGGUCUGCCCCGGCGUCGUCUCCUGCGCCGACAUCCUCGCCAUCGCAGCCAGGGACAGCGUCGUCAGCGUAAGCUAGUCGUCACUCCUCACUUGAAGAAAUCAAAAUGGAACUGAACCUGCAAGCGUGGUGUGUGCAUAUAUAUGCAGCUGGGCGGGCCGAGCUGGGACGUCAAGGUUGGGAGGAGGGACUCGACGACGGCGAGCUUCAGCGGCGCCAACAACAACAUCCCGCCGCCGACGUCGGGCCUCGCCAACCUGACAUCACUCUUCGCCGCGCAGGGGCUCUCCCAAAAGGACAUGGUCGCGCUCUCCGGUGUGUGUUAUAAUUAAUUAAUAUAUAGAAUUCCCUACUCCUCCAUGCAUUGCAUGGUCACCAAAAUAUAUCACCAAGGGAAGAAGGGGAAUCAUUGACAUUUCCGUUCCGUUUUGACUAGGAGGAUCAAUUGUAUCACAAACCAAACUAUGACAUGAUCCCUUAAAUUAUUUUAUUACUUUAAAAAUUUUAAAACUGGGCCACCAACGAAAAUAGACAACUGUUAGUGGCUGAAAGAUCAGUCUUCCACCAGAUAUCUUAAUUCGACCAAAUACUAAAGCAAGCAUAAAGCCUGGAUACAAGGAAAGGUAGAACAACAAUACAUGUGGUUCCUUUUCUUUCAAUUCAUUUCUAGAAUGAAAUACCUUUAUCUUUGUUACACUGAGAGAACCAUGAACAGCCUGUGCUGCAUAUUUUAAAAAGAAGAUGCUUCAAAACUUUGUGAUAAAUUAAUUUUUUGAUUAUUCUGGAUCAUGUUGCAUACUAUAGAUCUAAACAUAGAAUUAAUAUUCCUUACUGUUUCUUUGCCAGGAGCUCACACCAUUGGACUAGCACGUUGCACCAACUUCAGAGCCCACGUCUACAAUGACACCAACAUCGAUGGUGCCUUCGCAAGAACAAGGCAAUCAGGUUGCCCUCGAACCUCAGGUUCAGGUGACAACAAUUUGGCGCCCUUGGACCUUCAAACCCCAACCGUAUUUGAGAACAACUACUACAAGAAUCUUGUUUGCAAGAAGGGGCUUCUACACUCUGACCAGGAGCUCUUCAACGGUGGAUCCACCGAUGCUCAAGUCCAAUCAUAUGUUAGUAGUCAGAGCGCAUUCUCCGCUGACUUUGUGACCGGCAUGAUCAAGAUGGGUGACAUCAUGCCAUUGACGGGCUCCAAUGGGGAGAUCAGGAAGAACUGCAGAAGGAUUAACUAAGCGGCAGUGCACUGUACACUAUAUAUAUAUAUAUAUAUAUAUAUAUAUAUAUAUAUAUAUAUAUAUAUAUAUAUAUAUAUCUUGAGACUCUUCAUUAAUAAUAUACCCACUCAUGAUAUAUAUAUAUAUAUAUAUAUAUAUAUAUAUAUAUAUAUAUAUAAAUAUUAUCUUGCAAGUUUGUAUAACCUCUUAGUUUUAAAUUGAGCAACUGUGAAAUUAUUAUGCUGUACCAAUGUGUGUUCAGAUAUGAUGUUUGUUUUCUUAAAUAAUGUUUAAUCUAUCUAUAGAAUGGACGUACGCAUCAUCAUAUAUGCUCCAGCUUAAUUGGAGAUCGAUGAUCUGAUGAGCAAAGGAAUUAAUGUACUAUACCCAGGUAAUAAUAUAUAUAAUCGUACAUCGUCCUCAUCAACGGUGCGUACGCAAUUAAUCUACUAGCUCUUUCAUCAUCAGAUUGAUUAUAUAUAUAUAAUUAACUUACUAGUGAUCUGAAUAUCUGAUCGAUGAUGAACGACCUGCUACAACUAGCAGGAGGUGAUCUGAAUAUAUUUAGUUUAUUAUAGCUAAUAAUUAAUGAGCAAAUACUGUCGUCGUUGUGCGUGCAUGCCCGCAGCAAGGAUCCUUGGUCAAACUGAGUCUCCACCCCAAUGCUGAGGUGGAUCCCUCUGGCGUCAACUUCGCCAUGGCCGGCGCCGGCGUCUGUCUCAGGGUGGGCCGCCGUCGCUUGGCAACCAGAUCGAUCAACUCAGUAGGCUGGUGAGGCAUGGAAUCAUCGAGGACAACGACCUGGAGGAGUACUCGGUGGCACUCAUCGCCUUCACGGGCGGCCACGACUAUGCACGCCGACGACGUACUCUAUUAUUAUUAUUAUUGUUGAUGAUCUCAUUCGUUCGUUCACCGUUAUCGUCUAUCUGCAUAUAUAAUUAAAUAAAUAAAAUAUGCAACAGAUUAUGGCCUUGGCCGAGGAGGUGACCGACAUGAUCGCUGACGGUGCCAAGCGGCUGCAGGAGCUGGGUGUGUCCAAGGUGCUCGUCAACCUGACGCCCCCAAUGGGCUGCCAACCGUAUCGGACCUGGAUGACCAACUACGCCCAAUGCGACAGCCACGUCAACACGGCGAGCAGCAUCCACAACGCGGCUCUCAAAAGGAAGAUGGACGACUUCCAAGACGUGCUCGUGCUCGACCUCGACUCCAUAUUCAGCCAACUCAUCCAAUCCAACUCCGGUACGUGCAUGCAUGCAUCCCUAGCGGCUACAUAUGAAAAAUAAAAUAAAAUAAUACAAUAAAUUAAUAAAUUUUUGCAGAGUUCAAGGGCAAGUACACACCGUGUUGCGAUGCUACAUCUAAACCAGAAGGCUAUUGCGGACAGGAGGACAGCAAUGGCAACGCGCAGUACAGCCCAUGCCCCAACCCGGAGGAUUUCUUCUACUGGGACUGUGUGCACCCCACACAAGCAGGCUGGGAGGCCGUCAUGAACCGCCUGGAGCAACCCAUCCUGAAUUUCUUAGGCUUGUACUCCUAGAUAGUUACCAUGCGUUUGCACACGCAUGCAUGCAUCAGAAGUAGCGCUGUAAUAAGCUACUAUUAGCUAGGUCGUCUUAGGAUUAGGCAUCAUCAAUUGCUAUUAGUUUAUUUAUUGAUUAGUCUUAACCAGCUCGAAAUUUAGUUAGGUUCUUGUGCUCGAUCGGCUUGUGCUAUUUAUGAGUCAUGAAUAAAUUAAAUGACUGUUGGACAUGUUUAAUUACUUACUGUUCGGAUUAGGUAAGCGAUAAUAACACAUAUUCAUGAAAAAAAAAGAGCAGCUGAUCUGAUGAUAGCAAAAUAUUGUGAAAAAACAUAUAUAUAUAUAUAUAUAUAUAGAGAGAGAGAGAGAGAGAGAGAUAUAUGUUAUGUCACCCAGCGCGUGUAGUUUUUCUUGAAAAGAAAGGAUUGAAGUCUCUUCCAUCCUAUUUAUAAAGAUGAUCGAGUUCAAACAAAAAACAAUGAGCUAAAUAAUCUUCAACAACUACUUCCUUGAUCAUUGCUAGCUCUCUAUGAAACAAUAACAGCCUCAUCUAUAAAAUGGUACCGUACCUUCACGCACACUUGCAUUAUAUUGCACCACGCCGUCACGCACAAAUAUAUACAGUAGCUGCCACUCUAUCUGUGAGGUGGAUGUGUGUGUGUGUAUAUAUAUAUAUAAUAAAUAGGAACAGCGAAACUAAAGAACGCAACAGAACCCAGUUUCAAUGUUUAAACAAUAAACAAGCAGGAAGCUGAAGAGCAGCAUAAAGUGCUUCAUGCUUGCUGCUGCUCGGUCGGAGUAUGUUGUAAGCUUGGGUAAUAAAUCUGUGUGUGCGUGUUUGCCAAUCUGAAGUGAGGAGCAGUCUCCUUUUUGUACUACUCCAGUAACAGUAUGCAUAUGCAUGUCGAUCAGUUUGUGUCAGGAGAUCGAGCUGAUGUUUCUUGCGUGACAUGGAACUGACCGACUUUCCUGGCCGGAGGAGUAUAUGCAAGAAGCCGGCUAGGAGUAGCUGCCUGCAUAUUUAAAGCAAGGUUGAGUUCCUCACUAAAAGAACGAAGCUGAUUCAAAAUUGUCAAGCAAAGGGUGAGCCAAUGCAAGGAUUCAGUACAUAUAGCAACAUCUCUUCAUUUUUGAACACAUGCGCGGAGGCACGCCGCCUCUGAUGUAUGUAGACGGUAGGCAGCUCUUUAUCCAACAUUUGGUUCACUCCAAGAUCUCACUGUCACUCUACCAGCUACUUGUUUUUUUUCUCUGGAAUGAGAUAGAGACCCUUAUUGGGUAGAGGAUGGACAUGCCAUUUCAUUUUUAAAAAGAGAUAGCAGAUGCUCACAUCAAUGGAUCGGCGUCUAAAUAUAAGGUGGCUUGGCUCUCUCUAUAUGUUGAAUGGACAAUAUAUGCGUUCCUAAUCAUGCAACAAGCAUCUAUGGGUACCGUUGCAGCAUGCAAAAAGCUAGGCACAUAAUCUGUUAGCCUAUACUAUAGGUGUGAUGUGGAAUAUUUUAUAGUUGUUGAUGUAUAUGUUAAACUGUUGUUGCCUAGUAUUUGGUUCAUAGAAAAUGAAAGAAUAAAAAAUAAAAUACCUCAUGGCUAAGAAAGAUGCAAAACCACACCUCAUCCAUUGGAUUCUGCUACUACAAACUUGAUAUAGAAAUCCGAGAUUAGAAAGGGAAAGAAAAUCUUAUGGUUGACCGAAUUGAGUUCAAAGAAAUAUAAGGUCUAUCCAUCAAUAAUUACUAAGAGUUGACACUAUGUAUAUAUUAGUUGAUGGUGAAUACUGUACUAUCCUACUAUGUAUAUAUUAGUUGAUGGUGAAUACUGUACUAUCCUACUUGUAGAAUGAGUGUGCGGUAACUAGGUUCUAUGCCCAUCGCGUGAAACACUUAUCCUAGAAGGUGGUGUGGUGUAGUCCUUUUUGUGCCCAUGGUCUAAAACAUGUAUAUUGUUGAGCUCAGCGCUGGUGUCCUAGAUAAGGGUUGAUUAAUGGACCAUUACGUCGGCGAAGAUAUUCUGAAAGGGAGGCAACUCCACGAAGACCCCUCUCCGUCUCGCACUAACGCGAGAGCCUUCCGGAUAACGAUCCCACGUGGACCCCACCCUAACCUCUUCAUCUCCCCGCUUUUCUUGCACCGCUCUCCCCCGGCCCUUCAUCUUCCUCACAUCGCCCCGCGCUCCCGCCCUCCCCCUCGCCGGUGUCGCCUCUGAUGCCGGCGUGGACCACCCUCUCCUUCCCCUCCCCGUCCCCCUCCCCACCCCUUCCCCUUUCACCAGAUUCCCCCGCUGCCGGCACCAUCCAACCGCUAUCCUCCACCACCCGCCGGGCUAUGCCAUCGCCGCCGAUCUCACCGCCCACAAUCCACACAACCACCGCCGAUUUGGUUGUGUGCAAUAGUUGUGUGUGCUUGCAUGAUCCGUGCAUGUCUUUCUAUCACUGCUUGCACGUGACUGUCGUCAUCAUUUCAAAUAAUGACUAGCUAGCUAUGUAGCGCAAAUUAAAUGAUGUGGUUGAGUUUGUUUUGCACGCAAAGAGUGUUGGUUUCUAGAAUAACAAACAUUAUAGGAACAAAGGAGGUGAACCAUUAUGCAAUCCUUCAUCCAAUACACGUAUGUAGUAUGACUAAAAUGCAAGGUGAGCAACUAAACUUGCACUAAAUUCUUACCUAAAAUCACUUAACUUGCAAAUGGUACCCAACACAUCAUCAAAAACUUGCAUCCUCGUUCACGAGGUCCUUUUCUUUUUGCCUGAUUGAUUAUGUCUUCUGUAGGCGAUAACAUAGAAUUGGACUUGCAUUUAUAAUGUGUAUAUAUUUCUGUGAGAUGUGAAGGCGUGAUGCUCGUGGCCAGUGUAGCGGGGCUAUCGCGGCACAUGCGCUAGCACGAUAGUGUCUAUACCAGCCGCGCGCGCGUCAUGACAGCUAGCGCGACUAAAAGGCUCACUGGUGUAAGAAAAAGUUCAGGCCGGGUUAUUUUUUUUAAAAGAAUCAUUAAAAAAUUUUGAAAUAAAAAGGAAAUUCUCCACUCUCCAGGCACCAGCGUGGUGGCGUUAAGCCUCCGAGCUCCGGAUCUUCUCCGGCGGCGCCCUGCAUCCCAUCGCCGAAACCUAGGCACGACCAGGUCUUGCCCAACCAGAGCCAGGCGACCACAGCAUGUCCUUCAAGAGCAGGUGUCUCCCUCUGAUCAGCUUUCGGGCGCACUAGUACUUCACAGCCUUUGCAUUGGCUAGUUUCAUGGAGUAGUGGAGCAUAUAGAGUAUAGAUUGCACUGGAUGCCGAUGUGGGAGAAAAGGGGAGGUUAUUGGCUCUAUAAAUUUUGUUCAGUUUUUCGUGUAUUUGUUGUUUCUACUUGAAUAUAUACUCAUCCAAUUAUUUACACUUUAGCUGAGUUUCAGAAGUUCAGAAACAUAACUUGAUACUCAUAAAAGUUACUCGAACUGAUGCUCAAAAUGCAGCAUCUUGCAUAUUUAUUUGACACAUACUCAACUGAUUGAUUUUUCGUUUCUCAAUUUAGUAUCAUCACCAAUUGUACAUGCUGAUAUGAGCUUGUUUCUUGUUAUAAUUUAUUCCCCAGGUCUCCCAUACACAUAUACAUGCACACAUACAUGUUUCAUUUAUGAAAUUAAUGCCACAGCCUGGGUGUCAAUGUGAGCACAAUCAACUUUGUCGACAAAUAAAUACUGCCAUUCCAACACAGAAGGUCUAUUUACUGAAGGAUCACAUCACUGUUUGUAGUGCUCCCUCCAUUCUCUUUGAUAGUCCUAUUUCCAAAAUUAAAUUAUUAUCUUUAAAUAUUCUUAUUUGAGUUGCUAUCUUGGAAAUGAAACAAACAACCCUUUCGAUUCUCGUGCAGAGUAACUCCUUCAAAAUAGCUUAGUACAUGCAUAUGAUGACAUCGAUGUCGAGGAGUUCCGGUGGAAAAUUUUCCUACUACAUAAUGACUUGAUUAAUUGAAUAAUAAGUAGAGUUCUUUUCCUUCAAAAGAGAAUGGAGAAAGUACGCAGUUGUGAAAAGAUCUCACUAAUUAAGUACUAUAUAUAGGAGUAUGGCAUCCUCGAACUCAUAUGCAUGACAUGGCUUACAUAUAUUUUUCCCUUUAAAUUAAAUUUAAGAACACGCUCGCUCUUACAUCAGAUCAGACACAUGGAUCAAACCCUAAUAAUGGUUCGUUUCUGAAGUGCAUGCUGACACAUGGAUCAGACACUGCACGGGGCCGCAUCAUAUUGUAUUUUCCUCAACUUUGAAGUAUACAUAUGUUGUAUAUCGUUACUAUAUAUAUCAUCUAUGUAUAUAUGACUGUAUCUUCAUUCAUUCAUGGCCUCCGCGCCCUCCGAUCGUCAUGCACGACGCAUGAUCACGGUGACAGAGCUGCAAAGAAUAUAUAGGAGAAACAUCAACAAGAAUGUCAUGAGAGAUCAAAAUCUAGCUACUACUGUUAAUAAGUUGCAGGUAAGGUGGCCACUGUUAAGUUGCAGGGAACUGUCCAACAAGAAUGUUAGGAAGUAGCUAGCACAAGAGCAAGUUGCCUUGUUAUUUGCAUGCUAUAGUAAUAAGUAGUAAAAGUAAAUUGCAUUGCUCGCUUGCCUGCAGACGGCUUCUCCCAGACGUCAGGAAUGCGGCCGACCAGCGGUGGGGUUUGCUGCCCAGCUGCAUUAUUAGCAUUGUUCAUGCCAUCGUCGGUCAGCCAUGGAAUGAAUCAUGCAAGAGUAUUGAGGACUUAGCAGCCAUGGCAUGGAGUGGAAGUUCGACAAGCUAAGAGAGGAGAGGACACUCACUGAAGCAGAUGUAGAGGACCUGGGGUGGAAGCACGACGCCGCAAGCGAUGGGGAGAUACAUCAUGCGAACGGGAUCAACUGGCUUGGGCAGCAUCUUGUUGACGUCGCCCAGGAUCACCGGGCACAGGCACCGCAGGGUCCGGUCGCCGUCCCCCGCCGCCGACGAGGUGUUCAAGAAGGCCCCGAGCCCGCUGCAACACUCGCUCUGCGGCGUGGGGGUCUCCGACUCGCUCCCCGUCAGAAACGUCCCGCAGGUCAUCAGCCCCGCCAGCGGCGUCACGCAAUCCGUCGGCGACGACGGAGUAGAGUCACCAACGCUGCCAGGCAGCCCGGGGAAGCCCGGCACCACGGGGAAGCCAGACGGCGGUGCCUUGGGGCAAGGCGGCUGAAACACCGGAGCCGACGGCACUGGAGCCGGCGGUGCAGGCCUCGUGCUCGGUGCGCCCGGGAAGCCGUAUGCUGGCGGCGACGGUCUCGCUCCGGGGAAGCCAGGGAAGAUGGGGCUGCGUGUCCUGGCCCCCGGCCGGCCAGGGAAUCGGAGGGCGUCGGCGUCCGAUGUGCCUGACGCCGUAGUCGUGUACCUCGCUGCUUCAGAUGGCCGCGCCGCCACCAUGACGGCAGCAGCCACGGCAAGCACGACGGCGAUGCGGAUCGACAUGGAUGGCGCUGCAAGGAAAAUCCGAAAAUGUAUGGAUCGACUGACGAUGAACAACCGCUUCUACCUGUGCUCACUGCUCGAUUAUCUAAUGUCCCGCUUUAUAACUCGCUUUGGUGAUUGUCAUUAUUACUAGUUCUCAAUGGCCUCCCAAAGGCUGUGGUUCUGGCAUUGUUAUACUCUAUGGUUCCAUCUUGAGCUUCUUAGUUUUCAAAAGAAAUGCAAGUCACCUGUAGAAGGAAAAAAAAAUGCAGCAUUUCAGAGAGCUGUAUGAUUUCCUACGACACGAACAACAUCAUACCUGCAACGCAACGGCCCCUCAUGUUAGGAACAAUCGUGUCUUUAGCAAAUAGAAUGCUAAUUUGUAUGGCAAUGGCAUGCACCGUGUAGUUGCACGUUUGGUUAGCCGGUGAGCAGCUGCAGAUCCAUGUUCACUUCUUCUGCUAGUGUAUGCAGUUAAUUGGAGCCGAACCGAAAAAAUAUAUACCUAUCUUCUCUGUAUUAUAUUGUACCCUACAUGUUUGUUAACUCCAAAUUCAUCCUAGAAGAAAAACACUGAAUUUAAAAGUUGUCCAUGGAACUGCCAACCUUUGGAAUAAGCAAGGAGGUUCAAUAUCGACAGUGGCAUGUCUUCUUACUGAGGCUAUUCUUUAACAUUGGCGUAUGUAACUUGCAGUUUGCAUGACUCAGUUUCUGCCAUGCGGCAACCGAAGACAGUACAAAAAACCAGAAAUUAUUCUACUAUGAUGUUUAGUCCUACCAUUCCUCAUUCUGUAUCUUGUACUCUUCCUGUGUUUAACUUUCUCCAUAGUUAACUCCAAUAGUCCAACUCAUCCUAAAAGGAAAACUCCAGAUUCGAAGGUUCCUCCAUGAAUCUGCUAUUCUUUGAAACAAGCAGUUCGCUACCAGCAGGGAUGUGUCCUUGGCAACCAUACUUUCAACAUGCUGAAUGCACUAUCUAUCUAAUGUCAGAUAUCUGUAGAGACAAAACAUAGAGAAGAAAACAGCAAGAGCAUCCGGCUUCAGUCUUGCUGAUAAUGUGAAAUAUAUAGGGGUAUCAAUUGUUUGCCCUUCAGGAAUUAAGAUACCACAGGAGCCGCCUCAAGCCUGGCAAGAUUUGUCUGGAGUCGCCCCAAAUGAAAUGCAGUGAGAAGCCACAGGAAGCAGAGCUGAUGAAAAAGGAGAAUGAUGACUCUUCAGUGAUCUAUCCCAGGACCUCGUAAAUGAAAGAAAAAUAAAUUUAUCUAGCAAGCCUUGGUGUCCAAGGAAGUGAGCUCAGCUCAGGUAGUAGGUGUUGGGUAUACAGCCCACGACCUAGGUUCAUGUCUUCUUUUAUUCGAAUCAGGGUGCCUAUUUCUUUAUUUACAAUGCCACCUCGUUAGGUUGGUCAAGUUUUUUUUUGUAUACAAGGGAUUUGCAUUAGUUGCAAGAGUUAAACAUUUUCUGCAUAUGCAUAUAAUGAUUUUUCUGACUUUACGUCUUCCGUAUAGAUUUUGGAUUCCUAGUAUACUUUGUGCUCAGCAAACAAAAAGGUUACCGAUAAACUCCUGGAACUCAUGCCCUGUAAUGGGAAUGGGAAUGGGAAUCCUCACAGAAAUGGAAACAAGCAGCUUUCUAUUUUUCUUAAAAAGAUGAAAACAAGCAGCGUCACAUGAGGACUAUGACUAAACUAGUUUAUACUAAUGUAGUAUGGCAUGUUGAUGAAGUGAUGCAUGUAUGCGCAUGUCAGCAAUGACAUCCUAACAUCCUAUGGGCAACAUACCACUUAAAAAGACCACAUACGAAACAGCUGGAAAGAGUUAGCAAAUCACUACAAUAUGAUUCAUACCGGCAAUGCAUAGAGGAUAACCAUGGAUGCUUUCUUCUCGAGUCUGCUGAACAGCAAACUAUAAAUUCCAGCAGCUGUCGCAUCACCUAGCCUUUGGACAAUAACAUCUAUACAGACCUACAAGAGAGCAUAUUUAUUUAUUUUUAAUAAUGUAGCAAAGUUUGCAAAACCAACAGGAAAAAUAGGAAGCAAACUAAGAAUAUUUUCACAUCAUUCCGCAAUAUUAGCUAGCAUACUUCUAAAGAAUCUGAAACUCAUAAUAAGGUAAGUAGGCAGCUGAAAAGAUGACUUUCUUCAAAUUUAGAUCCUUAAAGUCACUGUUGUUUAGUGGCUUUAUAUUUUGAGAGACCAAUAUAGCUCUUAUGUGCACAAUGAACUAAAAAUGAAAUACUGUUUUCACCGUAGCAAUUAACCUCGAAAUAUAAUCCACUGGAAAGGCGGAAAGUAGCAUGAGGAUGUUUUUGGCACAUUACCAUUUUAUUUGGAAUAACAUCAUUGAACCUUUCCAAAAGAAGUUAGAACAACAUAAACAUGAGUUAAGCAACACUUUCUAUGCCUGAUCCUAUGCCGGAGAAGCCAUGCUGCUCCCAUCUGCUCUUGGUCAGCAAGCUCAUAUUAGGUAGGGAACAUAUCUCUUACCUUGGCUUUGUACUUUUCAUCCUGUGAGACGACUGUAAACAAUAACUCCCUUCCAGGCCUUGUCAAUACAUAAGUGACUACCUGUAAAUAAUCAAAGAUUAGGAAAACAGCAAAUUAAACUAACCUUUUAGAUUCCUGGAUAUCUGAAUAUAAAAAUGAUAACAUAUCGUAUAUGCAAAACUGAAUAGGUGCUUAACAGGCUCCACUUGGUAUUGAGUUGCAAUUUAUUAUGCCCUAAAUCAGUAUUGGUAAAUGAAGGAAAAAAAUCCUGUUGCACCAAUAAACCUUUGACAUUCCAUUGAUUUUCAGUCAGAUUUGAGUGUUUGACAUACUAUGGUUUUAAAUCUAACGUUGUAAUGUGUACCACAUCUAUGGCAAAGUAGCACUAUGUCUAUAUGCUGAGUUUUGAACAUAGCAGGCCGAAACAACCUGUGUAAUGUUGCAUUGCUUUAGACUAAACUGAAUGAAGCAGCACGAGUAUUAGCAAAUGUAUAAAACAAAUUAAUCAUGUGAGAUGGUAAUCUCUAAGCCUGUGAACGGACAAGGUAGAUAUAUUACAAUCCACAAACUCUUUUAUACAAACCCAUCUUUGUGGCUACUGAUUACUGAACUUCAGAUUUAGUGAGUCUCAAACAUGUGUAGACAAAUGAUAAUAAAUGUGCAAUUUGGACACUAGAAUUCAAAGGAAGAACAAUGGUAAUUAAACUAAAAGUCUCAACUGAAUGUCCCUUGUUCAUUCAUAUUUGAUACCUUUCGAAUUGUUUCAGUGAGAGCCACAGCAACCCAAGUUGGCCAUACAGCUAGGGCAACCAUAUUUGAGGCUGCAACAAGCGGAGAUGCACAGAUAGCAACGGUUACACCGGCAACAGUAAGGAUAUGGCCCUGAUAUGUCAACAUCAUAACAAGAAUAACAAAAAAUCCAAGAAUUUUAUAAUUAUAAACAUGAGGAAAGUUUAAAACAAUAAACCUCAUAAAUCAUUGCAGAUAUUUACUAUUUGCCCAGACAUUAUUAUUAUAUUGUUUUCUUCAAGAUCAAAUACCAUUUUUUUUGGAAUUUGGAUAAGCGUAGACAGAACAUGAAUCAUUUGGACUAUGUAGUAUCUUUGUUCAAAGAAUAAACAGGGUUUCAUAUAGCAUAAAUCACUUCAAAAUAAUCAAGAGGAUCACACUCUCUAUGAAACAACUACCAUACAAGGAGCAAACAUGAUCAAAUAUUUUUAUUAAGAGCCUGAUUGGUUGGGUACCAAAAUCUGCCCAGCCAAAAUUUGGGCAAGCCUAUAAAUUUUGGCACUCGUUUGGUUGGAAUCCAAAAAAUAGCCCACCUAAUUAAGUGUUAUUCUAAAAUUGCCAAGGUUUUGGUUAAAAAGAUUGGCAUGCCCACAUAUUGGCAUGGCAAAUUUUAGUAUCCAACCAAGCAGGCCCUAGAACCAUACAAGUGUCAUAGAGUAGAUUGAGCCUACACAUCCAAUAAAGUGGAAGCACAUGAAACACAUUGACAAAUGUAAAUUAGAUAAUUUUGCAACGUUGGACAUACAAUACAAAAUUAAUCUUGUAGUGUGCAGUCUGAUGAGGUGUCCUGUUGUAAACAUAACAACCAGUGAAAUCAAGGAAAAAGACUACAAUCAGUUACAUUUCUUUCUCAUGAUGGUUGACAUAUAGGUCUACGUAGUGGUAUUUUGUUUUUUGGGAUAUGCAGGCUCAUCCACAAUGUAAUGAGAGUACUUGGAAAUAGAUAAGUGAGGAUAAUUUGGAUGAUAUUCCCAAUGCUGAAAGCAUGACAAUAAAUGGAACUAAGGAAACAGACUACGAACACCACACAGGAAACAGACUACAAACACCAUACAUUUCUUUCUUAUGAUGGUUGGCAUACAAGAUUAUGCUGUGGUAAAAGAAAAAUAUAUAUAGACUCAUUGACAAUGUAAUGGGAGUACAUGGAAAUAGAUGGCUGAGGAUAAUUUGGACAUGGAAAAAAUACCGUCAAAGUGAGCUGUCCCGCAAGAAUAAAAACUGCUAUAAAGCUGUUUAUCAGUGCAAAUGUUCUCCUUCUGGCAGCUGGGCUUGAUAUUGUAGUAGCUAUUAUUGUUACUUUCUGAAAAUCAUGGAGAAAAGGUGAUUUGGAGAGCAAUUUAUGUGUUCUUACUACUGAUCAUGCAAUUAAAAGUAAUAUGUUCAAAUCAUUACAUGCAAGCUUUACAGUGCAUGUAGAGAUACAUAUUUAUAACCAUACCUGAAAGUAAAAGAAGGAUGAGAUAACUGCACUUAGCCAUAGAAAUAGAGAUAUGUAUAUCAGGUAGGGCGAUCGCAAAAUAAGCCAGAAACCUUCAAACAUUAUAAAAAUCUCAGGAUUGGACUUUCGAGAUUGGAAAGGCGAACUAGGUGAAGCCACCAGUGAAGACAUUUCAUCAUCAGCCUCUGCAUUUUGAAUUUUUUCUGCCCUGUAGUCAGCAAAAGAUACGAAAUGUCUUCAAUUCUAACAAAGGAACAUAAGAAGCACUGAAAAGCCAAACUAAAUCCUAGUACUGCUUACAAAUUCAGUGUAAAUCCAACAUUUUUUCUUUUUAACCGGCAGGAGGGCUGCCUACAAUUUUAUUAAGAAGCAAAAAACAUGGUACAAGGCAGUCCAAAUGAAAACAAACUCAGUAGAAAAAAAAAGAGUGAGAAAAACAGCUAGGACUCGGGACCUAAUGGCAACCUUUCCGACUUGUGUUUUCAUCAUGAAUCAUAAAAAAAAAAUUCACAGUUGAUCACGAAGAUGUGGAUUAAUAAAUUAUCUUUGUGGCAUCAAUGAACACAAAAUUUGUCUACAGAAGAUGCAGAAUUGCAGAUUGGUCAUCUCAAUACAAUAAGAAGAAAUCAAGAAUGUUUAUAAAAAAUUGAAAACGUCCUGAAAAAUCAUGUACCCUGUUGGAGACAGUUCAGUUGAACCCUGAAUAUCAUCAAUGCGAAUUCCUUUAGAUGAUACAGCAGCAAGUUCCAUCAAGAGGGAUGAAAAUAGGAGCAUAACUGUUCAGAAGAUAUUGCAUUUCAUGAAAUACUAUAUAUGAAUUAUUAUGUUAUUAAGAGAAUCUUCAUAGAUAAAUGGUGCAUACAGGGUCCCAGCCAUGCCAUGCUUGCAGCAAACAAUGAACCAAAAAGUUGCCCCAGCGUAGCACCAGCCCCAAUAAAACCAAACAAUCUUGAGCCUGACUGAAUUUAAAGGAAAAAAAAUGUUGUAAAUAAAGGAAAGAAAGUAUUAAGGAUUAUCCAUACUGGGCAGUGCAUUGUAAUGAUACCUCACUGUCCAUGACAUCAAUAACCCUUGCCCAAGUUGACGAUAUUGCAAUGAGAUUAAGUAAAGCAACCUUCAUAUAGAGAGAGUUGACGAAACUAAAUCAGCUUCAGUAUCCAAAACAUAAAAAGGAAAAGUCUAAUUAAUAUGAGAGGACAUACCCAAAGAAACAAGCUUAUUCUCACUACUAUAUAGAACCAGCUGUGGUUUUCCCACCCUGCAUGCUUACUCAAACCAUCUUCGCUAGACUUGAUCAUGACAUCAAAAGUACAAGGAAAAGUAAGCUCUUCAGUGCAAAAAGGAAAAAAAAACUGUUGCUCGUUGAUUAGGAAAUCUAGGAAGACACAGAAAGUGGCUGGAGUGUGAAAAGGAGAUGUCUUGGAGGAUCCCUUUUUUCCUCAAGACUCUAAGAAGUAUGAUGAGUUUGAUGCAUAUAGACUCAAAAUAAUCCAAGGUAUUAUUGACGUAUAUUACCUGGGAGACGGAUUGAGACUGCCUGGGGCUAGAAGCAAACCAAAGCACAAAAAAUACAAGAAGAGAGAUGCUGAAGAACCUAUGUAUCAAAAUCAAAGCCUGAAACCACAGAUAAUAUGUGAAAAAAUUAACUUGUUUCCAAGAAAGAAAUUGACUGGAUUCUUAGAGUGGAUGUCUCAUCAAGAUGAAGAAAAAAUAAACACAAGACAACUUUUGGUUUGAAAACUGUAUUUGGCCUUAGCAAAAUUAUCCAACUCUUGUUCAGUGGUGUCAAUGUUUUGCUCAUUCUUAAAAUGGAUAUAUCUAAUUCUAAACGGUCCACCUGAAACUUCAGCCACACACAAGACAAAGUUUGCAUCAUUAGUACUUGGAGCGUCUAAAUUCCUAAUUUUGACAUCAGAGGACAAGAAACCAAGAAUCAAUACAAUGAGUGAAAAUACUGAAUUGGACACGUGAUGCACUUGCAGUUGAACUUGGAGACAAGACAUUCAACUACAACAAGCUCAAAUGCAAAGCAUAUCAUUUUCGGUUUCUGAACAAUCUAAGCGAUCAGCUUCUGGCAACAACUAAAUUAAGGAGAAGCCCACAUCAGAAUGGAUUUAGUACUCCCCAGGCAAAUAAAACGGCCAAGGUGAGUUAAGGGAAGUGGCACGGACCCUGGGCUUGGGGAUGGACGGGAGGGAAAAGGCGAGGGAGGCGACUGGGGCGGCGAGGACGGUGAGCAGUAGGGAGCCGGCGAAGAGGCCCGGGAGGGUGUCCAGGCCCAGGGAGAUGGCGCCCUCGUCACGCAGCGGCAGCACCACGAAGUAGGCGCUCAGGAUCUGCGCACCCACCACAACAAAAAUCUUUGAUUCGGGGGGUUGCAGAAUUGGAGAAACCAUGAGAUGGAUGGAAGGCAAAAGGCUUACGAAGAAGAAGGUGGCGGCGGCGCUCAGAAGAGGAGGGAUCUCGUGGGGGAGGACGGUUACCACGGAGGCUACCGCCGCCUCGGCGCGUGCGCGGAGGAGCCGACGAGGCGUCGUCAUUCCGGCGGGCCUUCGACCUGCCAGUAACCAGCCGGCUCGGGUUGACUAUAACCUACCUUUGGAAGAAAGAGUCUUUGUGCAAAUCCUGCCGGUUAUCCGGCCAAAUUGUGAGCUAAAUUCAAAAAUACAAUUUAAAAUACCCCAUCCAAGAGCAUGAACAUUGACAGGGAUACUGUUUGCCUAGGCAUAUCUCCCAAAAAUUCGUAGAAUGCUGCUGUACAUAUUGAUUUUUUUUUAGAGAACUGCUGUAAAUAUUGUUAUCCAGCCUAGGAGCAACACUUUCUGUUGCAGCAUGUGCCUUAUUGUGAUGAAUUUGCUGUUGUUUAUGAAACGUUUAGACUCCGGAUGCAUACUUCUCUGAAGCCACAAAACCUUUGAUGCUAAAUUACGAACAAUCUUGCUGUUUCAUUUCCCUACAUCUGAAAUAUGUCUUGACAAGUUAUUGACAGCAUCCGUAGCCUAGCACAUGAUAUUUCUUUCAGCUCCCAGAAUAUUAACACAUUGGUAUCUAAAACAAUUGUAUACACAAUAUAAGGGUUUCGAAGAAUACAUGGGCACAAUACAGAAGCCAUUGGUUUAUCGCCUUAUGUACAAGGAAUACUACCAUCACCGUGCGCUUUGUGUAAUCUUCCAAUCUUCAUGCAUCGCCCACCAAUCCCUCGUCCAAGAAUGAGCUGAUUGUAGUCUUUUGACUGGCUGGACACGCUUGUACGAGUGCGCACACAUCAUUCUUCUCAAGGAACUUCUCACCAUUGACCAGGAUGAGGGGAAUGUAUUGCAGGACCAAUCUCUUGCACUGGCAACAAGAUAAUAAUAUGAUUAAAACGCAUGCCAUGCUUGCAUAAUACAUUAACUGGAGAAGCAGAAAACAGCUCCUAGUAUUAAAUUUUAGAUUUUAAGGAUAAAUAUUUAUGCAAGUUUUUGUUCUUGGAGGGAUCUAAAUCUAAAUUUUCUGCAAUUUAAGCAAUAGUUUACACAUCAAUGGGUCAUAGAGGAAAAAAAAAAGUACCAAAUUGCUUACCUGCUGGACAUGACCUUCGAUCUUAUUGCACUCCUUGAUGAGAAUUUGAAUUAUCUCAAACUGCAGACAUCACAUAUGAAAUGUUAGGUCCAGAGAGGCUGAAUUUAUAAACGACACAAAGCAAUUACCUCUGCAUCUGGAUCUUUCAGUUUGGACAUAAUUUCAUCAAGCAGGUGGUGGCAAAACUCACAAGAGCUGUCACUUCCCACACCAGAGAAAAGGGCGGUUUCCCUGCACAGGCCAUACUGUUUGCAGAACUCUUCUGGCUUGAUCUCCGAAAUCUUGGCAAACAGCAGAGUUGCAUAGGAGUCCAUCAAUUCAACACACUGCAGAGAUAGAAAAGUGUUAAUGAUAACUAUAAUAAACCCAUCUACCAUUGCCCUUUAGGGAGUAUCUUUCGAGCAUGGCAUGCAGUGAGUACGGUAACGCAAUCAUCAGAUGUUAAUGCAUAUAAUAAUAUCUUGCACUGACAGCCGGUGUUUUUCUUUUCAACAAUACACAAACUUACUGUCACACCUAAUUAUAAGAAUGAACAGAAAUGUUACUACCUUCUGUUCCAAGGAGAAUGACUGAGAACAAGCAUCAUGAAGUAAUUUCAUGAUCUUAUCUUGUGUUUGUUUCUCACUUAGAUAAGUGACAGCACCACUCGCGAAGUUUUCACAAGCUGAGCAUAGCGGGCUGCUGCUCUUGAGAUGGACAGGAACAUGUUCCUUGUAGACAGGGCUGUGGUCUGGGAGCUCAAUUACGUGAAGAUCCACAAAAACUGAAAAAAGCAACAAAUCCGGUACGAUAAAUUUUGCAGGCAAAAAAAUGAGGGGCAGUUCAUGUGUUUAGAGCACAAAUAAUUAGUUCUGGCUACAUUUCGCAGUAUUAUAUUUCCAUCAGUAUUAAUGUACAUGUCCUAGCUACGCCUUCGUCAAGAAAUACAUGCACAGCAAACUUGGCCACAACAGGCAUUUGAGAGAAAUAAUAAAGGUGGGCUAUAUAUAAAUUUUGGGCUCCUCACACGGUAGGAUGCGACCGGAGUGGCCAUCGACUUUGCAUUACGCAGUGCAGAGGGCCAUCUGGAUCGCUUGAUUGAGCUAUAUUAUUUAUCUAUGGUACCGAAGUACGGGCACAAGAGUUUGGGCCAUGCUAAAUCCCAUAUGGAAGGCUGGAACCUUACCCUAAACAUCUACACACUUGAUCCAGCCUUGUUUGUGGACAACAGAGAUAUACGUAAGCAAAUCUGCAUCAAGAGAUGAUAGUACUUGUUUCUUCAACGCUAACACAAGGAACAAGCAACCCUGAGAACGUAGGGAGGCAAGGGUGUCGAGCAGUAAUUAGGGAGGAAGUACAUACCAGCAGCAUCCCUGGCUUGUGCAGGUGCCCGGGCGACGAGCAGCAAGAGGAGCAAGAGGAAGAAAGGUGCCUCGGAUCCCAUGUCAACCUGCCACGGGAAGGAAGAUUACACACGGCUCUAAUAACUGAAUAAACCCAAAAAGGGGGUGGGGAUUGUGUGAGCAAGCAACAACCGAGGCUGCAUAAAUGAAAGGGAAAGGCAUCCAAAUCCAGCAAGCCGAUCGAGGAGGGAGGAGCAGGGCAAAUUAAAGCGGUCGGCGGAAGAAAUUAAAGAUGAAACCACAAAAACAAAUCGAAGCAAUCGCCAGCGGAAAUUGCAGGAGGAUUUUGAGGAUGAGAAAAGAUGACCUCACCUCGGGGAAUCAAUCGAUGAAAUCGAGCAGCAGCAAAGGAACGGAACUAAAAUUCUAAAAAGGGGCGGGGGCCGGAGGCGAUUCGGCGGCCUGCUGCUUGCUAUCCUUGUCGGCUUGGCGAUGCGUGCGGAUUUCGAGUCCUGCCCUGCUACGCUAGGGUUGGUUAUUAGUGGUCAAUGAUGCCAGCCCAAAAAAAAAAUUGACCAAAACGUCGACAGCAGGGUUCGAACCUGCGCGGGCGUAGCUCAACAGAUUUCAAGUAUGUCUCCUUAACCACUCGGACAUAUCGACGUUUGUGAGUAUCAGAAAAGCUAUUCGUAAUUUUGGAGCUUGGAACGGCUGGUAGACUAAUUCUAAGGGCAUUGUUUAAGGGGAUAAAUAAGAUUUUCUUUUUCUUCCUUAAAAAACGUAUGUAGGUAGUGUGUGUAUAUAUAUAUAUAUAUAUUUUGAAUACAUGCUCUUCCUUCUUUGAGGGGUAGUAGGGGGGACAAUAAAAUUCCCACCCAGAUAUAUUGGGUAAGCCGGUGAGUGACACAUGGUGCAUGGCACCGAGUUACACCGAUAGCCAGUUUACUGCAGGUAAUAAAGGUACAAAGGGAGAGACUACAUGGAGAAUUUGAAGCACCAAUCAUCUGCGGCCUGUCUAGUAUGAGUCCAUGAUCUCUUGCAUGCAUGCAUGAUUCGUGAUUCCAUGGCUGAUCGAUGAAUGAUGGCAUGGAAAAAACAAUGCUAAUUAAUUAAUAAUGCUAAUGCAGCAGCUGGGCAGCAACAAACCCCGGCGCAUGUCUGGAAGAAGAGAAGCCGUCAUCCGCAGGCAAUUCAGGAACUACAUUCUUCCUGCCGUGUAAUCGGUCGGUCGCUCGUGCCGCCCAUGCUGGCGGACGGCAAAUCGGCGUCGAGCGACGACAGCCCGAGGGACUGCAUGCCUGCCGACGUCGCCGACACCGUAUUCUUCUUGACGUGUUGUACGUCUGGGAGAACGAAUGAAGCCGUCUGUGGGCAAGUGAGCAAUGCAAUUUACUAUUACUACUGUUAAGCAAUUCUUGUUGAACAGUUCCCUGCAACUUAACAGUAGCUAGAUUGAAUAGUUGAAAUUGAUGCAAAACGUCGUGCAUUUCCAUGGACCGGUGAAAAAACAUGUUCUGGAGGUCAUUGCAAGGCUCCCUGGAACCUUAUCUGUAUUCCUUAAAGAUAAAGGAGGUCUCGGCAUCAAAGAUCUUCACAUUCAAAAUCGCUGCCUGCUCCAAUAAUUUCUCUCAAAACUCCAUGAACCGCCAACUUCUCCCUGACAAUUCUGGUGUAUCUCUAAAUAUGGCUUGAACGACAAUAAACAUCUUGGUGACUUACGGCGAAGCGAUGCUCCGACUCGGCUUGCCAUUCUACAAGGCCUUAAGAACUUCCGAGAUAUUACUACUGUUACUGUGGGUAGCGGCUCUCCCGCCUCUUUCUGGCUGGACCUCUAGCUUGGUGACUGCUGGCACAGUGUUUUCUGGUCUUGUUAUCUCACUCCCUUCGACAAAAUAUUUCUGUGGUUGCUGUCUUCUCUGCUGACAGCCCUCAACUCUUUCUACAUAAUCGCCUCUCCUCUGUCGUGGCCACUGAUCUUUCCCUUCUUCUAGAUGUUGUGGAUACGGUUCUUCUUGAUCCUUCUAUCUCUGAUUCGCGUUUACUUAGAUGAUCCUCCAAUCUUCGCUUCUCUACGUCUGCCAGUUACUUCGCCACCUUUUCCCAUAUAAUAACAUGCUUUUGCCGACCAUAUUUGGCGAAAUCUGGCUCCUUCUCGGUGUAAAUAUUUUCUUAACUGGUCCAUCACCAUAAAUUCAAUACCCACCUUCGACUGUGCUCUCGCAAGGCAAACAACACGGGCAACUGUCAUUUCUACGGUUCAGCUAAGGAUAUUGCCCAUCUUUUCCUUCAUUGCCCAAGAGCUCAGUGCUUUUUUGGUCCCGGCUGAAUAUUUCUUCCAUCUCCCUUUCCCAUAUCGAACUGCCGUGGAACACUCCUCUUUCAGAUCCUACCCUGCCAAACCAAAAGGUAUGCUCAACCAUUAUCACCUGUUUGCUUGUGGAAUUUAUGGAAAUACAGGAAUUCGAAGGUCUUCAACCAGAUUGAUGAUUUAGAUGUGGAUAUUGCACGACGUUGCUCUGCUGAUUUCCAUCCUAUGGCAAACAGAGCUUCCUCUGCUGUACUUAGAUCAUGUAUUGAUAAGUGGAGCUCUUUUUUGGUUCUUAUGUAAUCUCUCUUCUCCCAUGAGUCUGUAAUUUUUUUUAUUCCUUCUGCCCCAACCCCUUCUUCUCUCAUUUCUCUAACCUUAACUGCUUGGUUUUAAUAUAGUUCAUGCUGAUCCUCAAUGGUUACGCCGUAGUUCCCAUAAAAAAAUUGAUACAUCCUUUUAUGCUUGAAUUAUUUUAUCUGAAUUUUUCAUAAUAACCUCUACUAUUUGUAUAGCAUGAGAUAUGGAUUUAAUAAAAAUGAAGAAUAUCAAAAGGUACUUCAUGGAAAGAAAAAAGUUUUUUAAAUAUAAAUUGCUCUUGUUUGCGCCCACAUCUGGUAGAUGAUGUGUUAUCUAGUCUACUUUUAUUACGAGAGACGUGCACAGUCCAAUAUAAAUUUAUAUUUUAAAUCAUAUCAUCUGAAAAAAAUCGAUAGCUUGCAAACAGUUAAGCAUGCAAUUUGUCUUGGUAAAGAGAAAGAAAAAUGGAUAGAAACGGCGGAUGAGAGGAGAUGAAGUUUAUCUGGUUUUCUGGCACCUCAGCUUCGUCUUCGUCGCGUCACCUUCCGUAAGAGAGUGCGCGGAAGAAAAAAAGAAGAAGAAUUCAGCCAGGCAAUCCGAAAGGAAGGGGAAGGGAUUGGAAAGCUAGGGUUUUCGCCAUGGCCGUCGCCCCCCUGGAGCUCGAAUCCAUUCUUGCCACGCUCUCCUCCUAGCUUCCGCAUCUAGCAUCGCCACAAAAGGAGCCGCCCGCUUUGAUUCCCCUACCCCAUUCGAGGGUUUCCCUCCCCUCCCCUUCCCUUCCCCCAAAUCGAAUCGCCGCAUUGCCGGCCGAGCAAGCAACCUACCCACCCGCUCGCCCGCCUUCAAGACGGCGCUGGCGAUCCAGCAGGGGGCGAGGGCGGCGGAGGCGGCCGGAUAAUCAAUGUGUCCGCUGUGCUCCGUGCAGCGCUGGUCGCGCCGCGUCGCCACCAUGCUCCCGUGGCUCGUCAUCCCGCUCAUCGCCAUCUGGGCCAUCACUCAGCUGCUCCUCCCGGCCGCCUACCGCUUCGAGGUCACCUCCCCGCGCCUCGCCUGCGUCUCCGUCCUCCUCCUUACCCUCUUCUGGUAUGAGAUCCUCCUCCCGCGCCUUUCCCUCUGGCGCGCCCGCCGCUCCGCGCGCCUCCGUGAGGAGCGCCGCGCCCACGCCCUCGAGCUCCACAAGCUCCGCAAGACCGCCACCCGCCGCUGCCGCAACUGCAGCAACCCCUACAGGGACCAGAACCCCGGCGGUGGCAAGUUCAUGUGCUCCUACUGCGGCCAUGUCUCCAAGCGCCCCGUGCUAGACCUUAAUUCAGCCGGGAAGGUGCCCACCGGAUGGCCUUGCUCUCAGGAUUGUGGAUACUGGCUCGACCUGCGCUGCUCCUCCGGCAAUAACAACUCCUUCUUGGCAUUCUCAUGGCGCCUGCUGUCGUCCUUUUCCUCGACAGUAGUGAGCUGGUUCUUGAGGAAGAUAUUCAGAUUUACAUCGUCAGGGGAUGGUGAGGGCUUGGGCCCAGAUGGUAAAAGGUUGGCAAAGAGAGGGGAGAAUGCUGGAAAAGCUGAGGAGAGCAGGGUCGAGAAGGCGAGGAGGAAGGCGGAGGAGAAGAGACUGGCAAGGCUGGAGAGGGAAAUGCUGGAGGAGGAAGAAAGGAAGCAGCGUGAGGAGAUGGCAAAGCUAGUGGAGGAACGGAGGAGGCUGAGGGAUGAAAAGGCAGAGGCUGAGGAGCGGUCCAAAAGUGCUACACCUGUUGGGGAGAAGGAUGCUAGGAGGGAGGCAGAGAGGCGGCGGCAGGAGAGGAGGAAGAAAGAGGACAAGGGGUCAAGCAAGAGCAAUUCAGAUUGUGAGGACAUUGAUAGAAGAUUGGGACGCGAAGGUGAUAGGAAGCGAGACUUCGACAGAAAGAGUGAUUUGGACAAGCGUGAGGGUUAUAAGCCUCAUUACUUUGAAGCUAACAACCAUAGUAAUAAGACCGUGGAGAGCAGAACAAAGUACUUUGGCCGUAUGACAGGUGGUUUCUUAUCUUCUUCAAGAGGGUUUGGCAGUGGUUCCUUCUUUGGCAGAAGUGCUCAGGCCGCUGCACCUCAAGUUAACAAGGUUAGUAGACCUGUAGUUCCUGCAACUGACCAGGGUAAUGCACUCAAAAGAGAAACCCAGCAUACAGCCACUCAAGCUACAGCCAAAUCCGCUACAGCUGGAGAAUCCAGAAAUUCGUGGGCUAAUUUUAAUCGACCUGUAAGUAACAAGGGCAUUAUUAUUUUAAUGUAAAAUCUUACUGUUAGAACCAAUUGUGUUAGUUGCUUUUACCUGAACUUCCAUCUUAAAUUUUCCAAUUCUUUUGUAUUAUGCUAUAUGCAGGUUAGUCCAAAUGUGCAGCCACACCCUACCAGCCUUAAAAAGUCAUGGCAUCAGCUGUUUAGUCGUUCAGCAUCAGUGUCCCCUUGUCCUGAUGUUACAACUUCAGCUCGUGAUAUGAAUCGGAAGCCAGAACCAAAUGGAGCACAAAUAAGCAAUGCUCAUAUAUUUCUGUCUCAAUAUCCUCCUCUGGAAAGCAAGCCAUGUUCAAGCCAGUCCAUGCAAUUUCCAGGUUUUCCAGCGCUUACUGGAGCACCCCCCAUUAAGCCAUUACCUCAUUUUCCUGCUGGACACAUGCCCUUCUAUGAUGAUGCAGAAUCCACAGUAUUUGAAGAACCAGAACAAUUUGAAGACCCAUGCUAUGAUCCAGAUGCAAUUGCAUUACUUGGGCCAGUUUCAGAGUCUCUAGAUAACUUCCCUUCGGACUUAGAUUGUGGGUUCAUCUCAAGUGAUGUCACCAAGGAAUCACAUGGGAAGCCUUCACCCAUCGAGUCUCCUCUCUCAAGAUCUCGAACAGUUGAAGAGAAGCCUAUUAAGCCCCCACACUUAUCAGUCACAAAAGGGCCUGGCAGUUCCAUUUUGCCUGAGGCUAGCAGUGAACAAGGCACUUGGCAAAUGUGGAGCACGCCAUUGGUUCAGGAAACUUUAGGUCUGCAAGGUCCUCAGAGUCAGUGGCUUCGACAACACACAAAUCAAUUUAACCAUAGUGUCAAUCUUUUCAGUGGUGGAACAGAAAGCUCCCUGAGUACUGGUUUGAAUGACAAUGAUCCGUGGCUGCAGAAAGCACCCUUUCAGCAACUGCCCCCUGAUACACCAAGCCUGUUUCUUCCACAUGAAGUACAAGGAAAAGCUAUACACAAUGACUUGGUUUUUGGGUCUCCAAACAAAUCAGCCCGUGAACACCCCUUUGGGCCGCCUGGCCAUUCUUGGCCCAAGUACGCAUUUUCCUAUGCCCUUGUUGUUUUCAGAAAUUUUAUUGCAUCAAAGGCCUUUAGCACUGCUGAUUAUCUUAUACUGUUUACUUGAGCUAGAAACUUGGUAUCCUUUCCCCAGAUGUUGACAAUGCUUGUUUCCUGCAAUUGUUUGAGCUCUUUCCGGUUGUCUUUUUCCUGCAAUUGUUUGAGUUUGUUCCAGUUUUCCUGUUCACUACUUAGUAUAGCUAGAUGUAUCAGCAAAUUUGAGUACCAAGGUAUCGACAAAACUUUUAUGAUAAUUGUUGAACGUCAUAUGUGCAUAGUUACGUACAUGUGUGAUUGUGGAUUACAACUUAUUUCGACCAGGUAAUUUGUGUAUAGAAAUGAGAGGCUUUUGAAAAGCAAAGUGCAUUAUCUUUGCAUUUAGUAUAACAGGGUGUUUAAUUUAUUCUAAUCUUAUACUGUUAAACCCAUGUGAGUAUGUGAUAAUGGGUGUGUAUGGAUGAUACAUCUUGGAAAGAUUAAAGGCACCGAUGCUCUUUAUUCUCCAAUGUUAGGUGGAAGUUUCUCAUGGAUCUUGUUUUUGUGAGUAAUGCAUACAAUUUGGGGCGGCUCAAGGGGUGGGGGUGCUUCUAAAUUUUUUGAGAAAUUUGUUCCAUGAAUCACUAUUCACCAGCCAAUUUUGGCCUUUGAUGCCACUACUCUAGAAGGUUUCAGCCUAGGUGCUAGUCACCACCAUCCUGCUUACCGCCUAAUCGCUGCCUAGUCUACUCAAGCAUCUUCCUAACCAUGAUUAGUCUCUAGGCAUCAUCCUGCUAUUAACAAUUGUUUAAGCUGCCUGGUGCUUAAGGCUUUUUAGAAUGCUCAAUCACACAUAUGCAUUUCUGAUAUUUGUCACUUUCAUGGAUCAUUGUUCCUUUAUGAUAUGAUAUUAACAAUUGGAGUUAUACUGUACUGGUGAUUCAUGAUGAUGGUCAAUUGACAAGCUGUCAUCAUGAAUAAUUAGCUAGCUAGGAUUGUGACCGAGCUGGUUGCGUGAUGUGUUCCACUAGUUGUGAUUGUUAAACCUUAACUAUAUUUAUUCUCAGCAAAGAUUUUGUUUCAAGAAUGGCAUGGUUGACGAACAAGGUUGUCAUGGGUUUCUUUCAGCCCAGCUAGAAAUUAUGUGCUAAUAAAAUUAUUUUUUGAAGUGAUUAAGAGGCACAUUCAUUGCUUGUUCUUAAUUGAUUAGAAAGAUGGGUACAAAAGCCAAGGAGGCAAGGGCCAUGUAGUUGCCAUCAUGAACUAUUGGAUCAUUAGCUGUUUUUGUCCUUGGUGAUGAUGUGCUUCUCUUAUAUUGAAUAUAGCUGUUGAACCAUAAAAUUGCAUGAUUCAAAUUUUAAUUGUUUUGUCAAGACUUUGUUUUCCAAUAUUGACAUGUGACUCGUGGGUACCAAAGUUUCUGACAACUGUAAAGUCUGUCUUUGCAACAGGAAGUAGUUUUGAGGUGGAUAAAUAGAGUGAAUGCAUGAUUUUACAAUAUCAAGGUCUUCUACGUUCAUUAUCUUCCACUGGCUAAAUUAUUUUGCUGUAUUAUUUAAAUAUUGUGGACUACUACUUCACAUAACUAGAGGCUAGAGUUAGAUGGCAAAAAAAAAAUCAUAACUCACUGCGAGCUAAGCCUGUUUGGUUGCAGGCGCCUUUUUAAGUUAAGUGUAGGUUGGUAGCAAGUGUUUUAGUUGUAUCUCUAGUAAGAUUGGGACGAUAUUACAUCUGAGAAAAUGUGAUGAUAUGAGACUGGAGGUUCAAUGAACUCAGUUGACACCAAAGCCCAAAAUUGAUAAUUAAAUAUUUUCCUAUUUGUGCAAUGCCACAACCCUUGAAUGAGUGAAUGGAUUAUUUUAUGGGGAGCUAGUGUUGUAUAUUUAGCCAAGGUUUUUGUGUUCCUAUCGAGAGCUGGACUUCGGCUCUGCAGAUGGCUGGCAUGAUUCUUAUAAGUGCCGUUCGCUAGUGGUUUGCCUGCAUCCUGUUUGACCUUCUUGUUAAUGAAGCGUAUUAUUGAGUGCAGCUUGAUCUGUUGCUUUGUUGAACAUGCUUUGUAGAAUUUUUCAAUAUGCUUAUUGAUAGCUACGUUGGUUUAUGUUUGCAUGGGUGCGGCAGGUCCCUUGUUGCAUAAAAGCUCAGUAAAGGUGCUCUGAUGCAAGAAUACGCAGCUCAGUCCAAGUAAUAUGGAUGAGUCUAGUUAGGAUACUAUACUUUGUGUCUAGAGACUAGGGAUGAUUCGAGACAAGGCCUGAUGGGGUCUCCAGUCCUAUCCCAUGUCCACAUGACCACAUCUGCAGGAGAGACAUCCAUGUAAUCUGUUGAAGUGUGCUGUUGCCCACAUCAAAAUGUGGCUCAGGGGAACAUGGAAAAAGUUUGGUUCGCAGUUUUCUUAGCAUGACCAAUUUAUUUGAGUUAGGUUGGAAUACUUGGGUAGUAUUACUGAGGUCAUCAGAUUCCUAGUUCCUACAGGCAGGCUGCGUGCAGGACUGGCUGAUGGAAACUUAGCAGAAGUGCAGAACUAGUUUAACACAUGGACCAUGGCCGUCCCAUGUGUGAAGUGUACCUUCUCAUAUGCAUGGUUUGUGCAAGAUACAAGAUAGCAUGCUUGUUGUUUCUUUUCAAGUGGAGACUCAGUCUAUUGGUAUUUGCUUGUUACCUUGAAACUGAGUACAUAUGACCUGCACAACAGUGUGAGUGCCUAAAAUUCUUGCCUUUUACCAUGGGUUGUGCCCUUUGGGUGUUACAAUCAGCGUUGUUCCCUUUGGGUGUUACAAUCGGCUGUCGGUUCAAUUUCUCUGGACAUUGUACGGGGGUGGGGAGGGGCACUGUGCUACUCAAUUAAAUGAGACAUGUUUGUGUUAUGGAAAGUGUUGUUCUAGCCUUCUAGACAAGACAAAGUGUUCCAACGCAUGUGACACUUCAAUUUUUUUUUCCUUUGCCCCUUCUUUUGGUGAGAUAAUUCAUGAAGAAUGUCCAUAUCCUAUGUAAAUUCUGUUUUUUUGGUGGUGGUAGUAGUAUCAUAUUAUCAUUGUUGGUUGAUGAAGUGAAAACUCUGGAACUCACGACUUUGUUGGGGUCUAUGAUUUACGCAGGGAGGAACAGGUGCUGAUUGGAGCUCAGGAAGCAAAGCAUAUAUCGUCCCCGCCUUGUGCACAUGUUGGUGGUGGAGGCUUAUUUUCCUCAACAGGUCCUGAUGUACAGUCAGUGUGGUCCUUCAAUGAAAAAGAGACAGCAUAGAACGAACUUUGAUUAUAUAGAGGGAACGAAAUGUCGAGCCAAGACUUCCUUGCCUCCUCCUUACAGUGAUGUAGGGGUUAGUGAGGAGAUAAGCUGGUGGACUGUGUUCCUUGAUGCAAAAGUAUGAUGAUUUUGUUAAGUAGCACUCACCUCACCAAUUAACAUGCGCUAAUGCAUUGCAUUAGGCCUCUCUAACCUGAGUGAUGUGUUGAGGGCAUUUCAUCAUAUUAACGUCCGGAUUCAAUGAAAAAUCGGGACGGGGAUUUACUUAUCUAGUUAGAUUACUGGGUCCAUGCAUGAUUGUCGCUAACAGGUCUCUUUCCCUGCGAGCAAUCGCACGUGCCUAUUGCUUGUUUGGAGGAAGGUUGGUUGGUUCUGUUGGGUACCCUGGUGGAAAGGAGGUCUGAAGAAACGGUGAUGGAUCAAGUGUGGUCUGAUUAUGAUUUACUCGCUCAGUUGGUGCUUGUUAUCUAGAACUCUUUAUCAUCCUGUUAAUCCUGCGUUUGCGGAAUUGUUUGUUAAUCUGCACGCUUAACUUUUGCAUCAGCAGCGUACUUGACGAAACAAGCCACGACAGUGAUGAGUGGCAUCAGCAUCUUGAUUUGCAAGUGGUUCACCAGUCACUGGCCUCUACUGGUGAGCAGCCAGACUGCCAAACUUUUUUGUGUCUGCAGCCAUAUGCAUUGCCAUUGGUUGGCGUCUGACGAAAGAGACGUCCAUCCAAUCCCAUGCUUGGGAUUUUUCUGAUUGACUGGUUGGAUGUCGUGAGCUGAAGCUACUGAAGCUCGUGAUCGGAUGAUCCAGCUGGAUAGAUAGAGAAUUCCCUGCAGUAGCUUGGAUGCAUUUGGUCAGCAUGUAUGGGGUGCAGUGCAGUGCAGUGCCAGGAAGAAGAGAAGAGAAGAGUGGUUGUUCAUUCCAAGGCAUGUGCCGUGGCCACCACGAUUUGUUGUGAAUGUCUAAUCAUCAUCCACACAUUAAUCAUCAGACCGACCACUACGUAGUGGUUGACAACCACUAUAAUUACUACUAGUUCGUUACAUCUACGAUACACUCCAAUGUGUCUGUCUUUGACUUCCAGAACAAACAAUAUAUAUAGGAUCACGAACCCAGCUGUAACAUUAAUCAUUGCUGCAUUUCUUGUUUUGUUUGCUAAUGAAGGAUCAGUAAAAUGUAUAAUUCCGGUGGUUAAAAUGGGCAGAAGAUUGAAAACGAUGAAACUCAUGACAGAAGGAAAAAAAUAAGAAGGUAUUUUUGAAAUUAAAAAAAACCUAAAAAUUUGCACAUCCAUAAUUCAUCCAUUCAUGUAAUUUACCGCAGAAUUUAAGAUUCAAAAUUAAUCUUUCUAGAUUAACUCGCACAAAUAAUAACAAAUUUGUGUGAAAUAAUCCAAAACUAGUUUGAACCUCAUCGUUUACAACAAAAGCAUAGCAUCACAUUAACAUUUAAAUGUGCAUUUUUCAGAAUGAUUUGAAACCUCCGAGUCUUCUUUUGGAUAAUUUUUCACCAUCUUGGAUCUUUUGCUCAUUUUCACAACAGAUGCUUCCAUGAUAUAAUUACUGGUCAAUCAAUCUUCUAGAAGUGACCGCUGACCAGGACGCUUGCGACGAAGGGAGAUGGAGUUUGGGCCCCACCAAAACAAACGAAACAGUCCUCUGGGAGAGCCGGGUCUCCCUCCGCCACGGCUGUGGGUGGGCCCGGAUGGUGGAAGGUGUCAACCAGCGCGUCCGGCAAGGGGGGCCCCGCCAGCCUUGCAACUGCGUCUUCCCUUCCAUCGCGCCGCGAUUCAUCCUCCACUCGGUCCUCUUCGCUCUUCCUCCUCCUCGUGGCAACUGGCAAAGGCAAUCCUCCUCCUUCCCGCGCUCUCUCGUCGUCCUCCUCCCCGGAUUUGAGGCACUCACUUCCUUCCCUUCCCCACCUGCUCUUCUCUCCUCGCCUUGUGCCUUUGCGCCAUUUCUUUCUUUCUUUCUUUCUUUCUUUCCAAUUCAAUAAUUAAAGCCACGUUGCGAGAGGAGGCGUUAGGUGAGGUGAGCGCGUGCUCGGCCCGUCGGCCGAGUCUCGGGAGAAGGGAGCCACUCUAAAGAAAUCCAUCCCUGCAAGGGGGAUCCGCCGCACCCACCCAGACCCAGGUUCCAAUCCAACUCCCCCUAAUCCGCCAUUGAUCUUCUUCUGUCCCCAUCCCCAAAGCACCGCAACCAGCAAUAAAACCAAAGCCGCCGCCUUUUUCUUGAAUCCAAUUCCUUCCGCCAAGGGAUUCAUUCAUUGAUUGCUUCCUUGAAGAAGAGAUGUGCCCGCUGCGGGUCAUCCUCAUCUUCCUCUCCGCCACCAUCGCCGGAUUCUUCCUCAUCCGGGGGCUCAACGCCGAGCCUGACCAAUUCGACGCCGACGACGACAAGGCCUCCGAGUCGGGAUCCCCCAGGGCGCCCGUACCCCUCCCUUCCAAGGUAACGCCUCCAUCCCUCCCUGCCCUGACUCCCACCUAUUCUUAGCUUCUUGCCUGCGCUCAAGGGAAAUUGGAAGUAGGAUUACAACAUUAGUUAGCAAGGCCUUCAAUAUCUAUUGCGCUAUUUGCCAAGCAACAUGGCCUUGCUUCUGUUCUUCAUCAUGUCAGCACAUAGGGUUGGUCCUCAAGAUGCUUCAUUUCAGGCUCAUUUCAAUCAUACAUAUAUGCCAUCGAUGGAUAAUAAGCUUCCCUUGCUCCUUUUCUUGCUUAUAAACUACCUCGCUAGCACGGUUACAUUUCCUCAACUUUUUUUUUCUUUUUUUUUAAAAAACUACCAUAAGACGUCUGGAAUAGCGUAUGCUGAUUAAAGCAAUUGCACAUUCAAGAGGGGUGGGGGGAUAAAUUGUAACACUUGAUUGAGCGACCCUUUGAUUUGGUAGCCUUCAAACUCAAUAGAGCUCGAGACAUUUGGAAUCUUGUCCAGCACUGCCACUGUCCUCAGCUCUGACAAACAUCAUGUUAUCAACUCUUCGUAUCUAGCCCAUGAAUUUGUCUACAAAGUAACUGCAUGGAAACAUGAGCUCAGUGGGCUUAAGUGUUUAAACUGUUGCAUAGCGUGCCAGUGAAAAAAAGAGAGCAAAUAUAGGUAAGCAACACACGAUGGUGCAUGCUGCACAAUCAAUGGUCACUUGGUACUACGUCUUGGUUUAAAUACUAAAUCAUCAGCUCAUUGUUUCCCUUGUGUACAAUUCUGAAAGAUACAAUAUUGUUUCUUUAAUAACAAUUGGUUCAGAUCUGAAGCAUUCUUUUCUAUGCAAAUCUAGGUUGGAUCGGCUGUGAAAACUGGAUUCUGGACUCUGGUGGAUAUGGCAAGCGGGCGGUACCUCUGGCGCACCCUUGUCGCACAACCCGCACAAUCUGAGUCAGAAAAGGCCCGGUGACAAAUGUUCAUAAUUUAUUUUGUAUUUUUUUCUGAUUGAGUGCCAACAGAGAUGAGGAUAGGCACAAUCUGUUGUUCUUACAUGUUGGUGUUGAUAUGUACUAUGGUGGCAAAUGUAACAUGGCUGGGGAUUAUAUGCUAAAGUAAAUGUGCAGAAUUGUUCAUGUUUGAGCAUUGAGUUGUAGAAUACUGUGUGUGUGCAAUGCUGGGAGUAUGGACUUUGGACAUGGCAUUUGGGCUGAAGUUUGCACGAUUUUUGUCUUUGCACUAAACCCAUGCUUAAAUGUGAGACUUGGAGCAUGUAAUAAAUUUUAGUAGCUGAAAUCUGGAAAUGUCAGAAAGGAGAUUCUUGGGUUGCAUGUCUUCAACUUUCUUUUGUUGAAGUGAUGUUCUGUUGGCAGUGUCUUUCUUCCAGGAAGCAUUGUACUUCUUGUAAAUUAUAAACCCCUUGGCUUCCUAACCUGAUUCUCCUCCUCGUCGGCGACCUCCUCUUGGACCACCGUGUAGCCCUUGGCGAGGUGCACUACUGGAUGAGGUGCGCUUCGUAGGUCAUGAUCUUGUCAGUGGUAUAGCCCUUUUGUUGGCGUAGGGCGUAGGCUGCGCGGAAUUGCUUGGAGUGCUUGGCCAGCCUCUCGUCAGGGAUCGUUGGGGCGGCCGUAGAGGGACCUGCGGCAACCUCCUCGUGAUCAGCUUCUUCUUCCCGGCGUCCACCGCCGCGUGCUUCUCGUCUCGUUACCUUGAUGCAGCCCAGUUGGAGUUACCAGAGAGAAGCACAAGAAACAACGAAAAUUUCAGAACAAUAGAAUCUGAACCUUUUUGCACAAUCACUUCCAGUUCCAGCUCGAUGAAAAAUUCCUUAAGUUGACCAGCAGGAGACGAUCGUAAAUGCAGAGAGAAGACCAGCGGCAACAAAAUUGAAGAGGAGAUUUUGAGGGAGUAGCUAGCACUACUUAGGAUCAAUAUUAUGUAUUGUACCUCGAUCACUUUUGUGUCAAUUGAGAGAGGAAGGCAUGGAAGUACUAUGUGACUGCUAGGCGCACAAAAGAGAGUGACGAGCGUUGUCUUGCAAGUUGCAAAAGGCAAAGAAGCCAUAAACUACCAGCGAUGUUGUGCGACCUUCUUAGCAUUGAAGAUUAAUCUAUGAAACUCCAGUUUCACCUUUUGUUAAGUUCUCAGUUCAAAGUUCAAUACAAGAAGGUCGCACUGGCUGGAACUACCACACCCAUCAUUCUACAAUCUAUGCAUAUGCAAUGCACAUGGAAGCUAAGUAAUCAACUCCAAUAACUAAGGGUUAUAUUAGCUAAUUAUCUGCCUGUCCAACAGCUUUCCAGAUGAACGAGCCAAGCCAUAGAAAAUACAAACUGAUCGAACAAGUAAAUUUGCGUGUUGAUACCAGGAAAGAUUUAUCUAUAGCAUCACUGUUGUCUCUUGUUAUUGGAGAUAAUACAUCGCAUCAGGCAUUAUAUAUCGUGGCAACUCAUCAAGAACAAAAGCACAUAGUAUGUUGAAAAUCAGGAAUCCAAACAGUUUAUCCCAUAAUUAUGCACAGCUUGCCAUAGCUGCGAUUGGUCUGCUGAAACUAAUCGGAUUGGAUCGAUGUUUGACCUGCUUGGAAAGUUGUUCUGAUGGUUGAUUAGGAAUGUGAAAAACGAGCUGUCCGAUCUAUCCUCAAUCCCAGUUGAUGGGGACAAAUUCUUCUUUUUUCAGUGCAAGUGGACUAGUGGAGUUUAAAUAUUACCUGAAGAUUUACCUUAUCAACAUGUGAUGUACAUUUUGUUGUUUUUAUAUGUUCCUCUUUGUGGAGUAUAUUUUACCCUACUUUCUUUGUCACUAUACCUUUUCAGUUUCCAAUGAAGGUGCUACCUCUACUUCAUUCUUUGUCUACUAAUACCCAUUUUCCAAGUUAUUUUUGCAAUUUCGUUACUUACGAAAAUGCAGACUGACCGAGUGAGCAAGAGUUACUUGCUGAUGCUGCCCCCACCCCAAUCCCCUGAAAAAUUAAUGUAUUCAUAAGGAAGUUGAGAUUCAAAUCACAGCACCAUCUUUUGAUAUGCAAAGAAUUUUCUUUGAAACUUUGGUUCACAAACUCGAGAGGAACACUGAGGUCCUAGUAGCAACAGAUUAGUUUUGGUUUGUUAGAUUUAGUGGGCUCAAUCAAUUGAAUCUCAAGCAUCAGAAAAGAGCAGUAUAAAGUAUUCUUGCGAUGAUGAAUCACUAUUGGUUUUAGACUUUCAGUUGUUUUUCUGUUGUUAUUGAGUGCUGGAAUGGACAAAAUCAAGUGAUUCCAUAUGCAGGUGUUGGGGGUGCAUAUCUUUUGCAAAUGUUGGCACAAUAUUUCACCAGAAGAAGCUAUUAGAGAAGUACAGGAAAGCUCAACAUUUUUUUCAAGGAUCAAAGGCAUUGUAUUUCACUAUCAAUAGGGACCACCAUUACAGAACAGAAACAAUUUUCAGAAUGAAACUCAAGAACUCAGCUUUUCCACAAUUAUUGUUCGAUGGAAUACAACCUAAUGGUUCAGGUCACCACCACUCAUUAGGUUCUCUUCCGAUAAAAAAAAGGAAAGUAGCUUCUAAGAAAGAACACACACAUGUAGAACAGAAUCACUGAGCUGAAGAAAAUGAAUUUUCGGAACAAAAAACUGAGGCAUCCAAAGCUACUCCUGCAUUUGCUGCUGAUCAUCUCCAUGCCAGGCCCAGACUAUGUCCUUCAGCGCUGGCCGGAUGUCCUGUUCGAAUAAUUUCUGAUACUCAAGUGAAUCACCGCUUGUUUGUUUCAUCUCAACGAGAUGAUGGAACGGUGUGAUCUCAAAGAUCUCUGUGCCAAAUUGAAGGACACCAUUCCUUCCCUCCUUCCUCCCUUGAAUCUUGACAACACCAUUAUCCUUCUUCCUUACCCUGAGAUUUAGCAUCUUUGCAACAUCUUCAAUCUUCGAGAUGAUGGCUGAGGCUGGCUUAUCUGAUGUAAAUCGUGCCUCCUUUCUUUGUUCCUUUUCAAUAAAUAAGCCAGAUAGAUCAAACCCUGAGGAGAAAGAGAUAAUUUCGAAGGCAUUUAAGUUUGUCACAGGCAGCGACCUCACAUCUUCAUAAGCAUUCUUUCCCCGCCUCACAGAAAGUGUUGGAGCAGCAUUUGUGGUGGCAUUCUCACAGGGAAUUUUCUCCUUAAAUGUGCGGGUCCCCUCAGGGCCUUUUCGGAACCAGGUAGACUGUUUUAUUUUCUGGAUUGAAAUUCUUGUGCUUGGGUUGGGGUCCAGGAUCUUGUACAACAGCUUCUUGAGUUUGUGUGAAAACCAACUGGGGCACCUGAAAUCACCAUGCUGUAUUUUCCGAUACAUCUCCAUCAAGUUUGGGCCUUGGAAAGGGAGAUAACCAGCAACAAGGACAAAUAGAACAACACCACAAGACCAGAUGUCUGAUUUUGCACCAUCAUAGCCUGUCUUGCUGAUCACCUCUGGAGCUACAUAAGCUGGUGUUCCACAGGUGGUAUGGAGCAAUCCGUCUUGCCUUUUUGACUCUGAAAGUGCACUCAGUCCAAAAUCAGAGACCUUCAGGUUCUCAUCCUCGUCUAGCAGCAGGUUCUCAGGCUUCAGGUCCCGGUGGUACACGCCUCGGCUGUGGCAGUAAUCCACUGCACUAAUAAGCUGCUGGAAGUACUUGUGUGCAGCAGACUCCGUGAGCUUGCCACUCUUCUCAAUCUUGUCAAAGAGCUCGCCACCUUUCACAUACUCCAUGACAAAGUAGAUCUUGUUCCUUGUUGCCAUGACCUCAUGAAGCCCAACAAUGUUCUUAUGUGCCACCAAUCUCAUUGUUGUGAUCUCACGCCUUAUCUGCUCUGAAAGACCGACCUUGAGCACUUUGUCCUUGUCCAUCAUCUUAAUAGCAACACUUCUGUUGGACUCAAGGUUUCUUGCAUAAUGCACCCUGCCAAAUGUACCUUUCCCCAGCAAUCUCCCCAACUCAUACCGCUCCAUCAAAAUCUUUCCUGUACCCUCCAUAUCUUCAAAAGUAUAAAUCACAGGGCUAUCUUCUGACCGCCAAACAGGUGGACUGCAAUGAUUUAGCCCUCCUCCCCCAUGUCAUGGUCCAUGACAGUGAACAGUAGUCUUAUAGCUUGGUCGUGUCGGAGUCUGAAUGGUGUAGAAUUGAUGCAGCUAAGAUGGUCGCUCACAUCAAGAGUUGAGCAGGCUAGCAGCCUUUGUGGAGCAGCGAGCUCCUUGAUGUCGCAGCAGAAAUCUCUUCUAUGAAAGCACAUCUUUCAGCAUUCCCUGAGGUUUUGACUUGUGAAUUUUGUUAUCUGCUCAAAAGAAAAAAAUAGAUUCAGAAAUUGGGACUCCAGGGUAUUGACGAAAGCUAAUAACUUCUGUUAAAUACUGUAAAUUAACAACCAAAUAAAGGCUUUACAGAGAAUUGAAGAGGCUUACUGAAUUAACUAAUAACCAAGUAAUAUGCAUAUUAUUAAUUCAGUACAAAUAUGCAUAUUAUUAAUUCAGUACAUAAGGUUCUCUACUGGAAUCAGUUAGUAGUUACUUGGAAACUUGAAAUAAGAAAAGGAGAGGGGCACGCUUUGCUGCAGGCACUUGCUAUUGGAUUUCUAGAAUGAAGGCCACAGUGUCACGCAACAAUUAAGAGGUAAAUAAGGAUAAAAGACAGGCACAUGGCAGCAUGGUGAAAUCCAUGGCAACCAUCAGAAGGUGCCAACUUUCUGCUCUCAAUGACUCCACGUCUGACAAGAACUUUGUUCAGAGGAAGCUGAAGCAACUGCGGAUGUGAAAAAAAUUGGCAUAACCUAAGCUGUGUCUGGCCAGAGGAAAGGGGAUAACCCACGAAAAAUCGCGCCUUUUUCCAAACGACAGAAAGCACAAUUCGGCGUCGAGAAGAAAUUGAAGGCAACUCGAGCCAAGGAACGCCGCUUAAUUUUUCUGAAUCUACAGAAAUUAACAGGGGAGCGCAAGGUUCCUUGCACAAUGGAUGGCAUGCGCCGUUACAGGUGAGCAAAAUCGAAGAACCGAAGCAGGUAAACAAGACGAGAAUCCGUAAACGCAAUGGCUACUCGCAUGAACUGAGACUGCAGGUAGAUGUGGAGACAGAGAGAUGGAUUGCAUACCUUGCGAUGCUACGAGGAGGAAGAGAGGGUUGAGGAAGCGACAAAAAUCAAAACUUGUGCGGGGCAGGGCUACACGCUGCCUUUGAUUGAGUAUGUUGUUGUUGCCUGAGUUCCGCUGGGCGAGGAGAGAGGGGAGGGGAUGCGGCGACAAUGAGGAGAGGAGGCGGCUCUUCUUAUACGAGUACAGGGGGAGCAGCCGCAGCCUGCAGGCGGGGGAGGGUUUCAGAGAAGGAAGGGCUCAGAUUACUCGGCCUAAUCAUACGGCUUGACGCUAAUGACCCCCGGCUGCUGCCUGCCGUUGAUGCCGCCUCCGCUGUUGCGGUUCCGGCGCACCGCAUCACACGUCCGGAUGGAUAUUCUUGCUAGCACAUCGCCGUGUUCUCGACGGACACAUGCGGCGACAGCUAAGCCCGUAAUGUCGCCAUCUGACUACAGCUCACCGGUCUCUCCAGCCAUCUCCAAUUUCAUUUUUUCUUCAUCUAAUCUACCACCAAGAGUGAAAGACGUGAAUUAGUAGCACAGCAACAAUGGUGGAUCCGAUCUCAUCCUUUGCCGAGUCAAGGGCAGCCUGCCUGUGUCCACGUACCUUGGACCACUCCCACGCUUGAGAAAGUUCGAUGCACAUAUUUCUUCUCCAAGGAAGAAGAAAGUAAAAGGAUUUUACUAAAAAUAAAAAGUAAAACGAUACAGUACACACUAAAGACCUCCACUUUAACUUGGCCGAGACACCAAAAACAGUAACAGUCCUAGAACCAACACCUUGAGUGAGCUUCGCACAUGCUGCAACAGCUAGUCAUAUCUUGUAGCCGACGGAUACAGCACACGGUAUUGGACUCAAUCUAGCAAGCCAUCUUGAUGUGAUUUUGGUUUCGAUUAGCAGGUAACACACAACACAUGGCCAAUCUGGACCUUUGGUACAGCUAUUUUUCUGUUUUGGUGUUCCAAUUAGUAUUUUCAAGGUGUGUGCCUGUUUCCAAUAAUUCCAUGAUGUUGUACAUGUAGCUCAAUAAUAGAGACAGGAGAUAGAUCGAUGUGCACGAUACUAGCUGCGUCGUGUCGCCACAUUCAGCAGCAACUAUCACCACUACUCCACUCAAUGAGAACCACCAACUGCUCUAUCAUAUCAGAUAAACGUGAAAACAAAUGAAAAAGAAAGAAAAAAUAAUACUUGGUUACGAUCUUAUGUGAUAUAUCACUCCAGAGAGCCAAACAAGUUGUUCCUUAGUUACAACAUGACCUUUCCUGUCAACCAUUCAUUUCUACAAGUAUCCUAGGGGAAACAAAACAAGAGAGCUGGAAAAGUUCUUCAAAAUGUUCAGUAUUGCUCAAAUUUUGGGAAUCUAACAAUUUACAACAGAAUCAAUAAGAUGUUCUUUUAAAAAAAUAUUGUGGUUGAGCUGGAGAUAGUUGGAACCAAUAACUACUUUCUGUCCAACCAUAAUGUGUAUUUUCAAAUGAAAAAUGCUUCAAAAGUAUUCUUUUAUACACUGACCAUACAAAAUAUUCACUAAUAAUUGAACAAAUAUCACAAGCUUUUCUUUUUUUAAAAAAAAUCAAAAUGCAUAGCACAACUUUCUUCUUGAAGUGGCUUUUAGUUUCUACGUCCCAGUGAUCCAAACAAAUUUCUGUUUUCUUGGAUGAACACGCAACCUAUAUUGACAUUCAAGGGGUGUUACAUCAUCUACUACAAUGUGUACAGCUAAAUCUGGUACGUCUUUUUCUUUAUCGUUAUGAUUCAUUUUAGAUUCCUCAACUUGACCUCAGCAGCACUACGAAUCUUGUCUAGAAAGAUGGCUAAAUUCAUUUGCAGGAUGCACGUGGUAUACUUCCGUCACACACACAAACAAAACAGAUCUAGCCCAAAUUUGUGGCUUCAAUCAUCUCUAUUUGUUAUGUUCAACUAAUGUAACCCUCCAUCCAGAUUUAUUCAUCGAAAACUGGUACAUGGUGCAUUGUUUCAGUUUCAGGAGAACAAGAUACUAUACCUAGUAGACCGAGGCCCCUUUUCACAAUACAACCACCAGUAGUGUUUUUUUUUUCAAAAAAAAAAAGAAUCUAACUACCUAGUUAAACAAACUAGAAUUUAUUCGGAAUAAUCAGGGAAUAUACUUGCCUAGCACACUAUUUUCUAUACCGUUUAUAUAUUGUUGAAACGGUUUAAAGAUUUCGCAAAAUUUGUAAUUAAUCAGCAGAAAGUUUAAGAGGACUUUAUGGUAGAACUAACAGUGGUGUACUUGUUGAAAGAAACUUGACAAUUUCUUCUUAAAGAAACCGUCGCUCCAUUUCCAUCAAGAAAAAGGCAACAUGAGAGGCCGGCCGGAUUCAUUCAGACUGCAGCACGAUGCAAACCCAACAGAAUAUCAGCAAGUACGCCACUACUUAUACUCCUGAAGUCCUGAUACAUAUUAACAGUUUUAAACCGUGAUGCAUGCAUGCGCUGGCAUACUGUUUUUCCUUUCCCCGGUAGCAUGCGGUAGGCAGGCAGAUGGAGCCAAGAGCCGUAUUGGUUCCAGGCAACGACCUCGCUGCUUCAUUCCAAUAAUGCCACCACCUGCAGGACCAGCGAGUAUUUAUUUGUUUUGUGGAGAGGUUCUAAUUUAUAUAAUAAUAUGAGAAAAAGAAAAGGCUGAGGUCCUUGUCAAUGGGUCACUGCCACGUCUGCGGAAACGAUCGAGCAGAGCAGACAGCAGAGCCACCACCGCACCACGUGCUCCGUGUAACGAUUGGAAGAUCGAUGGCGCCGUGCGUGGUUGAUCACUGCUGACUCGGAUGCAUGCAAUCCAAUCUGAAGCUCGGGACAACGCAGAUUUUAUUUUACAAGUAUCGGAGGUAUAUAUCUCGAUAGAUCUGCACACAAAAGUACUUGAGCUCGACGUACAAAUAAAAAAGAAAUCAACAAGCAGCAGGGGGCACAUGUGUGUGUGUGUGUGUAUUUAUCAAAUAAAUAAAUUAUGAGAACACAUUUUAUAAUAGAUAUGGUUAUUCUUAUUUGCUACCUAAGAUAUUAUUAGUGUUUUCUAUAAAUAUGAUCAAAUUUAGAACAGUUUAAUUUAGAAUAAAUUAAAAUACUUUAUAUUUCACUACGGAUGGAUCACCAUGGUUAAGAAGGACCCACGCGGCUACGAGAGAACGGUCGGGAAGGACCCACGAAGGGACGGGAAGGACGAAGACGACAUGUCACCUCGGUCCUACUAGUGGCAGCUUCGAGAGAGAAUCUAAUCCUGCGUUCUUGAUUAGUUCAGCUGAUCGAGGAAUUAAUCAGAGUUACAUGGGCCGGCAUCGUGACUCAGCUUCAAAGACGUACUUUUAUCAUCAAUCAAAUUCAAAUAUAACGGUGAAAAGAUAGUGUCUUUUUAACGCCAAGUCUCGUGACAUUAACUUUGUGUUACAAAAACUAUAUACUAAUAUAGUAAUUAUUGGUCAAAUACCUGUAUGUAUCCUAACAAAGUAAAAUGAGGAUUUUCAUUCGAAUGCAGGGAGUACUGAUUUAGAGAUGAUUAAAAACCUAGGGGACGGGGGAUUAGGUACAUUAUUCGACCCAUUCGCCUCUUUCAAAUUUGUGGUUAAUUCUCCAUGUAGGUCAAGUGUCAUCAGCAAAUUAAGGAGCAGAAGCUAAGCAUCAAAGACGUAUUAGUUAAUGGGGUUCUUUUAUGGUGCCUGGAAAGUUAUGAACAUAAUACAUAUGGUGGCCCAAUACGUACUCAAAAUUGGCCCAAUCCAGCAGCCCACAACGAUGCUAGUUCCUUGUAAACAAGUGUGGGUUAUCUUGAUGUUGGAAUCGGAACACAUACCCGAUCGGAUUAUGCUUGCCUUCCAGAGAUUUAUUUAAAGCAGCAGUAACUACUAUACUCCAGCUACGAUGAUAGCCGCCAUGGAAGAAGAAUUAGGGGAGUGGCUGAUGAUGGCCAUGUGGUAUUUCGGCCUCGCGCUCACCUACGGUUCCCUGGUGGUCACGGUAAUCUUACUAAUCUCCGAGGUGCUGGCCGGCCUCCAACGCUGGCGCAACAAGCUCGCCGGCGAGCGCCUGCUGGAGAGCAUACCCGGCGUCCCGUACCACCCGCUGCCCGAGGGGUCGCCGCCGUCGUGCGUGAUCUGCAUUGAGGAGUACGAGCGCGGAGAGAGGUGCUUCGUCAUGCCGGGAUGCGCUCACAUGUUCCACAGAGAAUGCAUGCGCAAGUGGCUGCGUCAAGGCAACCCCACCUGCCCAAUCUGUAGAGCAACACUACUAGUCGCGCCCGCAGCAGCAGCAGAAGAACGUGUUAGCACGGUAGAGAACAUGGUGUAGCGCUCUUCUUUCCUUUCUUUGUGUUUUUUUAACCAAAGAAUUAGAAACAUGCUGAGACCUUACAGCAGCUCCAUUCAGAAAGAAAAUCAUUGUAAUCUUUACUUUUUUUAUAGUUCAUCAUAUGUGUCCACAAAAGCGUCGUGCCUCGACGAAUAAUGCUGUUGUGAUUGUAAUAGGUACGUACAAGAUAAGAGGAGGUCACCCAUGUGUUGAUAUGAGCAACGGCUGGCCAUUGCAGUUGCGCUCUGCAGAGUGGGCACGUCUUGUUGCAGGCCUUCAACCAGUCGGCGAUGCAGCCCCUGUGGAACUCGUGGCGGCAGACGGGCAUCACGCUGCACGUACAGCUCGCCGUCCUCCAGCCGCCCCAAGCAGAUCGCGCACGAGUCCUCCGACGUAGUCGAGGUGCUGUAUGUACCACCGGCGGCAGCUGGGCGCGGAUUAGGCUUGAAGCAGCGGCACGCGGCUCCUACUGCGAGGACGCCCGGCCCAGAAAAACCAGACGACCAAACGCCGCCCAGCAGGUCUCCUCCGCCAUUGACCAUGCCUUAAUUAGCUUGAUGUGAAUAAGAACAUCAAUGGGAAUCGUUAAGCUUUUCGUGCUCUAAUUCAAGCAGCGGAUAGAGAAGAGACCUAAGGGAUUAAGAUAAGAGUUGAGAGUCCCGAUCGAUCGAGACCACCUCCUCCAAGUCCUAGCCAGCACCCAGCAUUACCGUACCAUAUAUAACUAGCCUAUAUCUAAUAACUAGACCGCAGAGCAGAGCAGAGCGCAACGCGACGAUCAUCGAUCGUGCGCCAUGGCCGCCGCGACCAACUCUAGUAGUGUCGAGCUCGCCGUGAUCGAUCCAUCCAUCUUGUCGUCCACGGGCGGCGCGCGCGUCUUGUUCAGGUGGCUCGGGUGGGGAGCUCUUUGUCUCGUCGCCGCGGCCUUGGGGCUCAUAGCCUUGGCUGUCGUCGCCGAGGCAGUCGCCCAGGAAGCCGCCCGCCGCCACCGCCAGGCCGCGCUCGCGAGGCGGAAGCGGGAGCAGCGACUCCGGCGUCGGCAGCGGUGCCGGAUGAUGAGCAGCCUACGUGACGCCCCGUACGAGCAGCUGAUUGCAGACGGGAUGGUGCGGAACCCGUGCGUGAUCUGCCGGGCGGAGUACGAGGUCGGCGAGACGUGCAGCCUCCUGCCGCGGUGCACCCACACGUUCCACAAGCACUGCAUCGCCGCUUGGCUGCGACACCACACCACCUGCCCCAUCUGCGACGCCACAGUAGCACGGUCGUGUACGUAGGUGUAGCCCGACCGACUUUAAUUUUUCUCUCUCUCCUUCUUCUUCGUCUUCAAUUGAUUCAUCCGUACAGGAGUAAUUGAUUUCUAUGGAUCAAUUUAUUAUCUUAUUUAUUCAUCAUGACUGCAACCGGCGGCAAGAGCGCGGGGUAAGUACCAAUGGUCAGGCGAUAGUAGGUAACUGUUUGGAAGGCUGGAUUGCAUGUUUCUUUUCUGUCCUGCAAUGAACGUACGCAAUGCUAUCACCGGUGCUGGACAUAAAAAGGAAGAGAUUGCAAAGGAAUACAACAUGCUGGGCAUAAAAUGAAGUAGUAUGAUCAUUAUAUUAUACACAAAUAACAAUAAUAUCUAAUUCUUCAAGCAUAUCUAUCUAUCUACACCAUGUUUUCAGCAGCAGCUGCUGAGCACUGCAGUAGUUGAGCUCUGCACAGGGGACAGGUAUUUUUGCACGCCAUGAUUAACCAGUCGACGGUGCAGUCCCUGUGGAACUCGUGGCGGCAGACUGGCAUGAUGCUGCACAGCUCGCCGUCCUCAAACGGCCCCAGGCAGAUCGCGCAGUCCUCUACGGCUGAUAAUGGAUCGUCACCGCCGGCGUUUCGGCGAGGAUACGUGACGCUGUCCAGCAUGGCUAUGGCGACGGGUUUCAUCUCCUCCGGCAGCCGGGCGUCCGCCUGCUGCUGGUCUUGAUGAUUGUUUUUGCUGCACAAGCAGAUGAUGACAAGGACUGCUGCGAUGAUGAAGAGAGCAAGGAAGACGGCAUCCAUCCGCGAUGGACCAACCAUGAUGACAAGCAGCUAAUUAUAACUGCGCUAGAUGCCUAGAUAGGUUAUUAGCCAAUAAUCACGGAGUAUAUAUGUAUGUAUAUCUCGUAAUGGAGUCCGAUCGAGUUCUCGAUCGCGCUGCCCGCUUGGCUUGCUGAAUCGGAAUCGCCGCCGUGGGAGGAGGGAUCCAGUCCGAAUCGAACCAAGACCGCAUGCACGUGCUACGAUCGACUCCUAACAUAAUGAACGACUACUAGUUAAUCUGAUCUGAGGACGAUGAUGAUGGACUGGGACGAUGUCUACGAUUGGAUCGCCCUGGGGCUUGCUCGUCUGCGCUUUCCUCGCCGUGCUGGCCGUUGCCCUCACCGCGCUCGUCGUCAUCGUCCACCACGCCAUCAGAUACGUUCGGCGCUUCUGCUGCUGCUUCGGGCGCGGCCGCCGCCGCCGUUCAUCGAGGAGCCGCUGGAGAGCAUCCCGGACGUGGCGUACCAGGAGCUACCUGAUGCCGCCGGCGGCGACGACGGAGACUCGUGCGUCAUCUGCGUCACGCCGUACCAGGCCUGCAGCUAUAGUUGGCAAUUCGGACCGCCCGGCACGGCACGGUCCGGGCCGGUUUCCGCUCGGCACAGCCCGGCACGAUUGGCACAAUCAUGCCAGGCCGGGCCGGCCCAUGUGCUGAGGUCUCGGUCCAGGCACGACACGCAGGUCUGUUAUCCGUAUCGGGCCGGUUUAAUUGUCCAUAUAGGCUCUGCAGGUUGUGCCAGUCCGCGAGCCCAUGUAGAUAACAACCUCUUCAAUCCAUGAAAAUUUUAAAUUUAACUAGAAAUUUAUUGAAAUCUUAACACAUUCUCAAAUUCAAAGACUUUCAUUAACACAAACAUACAUAUGCACAUAGACAUCCAAAUAUCAAGACAUUAGCAUUCAAGCAUACACAUUCACAAAUCUGAAAAGGAUAAUUAACUUGAGCUGUUUUAUUUGUUGCCUCGUCAAAGUACAUCAAUAUCAGUUCAAGUUAAAGUUCAAGUUCUGAACCAUAUGUCCACACCAGUACACCACCAUACUAGAUAGAUUCUUCAUCAAGAAACAAGUUCUGAAAAGAGUCUUCAAGUUCUUGAUCCUCUACGGCAUGCUGAAGUCUUGCAUCUCCUAGCUCCUAAUUCUUCACCAGAGCCAACAUCUCCACCAUCUCAAGCCCAGGCGCCGUCGCCGCUCCUCGAUGAUCUUGCCAGUAGUACUAAAAGCAGAUUCUGAUGAUAUUGUAGAAACAUGCACAGUCAUAACAUCUCUAGCUAGGAUUGAGAGAAUAUAAUAUGAUAAUUUAUGCUCAUGCCACCAGUUCAAAAGGUUGAAUUUAUCGUCGUACUGGUUAACAGAUCACUAUCUAGGUAGACAGAAAGUUUAGAGAAGCACCAGAAGUAGCACUAGCAGAUGAUCUCCUAUGCAAGGAGGAAGAACCACCAAGAUCAGCACCAAGACAAGCAGCACUAGCACUAGCAAAACUAGAACCACAAAUAUCACCCCCAAAGAUCUUACCCCAAUCAGUCCUUUUCUUACCUAUAGGAUCUGGUUGUGCAGCCAUUUGCAACCUUGCAGCACCAAAUUUUUCAUCAUACUUACAAAAAUAACGGAUAGUUCAGCUCUUACCUCAGUUAAGUAGCAGGAGUAAUCAUUACCAUUAAACUAAGAUAAAAGUCUAAGAAUAUUGCUGAAACCUUUCAUCUUAGCCCUAGGAUCCAAUAUAAAUGCAAAGGCAUAAAGCAUAGAAAUGUCAUACUAAUAUUAUAAAAACUUAUCUUUCAUGGGAGUAACAACAUUUCUUAAAUUUCUAUCAUUUUCAUAAUUAUUUAGAUGGUUAGCUAUCUCAAGAAUAUGAUGCAAUAUUAAUGGAGAUGUGGGAUAAUAAACACUAGAAAGAACAACACUGGAAUCGUACAAAUAUUGUUCUGUCAAGAGUGGCUGGCCAUCAAUCAAAGGAUGGUUAGUAGUGAUAAAAAUAGAGAAUGAGUUCUUCUGGGGCAAGAGAUGUUUUAGCACGAGAUAAGUGGAAUUCCAUCUUACAUCCAUAUCUAAGCUAAACUUAUCUUACAUCCAUGUCUAAGCUAAACUUGCGAGAUCUUUCAUUAAUAAUAAUAUAAUAUGAUUUAUAUGCAGCAACGCGUUGGUUAGAUAAAUUUAAAAAUGAUAUAGCAAUUCUAAAUGCAGACAGCAUAGGCUUAAACACAUCAUGGCCAGUCUUAACAAUAAGAUUGAUAAUAUGACAAGCACAUCUCUGAUGCAAGAACAACCUACCAACAUAACUAGACAAGAUAGGAUUAAAUUGAUUAAUAGCCCAGUGUUAGUAGCAGCAUUGUCCAAUAUAACAGAGAAUAUUUUAUCACUUAAUCCAAAAUUAGCAAGAACGGAAGUAAUACGCUCAGCAAUAUUCUUAGCAUUGUGAGACACAUCAAUCAGCCUGAGAUCUAUCUUUUUCUCUAAGUGCCAAUCAACAUUCAUAUAGUGAGCAACCACACUAAGAUAAUUCUCCUUACCAUUAUCAGACCAGAUAUCAGAAGUAAGAGCAAUAGAGGAUACAGAUUUCAAACUCUCAACAAGCUGUACACGACGACGAUCAUUAAAAUACCUAGCAAAAUCUCUAGUGGUUGUUUGCCUAGAGAUACGACAAAAUCUAGGGUUAUGAGCAGUAGCAACGUACUCUUCAAAAGCAUCAGUUUCACCAAUGCAUAAAGGCAGGUCAAGACGUGCAAUCAACAUACACAACUGAGUAUGAGCAACAUCAGGACUAUACUCCCAAGUGCGAACAGAGCCAUCAGGAUUAAACUCAGGCUGAGAUUGAGCCAUGGCAGAACGACCUUUCAAAACAGGGCAUAUAAGAAUGUGCCUAAGCAAGUGGCCAGUACCAUGGGUGGAUUUACCACUGAAAUCUUUCUUGCAAUGCCUACAUUUAGCACUAGUUCGACGUUCUUUACCGUCGAUUACCUCUUAGAUUUUCUCGAAGUCCUUCCACGCCUUAGAGGUGGACAACCUCCUCUUUCUGGAGCCGCCACUUCCACUGGCAGCACCGGUGCUCACACUCUCAGAGCUGGCCGGCUGCGCAGACGGCCCGUGAGGAAGUCCCUGGGCGUCUGCAUCUAGGUCGAUGGCAGCGUUGUUGCCAAACUUCUCUACAUCCGUAGCCAGGUCGUCCUCAUCAUCUCCGCGAAGACCCAUCACCCGCAACUCAUAGCUGUGGGACGACGGGUCGUCGUCGGCCAUCGUUGGCCUCUGAUCCCUCGACGGCCUGCGCAAGAAGAAAGAGCAACAGAGCAGAGAAACAAGUCAGUUAGAAACAAAACAAGAAAUAAAAAAAAGAAGAGAAGAGGACUGGAGUUAUCAAUGGCCGGAGCAUCGGAGUUGCCGUUGACAACCUCACCGGAGACUAGAAGAGUGAGAUGGGGAUUGGAGAAGAGGAAGGUGAAGAAGGUCAAGAAGCAACAAAAUAAGAGAGGGGGAGCAGAUUUGACACCGAGCAGAGGAGAUGAGGAGGCACCACUGGCUCGCGUCGCCGGCUGGCCGCCUCUCGGCCUUCCCCGUCUUCCCCUUCUUCAAUCCCCUUCACCGGCCACAGGAGAGGGAGGAGAAGGAUUGUUGGUGUCGGAUCUGGCAGCGUCGAGGAGCGUCGGAUAUGGCCGAGCCGCGGAUCGGGAGGCGGCGUGGGAGGUGAGGAGGACCUUCGAGGAGCUAGAUCCGGCGAGCAGAUGGGGAGGAGAAGGGAGGGGAACACCGGAUCUAGGCGUGGAGAGGCGGAGGAGGCGAGGGCCUACACCAGCGACGGCGGCGAGACAAGGGAGGCAAAGAGGCCGCGGCCCGUAGGCGAGGGCGUGAGGGAGGCGAAGAGGCUGCGGGCGAGGAAGGAAAGGGGGCGGGGGUGCUAGGGUUUUGGGGCGCGGCUCGAGAGGUGGCGUGGGAGACAAGGAGGAUCACCCAGGAGUUAGAUCCGACGAGCAGGGGGGGAGGGAAAGAAGGGAACACCGGAUCUAGGCGAGGAGAGGCAGAGGAGGCAAGGGCAGCGGCGGAUCUACACCGGUGACGGCGGCGAGAUGAGGGAGGCAAAGAGGCCGUGGCCUGCGGGCGAGGGAGCGAGGGAGGUGAAGAGGCUACGGGGGAGGAAUGAACAGGGGGCGGGGGCGCUAGGGUUUUAGGGCCCGGCCGGCGCUCGGGCAUUAUAUACACCGAGCCGCUCGAGCUCCCGGGCCUUAUUAGGCCUCCCGUGCCCAGGCCGAUCCACGUGCCUGAUUGGGCCGCGGCUUAAACGUGCCGGGCUGGGCCGGCCCACAUGCCGAGGAGUCGGUCCAGGCAUGGCACGAGCCCCGUGCCGGGCUAGCCUGGGCCCAAUUAACUUCCUGACGAACUGUGCCCGUGCUGGGAAAAAAACAAGCCGUGGGCCGGCCCACGGGGCUCGGGCUGGAUGGAAAACUGUACAUGCAGCGUCCUGCCCGACUGCGCCCACAUAUUCCACAAGCCCUGCGUCGCCAGAUGGCUCCGCAAGAAGAACACCUGUCCCGCUAUGCAGGGCGACGGUAGGCGGCGGCGGCGGCGGCGCGCCGGCACACCCACCACCACGGCAGGCCAACGUGGUCGUCAAUGCCGCAGAGAACGUGGUGUAGCUUCAAUUUCUUCUCAUUUUUGUGUUCGUGUACAAAAUUUCUUCUCGUCAACUGCUGAUGGAUAUAUAGUAUAUCGUUGGACAGUAAUUUGACUCAGAACUAGCAAAUCUACUACUAUGGCAAGUUAAAGCUCAAUUUUGUGAAGUUCUAAAUGUUAAGUACUAAUAAUGGGGAAGUGGAUUGCAGUUUGUAUGAUUUCCGAAGCAGGUGACCUGCCUUUCCAAAAGAAUAUAUUGGAAAAAUCACUGGAAUUCAUUUUUUUUUUACACUUUCCCUCUUUUGCUUUCAGUAGCAGAGUUGCUCUGCAGCUUGGUCCCAGACAGAUAAACGUUGCCUCCGCCGGGAACCUUUUGCUUUUGCUGUUCCCGAUGCCAUGAUGAAUUGCCGACCUCCGUUUUUGUCCUCAUCAUACCAGCACGUUGUUUUGUCGUUCCCAAUGCCAUGUUGAUUUCGCCUCGCUUUGCCACCGCCGCCAAGAAGUCCAUAAUGUUUCGAAAAUAAGUAUUUUAGACCAGGCAAGGGAAGAAGGCUUCACUCAUCUCCCUCAUCAAUCUAGCGGUUACUCUACCCGCAGGUUACUACUUCUCUUCUCUGCUUCUCCCUGUCCAUCAUUAACCGAUAAUUGCGUUUGCUGAUGGCCUUCAUUUGUUCUUAGUUGCUUCUGUCAGAAGGUAAAACCUGACAUGAUUUUGUUUGCUAUUGCCUCCACUGUCUUUGAUGCUUCCUGUAAUUCCAUACAACUUUUUUCGUUAUUCAGAUCCUUCCACUUGUUCAGUUAUAUAUCUGUGGAAGUUUCAUGCCAGCAUCUGUUUUUUUUUCUUCUUUAUUAAAGGACUUGGACUAGAUCUGUCUUGCUCAUUCUUGCAGUUCUGGGGAUUCAUCCUACUUCAAUGGCUUUUUAGAUAAUCCUGCUGCAAUUGGAAAACUGUAUACUGAUCCUGCUACAAACAGCGGAUUUGUAUCCAAGAUUCACAAUUUAUCUGUUUUGUUUCAUCUUGGGAAAGAAAAGAAAUGUUUUUCAUAGAAUGAGUGUGAGCAACAAGCACAGCCAGUUAUCAUCCAGUCUCUGCAUCAAAAACCUUCCAGCGUUCCUCUGCCGAUUCUGUUUGAUUAUUAUUUUUUCUCUCUUCCUAGAUGCUGGAUUGAAAGCAGUCACUAGGCCAAAGAUUUGAUUUUUCUCAUAUUCUCGUUCAGAAAAAAAGUUUGAUUUUUUUCUUGUUUCUCUUCCUAGAUGCUGGACUGGAAGCAGAGUUACUAAGGCCAAAUGGAGUCAGCAACACCAAGAACAAGCACAAGGACUCCUACCUGCACCGUUCCUGGGCUCCUAGUCGGCCUCACCAAGCUCUGCAAGCUCACCAAGGUCUGCGCAGCGCCAGCACUGGACGAUGAGACAAAAUCACAACUUGGAAAUUUUUGCGGUGGAUAUGAUCAGAGGCUACUUCUCAUAAGACUGUUUGAAGCAAUGGGAUCCCUCAAGUCAGCUUACAUCAAGCUCCAGAGAGCUCACAUCCCCUACGACCCUGCCAAGCUCGCCUUCGCCGAUGAGAUUAUCACGUCUGAGCUGGAUUCAGUAGCAGCUCUGCAGCGCCUGUGCAGUUCCAGUUGUGGGAUCGGGUCAUUGGUCAACGAGCGGUGGUCCUUGGUUCAGGAACUGGAGGCCGAGACGAGGAAGAGGGAUUCAGACAUCGUGCUGCUGAAGAGAGAACUGGAGGCGCUGCAGAGGGAGAACUCGAGACUGAACAAGCAGAUCAAGAGCGAAAAGCCGUCGUCAGUCAAGCACACUGACAAGGGAUUCGUCGUGCCGAAAGAGAUGACCGCGGUGACGCCAGGAGCAUUGUCGGAGCUGUUCAAGGUGGCAGCAGCAUCGGUGCACGACUUUGCAGAGUUGAUUGCUACUAGCAUUCUGGUACCUUCAGAUAACUGCGUGAACGAUGCAGUAGAGCGGUCAUGGAGGAGGUACUCACUUGAGGCGCACCUGUCGCGAACAAUGCUCGUCGGUGUUAUUACCACAACUCAAGAAGAAGAAGAAGAAGAUAAAGAAGGGCUGAAAAUCAGUGGUGCUUGCUUUGAACGGAUCAUGAGGUUGUGCGACCCUCUGGACGCCUUGAUGCAGUACCCAAGCUCUGGUUUCUCGAGAUUCUGCCGGUCCAGAUACUUGGCCGCCGUGCCGUCGGAAAUGGAGGCGGCAAUGUUCCGGAACCUGGACCAGAGGGCGUUCGUGGCGCGCGGCGGGCACCCGAGGACGUGGUUCUACCGGGCGUUCGCGACGAUGGCGAGGUCGGCGUGGGCGCUGCGUGUGGCCAUGGCGCGGUGCUUAAAGCACAGCCACGGUGUCAGAAUGUUCUAUGCGAGGAGAGGCAGUGAGUACGUCGAGGAGUUCAUGGAGAGCGUGGCAGUGGCUGCACCUGGCGUCAGAGAAGGAGAAGGUGACGUGGAGGAGAAGCUUACGGUUGCCUUCACUGUGACGCCCGGAGUCAAGGUCGGCGACACGGCGGUGGCUUGCAGGGUGCUUCUCUGUCACCGUCAUCAUCAGGAGGGGAUUCAUUCAAGUCCAAUGACGGCUGUGGUCAGCAAGCUUAUUUAAGUCAUUCAUCUAACUGUACUAUGCCCAACAACUAGCUAGGCACUUAACUGUUUAUCUUUUCUUAAAAAAAAUUAUCUACACAUUAUUUCGCUCUUGGCCGCCCAAAUAUACUAGUUGAUUGCACGUGGAAAUGUAAGAAUCUUAAGAUUUUUUUUUGGAGUAAGAAUCUGAAGAAAUUGAUUGCACGUUGAAAUGUAAUGCAUAUAACACUUUCAGCUAUCGGAUACCACCUCCUAAAUCUGCGUGCAGACAAGACGGAAAUCCCUAAUCUGCUGAGCUAAGGACCUUGGCAGAAUCAGUCAACUAUACCAUGCGUCCAUGCCCUGUUCGCCGCUGCCACCAGCUCCAAUUGUCAUUUUUUUUAUGCCCGCUCAUCCUGUAAACAGCACCAGCACUUUGAAGCUCCCUAAUGCUCCAUGUAUCUUCAUUUUUGUUCAGUCCUGAAAUAUUUUAACAGAGGCAUUAUCAAGGUGGAGAAAUGGGAAUGACAACCACUGCAGCUUAUUGCUCACAUCUCAUCCUCCUCUACAAUGUACAUGGAAAAACACCUUAUUCACAGGAAAAGCCACAGCAACAAUGUCUAUACCACUACUGGAGCUGACUGUAUCUACAAAUCUAUCAACAGCUGCAAACUGAGAUCCUUCCUAGCCAUAUUUGUUAGUGAAACUGGGAUUGUAACAGAGCCGGUAUUGGAUAAAAGUAGCUUUUGUUUGAUCUAAGUAUUACAGAUCUGGAAAAAUCUCAUAAAUGCCAGCCUAUUUUCAAAAUGAAAAAAAUAGCUUGUGUUUGAUCUAAUUAAGUAAUACAGGACUGGAAAAAAAAUCUCCUGAAAUGCCAGCCGAUUUUCAAAUGGGAAAAAAACAUACACCAAAGUUGAGACAGUAUGAUUUGCAGCCAAUGAAGUGCAUAGCUUGUCGAGCAUCAAUAACUGGAGCAAAUAGUUUAUUCUGGGCAAUAUGGUAAAUUUAUAUUUUACUGCUCCAAAACAUUAAGGCUUGAGUAUUAAAGAUGUUCAUAAUACACAAAAAAAUGGAGAAAAGCAAAGCUCAAGGUUGAGCACAAGUGGCAGCACAGAAAGUGCAAGGGUUACAAUCAGAAUAAUCUAACCUUGACAUGUUAUAGGUUGUGAGCACAGAAUAUUUAGUAUUCAUGCCAAAAGAAAAAGAAAAGAAAGAACACAGUGUUGAGCAAACCAGUAUCCACAGCGCCUGUGCCUGCCUUCAUCAUCCAUCCUGUCUAGCAUCCAUGACAUCAACUGUGAAUUUGUACUCCUGAUCACAGCCCAAAUAAGAAUCUGACAUCAAGUAAAUCAUGUAAUUCUUUCUUCCUGCUUUGGCCGGAGAAGCGAACUCUAGCUUUACUCUUGCUGUCUUUUGAAAUGCCACUCUUUUAACCGCCAGCAACUUGUCAGUGAAACUAUCACCAAUUACAACCCACCAGCCUUCUUCCUUGGGCUUGGGGAACCUCGGAGCAUGAACUGACCCAACCUCCGACAGCAAGUUAUUAGUCAUAUCACGCUCUAAUGUUAUCUGCAUAGUUAUGUUGUCACCAGCACUAAUCUUAUCACCCUCACAGACCUCAACCAAUAUCAACAUUGGGAAACUGUUUGAAGAAUCCGAUGAUGUCCUGCAGGUGAGACUUUGACAGCUGCAAGAGAUUCUGCAUCUCAUCAAUAUUCAUCUCAGCAAGAUCAUAGAUACUCCUCAUGGCCUGCCCUUCAUUUUCCUGGCAUCUCUGGGCUAACUCUUUGGUAAAGUGUGGAAAUUGAAGAAGCACGGAAUCAUGAUCCCACAUGCCUUGUGUCACCAUUUGACUCGAUCAACUCCAUUGCUUUGAGAGCAAGACUAGGCCAACCAUUGCUGGAUAUAACAUCAACCAUUCCCUGGAUCAAUCUAUGUGCAGAGAGGAGAACCUCACGCUGAUCAGCUGCCAUGUUCCCUAUAACCAUGUGCCUGGACAAGUGGGCUUGCAGCAGAGCAUUGGCCUUGACAUGUGGAUCACCAAACUUAGGUUUCUCAAUACAAAAUCUCUGGUGGCGAACAAGCUUUUCAAUGAACUUCUCCUCACCAGGAUGUCUUGGAAGCGCUGCAUAUUCUGAAGCAGAUGCUACAAUCUCUAGGAGACCUUUCAUCUUAGUCACCUGAGUUAGCAUAGAACUGAAAUGGUCAACCGUUGUGUAGCUAAUGUAGUAGUAAGAAGCAAUAAGGCCAAGGUUAAGGGGCUUCAGGUACAUAUCUUCCUCCACAGCCACACACUUUCUUGACUCUAGAUAACUCAAGGCAGUAUCAAUCAACUCAGAAGAUAAUCACAAAGAUGUCUGUGGUUUACACCCUCAAGAUUGUAGUAGUUAGGAUUCUUUGUCAGCCGUCGAUACAUGAAAGUCCAAGUAAGGUAAUCCACAGCCUCUUGUUUAUUUUCUAUAGCACUGCCAACAACCUCAGCAUUCAUAUGAUCAUGCAGGAAAUGGUGAAGAUGACUCUCAACAGGUAAGGCCUCAAAAAGGAACUUCUUAUAGUACUCUUUCUGAGGUGCAUGGCACAAUAUCACACAUUUUCCCGAGUUAUCUUGAAGUGGACUGCUGGCAUGACUGACCAUUUGAAGCAGAUCAGUGAUUGGAUAAUCGAUGUGAGCAGUAUCACAGCCAUUGUAGUACUGCGUCCCCAUGACAACAACCAAAUGAGCAGGCAAUGACCUUCCCCAGCACAUUGUGCUGCUCGCUACACACACUUGGAUCCUCCCACACAGGAACAGCUGGGUUACAAGUUCCUGGUCAAGUUCACUUAGCCCCUCAUGCAAGUAGCCUACACCACAUUUAAGUGUACUUUUAAGUGUUUCUUCAUCAAUGCCUUUGGUGAAAGUUUCCAUCUCAUCUUCUGGCCCAAGAAGAAAUAGUGUUCCAGCACCCUCAGCACUGGAGUAUGCACACAAGUUCAACGCAGUCAGUCUGGCAUGCAUCCUUGUCGGUACAAAUACCAAGGCAGGUUUUUUACCAUUAUUUGCAUGUUUUCUGAUGGUAGCGUAUGUAGGCUUUGUCAUUGGUUGCAUCCUUGCCUCAAAGUUUUCUGUGUCCACACCCUGAAUGUGGAUUUCUAACGGAACCGGUUUCACUGUUAGAGAAAAAUUGAAAAGGCCAUGAGAGGUGGCACCAAUCCAUUCACCAAGAUCUUUAGCAUUUGCAAGUGAUGCUGAAAGUGCUACAAUCCGUAUGUUACUGCCAACGUACUUCGAAAUACGCUUCAUCCUAGAUACCACAAUUUCCAAAACAUGUCCCUUGUCAGAACCGAGCAGAUGAAGCUCAUCAACUAUAAAUAAGCUGACAUGUUGGAUGUGCUUUAUCUGCUUCCAUCGGCAAGAUAGUGCAUCCCACUUUUCAGGAGUGCUGAUUAUGAUAUUCCCUUUAUCAAGAACCUUCACAUCAGCUGCAGUUUCACCUGUUAGCUCAACAACCUUGGCAAACUCUGCAAAUUUGUGCUCCCAGUCCCUAUUUCUUUCUCUUGCAAGAGCUUCAAUUGGAGCUAUAUACACAACCCGCAUGUUGCUCUCACCAGACAAUGCCUUCUGGUGGUUUCUUAGUAUAGCAAACUCCGCACAUACCGUCUUCCCACUACCCGUUGGCACAGCGACAAGCACAUUGUCAUCACUAUUAUACAGGACAGGGAAUACUUGUGUCUGGAUGGGAUUGAAAUGCUUGAAAGCGCCAUAUAGAACUUCAUACCGUCCAUCCCUCAAUGCAGCAAGGGGAAAUGGGUGCAGGUCAAGCAAUUCAGUUGGUGGAGCAUAUUUUUCUGUUAGAAUUAAAUGCCUAAAACAGACAGGAAGGAUUGUGUGAGAACCAAGCCAUUUGUCAGAUACAACGCGUAUAAAAUACUGAGGAGGCAGUGGCUCAUAUAUCGGCACUGUGAAGUUCAAUGUAUGAUCUUCAUCCACAUAUUGUUUCUUAAGUCUAAAAUACUGAUGGUGAAGAAUACACUCACCAUCGUGGUCCUCAACUAUGAUCCAAAAGGGCUCUACAUGGCCAUGUAUCUCAUCAUCCCAUUGGAAAUCAGGUGUAAUAGUCAGCUGAAGGCCCAAAAGUGCAUGAGUAAUUGGUUGGACGUGGACUGAAAGGUUCAACUUUGGCAAUUGGUGGAUGCACCUGAAUAGCUGCCUCCCCAUCUUAGGAUAACGAAUCAGCUCACCAAUUUCCUGUGAUGACAGGUCAUAAUACCUCUCCCAAGCCAAUUCCUUUUUCUCCAGUUUCAUCAAGAUUUCCACUGGAAUUAUAGGAAAUUGGCGCAAGGGAGUUUGAACACUCCACAUUUGUCUAUCAACCAUCUUGCAAAGAUUCAGAGCUGUCAGUGCUAGUUGAGCCCAUCCUCUCUUCAGAAUUAUCUCAAAUAAUGCUCGAAGAAGACGGCCAGCACUCUGUCUGAUAUAGACCAUAUCAGAACUAAGGGAAAGACCAUCUAGUUUCAGCCUAGAAAUAUAUGCUUGCAGCAGAACAUUAAUCUUUGCACUGGGCUCCUCCAAGCUCUCUUUCACAGGAAUUGGCACGCGAUCCAAAAGCUUUGCAAGUUCCAUUUUCUCAUCCUCCCUAACACUAACAUACUUGAAUUCUUCACUCAGGGAGAACAGUUGGAACAGCUGAAUCUCACCCAUAGUUGGCAUCAGGUACUCAUUAUAUGUCGAGAUAGUACUGUGACCAAUAUAGUAAUAACUCGCAACCCUUCCCAAACCAGUAGCUUGAAAGUACCCUGUUUUUCUGUCAUACUUUAUCAAACUGUUACUCUCCAGUAGGCGAGCAGCAGAGUGUAUCAAGUCCGCUCUUCUUUCAUCAACUGUUUUAUCUCGCUCCAUAAUAUCUACCGGCAGACCAUACAAUGUCGGAUUGCGGAGCAUUCGAAUAUAGAGAUAAGUGUAGCCAAGCCAUGAGCAUGCCUCCUGAGCAUCCUGAACAGUCCCCAGAACAAUCUCUGCAUUCAAUUGAUCAGCCAAUCUGGAUAUAAAAUGACUCUCAAUAGGUAGCUGUUGAUUCAUAAGAGACAGGUAAUACUGCAAUUCACUGUGACCAGUUAAGAUAAUUCCCUCUCCAUGUGUAUCAUACUGAGGCCUUCCGGCACUACCAAGCAUCUGCGUAACAUCCAGCAGACUUAGUUCUGUCCAAGCACCUUUUUCCGGAUUGUAAAUCUGGGUACCAUUUAUGAUAACGGUGUGAGCAGGCAAAUUGACACCCCACGCAAGGGUGGCUGUCGAUACAAGAACCUUUAUAUGCUUAUCUCUAAAAAGCAUCUCAGUAAGUUCACGGUCAACCCUUGCCAACCCAGCAUGAUGAAUAGCAAACCCAUAUGGCAGAAGGUCUUUAAGAUCACUGAUUUUCACAAGCUCUACGGUACUACCAAGAAUCUCUUGGCUUGCACUCUCAAGCCUCAAAAAGCAGCUCAAUGUGUCAUUAGCCAAAGCAGUGUCUCUAAUAGCACGAGCAGUUUUCACUGUCUCCUUCCUUGAGUGAACAAAUAUAAUCACUUGAUGCUUACCAGCAGCAGCCAUGACCUUCUCAUAACAAAUUUCAUUCAUCAAGUGGAACCUUUGUAGUGGCUUCCUCACAGUGAUUCCAAUGUACUGCUGAGCAAGAGGGCAAGGUCGGUAACUGUUGUCAAAAUGGAAAAGGCCAUCAGUACGAACACGCAAGAACACGGAAACAUCAUUGUAGUUUGGAAGAGUCGCAGAGAGCCCAACCAAACGAAUAUGUUCCUUGGUUGUCUCAAUCUGCCGAAGUGUUCUAGCAACGAUGCUCUCUAGAACAGGCCCCCUGUUAUCAUGCAGUAGAUGGAUUUCAUCAAGAAUUAACAGCCUGACCGUUUGGGUAUAGGUUCUGUCACCUGAUUUCCUAGUCACAAUAUCCCACUUCUCAGGUGUAGUGACAAUAAUCUGCGCUUCUUCAAUCUGUUGUUUUGUCAAAUUUUGAUCUCCACUAAGCUCCCUAACAGUGACAUUGUAAUCUUUCAGGCGCGCCGACAAGUUUCCAACAACUUCAGCAACCACAGCUUUCAUCGGGGCCACAUAGAUGAUUUUGGACUUUGUGUUGUCGAACUGUCCAUCCUUCAUAUGCAUGCCAACCUGCUGAAGGAUUGUAAGCAGAGCCACGUUCGUCUUGCCAGCACCAGUCGGAGCGCAGAGAAGGAUAUUAUCUGGUUUGAAAAGAGCGGUAUCGUAAACCUUGCUCUGAACCAUAUUCAGAUGUGUCAUCCCAGCAAAAGCUGGUUGUGCCCACUCUGGCAUAUCAGAUAUCUUCACAAUCCUCUCUCCAGAUUCAUAUGGCCUAGCUUUUGGUGCAGUCACGUGAACUUCCUCAUAGCCCUUAUGAGCUGUUCUAAAUGAUCCUGGAGGAAGCUCACAUUUUCUGUUAGACAUCAAGAGCCCACCCUGGUGAAAAGAAAGGCUAUCAAGAUCAAGCAGCUGCCUCUGUUCUUUGAACCUCGCAGCUUCUGUGUCCUGCUGUAUUGCCUGGCAACCCUUCACACCGUGAGAGCCAGCGCCCUCGUUGUUGAGAGACCUCUUGGCCUGAUCCCCGAUGCUUCUAUCCAGAGUUUUCUGGCUCUCAAACAUUGCGGAUGCUCUUGUUUCAGAUAGUUGGUUCAGUAUUGGAGCUAGGCUUGGAUUGCCGGCCAUCUCUUCCACUAUCUUGUUCCGUUGUUCCUGGUCUUGAGCCCUGGCUAAGCGGGUACACCACACAAUCUUGAGGCGGUUGUACAGGAGCAACUUAAUGAGAUCAAACUUGGUGUAAUCCAAGAGCAUGAGAAGCCGGUUCUCCACUUCUCUGUUGCCGGUGCUCACCGAGAUUAUGCUUAAGAUCUCCUCGGAGAGCUUGUGGGUAUGCUGGGGAUCAAUGUCAGUCUCCUGGAAUGCUUGCGAUACCUUCCUCUGAAUCCAGUAAGCAUCGAUAUCCUGAACGUCAAUGGUUAGUGCCUGGUUGGAGUUGUGCAAAUCAUCAUUGCCACCAUGAGUAACAGCAAACUCACCUCCCAUCUGCAUUGUAGCUCCAGCAGCACUUAAUCCAGCAAGAUUGCCGCUGCCGUCGUUGUCGUCGAACUCAUCUUGCAGGUGAUCGAAAUCAGUGCCAUCGCCGCUUUCGUCAGAGGGUUGGAACACCACAGCAACGCCAACAUCCUCAUCCAGGGCCAUGUCCAUUCCGUCAGCAGCAGAACCGGCGGCGGCAUGGAAAUCGGUGAUGAGGCUCCCGGUGGAGACGAUCUGGUGGAGCACGUGGUCUUGGAUGGGGCCAAGGAGCGUCUGGAUAUCCUCACCGUCUUCACGCCGCGGCCUUCCACCUGCAGCAGGCCUCUCAACAACAACAACAUCAUCAUACUGCUGCCACACCGUCCAUGACGAUGCCCCGAGAGAGAAGCAGUAGUAGUGAGGAGCAGCUACGAGUGGCUGCUCAGCAGGAAGCCCCGAGGGAAGCCACCGCCAUCCGCCCCAAGCAAACGCACCAACUGAUGAACAAGCUAUAAAUAUAUAUACAGCUAGCAUAGCAUAUAUAUUGUUUUGUUCUUUUCAUUUCUCUAUCUUGUGUGUUUCUUUGCCUGAUAUAUAUAUAGAAGAAUUGAUGUAAAUAUAUGUACCUAGUUCAUGUGCACGCAUGCAGAAACGUCGUUUGUUCUAAGUUUUUCAGUAAAAAAAAAUAAAAAUCUGUUCGAUCUCGCAACAUAAUUCAUGCAUAUCUUUCUUUUUCAUAUCGGCCGCUCUCUUACGGUACCAAGUUCGUUAUCACAUCCUCAAACUAAAAUAAAAGGAAACAGGAUCUCCAGACGCAUGCAUUUUCUUGUUCUUGGAUCAAGCGAGGCAGAGCCACCACCUCUUGAUCGAUGGAGCAGACACCACCCUCUCCCUCUGCCGUGCCACAGGAAAGGGAAAGGGGUCCGUCUUACGCGCUUUUCUUUUUUUUGUCUUUCAUCCACGCGGUUCGGAUUCAGUUUUGCUAAUUCCAACAGUCUUGUCAAGAUUUCAACAACCGCAUAUUUAAAUAAAUCUGCGCCGGAGUACGGAGGACGAGGAAAAUAGAUUAUGAAUCAACAAUCAAGGCACGAAAGACACCGCACAAGCUAAACAUUUCUCACUCGAUCAUCGUACGGACAAAAAUCACAACAGUUUGUUCUAACUGAAUAAAAAAAUAUUAGUAUUCUAUGCCAUCGUACGGACAAAAAAUAUUCUGUGCUUUUCCAUGGAAAUUGAAUCGAAAGAAAUGAUCUAGGAAAAGAAAGAAAAUAUAUAUCCUUGGUUGGAACAAAACACAUUCCAUUUCCAUGGCAUAUAUUAUCCACGGAGUAUUGUAUUGCCGCAUUACUCGGAACAAUAAUAAUGUACAGAAUGAUAAGCUAUAUAUAUAUAUAUAUAUCUAUAUCUUAAGUCCUUAACAAACCAUACUGGCUGCACUAAUUUUCUACUGUCCUACAGUGCUUACUCUCGAGCCAUAUGGCUUCCACGCACCAUGUACAGAAAAAAACCAGAUUACUCAAAGCAUGACGUAGUUCUGGUGAUGCUUGUCGUCUCUGCUCCUCCUGCCACGCGUCGACGACGACGAGGAGGUGGUGGUGGUGGUCGGCGCCCGGAAGCCGAUGUUCUCGACGGCGCCGACGGUGUUGAAGAAGAGGCGGCGGUUGAGCUCCUCCACCAGCGUCCGGUGCAGCAGCUGGCUCCGCAUGUCCACCAUCGACCGGUUCCGCGUCAUCCUCCCCCUCCUCCCGUGCCGGUCCUCGUCCUCCCGCCGCCGCGGCCGCCCGGCGUGCGGCGACAUGCUGCACUGCCGCUGCAGCUGCCGAGCCAGGGAGCUGCCGAAUCUCGUGUUCUUGGGCUGGGCCUUUGAGAAUCCGCUGGGCCCUCCGACGACUUCAGGUCGUGGUGAUUGGGCCUCGUCCUGAUUCCCCGAGGAGCUCAUGUCAUCGUCGUCGCUUAAACAAGCGCAGUAGUACCCAUAAUCUACACCAGAAAAGUUUUUGAAAAAAAAAUGCACACGUGUCAAGCUCGAUGGAGCAGUGCUCUCCCCUUAAAGAUAUACUAGGAUAGAUAUGCAUGAGGGCUGCCUGCAACGUGACAUACUCUAGCAAGAAUGCAAACAAAAAGCACUGGCGACGCCUACGUGUGCCUACCUAGAUAGGGUGCCAAAUAACCAGAUGAUGCAUGGCUACUGCUGUGGUGUGCUUGGAAAACAAAACAGCCAUCUGUUCCUUCCAAAAAAAAAACAAAACAGCAAUCUUGUGGAUAAGGAGCCAGAACCGCCGCGCCAUAGUCAACAUUUCCCAGUCCAAAUUGUCAAAGUGUCAUAUCUAAUACACACGUAUGCAUGCAUCCACACAGGUACAAAAGCAGGCAGUUCGGCAAAGAUGCCCUGGCUGGCUAGCUUCCAUAUAUAUUCAUGACAUGUGCAUUUUAUAUGUAUGUUUAUGUUUGGACGAAAUCAAAUCAAAUUAUUCUUUCAUUCGAAAAACAAUAAAAAACAUGCAUACAAAUCACUAAUAUGUGCCAUAAGUUAAUACUACUAUCUCCGUCCAUAAAAGAAUAUAAUUAUAGGAUCCGUGCCGGUCAAAAAUCAAAUUUAUAGUAAACAGUAUUAGCGCUUAUGUCUCCAAAUAAAUUUAUUAUGAAAAUAUAUUUAUCUUGUAUCAUGAAUGUUAUUAUUUUUUAUAUAACUUUAGUCAAAAUUUAAACUGUUUGACUUGUCGAAAAGCGAGAAUUGCAUUCUUUCGUGGAUGGAGGGAGUAAGAAGUAAAAUGCUCGAGUACGGUUAAAAAAUAACGUUGUUACCUUUGGACCAGGCACCGCCUUGUGGGCGAGAGAAGUCUUCGGAGGCGUAGGGACAGACAGAGCUUUGGGAGGAGGUGGGGGAAGAGGAGAGAUAGUAGAAGGGAGGAGGGCGCUCCUCGCUUUCGUCGUCAUCAUCAUCAUGUGCCGCGUUCACAGCAUACUCGUGCUGCUGCUUUCGCCCGGGAAGCAGCCUCUCGAUCUCCUGCUCGAUCAUGGCCGCGAUCUCCGAUGGGUCCCGGUCCCUGAUCUCCAGCUCCUUGACCAUCUCCUCCGCCACCUCUGUCGCCGUGUCGUUCACCAUGUCGAACGGGAAGUAGAUGUUCCGAACAUUAUUCCCUGCACAUGUGCAUGUACGUGUAUGAUCGAUCAGGCAUCUGCACUCAGUCAAGUGAUGCCAUGCAACAUAAUCUGAAUGCAUCGCACUGGAACGACGGAUGAAUGUAACGUACCUGUCUCGUCGGCGAUCUGUACUUUAAGGAAGAUGGUGUCCUCCUCGGCGUUCAGCUUGCCGGUGAUGGUCAUCUCAGUCGUCCUGGCCACUAGAGGAUCGUCUGCAUCCUCACUUACAUCCUGAUGAUCAUUGCCCAACGACGAAACAUCGGAACUGCUGCAGGUCGAAGAAGAAGGAGGACCAGCAGGCGGCAAUGGCGGCGGUGCCAUCGUCACGGCGGCACACGACGUCGUCGACAUGACGUGAUGAUGAUCGUCGAGUAGGAACGGAUCCAGCAGCAGCUCUGCCGCGGACGGCCUCUUGGACGCGGCGACAAGGCACCUGCCGAUGAACCGCCGGGCCUCCCCGUCCUCCACCCGGUAGAAGGCGUCGGGCAGCUUGCCGGCGGUGACCUUCUUGUAGAUCUGCGCGGGGUUGGAGCACUCGCUGUAGGGGUACUCCACGGUGAGCAUCUCCAGCAUGCACAUGCCGAACGAGUACACGUCCACCAGCUCGUUGUACUCCUCGUCGUACAUCUCGGGCGCCAUGAACUCCGGCGUCCCGAUCACGCUGUGCGCCGCCUGCCCGGCCUCCCGGAGCACGGCGGCGAGGCCCAGGUCGCCGAUCUUGACCUGGCCCUGGUGCCCGUUCACGAAGAGGUUGUCGCACUUGAGGUCGCGGUGGAUCACCGGCGGGCGGUGGGCGUGGAGGUAGGCGAGGCCGCGCAGGAUCUGGCGCGCCCAGGACCGGACGGCGCGGAGGCUCACGCGCGGGUAGCGGAGGCGGUAGGAGCGGAGCGUGCCGGAGGAGAAGAGCUCGGUGAUGAAGUUGAAGGUGCGCCGGGGCACGUCCACCCAGGACGCGUGGAAGCCGAUGAUGGCGUCGUGGCGGAGCGUGCUCAGCAGCUGCACCUCCGAGUACAUGCGCUGCACCGCGUCGGGGGUCCGGAGGACGUCGCUCAGGCUGGCCUGGUUCCACGCCACCUCCACGCCGCGCUCCUCGUCGAAGCCACGGUACACAGACUUCAUCGCGCCCUUGCCGAGCAGCUCGUCGAACUGCAUGAUUGUCAGGUUCAGAUCAACAUAAAAUUAAUUAAUUAUGCCUUCAAAUUAGCAAGCUAGCUCAUAAUUUUCAAAUUAUAUGGAGUAUUAUUUAUGCGCAUCGAUCCUGAAGGAAAAAAUGACAUUAUAUAUUUCUUCUGGAAAUGAAUGGCGUUAUUUUUAAUAUAUAAAAGAAUGUUAUAGUUAACUCCUCUGUUGAAAUCUACUGAAAGAAAAAGGAUGAAGAAAAGUGACUAGCAGAAAAGAUGAACCGCACCAUAUCUAAUGGAUAUGACUUGGUAACGUACAGCAUAUACUUUUUGAAGCUUUCAAAGCAUCUUAUUAUUGGCAUAUUGACAGAUGGGCAAACCUCUCAGCAAAUCCAACUUGGGAAAGUUCAAAUACCAAUCAAACACCAUCUCUGACUAUUGGAAAAAAGCUAGCACUCUUUUCUGAUUGGACCAAAAAUCACAAUCAAAGUCUCUCACCAUCUCAGAUUAAUGAUUCACUAGUUGACCAAGUAUACGAUAAUGGUAUUAUCUUUCUGUACAAAAAUUGUUUACUAUUGUUCACAUGAUGCCAUCUGAGAGUCCACCUGAGCAACUGAUUAAUUUAGCACCAGUAUUUGACCCUGAUCUUGAUGUGUUCAACAAUAUAAUAGUGGCCAUGAAUAUCUUGAUGGUUCCACCUUUCAUAUUGCAAAUUAAACUUAUGGUAAACACAUUAUGCAGUGAUCGAUAUGGGUAUUGGCAACUAACUAAAAGAAACCGGUCUAGAUGAUGUGUGCUAUCAACGAACUGUAUGGAAAGAAAACAAGAUUUACAAAAGCCAAAUGGAGAUGGGAUGAAAAGGAAAAGGGCGCAAUUAUUGUGUCCUGUUCUACAGGUAGCUCCGAUGUGCACAUCACAAUGGAAUAAUCUAUCCUUAAAAAAACAUGAUUAAGAAGAACAACCCUAUAUCUUAACUAAUUAAUGAACUAAGGUUUUGCUGUCAGCAUGUGAUGGAAGUACACCAUCUCUACUAGCACAAGUUAUCAAAAACCAAUAGUAGAGGUAGCUAGGACAGCGAUUGGAAAGAAGGGCAAUUCGAGGGGAACUAGUACUUCUCUUCUUCUAAUCAUCAUGCAUCAAUUCGUGGUAACUAUCUUACUAUAAUGUCAGGUUGUUCAUUCUGAAUCAAAGCGGAGCAAGAAAUUAAAAAUGAACUUUUCGUGUUUGUCAUCAGCAAUUAAACGAAGUAGAAAUUAAGGAUGAGAUGUGUGCAGUAAUACAUACCCGGCCAUAGCGACCAGUGGGAUCGGUCUCGACGUAUCCGUUGGUGUUGUCCCCCACUACCGCCGGCCGCCGGCUGCCGCACCGCCGAGGCCCGGACAUGCUCGACCGGGCUUGGUACUUGGUUGCACCACUGACGAGAAGAGAAUUGCUAGCAAGGAUGAUGUGGAAGAAGACAAUCAGAAGAGGCGUGUGCUAGAGGCCGGGCUUGGCGAAGUUGUGGUGGUUGUGGGUGGCGUCGUAGGUGAAGACACGGAAGAGGAGCCAGCUGAGGCUGGAGCAGUCGACGAUGAUCCACGGCGCCAUGGACGGCCAGGAGGAAGAGGAGGAGGCCCCCGCGUGCGCGUGGUGCGCGGCGCCGAGGCAGCAGGACCGUGCACUCAUCUGACGCCACUUAUAUGUGGCAGCGACACGCACGAUAACUGAUGGAGGAGAGAUUGAUUGAGUGAUGGAACAGGAUGCCUCCCUCCAAAUUUAAAGUGCUUUGCGAAUUAAGUGCAACCAACUCUUAUUCCCUCUCUCGAUCGAUCACCUCAGUUUUUCGCGCAUGCGCCUGCAGAAGACAACCAAUCGCACAUGUUGAUUGCGAGCUCUGACAAGACGACGCGACACUUGAUAGGUAUGCAGAGGACGGAAGCUCGAAGCAGAGGAAUAAACGAUGGAUGGAUGGAGAAUUACUGGUGCAGAGAAUAUGUACACAAAAAAUCGACCUCUCGCCUUCCCUUGUUGUCACCUGGCCUGGCCUGGAAGAAGGCAAGCUACUAGAUUGAUGAGAGAGAUGUGGUGGGAGGACUAUGUGUAGAAAGAAACCAGACUGCCUGGCUCUGGCUAGUAGAGAGAGCAGAGGGAUUUUUGUUUCUCUCGUCGCAGAUGAGUGAGCUGCUGAGAUUUUUGCUCAUUCAUUGGCAGUUACAAGGAGGAUCUGAACUUGAAGAAUCCAUGCCUCAGAAGCAUCUUCUCUCUGUGGUGGAUUCUUCGGCAAUAAUCUGCAGGAAUUUGUGUGAAAAAUAGCACAGGCUGGACUCGAAGCAGAGUGGCGAGAGCUGCAGCGAUUUGGGUGUUCUUAUGCAGGCAGACUGUCUGCUUUGCUUUCAGGGAGAUGAUGCUGGUGCUUCAGUGUUGAAAUAUGUAGGGAAAGGUAGGAGAGCUUAAUUGGUUAUUUGGGAAGACAGACAAACCCAUCCAGCUAAUAAAACGCGUAUGUCGCAUUCUGAAAAUAUAAGAUGCAAUGCAACUGCCUUUUUUUCAAUACUAUGUGCACAUGAUCCUUAGUUGACUUCGCUUGUUUCUGUAGGAAGCUGUGGCAUAUUCUCUCUGCACUUUUAUUUGAUGUUUUAACAAAAAAAAACGAUGAAUGAAUGCUAUUCCAACGAUGAACAAAAUUAGCAAAACUUGUACACUCAAGUUUCAUGGUUCUAACCAUUGUGACGAUAAUAAUAGCUUUAUGCAUCAUUUCUGUCCUUCGACGCAAACACUGAUAAUGAAUGCUAUUCCAACGAUGAAUAAAGUUUAAGCUCCUGAUUCAGUCCGAUCUAUAGGUAACCUUUUUUCAUUUUAUUCAUCUACCAUCUAGCCGUAAUGUAGCUCCAAUUUAUUGUGGCACUGUUUAUUCUAGGCUGGAAAUCAUGGCAUAUAUUCAGGAAAGUGACUAAUUUCCCUCCGUUCUCUUUCAGGGUUCAAGAUUCCUCAUAAGUCAUUUUCAGGCCCCUUAUGGGGUAGUACUAAGCCAGUACCGCCACCACCACCACCGGCUCAAACCUGAAGACGGUUCUCAUUUGAUCGUUGCCCAAUCAACUAGUUGUUAGUGAUGAGCAAUCAUCUUCAAAAGGAGUACGUGUAAGGUUAUAUGGCAGGCCACAUGUUUCUUCAAUAAAAACAAUACAAGCCCUGCAUACACAACGAAGGUCAUGACCUCUUUUUUUGCAGUAUGUCAAGAUCAUAUAUACAUACUAGCUGCUCCUAAUAAUAUAUAUGAUGGUUCUAUGAUCAAAGUACAAUUAUUUUGCUAAAUUAUGUGUUCUAUGAUCUUUAUGUGCUUAUGUGGCAGACACCAUAGACAAAACUUUUGAGCUGCCGUGUCUCUUAGACAAAAGUUCAAUUGGUUAGCUGCAAACCACAACUUUGAGGUUUUCUUAGUACCCAGGCAAAAUGAAUUUGGGUCCCAGUAUGAGUACGACUAAUAGCCGCUGCCAUUAGCAAUGCCCAACAAAAAAACAUGUCCCUCAAUAAUUCAGAAAGAUCCAAUCUGAAGAUCAAAAGUAUUAUCCACUAGAGGAGAAUGCUGUGUGUCAGACAUGGCGCAAAGUCAACACUUCAAUAGAAAUGAUUUAUUAUGCUAUGAGAAAAAUGACCCCUGAAGAAAGAUGCACCGCAAAUUUGCCUAGAUUCUUCACAAAAAAAAAGAGCCUUACUAUCAAACAUAAGGGUCCAUUGUUCAUUUGGACUUGUGAGCCAAGUGCUCAUUUAAAACCCUCGCAAAAAAGGUGCUCAUUUAUAACCAUCAACUUUCAAAAAAUUGAAGUGGCAAAACUGGUCAUUUGACCCUUUCCCUAAAUAGAAUGGGGAUUUGACUAUUCGUACCAUCGAAAAGGUAAUAUAGGACAUAACUUGAGAAAAUGUACAUGCCUCGAUUCUUUUUAAUUGGGAAUGCAAUCUAAAUGAGCAAAUGUGCACAAGUUAGUCUACGUCUUCUUAGUCUGAUCCUACAGCUCCUGAGGGACCAACCUAAGAUCAAAUUAACCUAAUCUUAAGUUUUCUAAACAUUGAAUGCAAUAAUUGAGGUGCAAAAUCUAUUGUAGAUGUAACAUCUUUAUGUCCCGCCUGUUAGUUGUAAACCUUGUAAGUUCACAAGUUUUUAGAUUCUAUUAGGUUCCUCAGUGGCUAAGGAAAGUAGAGGAUUUUUAUCCUUCUAGGUAUUUAGGAGUAAGGGUUCAAAUUGGUUUUGGCCAGCUAGCAAGCUGUCCCCUAGCUGUAAAACAGCACUGUAGCAGGGCGGUUGCUGUAGCAACCGCCUUAGAGGGUCCUAUAAAAGGACAUGUACCCCUCCAAUGUAAAGAGAGCUCAGUUUUCCUAACUCCUACUUUAGAGAGCUCCUCAUUUGCUGCCUGAAUUUCCAACACUUGGUAUCAAGAGCCACGUUGGGCUGAUCCAUGGCUGCUGCAUCAGCUCCCGGAAGGCAACAGCGUGCUGGGCGAACGCCGUCUCCACGGCGUGAUCGAAGGGUAUCGCUGUCUCCACCAGCACGUCGCCAUCGAGGCCGCACCAUGGGUGGCCGCGAGGUGAUUCUGGAGAGGGUUGUGGAAAGAACAGCAGCAGCAGUGGUCUACCCCAUGUUGACCCGGACCAAUUACACGGAGUGGUCCUUGGUGAUGAAGGUUAACCUGCAGGCAGCAGGGCUAUGGGAGAUCAUCGAGACCGGUGAGGGGGAAUACCGGGAUGAUCGGGCUGCUUUGGCGGCAUUGCUUCGAGCGGUGCCGCAAGACAUGCACACCGGGCUGGCAACUAAAGAAACAGCCAAGGAGGCAUGGGAGGCGAUUAGGGAAGUGCGUGUUGGUGUUGAGCGGGUAAAGGAGGCUAAUGCGGAGCAGCUGAGGAGGGAGUUCAGUAAUCUCCGUUUCAAGCCCGGGGAGAGUGUUGAGGAGUUCUCACUCAGGCUCAACACGUUAGCACACCAGCUGCGAUCUCUAGGUGAUAUGGUGACAGAGAAGGAAGUUGUGAAGCUGCUGUUGCAUUCGGUGCCGGAGAGCUUGGAGCAGGUGGCGAUCUCUAUCGAGACGUUACUUGAUCUGAGUAAGAUCUCCAUUGAAGAAGCCACUGGUCGACUACGUGCUGUGGAGCAAAGGAAGAAGCCGGCGCCGGUGAGAGAUGAUGCCGGCCGCCUCCUCCUCACGGAGGAAGAGUGGCGGGUGCGUCUAAAUAACCAAGAAGCGCGUGGUAGCUCCAGCAGUGGUGGGCGUGGUGGCAGCAGCAGAGGAAGAGGUCGCGGGGGAGGUCGAGGCCGAGGCGACAGCCACGCAAGGUCGCACAAGGGGAAGGGCGAACCUAGCAACAAGUUCGGUCCAAAACCGGACGACGUUUGCAACCGCUGUGGCAAGAAAGGGCACUGGGCGAGGGAGUGCCGUCGAAGGGAGAAAGAGAAGGAAGCGGCGGCAGCGGCGAAUCUUGUCCAGGAGGAGGAAGAGGCGCUGCUGAUGGUGGCUGCCGCUGAAGAGGAGGUUGUAAGGGAUGUCCAGUUGAGAGAGGAGAAGGUGUUUGCCCAGCUGGAUGAAGGUGGUGUACGAGAUGUGAGGAGCUGGGUGCUGGACACCGGGGCGACGAACCACAUGUCUGGUUCUCGUGCAGCAUUUGCUGAACUUGACAUGAAUGUGGUCGGUUCUGUCCGCUUUGGUGACAGCUCUACAGCGAAGAUUGAAGGAUGUGGCACUAUUCUCUUUGUCUGCAAAACCGGUGAACACAAGAUCCUGUCUAAUGUGUACUACAUACCGCGUCUCACUACAAACAUUGUGAGCGUGGGUCAGUUGGAUGAGACUGGACAUGAGGUUGUGAUCAAGGAUGGAGUGAUGAAGGUGUGGGAUCCGAGUGGCGUGCUGCUGGCGCAUGCGCCUCGCAAGGGAAAUCGGUUGUUUGUGCUGGACAUUCCUGUCACACAGCCGGUGUGCUUGGCGUCGUGCACAGAAGAUGAGGCAUGGAGGUGGCAUGCAAGGUUCGGACACCUGAAUUUUCAGGCCUUGAGGACAUUGGCGCGCCGUGGAAUGGUGCGCGGGCUUCCAUUGCUGUCUCAUGUGAACCAGCUUUGUGAAGGGUGCAUGGCGGGGAAGCAGCGGCGGCUGUCUUUUCCGUAGAAGGCAGAAUUCAGGGCAGAGGAGGUGCUUGAUCUGGUCCAUGGUGAUUUGUGCGGGCCAUCUCUCCUCCAACUGCAGGUGGCAGCAAGUAUUUUCUGUUGAUGGUUGAUGAUAGGAGCAGAUUCAUGUGGGUGUCGAUUCUGCGCUCAAAGGACCAGGCAGCAGAUUCGGUUAAGCAAUUCAAGCUUGCAGCCGAGGCAGAAACAGGGAGAAAAUUGAGGAUGUUGCGCACAGACAGGGGAGGAGAAUUCACCUCUGUUGAAUUCAUGGAGUUCUGUGCGUUGGUCGGGAUGCAAAGGCAACUGACAGCGCCAUACUCGCCGCAGCAGAACGGUGUUGUGGAACGCCGGAAUGCGACAGUAGUGGCGACUACUCGAAGUUUGCUGAAGGCAAAGAAUUUGCCGAGGUGGCUGUGGGGAGAAGCAGUUGCAACGGCGGUGUAUUUGUUGAACAGAGCGCCGACGAAGGGUGUUGAGGGGAUGACACCUUAUGAGGCGUGGUGUGGGAAGAAGCCUGCAGUUCAUCACCUGCGGACUUUCGGAUGUGUGGUGUAUGUGAGGAACACUAGGCCGAAUCUGAAGAAAUUAGAGGACAGGGGGAGGCGGAUGGUGUUCAUCGGGUAUGAGAAGGGUUCUAAGGCCUAUCGUGCUUAUGAUCCUAUCUCUGGUCGAGUGCUCAUCACUCGGGAUGCUGUAUUUGAUGAAGGAGCCCAGUGGGAUUGGGCAGAAACAAGGGAAAAGGAAGCUGGUGGCAGUAGUGAUGGAAGUGGCAUCUUUACCAUUCUGUACCCAGUGGAGAGGAACAGGGAAUACAAAGAAAUUGGAAGAAGAGAGGAACCAGUGGUGCAGGGCGCAGCUGGAGGUGCAGAGCAGGAAGCGGAGCAGGGUACACCACAGCCGGAUCAAGGUAUACCACCGGCAGAAUUUGGGACACCACCGGCAGCACCAAAUUCCCCUGCUGCUGUUGUGUCACCUGCUCAAUUUGUGUCACCUCCUGGUGUUAUAGAUGAAGAGCAGCUGGAUGAUGAACAUACCGGUGACACACCUCUCCGUUUCCGAACUGUUGAUAACUUGCUUGGGCCAGCAAAUCCACCGGGUUAUGCUCAGCGAUUUCUAGAGGAUGUGGAGCUCCUGGCAGUUAGUGCUGAGGAACCUAUGUCUCUGACAGAAGCUCUGAAGCAUGAGUGCUGGAAAAAUGCAAUGGUUGAGGAGCUGACAACCAUUGAGGAGAACAAUACUUGGACAUUGACCAGUUUGCCGGUUGGGCGCAAGGCAAUUGGAUUGAAAUGGGUGUUCAAAGUAAAAAGGGAUGAGCAGGGAACAAUAGUAAGGCACAAAGCAAGGCUAGUGGUCAAGGGAUAUGCUCAGAGGGAGGGUGUUGAUUUUGAUGAAGUUUUUGCCCCUGUUGCAAGAAUGGAAGCUAUUAGACUGCUAAUUGCGUUGGCUGCUCAUCAACGUUGGGAAGUCCACCACAUGGAUGUAAAAUCUGCCUUCUUGAAUGGGGAUUCGAAGGAGGAGGUGUAUGUAGAACAACCCCCAGGUUUUUGGGAUGUCAACAAUCAGCACAAGGUAUAUAGGCUGCAUAAAGCUUUGUAUGGUUUACAUCAAACUCCUAGAACCUGGAACAUGAAGCUGGAUGAAAAUCUGAUUGUUUUGGGUUUUAAGAAGAGUCCAUCUGAACAUGCUAUCUACUGCAAGGGUGAUGGUGCUGACAGGUUAGUAGUGGGAGUAUAUGUUGAUGACCUUGUCAUUACAGGGACUAGCAACAAGAUCAUUCAGCAGUUCAAAGAGGAGAUGACACUCAGGUUUAAAAUGAGUGAUCUUGGCUUACUGCACUACUACCUGGGUAUAGAAGUGAAGCAGCAGGAACAGGGCAUUUCAUUGUGUCAAAAGGCUUAUGCAGGAAAAUUUUUGGAGAAGACAGGGAUGUCAGGCUGCAACUCAUGUCAGACUCCCAUGGUGACAAGGCUGAAGCUAAGCAAGAAAUGUACAAGUCCCCUAGUUGAUGCUACCAAAUACAGAAGUGCUGUGGGAAGCCUCAGGUAUUUGGUCCAUACUAGGCUAGAUAUUGCUUUUGUUGUGGGAUAUGUAAGUAGGUUUAUGGAGGAGCCUCAUGAGAAGCAUUGGAGUGCAGUAAAACAAAUUCUGAGAUAUGUGGCUGGUACUCAGGAUAUUGGGCUGUUCUAUGCAAGAGGAAGAGGGACUGAACCACUUCUAACUGGUUUCAGUGAUAGUGACUAUGCAGGAGAUGUGGAGGAUAGAAAAAGCACAUCUGGGAUAAUCUUCUUCUUGGGUGAUGGGGCCGUGUCAUGGCAGUCGGUGAAGCAAAAGGUAGUGGCAAACUCAAGCUGUGAAGCUGAAUACAUAGCUGCUGCUAAUGCAGCUUGUCAAGCUGUGUGGUUGGCAAGGAUACAAGCUGACAUCUUAGGUACUAAAGUGGAAAGGCCAUUACUGAGGAUUGACAACAAGUCUGCUAUCUCCCUUAUCAAAAAUUCUGUGCUGAAUGAUAGGAGUAAGCACAUUGAUGUGAAGUUUCAUGUGGUUAGAGAAUAUGCAGAGACAGGGCAAAUAGAUGUCAAGUUUAUUAGAACAGCUGAGCAGCUAGGUGACAUACUCACAAAGCCACUGGGAAGGGUCAAGUUUCAGGAGUUAAGAGACAAGAUUGGGAUACGUCAAGUAAAUUAACCAUACAAGGUUUAGGAGGAGAAUGUUAGUUGUAAACCUUAUAUGUUCACAAGUUUUUAGAUUCUAUUAGGUUCCUUAGUGGCUAAGGAAAGUAGAGGAUUUUUAUCCUUCUAGGUAUUUAGAAGUAAGGGUUCAAAUUGGUUUUGGCCUGCUGUUUACAGCUAGCAAGUUGUCCUCUAGCUGUAAAACAGCACUGUAGCAGGGCGGUUACUGUAGCAACUGCCUUAGAGGGUCCUACAAAAGGAUAUGUACCCCUCCAAUGUAAAGAGAGCUCAGUUUUCCUAACUCCUACUUUAGAGAGCUCCUCAUUUGCUGCCUGAGCAUAGUUGAACUGAAUUACAGAGGGUUAGCGUGACCUCAAUGUAUAGGUACAAUAUUUUAUACAAAUAAUUGCUAUUUUUUUCUAUAGUGUGACGUCUCAUAUGGGAUUAAAUAAACUGAAUUAUUGGCUGUCAGUAGGGGUGAAAUUGGAUACACAGUAUUCUGUCCAUCCCAUGACAUCUGCGCGGAAAAGUCACAUAGAUGUGUUGCUUAUGAUCUAACCCACAAUAGAUAUAUUAUUAUUAUUAGUUUCUCAAGAAAAAGAUAUAAUAUCCUCCUUGUAUUGCAAAAAUCAAAUAUACGGUCAGCAACACACAUGAUGAGCAAUAUCUGUAGUAGUAUCCAACAGGAUUUCUGAAAAUUUUCCAACAACCCACUAUGAUACAUGCAACUUUUUUCAUUUGCCAUCACUAAGAAUCUGUAGCUUGGCAUUUUCAUAGGUUAAAAUAUAUACUUUCAGAUUAAGAUAGGAUUCAGAUUCGUCAAAAUUUGCACUUUUACAUGCAUGUUUAGUUAGUCUACCGAGAAGCCCAUCCUGAAAGCGACACAAAAUGAAAAUAUUGCCUUAAACUAUUGUAGACUGCAUUCCCGUUUUCUAUAUGCACGCUGCUACCUGCUAACUAGCUAAGGGACACCUUCCCUAGUUCCCUGAUAUACAUUCUUUGCUCACGUUGGAGGACCAAGUCUGGAGUAUGAUUUAUAGUUGAAACAAUUCAGAAUAAUUCAUCAGCAAGUUUAUACCGGUUCAAAUUGGACAUGUAGUUUUGCAGUUUAGUGAAGUACGAACCUUGCUUCACAUUGAAGGCAUACACAGCAUACAUAUGGCACAAUCAAUAUUCAAUAGCACCUUCUCUAGUACAGGUUUGCAACAUUUUGUAGGUUCAAAUUUACAAGCCAGAAUCCUGGCAUGGGAAAUUAAGACAAUCCUAUAUUUUCCUAUCUGCAGAUGCAUAUGCUCACAUACUAGAUUAUUUUACUAUGGUUGAUAAUGACUUUUCUGGGACAAAAUAUUACAAGUUUUCUUUCACCUCGAAGGCUGAGAAUAUGGAGCUUCAAGAUCUUCGUCAACGAAAAACUAUUACAAAUUUCACAGAUUACUGACAUGGUAACACAUAACAAAAGGCAUUUCCUUUUGGCAAAGAUUAAAUGCUUCUAUCAAGACUGUUAAUCUAACAGGCAUUCUGUACCCAUUUUUUUAAGGUGCUAAAAUUACUUCAAACAACGAGGUCUUUCGACAAGACCUCCCUCUAAACGCAAACCAGGGCUAAAACACUAUCUCAUUACACUUGGACAUGGAGAGCCCCAGCUCCCAAAUGAUCGCGAUCUCCAAACAACACGACUAAUUAUCUCUAUCUCUUCCUCAACUUACCUGUUCCCUCACGACCCCUGAAGGACAGCCAUAUACAGUCUGGAAACGAGAAACAAGGGGUCUUUCCCCCCAAAAAAAGUAUCAACAUCUUAUCAAAUCUAAACAUCACUUCUUUCAUUCUGUCUUCUUUUUCUUGUUCUUUCUCAUCUUUCUAGCAAACUAUUGGUGCGAAAUUUCAGUUACAGAAGCACAGGCUGCAUUGCAGCGACCUGAUGGGCAACUGGAGCACGAGGACUCGAGGAGGAAAUGACAGGAUACACAACAUGGUGUUGCCAUUGCAGCAAUGAGUGGACACCAUUCCUCAGUAUUUUUUUCUUAGCCUGUGUUGCCUUGGAGUUCUUACAACUAACAUCAUCAACUAGAUAGUGGUGGAAAGUCACCACCGUCCUUGAGGCAGUAUAGCUGAGCAUUCCUGUAAAUUGUACAAUAUGGGGUCAGGCGGUCAGCCAUUGUAAACUCUCAAAACUGAGUGAAAAAGCUACAAGGUGAAUGCGGUAUGAGGUAAAAGGAGUGCAUUUUCAAGCUGAACUACCAUGCUUUCUACCUUAAAAACUGUAGACAAUGAAGAUUGCUGGGAAUAGUAGAUUGAUUAUAGGAGAUACAUGUGUACAAGUAGAUACAGGCAAUGAGCCCCUGGAUGACUUUCCGAAACAGGAUCAAUCAAGGGAUAAGCACGGCUUGGGGGCCGCUAUACCCAGGCGCACAGUCCUAAUACCCACAGUGCACAAACACAUGCUAACAAAAACAAGUGUUUAGAGUAAAUCAAAAGAAGGUUUUUAUAACAAGAAUAAUUGUAUGAAGGUAAAUCCAUGUCCCAUGGGUUUGAGAAAUGCACAUUAAUAUCCCCGAACAUGGUCUAAAUGUACAUACAUUAGUAACCUUACUGGAAAGCUAGUAAAUUUUGCCCAAACACAUCUGAAGAGCCUCAUCCAAAUCCAAGGAUGCUAAUUCUUUGUAGAUUUUACAUGGAAAUAAUAAUGUGGUAAAUGGUGAUUUAUAUUGCCAAGCAUUAUUUUCAAAUAUCAAUUGAAUAGUACCUAGCCCAAUUAUGCAAGUUGGGGGGUUUUUUUUUUUGGGGGGGGGGGGGUGCGCAUGGCCAGUUCUCAGGAGGCCCCAAGCCCCCAAGUUUCUAGGCCUAUGAGCCCCAUGCCUGCUGCAAAAAACACGUAACAUAUUCGAAACAAGUGAGGUAAUUAUUAUCAAUUAUUUUAGUUGCUAAUACCAACAACAAUUAUUGGACAUGUAAUUUAGUGCCCAUUUCCAUGAUACAACAAUGAGAAGUUUUAGCUCUUUGUUAGUUUUUAGUGCCCAUUUCCAUGUUACAACAAUAAGAAGUUUUAGCUCUUUGUUUGAUGGUGUUUCUGCAAAGAUAUUUAGAUGGUUUUGUGAUGUUCACUGCUGGGCAUUAAUAUUUGGUGUAAAUUACAACCUGGGCCCUAAACUUUUGAGCAUGUUUUACUGAGGUACAGCACUCUUCAAUGUGCUACUCUAGCUCCCAACUGCAGUGGCACAUUGCUGCGCUGCUGCAGCAAAGAUUGUUGGAGGCAGAAUCUGAUCUGCUAGCUUGGUCUUUGUGGGUAACUUCCAAAUGCAAUGCCCGCAAGGUCCCAUUUUCAUGUUUAUUGUCUUGCGGGGGCAUGAAACCAUUGCCAUGAAAAUUAUCCCUUCAAACCUGGGAAGAUGGGGAAUGAGCUGGUACCUUCAAUGGAUCCCUUGCAUAGGCUGGGAAGAUGGAGCUGGUAUUGCAUACUCAUUGGAGAUGGUAUUCCAUGAUCAUUUGCACCAGGAAUAUAUAUCUGCAGUGGUAGCUCAUGUCACAAUUCCUGAACACGUACCAUAUCUACAGGCAUAUCUGUUCUGACAUGGUGAUGAAACUUCUAAUUAUUCGAAACAAAAUGAUUCCUUCCCCUCUCCCCACGUCCAACAGGUGGCCUAUCCUUGCGCAGAUUCUACAACAUCCAACAACGCAUACAAAAUUAGCAGAUACAAGAUAAAUUGUCAUAAAAUACAAAAUUGAUACCUAACCUAGCAGAAAUAAUGCUAUCUGCAGUAAACACAUAACUAUAAUGGGAACAUCUUCUAGGUUAUUCAUAAAAAGAAUAGUAACUUCAAAAACAUAACAAAUAAAUUACAAGAACAUUAGCAUGUGUAUUCACAUGUACACAAUGCGGAACAAGAACAUAUUACAAAUGAGGAAGUGACAGAUAGAGCUUAUUCAAAAGUGUUGUUUUAAGUUUUACAAGCAUAAAAAAAAUGUCAAAGGGAACAUACCGGGUCAGGAAAGUAGGUGCCUGUUCCACGGCCCCUCAUAGCCAUAUGAUCAUCUGUUUGAUAAAAUGGCCUCCAUACAAGAUAGCUAUGUGGAUAAGGAGGACUAGGGAUCGCCCCAUUCAUACCAGCAUAUCCAUAUGGUUUUUUUCUCCCACAACCAUUUGAAGGGCGCAUGUUCUGAUAUUGUGGGGGUGAUGGAGCAAUCAUUGGAUAGUAAAACUGAUUUACUGGAAUAUCUUGCUGGAAUGCUUGUGCAUACAUGAGAUUAUGGAAAUUUGUAUUGAAAUCACCAGUGAGAUCUGAAACUUCUGUGGUGGUACAACGAAGUUGUGAAUUUUCAGGUGUAAACAUUGAAUUCAAUGUGGCCAGACCACCAACUAAACCAGCAGAAGAGUAAGCAUUAUGCUCAAGGGAAAGGGAUGGUGAAAAGCGUCCUAAAAACUCAUUGUGAUAUUUAGUAUCUUCAAAAGAGUGGUGAGAUCUGUCUGUAAAAUGCUUUGUUGGCAUCCCAUUGUGUGGCAAGUCUGUGUCAUCUCUAACAUCAUCCUUCUUACCACCUUCUGAUUGGUAAAAUUGAUGUGGCGCACAACAUCUCCCAGAUGCCAAGGUACAGGUUUCCCUAGCUGUUGGUGAAGCUUCAUAAAGGUCACCACCAUUCCUCACACUUCCUGAAUCAGUAGUUGUAUGAUCUGUGGCAUCACUAUCUAGCAACCCACUAGAAACAGACUUUAUCUCCUUGUGCCCAGCCAUAGAGUUACAUUGUUUUUGCUCUACUAAGCCAUGAUUGUUAGAAUCUGAAAUAUCAAUGUUACUAAACUGCGAAGACAGAUCACCAUAGGAAUUGCUAUAUAAAGGUGAACUGCGCUUGUUGACUUUUUCUACAUUCAAGCCCAGUGACAAGGAAUCAUUGGUAGCAUGAUCAGUAAUUAGACCAUCAUCAGAAGAGCUCACUGAAAUAUCAGGUCUUAACCCAGUACAAUUUCUCUUUAAUGUGUUCCUGAAAAACUGAUUUACUUCAAUAACAGUAGAACAUACAGGAACUUGAAGAAUCUUCCCAAGCUUACGAGCACCAAAAUCAAAUGCACUGCGUAUUCGGUAAAAGUUUCCUGUGCAUGGAAUAGUACAAUUAAGCCAGAAUUCCUUUAGGGGAUCAAAUACCCGAUUAGGUCCUGCUACCAUAGUUCAGAUCUAGAGGCAGGAAACAAACCUUUGCUGACGCUGCGUCCAAGAUUGUUAUUCUGCUUCAGUGGAUCAACAAUAUUUAGAUAUUUUCGAGAGAAUACUUGUGCAUCUUUCUCAGAAUUUUUAGGGGAGACAGUAAAUGCCUCCGCACAUUCUCUGAGAAACUCAUCCCGUGGAAGAAAACCGUCGUCAUGAGUAUCUGGUGGGUCGGCUGUUCAACAAAAGCCAUGUCAAUGACCAAUAAUUUCAGUCACAAAUGACCAUAACAUACCGCACAAUUAAGAGUUCAUUCACUUACUAAUUAGAUCUGGUAGUGAAGAUAACGAAAUAGGGCCAAACAAGCUGAUUCCUUUAUUAUCCCAAUCAAAUUUGCUAUAGUAGUCAAGGAACCUAUAGAGGACCUGCAGAAGGGCCUACAGUCAUCUCACUUCUGGGAAGUUAUGUAUCCUGAAGAACUUUGAUAAGGUGAUGAAAAAACUUAUACAUGCAACAGCAAAAUUUAUGCCAAAACUUACAGCUAAUGGACCAUCCAGAGACUUGUGGAAGAUAUGGAAAAUGUAUAGCACUAAUGUCUCUAAGGCAUAGGUAGAAAUUAAACCAUGGGGAGCCCCAAGAAUGCGGCUUUCAUAAUAACACCAGUCUUUGAUCAGCAUUAUGCUUCUUUUGAAGAGGUGGUGUUUUCCAAAAUUUUGAUCAACCUACAAAUGAAAUAGUUAUCAAUGAGCUUAACAAUGAAGUCAGGCAUAAGUAACUCUAAAAGAGGCAGUAAUCCUCAUAAGUCCAACGUCAAGUGGCAAGAUGAGAUAAGAUGCUUUUAUGUUUGAAAGAGUACCAGAUCUGAGGUUUAAGGAAAGACAGCAGAAUGGACCAAGCAACAUUUGAAAUAUUACCUUCUCAAGAAAACAAAGUGUACAGAGCCCACCAAUCUGAUUAACUGAGAUAUCUACAACAAUGUUUUGCACCAAGCAUUUCACCAGCUUGACCUGCCAUUGGGAAUAUCUAUCAUUGAAUAACAACAUGUGAAACAAAAUACUUACCUAUAGUAAUAUCGGUACAUUCAUAUGUUCCAUUGAUAUUAUAGGCAAGAUGCAGGGAGUUGCAUUCAAAUACACAGAAACAAGAAAUUCCCACUUUUUUUACAUGAUGUAAAAAUGAGUGCUGCCAUAUCGAGUGCAGGAAUUAUGUUAUGUUAAUUAGACAAGUGGUGUAUAUAUGAAACAAACACCUCCAUUGAAGUGAAAAAUCUCAAAGAUGGUAUGUUGAUGUUUGACCUCAAAUUCCGUAUAUAUAUUCAAAACAAAGAGCAAUAAGGUAAAUUGAAAUACCUCGGUGGCAUGGAUAUACAGGACAUCUUUGACCUCAAAUUCAGAAUCUUUCCUCCGCCCUUCUGAUUUUAGAAUAGCACAUACUUCAUUUGCAAGAGUCUCAUCAGAAAUCGCAGGGCCGAAUGCAGUCAAGUCAAUAUCUCCGUCAGGUAGAUAUGUUUUCAAUGGAACAGAUCCAAAUGGAAAGACCUAUGUACAAGAAUAAAAGGUUAAGUAUGCAGUACACUGCCUCUUAGGUGGCACUGAUAUUUAAGACAGUACGAGAGCAACAGAAACCUUGGUAAAAUAGCGAUAUCACACUCAGGCGCAGAGGCGGACCCUAAUGGAGGCCAAACUGGGCUCCGGCCCCUGCUUGCCUUAGAAAAUUUCUGAAGAUGAGACUAGCAUUUGGCCACCAACACUAGAACUUUAUAGCUUAACUAUUGCCUCAACAGAUAGCAGACUAGUAUUUGGCCCUCCCUUGAUUUUGCCUUGUGUUCCGCCACUGCUCAGGCGCAGUACAAAAGUGCCAAUACUAGCUAAAUUUGUACUCCCUCCGUCCCAAAAUAAGUGUAGUUUUAGGAGUUGGGCACGAGAAUUAAGGAGGGAUAAAAAAGUAGAGAGUGCACAUGAAACGAGGAGGGGUAGAGGAGGAGAGAGAUAGAGAUAGAGUUGCAUUGGAAAGCGAGAACUACACUUAUUUUGGGACAAAUUUUGAAUCCUCAAACUACACUUAUUUUGGGACGGAGGGAGUACAUGUGAAAUGCCAUCCAAUAGAAGCAAACAAGCAAUGCAUUGGCACGCACCUUAAUGGCUUUCUUAUUUCAUUAAAUAAUUAAACUUGUCCCUAUAAGCCUUGUAGCCAAUUUAUCUCAAGUUAUGACAUGUUUGCCAGAUCUCAUGAACACACUUAUAUGAACAACAAUCCAAAAUAAUCUCAGUAACCACAGCCAAGUCAAAGACUUGAUUCAAGUCUUAAUGUCUUACAUUACAUAAUCCUAGAUUUAUUUACCGAGUGACUACUAGGUAGACCUUGAUUUGAUCCAAUCAUCACAUUUCUAUAAUUGUAGCAGAAGUUUGGUAGAACCACCAUGGUGAUUUACAUAUGAUCCUUGCCCAAUUCAACCAAUCCUAAUUCCUAGCAAACAAUUAUGAGUAAUUAUGUACAAAUGUCAUUUUACUCGCAAAGUUUCACCUUUUAGUCAUUCACAUAUUCAACUAAUUUAUAGGCAACAAAAGAUCAUUCAUUUGUACUACAUUUUACAUGCUUCUAAUGCACAAUUUAACAAAUGCAUGAUUAAUGAAAUACAUGUGUAUUUUAAAUAGAAUCAGGUAGGUAUGAUCUUAAAUUCUAUGGUUCAAUCCUACAGUUACAUCCUAACAGAUCAUUUCUAGUUGAAUACAAGAUGUUCUGGCUUGAUUGGGGCAUAACAAAAAAAAAACAGUUGUUCCUUCUAAGGUAACAUGAGCAAUGUGUGAAGGGACACAUCAUAAAAAAGACACUAAGACAAACGAUAUACCCAGCCCUCCAAUCCACGAUCAACAAUUUAAGCGUAUUUAAUAUGGUACACUGACACAUGUCAACCGCAAAUUCACGCUCCCAUUAAAAGGUCCUCCCCGCCAAAUCAUGAGGAGACUCAAAUACGCAACCGACAAAGUACAUGAAUAUGAUUGUGCAUUUCUGUUCAUUCCGAUAAACAGUUGACACCCUAAGGACCAAGUGGCAAAACGACAAGGAUUUCAAAAACAAGAACUUGUAUCUAUACCGUUCGCUGCAAUAGUUAGGGCUAGGAAACUCACAUGCUAGCUAUUACAGUACAUCUAAAUGGAAUCACGAGCAUGGUAACUAAAAACUCUGCAGCAGGAAUACACCCAACACGUUUAUCCAAAAUGUGAAAAAUCCACUGAUACACUAAUGAUUCAUGCUUAGCACCCAAAAGCCAUCGGCAUAAUCUGAAGAAUGUAAUGGUUCGUAGCGCAACAGGCACUGAUAAAAAAAACUACGUGUUUCACCCAUGUUAUUGAUGCAUAAAGCCCGAGCCUUUAAGCUGUAGAACACUAAUAGUGAACAACAAUCGUAGGCUCGUAGCAGGGGAGGUAAGCUGAGUACCUGAUAUCCGGCGUGGAAUCUGAAAAGGCGCUGGACGUAGUCGAUUACGGCGGCACGGAGGUUCUCGGAGGAGACGGUGGGCUGGAUCUUGUGCACCACAGAGAGCGUGGCGCUCUCGAAGCGCCGCCAGUCAUCCGGAGAGAUCGACGCGGGGUCCGGGUGUGCCGGCGCGGGCUCGGGCACCGACGAGCACUCGUCGAUGUCCACCAUGGGCGCCGGAGCCCGAAGCCCCGCACGAGAACCUCUUCCUCAGUGCUAAAGGAGACGGCUUGAGGCGAUGCCGAAAACGGCGACAACCGAAGGACCUUAUGUUGGGGAGCGGGGCUGCGGGGCCUCCCUCGCGGGAAGGAGGGAGGCGAUCGGUGCGAGUGGGGUCGCGAUCUGGGCGCCGCCGGCGAGGAGGGAAUAGGGAGGUGCAGGAUCGGGACCUCCCUCGUCAGUUUUUUCCUUCCCCGCUCUCUAAGGUUGCGUUGCUUGUCUCUCUUUCUUGUAUGUUGUCUCCUCUUCUCCUGCAGUCUUGGUCUUGCUAUGUCUGCGCGCGACUUUCUUUUUCGGGGUUUUGGUUCCUCGCGCUCAAUCUGCCCCACCAGUAGGAAGAAGAUGAUGAACGAAGAUGAGGAGGCUUCAAGGCACGAUUUCCUUUUUCUUUUUUCCCUGCAUCAAUUUGGCGGCUUCACUUUCUUAUACUAGCGUAGCAUUCGCAUGGACUGCAUCUUGCGAUGUUGGGUUUGCACAUUUGUCGCCGAGCUUGCUUGCAUCACGGAUUGAACAAGACAAAUCUUGAUUGCCUUGGGAAUGGUCAGUUGGGGAUGUCGCUCUGACAACACAUGGGAUGGGAGGCCCUCAUCAACAGUCAGCGCUAUUCCUCGGAGGAAGAUGUCAAAGCAAUUUGCUCUAGAUUUCGACACACGUGAACGAUCGGAUGAUGGAACACGCUAGAGAAGCGGCGUUGCGCCCAUAGAAAUUGAAAUGGUACUUCUCUUUCCAGGAUGAUCUUGAACGCUUAAGCAGAAUAUAUAAUGGUACCUUUUACAAGUUGGUAAAAUCAAUUUUGUGUAUACCUGUUGAAAAUAAAUAUAGAGGUAGAUAAUUUUGCGGUUGCUGCUGAUGACAAGACGGAGGCGGCAGCUCGAGGGCCACACGGCAACAGGGGUGGAGGUCAGAGGUGCGUGCCCAUCAAGAUAAAGGGCCUGUUUGGUAUCCUGCCUAAGACGCCACAACUUGCCUAACCUUAGUCGUCCAAAUUGAAGAACUAACCUUAGGAAGAAAAGUUAGGCAAACUGUGGCACCUUAGGCAGGAUACCAAACAGGCCUAAACUCUUUCAUGCUUAUCAUCAUUUCGUUACUUGUUUCCUCAUUCAUACGACCAUGUUGAUCAAUGGUUGAGAAGCCAAGAAAUUGAGUGCAAGGCCUUGAUAAAUCUGUACAAGUAGCAGUUGCCUCAAGCACUGAAUGCUGAUGACGAUUUGAAGAGGAUUGCACAUGACAUCUAAAUUCAAGGGCGAUAUAAAACCGUUUCAUCAGUACUAUAAAGAAACUAGUAAAAGAUGGCCGCUGGCCGGAAACCAGGAAAAGGAUAAAGGCAUACUAAGUUUGCGGGUCCUUGAAGCCACGAUGUGAUGCUAUUCAUCAUAUUGGAGCCCUAGCAAGAGAGCUGUGGAAGCAAAGGAAGUCCCAGGUAGAACAAAGUAUUAUAUCAGCCGACCAAAAGAAAAUGGUUGCCAAAGCAUCCAUGUAGCUAUCAAUGUACCAAGUGAACCGUAAUGGAGAUAAAUAUACGCACCAAAGAGAUGGAUAUUGAAAUGAACCGGAUUUCCAUGUCAAGAAUCCGACUUUCUGUAUCAUUGCGAUAGUCCCUGGAUCAAACGCUACUACAUACAGAACUCAUUUCAGGCAUAAUAUCAUAGUCAUACUUCGUAUAAGGUCAAAUAUGAAUUUAGUUAUUACAUAUUCGAGCUGGAAUGUAGUACGAUCCUAUUACAAGCCUCUUAGGCUGAAUCUAGCAAACAGAAAGCGGGAAACGGUAUAUAGGCUUCUGGCUCAUCCUUCAUCUUCUGGAAUUUCCACCACAGGCAAACUCGAGCAUAGCACGGGCUUCAGUCGUACCAUCCGUCGUCGUUGGGGUCGAAUUCCGGAUCAGAUCCUGCAUCAUAUUAGGCUAUCCCCAAGGAAUGGGAUAGGUCCACGUCAGCAUCCGUAUGCAAGCUUUAAGGUGGACUAUACUAAAGGUGUAACAAAAUUCAAGGAGAAAAACUGAUGUUUCCUAUGCAAGAGCAACAUCAAGAUAUAUCAUCAUCCAACCUUUGAACUCGGGCCAUUUCGGCAUUCCGAACUUUCGGUCCAAUACACACCUUCCAAACCCACCAAGUCGGUGCGAGAACUUUCACUCCUCGCACCUCAGCUGUCCAGGCAGAAAGUCACCACUAGAGGGAGGUAGAAACAUGAGCGACACUACUCUAAUAAGAGCAACAUAAGAGUAGGGUUAUCCAUGACCGAGGACGCGGCUAUACGUAUAGUUUUCACUGGGUUGUACACCUGGACCCACUCAAAUUGAAGCCAGCCGGGGAUCAGCCAACUGGACGACGAGACAUCAGUCUACUGAAACAGGACUAGGAGCCACCGUACCAUCCGACCUUCCCGGGUCUUGGGCGCAUCCUCCCACGAGAGGUCACCCCAGGAUUGUGAAGCCUCCAUUGCGUCUCGGGGAGCGCCUCGGGGAACGUCAGGUCAGUACCUCCUCCCCCUGCACCGAUACUCGAUCCUCCUACCGGCUUGGUACCGCACAUACUAGUCCCGGACCGGGCCCACCCGCAUAAUGGGUAAGUGGUGUGCACGCUUAACAUAGUCCCACAAAUCAUAGUUACUCUCAUCCGGUCCUCAAUUACCGAAGCGAGCAUCUUCGUCACAUGCGUUUCCACCGCCGUGGUACACAAUUGCACCCAUUACAGGUGCCCCCAACUCCUCAACCAAGUAACCACAAAGUUGUACCCGCCACAGGUAUUCCGUAGGGUGUGCCAAAAUACACACCGUAAGCCCGAGAUCGAGUUAAGUUCGCUCGCUCCCAGCUAAAAAGCCCUAUACACCAACUCCUCAGAAGUGUAUCUCCACUCACGCAAAGACUAUCCAUCCAAUCCCACACAAACACAUGCAACGCAUAGCAGGGCAUCUCAUAUUUAUCAAUUUUAUAGGAUAGCAAGAAAUUCAGGUAAAUAAAAUAGGCUACACCGGCUCAUCUCAACAUAAUAUAUUCGGAAGCAAUAGCAUGUCUAGCAAGAAAUGCCUAAUUGGUAUUCAAGUUGAAGGACCUCCGGGUAGUCCUGGCCAUCGGUCAGCUCCUUGUAGACGGGUCCUAUUCGUAAAUACAUGUAAGGGCAAGAAUCAAAGUGCAAAAGUGCACAAUAAGUAUUCAAAUAAGGUUCAAAUCACAGCAAAACUUACUCUAACGGGUAGAUCAUAUUUUUAGAAAACUUACGAAACUGGUUUCAUAUUUUUCAUAGGUCGGAUUGAUUUAUUAUCAAUUUUUAAGAAAAAACUAUUUCUGAAACUAAUAAAUGAUUACAGGAAAAAGAAAAAUCACUCAGCAAGGUCACGUGGCAGCACCGGAGCGUACCACGUGGCAUGCUAACAUCAGCAUGGUGUCACUGUGGUCGGUCCUGCUGACGUCAGCAGUGGGCCCUGCUGACGUCAGCGUUGCCCAGUCAAUGCUGACCGUUCACCGGGUCAACGGGUCAAAGGUCAGUGGGACCCUGGUCAGCCUCACCCCGAGGCUGACAGGUAGGGCCCUCAGGUUAGGUCGAGUAGAAAGGGAAAGAGAGAGACACGGCUCGAUUCUGAAGCUCAAAGGUGUUGGGCCGGCUCAGUCGGCCCAACAAGGCUCGGCUUGGCUUCACGGGUCGGCUCAAGGUGUUAGCAGGCUCGCUCUACUUGCGGCUUGGCGGGCCAGCUCCUUAGCCCGUUAGCUCCGGGUCUUCUCCUUCUUCUCCCACCGACAAGCUAGGUCCACGCGUCGGUGUCUUCUCUUCCAUCUUGCAGUUAGGGCUCGGGUGUCGGCCUCAAGGCGGAUCUGGUGCGGCUAUGCUCCGAUCCGGUGUGGCAACUAUGCGUGCGUGCGUGUGCAGUGGAGGGUGUGCGCGUGUGGACGCACAUGAGGCGCUCGACGAAAUGCCGUAGUGGUGCCCGCGUGCGCCACGACGCAGCGUCGCAGGGACGUGUGCGGUCACUAUGGCCGUGGCGUGGCCAUGGCGCGACGGCGGCGGCUUGGUGAAUGGGCGGCUAGGUAAAAAGGCUCGUCCUUGGCCGUCGGUUUGGGCGUGCGCGCACGCGCGCGGGUUCCUGGCAUCCCAAGGCCGCGGCACGACAUGGCGCCAAGGUGAGGCGGCGGUGGCUGCGGGGUGUAGAGGCAGCGCGACGGGCUCCUGUAGGUGUGGCAACCAAGGGGGGUAGGGUCCUAGGGCUCUUCUACAGAGGUCUCAUCGACGGCGCCGGCAGCACUAGGUUGACGGGAUAGGGCGGUGACCUACCGGCGGCUCGAGUGACGACGGCUUGGGACGGCGGAGAGGCGAGGCAGGCGGGUCGUGGCCAUACAGGAUGUGCAGCUUCAUCGAUGGAGUUGAUCGGGCGCAGGCCUGGUGAAGCUCCGGUGGCGUGGCGUCCUCUGGUGGCGGCUCCUCGUCCUCCCUCUCCUUCUAUUGGUGUGGCGGCGGCGGAAGGGGAAAACUACAAGGGAGCGAGGGUUUCGAGCGGCGGCCGAGGGGGAUUUAUAGGGUAGCGCUAGGGUUUGGGUAUGGCUGUGGCCGGCGGAUUUCAGCGUCUGGGCCGGGACGCGUGGCGGCAUCGCGGCGAUGCGGCACUAGGGUUUGGGCACGGGCGGUUACGCUCCUUUAGCGGCUAGCGCGCAUGGUGCGGGCGUUGCUGUUGCGUAGCGGGGUAGGCGCGGCGCGAGGCAGGGCGAGGCGAGAGACAAGGCGGCGUCGAGUGGGGAGGGAUAAAGCUGACAUGCGGGGUCCACAUGUCAGUGGCUCGGUGGAAGGCAGGGUUAGGGGAGCGGUGCUGGGCCGCGCGGACCAGGCUGAGUUGGGCCGCUGGGCCGCGCGUGGGAUGCAGGUCGUGGCGGUCAGCUGGGCUCGGCCUGAGGCUAGGUCAGGUUCCUAGGCCGGGUUUUGUUAGAGUUAGGGUUUUGAAAUUGAAUUUGGAGGGUACACUUCAAAUUCAACUUCCACACAAAUUCAAUCAAUCAAAUAAAAUCCAAAUAAAGCCAAAUUCAAUAAGAACCAAACAUUUCACGCUAACAAAUAUAUCCUUAGGGUGGAUAGAUUUUUUUAAACUACUAGGAAUUUGCAGAGAGAGAAGGCAUUCUUAUGGUGAAUUCUAGCUAGUAGCAUGACCAUGAAAUUUUUUUUGAAAAUUGCACUUUUCGACAUACAACAUUUCGUGAAAAUAACGGGAUGUUACAAAUAUAUUAUUAGGUUUUCUGUUGGUGGAGACAUCUCUCUACAAAUUCAAGAUGCUCUUACUGCUUUGGAAAGGUUUUGAAACUUAGCUUCUGACAGUAAUAUGUGCUCUUCCUCUAACAAGGGCUAGAAAACUAUACGCUAUGCUGAAGUCGUAUUAUUUUGGCAUUGCUUACGACCAGCAUUCCUUGUUAUGUUGUCCAGGCUAAAAGACUCAAGGCUAUUAUGUUGGCUGCAGCAGGGUUAGCAGCUCUGAGCCUACGGCCGGCCUACCUGAUCUACCAGAUAGAGAUCGGGCAGUUGGCAACUACAAGAACCCGGCUUUCAGAGAUGGUAGAAUCAGCAUCCGAUCCAGGAGCUUACUCAGGUGAUGGAGGAUCUAGGUGCCGGGGGUGAAGACACAACGGGAGCUCAUGCAUCAUCUUGAUGCUAACUGCAGUGACGGCUCCUUCAACUCCGAUCAAUAUGUAUCAUUCCAGAGGCAGGAAACUUUAAGUUAUAUGUGGCAUUGAUCAUUUCAGUACAUAAUUGUGAAAAUGGCCUUCAGGAAGGAAUCGAAAUUUUUGAUAUCCUUUACACGCCUUUCCUUAUCAGAUUGGACUGAUAGGGAUCUUGGAGGACAAGGAUGAUUACUACGGGAAGAAAUUGAAGAAGAAGCUGCACUCUAUCGAUAUUGACAACUCUACUGCUACGAGCGCUUCUAAAAAGGAUGUUACAGAUAGAUGCUGAUAUUGACACGUACCACUGAAUAAAUAACGUCUUUAACUUAUGAGAUAAAUCUAAAAAGAAAUAUGAGCUCUAAUUUUGAGUUAAGGAAAAUUUGAAUGAGCAGGUUCCACUAAAAAACAACAAACUGAACUACGUGUUAAUUCAUCGAAAGCGCUGCUACCAAAGUUUAAUAAAGAAUCCACAUAAACCUAUGUCAUAUUUCUGAUACUGGUGUGAACUACUACUGGGUAGUCUCCAACGUGCCACCACCGCCGCUACUGCACGUCAAACCUGAUCUAUUAGUCGUCUCUUCUAUUUGCAUUUGAGACAUCCCUUUUGUGGAAUUCGAAUAUAUUAUUAUAGUUCUUUUAUUUGUCCAAAAAGAGUAGAAAAAAGAUACAUAUCCUAUCAUAUUUUUAUAAAAUCAAUUUUAGUAUUAUAAUAUAAUAAUAUAUCUGUAUAGAAAUUAAAAUAGGCCAAUGAACGUACAGCCCAUCAGCCCAUUACGAUACAACUAUAAUGGACCUACAGCCCAUCAGCCCACCAGCAGUGCAAACAGCAAGCCCAUGCGAUCGUCGGCGACUGCUGACUCGUACACUCCGGCCGCCGUCCUCCGCCUCCUUCGCCGCCUCCCCCGCCGGAGGCCUACCUCCACCGCUGCCGGCCGCCAACUCCAUGCUCUCGUCGCCAAACUAGGCCUCCUCUACCACCCUGCCUUCCUCAGCGCUAUCCUCUCCACCUCCCGGCCACCUCCCCGUCGUCCCUCUCCCUCCUCCUCGCUUCGCCUCCGUGCAUCCUCUCCCCGUCCCUCUUCUGCCCUCUCAUCACCGCAUUCUCCUCUUGUCCCAUCCCGUCCUCCUCGCUGGUCCUCUUCAACCACGUCUCCUCCGUUUCCCUCCCCACCCCGCUCCCCGCCUUCCCUGCCCUCCUCAAAUCAUGCGCUCGCGCUUUCAAGCUCAGCUCUCGCGCCAGCGCCGCCGCGGUCUUUGCUGCCAAGGGUGCCGAGCUGCAUUGCCGCCUAUUGAAGCUGGGCGGCGAGCAAGACCGCUACGUGCAAAACGGCCUCGUGUCCAUGUAUGGAAAGUUCGGGCGGCUCGGGGACGCGCGGAGGUUGUUCGAUGAAAUGCCGAUUAAGAAUGCCGUGUCUUGGAACGCUCUGGUGGGGGCUCAUGGUGCGUCUGGGGACUUGCAGGGCGCGGCGCGCGUCUCCCUGGCGACGCCAGCAAGGAACAUAUCGUGGUGGAACACCGAGAUCAUGCGAAAUGUGAGGCUCUGGGAUAUGGCUGAGGCUGCGAGGAUUUUCAGGGAGAUGCCUGAGAGGGAUGCUGUGUCCUGGAACUCCAUGAUUGGGGGCUAUGCAAAGCUCGGGAUGUAUGACCGGGCAUUAGAUGUUUUUCGAGAGAUGCAGGAGAAUGGUAUGGAACCAACAGAGCUGACGGUUGUGUCGGUGCUUGGGUCUUGUGCAGAGAUGGGAGAGCUAGAGCUGGGGAGGAGAAUCCACAAUUACCUUGAGAGCAAGGGCAUUGCAGCCGAUGGAUAUGUUGGCAAUGCACUCAUCGAUAUGUAUGCAAAAUGUGGCAACUUGAAGCUUGCCAGACAGGUCUUUUGACAGCAUGUCAAUCAGGGAUCUUACAUGCUGGAACGCGAUGAUUGUUGGGUUGUCAGUCCAUGGCCAAUCACUUGAUGCCCUGGAGCUGUUUGACUCUAUGAAGAUUGAGCCUGACCAUAUCACUUUUGUUGGUGUUCUGUCUGCUUGCAGCCAUAGUGGCCUGGUGAACGAGGGGAGAGCAUAUUUUAACAGCAUGACUGAAGACUAUAAAAUUGUGCCCAGUGUGAAACAUUAUGGCUGUAUGAUAGAUAUGCUGUGCCGCCACGUUAAAGUGCAUGAAGCUUAUCGAAUGAUCAAGGAUACACCGAUCCAGGCGAAUUCCAUGCUUUGGAAGAUGGUUGUGGCUGCGUGCAGAGUGCACGGGCAGUUUGACCUUGCUAGCAAAGCUUUUCGCGAACAGCAGCAGUUGAUGCCAGAUGCUAUCACAGUAUCAAAUGUUUAUGCAGAAGCAGAACGAUGGGAUGAUGUUGAACAUCUGAGAAGGAAGGUGAUAGGAUGCAAUGUUUCAGAGCAUGCCGCAUGGAGUCAAGUCCAUGUAAGAUAGCCAGCCGAAAUAAAUGUUGCAAACUGCACGGUGUAGUGAUCAGAUUCAGUUGCAGGAGCCUCUUGGGUUUUAUUGGCGGAAGAUUGUAGCUCAUCAAUUUGUGCUCCUAGUAAAAUGGUAAGAAUGUGGCAUCUGAAUUAAUUCUUGACUUCCAUUCCACCAGCGCACUAGUAGUGUACGCAAUGCAGGAGAUGGAAAAUAAUGGGGCUAGCGAAAGUAACAUGGAUCUUGGAAGCAUGUAUAGAAUGGUAUGGUCUGAAAACAAACUCAGAAAGAUGUGAUGAUUACGUACUGGUAUCUACGCGUGGUUGAUGCAUCCAAUCCGUGUGCGUCUGAUCUUCCUUGUUGCAUGCAUUGAUGUCUGGCAGGAUGCAGAUGCGUAUAUAUAUAUUGUCGCAGCACCCCACACCACCAAAUAGAAACCACUCUAGCGAUCGACCGAGUUGCACGCAGGCAGUUGCAAAUAUAUGCAUAUGGCUCGCCCUGCAGGCAAGCAGCAGCAGCAGCUCGCCGUCGUCGUGGUGGCGGUGGCGCUGCUGCUGCUGCUGAUGGCGGCGCCGUCGGUGAUCAACGCCCGCGUGACGUGCGGGCAGGUGCUGAGUUGCGUGACCCCGUGCAUCAGCUACGCCAUGGGGCGGGGCAGCGAGCCCCCGCCGGCCUGCUGCUCCGGCGUGAGCAACCUGAACGCGGCCGCCAACAACACCGCCGACCGGCAGGCCACCUGCAAGUGCCUGAAGCAGAUCACCAGCACCAUGCCGGCGCUCAAGCCCGACAUCGUCGCCGGCAUCCCCAGCAAGUGCGGCGUCGACAUCCCAUACCCCAUCGCAAGCUCAACAGACUGCUCCAAGUAACUACUGCGAUUACUAUAUAUAUAUAUAUGCGUUUUCACUUAUUAAAUCGUACAUCAUAUCGGUUAUCCUUGACGAUCGAUUAUAUUGGCAGGGUGCAGUAAUUAAGAAGUAUUUCGAUAGUAAGGAUCAUGGAGCUAGCAAAAUAAAGAUCAUUCCAUAUAUAUAUCAUCGAGCUGUGUGUAGUAAGUAUUUCAUGCAUACAUGGUCGAUGGCUUUACCUGCAGCUACUUGUACUGCUAGCUACUGCAGAUGCGGCAAUAUGUGGUUGCUGUUGCUAUUGCCUGUUGGUAUUGGUAUGCAUUGUAUAGCAUGCAAGGACCAUGUACUUCAAACAUAUGAUUGACAUGAAGAUAAUUCGUUCCUGAAUUAUAUAAAAAAAAACUCUGCUCAAAGAACCGUGCCUGUGUGUAAAUAUAUGUGGGCAGCAGAGCCGUGCACUAAGAUCGAAACAGUUGCAUUUGUUUGAUUGCGGUUGGUGGUCAUGUAUGUCCGGCAACUACCUCACCAAAUUUUGCUGGCUAUCAUCAAGAUGUGAACGUACGUGCAUGUUUCACAUUCAAUGCAAAAUAAAGCUAUAAUUAUAUUGGUUGCUUUUGCUCCAGAAAUAAUUGCAACGAUGAAGAAGGGGGCUAAUUAUUGCGAGUCGAUUAGCUCAAUGUCGAGUAAUAUAAUUAUUCGUAAAUAACAAAAAUGAAAUAUGCUUUGUGAUUCAAACGAAGAAGGGAUGGGAGUAACAAGCUAGCUAGUAGAUGGAAUGGAAGCCUCUCUGGUCGUAUUGGUGCCGCAAUAAUAAGGUGGACACUCUCGACUGUGCUGUACAUUUCGUACGUACAUCUGCAUGCAUUCAGACGUCGUAGGACGACAGACAUGCAUGCGUGUCGAUGCAUGUCGUGCAUGCAGCGCAUAUAUAUAUAUAUAUAUAUAUAUAUAUAUAUAUAUAUAUAUAUAUUGAAAGUUUGUAGGUUUUAUUUGUACCAACCUGCAAAAGUCCGAAUGAAUGCAAAUUAGGAAGCACGUACGCAUUCAUCUUGGUUGGUGGAGUGCAGCUCGAACAUCAACCACCACUCCAGUACUACUCGAUCAUCAUCAGGUAACACAUGCACAUGUUGAUGUUGUAUUGUACGUACCUGCAGGUCAGGUCAUCACCAUCACCAUCACCACCCUCCAAAUUAACCUCCUAUUUAUACCCCCCACACCUCACCUCACCUCCCCAAUCCAUCACAACCUCCUCGAUCAGCUCACCACACACUUCACUCACUAGCAGCAGCUUGAUCAGAUCAUCAGCGAGUGUUAUUUCAUAUUGCUGCAAUAUAAUUAAUGGCUCGCCUCUCCGCCGUUGUCGCCGUCGUCCUGGUGGCUGCGCUGGUGGCUGCGGAGACCGCUUCGGCUGCGGUGAGCUGCGGCGAGGUGACGUCGGCCGUGGCGCCGUGCCUGGGGUACGCCAUGGGCCGCUCGUCUUCGCCCUCGGCGUCGUGCUGCAGCGGGGUGAGGUCGCUGAGCAGCCGGGCGUCGUCGACGGCGGACCGGCAGGCGGCGUGCGCCUGCCUCAAGAGCAUGACGGGGAGGGUGGGCAACAUGGGCAACGCCGCCAGCAUCCCCGGCAAGUGCGGCGUCAACGUCGGCGUCCCAAUCAGCCCAAACGUCGACUGCUCCAAGUAAGUAACGACUCAUCAUCACUGGAUCGGAGUUCUACUGAUUAGCUUCUUCUUCUUCUAGUUAUACCGGGGCCUACUUGUCGAUAAUUAACCAUGCACUAGCUAAUUACCUGCUGUUUGUUUAUAUGUAUACUGUGCAGGAUUAACUGAUAAGAAGCUAGGGAUGUAUGCUCAGCUCAGCUCCAUCUUUGGGGCCAUGCAUCAGAGCAUGCUGCAGUCGUUUACUCCCUUUACUUUACACCAUCACCACCUCUGUACUUGUCGUGUUUGAAACAACAAGAAUAAUGCUCUGCUUGUUGAUGUGGUUUUGCUGGAUGGGUGGGUCUCUGCUGUUUUCAUGUACCAUCAUGCUGCUCUGUAGCAUCAAGCAGCUCGCUCUCUGCUGAAUUAAUAAACUUUAAUUUCUUUCUUUGUGUCCCAUGCAAAGAUACAUACAUACAUACAUACAUAUAUGCGCCAUCUUUUCCAUCCACGCUUUCAGUUUCAGUAAUAAUACACUUAGUACGCGCGGACUCUGUCUGCCGGGUCUGCAAGUGUACGUGAAGUGCUCAUCUCUGCACGACAGCAUAAAUGAUGCGGCUCUGUCGCUGCCAGUUGCCGCCCCCUGCGUCUGCAUGCUAGCCAUCCUGCUCCAACUUCAGGGAAACCAAAACAAAAUAACCUGAACAUGGUUGUAAAUUAUGCAAACGGUAUGAUUAUAUUUUGUAUAUUUGUAUGCUGCACAACACGGCACAGCUGCAGUCUUCUAUGGGACUGUACGGCCAUGGGCUGAAAUCCAGGUCUCUGUCUGGGUUGGUGACGAAGACUAAAACUUUUAUGAUGGUACUAAAGCCUUUAUUUUUAUGGGCUUUAUUUUCAGUUUCGGCGCAAGCAAGGGAGCUGCGAUCUAGUUCCGUUUCGUUAUAAGGCUGAUUUGUUUUGCCUCCAGGCCUUUUGUUGUUUUUUGUGGGAAUGUGGUCUGUUUUGUUUUCUAAUUGGCCCAGUGAUUUAUAUAUAUCUUCUAUUUUAUACUAAUUUAUUAAAAUGGUCUUUUAGAGAAUCUUUUCGAUGUCGAUAUUUUUUGGAUAAUUCUACGACGUCAAGUAUUAGAUUUGAAUUAUUAUGAUGAAGCAAAGUACUGAUUGAUCGAUGGGUUAUAUUGAGCUUAUUUUUAACAUGCUUUGUUACUUUGAUUCUACUUGAAUUUGAUUGAGAUAUUUUUUUCAUCCAUUUAUCCGAUGAGAUUAAAAAUUGGUCCAACACACCUAAUUUCAGCUAUCCAUUUAAUAACUUAGCUGGACCCGUACUAAGUGAGGAUCUAGAAGGGUGUCCUAUCCUCGUGUUGGUUUAGAGGACGCAGGUGCUACCUUAGGCUAAAAAAUUGCUCGUGGCUCAUUAGCUUACUUGACUCGUAGCCGACUCGGUUCGGCUCCAAUUGCUAACGAACCGAGCAGAAUUUUGUGCUCGUUAGUACACUGAGCGAGUUUGAGCCAGCUCGCGAGCUGCUUACGAGCCUAACGAGCUACGCAUACAUACAACAGACUUAUCAUCUAUGCUACAGUGUUUAGAACCCUAAAUUUGUGGCCCAAUAGGCCCAACACGCAUCAACUAAGCGAAACUCUUGUCUAAAUCCCUCACCUUGUCACUCGUCAGCCCUAGCGCCCCAACCCGCUUCCACACGCCCGCACCUGCCGUUCCCACGACGGUCGCCCGCCCCCGCUCCUACCGUCCUGCGCAUGCCCCAAACCGGCUCCGACCCUGCCAUCGUGCCCCCAGGCCCUGCUCCCUGCGCCGCCGUGCCCCCAGACCUUGCUAUGCCGGCCCCUCUGCAGACGGCAGCGCCUCUCCCGCCUGGCGCCUCAAGCUCAUCGCCCCCGCCCCUCCACCCCCACCCACUUGUCGCUCCAGAUUUGCUCGGCCGCGCAGGCUUGCAGGCGCCGGCGCGUCGCCAUGCCUCCGACCCUCUCGCUGCCUCUUUGCCCUUGCUUGUCCACUCGUCCGGACGUCUUGGUACCCACGCGGCUGCGGAGACUCGUCGGCUCCGGCACCGGUGCUGGCCUCCGCGCGCCGCCGUGCCCCUGGCCUCCAUGUUCCCCUGGGCGACGUGUUUGGCUCGUGAGCUGCCCGAGCUAGCUCGCGAGCUAGACCGAGCCGAGCCGAGCAGUCUUUUUCUGCUCGUUAAGAUAACGAGCCAAGCGAGCUGAGUCAGCUCGUUAUCCAGCUCUAGUGCUACCGCACAGAUGUCAGGAACAUUAAUUAGUUAGGACCCCAGCUGCAAGUCUCCGUAGUCAAGUUGGAGCAGGCCCCGAACACAGACUCCUAGAGGGUGAUACUAGGAGCCCGUUUGGCAGGGCUCCGCGGCUCCUAAAAAAACAGCUCCAGCUCCGGCUCCUCCAAUGAAGCGGCUUUUCUGGUGUAGUUGAAGCCGUUUUGAAAAAACGUUUAGCAAAGUUGUCAAAUGUCCACAAUACCCUUAUUUUUUCUAUUUUUAUUUUUUGUUUCUUUUUUCCUCUUAUUUUCUUUGCUUCCCAUCCUCUCUCUCUCCUUAUCCUCUUCUUCCUUCACCCGUUGCCUCUCCGUCCCGGCCUUCGCACCGCCGCCGCCCAACGCCCUCCCCUUGCCUCACGCUGGUCUCAUGCUCCCGACACCCACCCUUUGUCUCGCGCUUCGGCCGCCCCUGACUCGUGCUCCCGCCGCCCGCCGCCGCCCCUGCCUCUCGCUCCCGCCAUCGGGCGCCUCCACCCGCCUCGAGCUCUCGCGCCGGCCGCCUAUGCCCCGCCUCAGGCUCCCGCGCCGGCCCCCCGCCAUGAGCUCCCGCGCCGGCCGGCCGCCUCCGCCCGCGCGUCGAGCUCCCGCCUCGGGCCGCCUGCCUCCACCCCGCCUCGAGCUCCUACACCGGUCGACCGCCUUUGCCUGCGCGUCGAGCUCCCGCCGCUGGCCGUCGCCGGCCUCCGCUCGCGCCACCCGGAAGCCUGUCUGGAGGUCAAAAACGGCACGUGAGGAGGAGGAGCUGUGGGGAGCCUGUUUUUGUGGCUCCUCCUCCAACCGAAUAGCUCUAGAGAGCGGGAAUCAGGGGGCUUCGGCAGCGAAGCCGUCUUGCCCAUCGUUGUUUGGGAGGGCUUCAGAGCCGUCGAGGAGCCCUUCCAAACAGGGUCUAGGUAGGUGGGCACGUGUCGCGAGGCUGACGAGCACUAAUACCACUAGGUACUUGCAAUGCAUUGCGCUGGGGAGGUUUCAAGUGGGGAGCUAGAGCACACCGACGGCGGCCAGACGGAGCUUCAGCUGCAGCCAUGCACCACCGACGACCAAUCGAGAGCUAGCAAUACGUACGUAUGCCUUUUUGUACGUAUCGCCACGAUUAACAUGCAUGUAUUUGACGCAUAUGUGUACAAGCUAAGUUACCUAGGAGAUGAGGUAUGGUACAUGCACGCACGUUUGUAUACGUAUAUGUGUAUAUGCACGAGAUAUAAAUGGAUAAAAUGGAUUCUAUAUACGAGCUACUCGGUUCCAAACUCUAGAUAUAUCAUUUAAUUUGUAUUAUAUAUCUAAAAGAAUAUUAAAAUAAUCUAUAACUUAAAAUGGAUGGAGUAAGAUGAAAAGUGCAAUGCACGCAGGUGGCAGCACACGACGGACACGAAGCGAAGAGCUUGUGCGUCGUACAUCAACACAUGUACGACGAGCGCAUGCAGUCGAUCGUCACAUCAGAGCUGACGAGGCCCAUUUCUUCUUCUUUUUUGCAGGUACAUGUACAUGCAUUGCAUGGACAGACGGCAACUGCACGUCGUCGCGCUACUUUCCUCGCACAUCACUAGCUCUCGUACUCAGCGGCAGGCGUAUAUGCAUUGCAUGUAGCUAGCUCGCGGCCUAGCAGUACAUACAUGCAUGCAUCUGUCUGGACAGGACACACCACACGACGAGUUUCGGCAACAACAACCCUCUUCAUUGGUGCUGGACAAUUUAUUAUUUUUUACCAGCGUCUAACCAAUCGGCCUCCUGCAUGUGUACGUGUCUUCGUUUCAUUGUCGGUCGCUGGAGGAGAGGAAGAUUAUUACUGGAAGGAUCCGGAUCCGUGUCAUCGACGGACGGAUGGAUCGAUGUGUUCAUGUUUAAUUGUGUGAUAAUCACGCACAUCUAACUCCCAAAUAAACGCUCGCCGACAUGACUGAAUCAAUGCAAUGCGGUGGCCUCCAAAUGAAUUGAACCACCAUGCACCAUGUACGUCUGUCUGUCCCCGCAUACUUGGUCGUGUUAGGCGGCUCUGCCUCUCUCCAUCGACGAAGAUCGUCGGUCUGCUGCCCGCCCCAACUCCCAACCACCUCCUGCCGCUCUCUUAACUCCCAUCGAGACCCACACCACUGCCCCAUGCAUGGCACCAUGGACAAGGAUCCACCGACUGAACGAAACUGCACACGCACACCGGGGCCAUGGCCACCCACAUCAUCUCCUCGGCACUCAUCACUCACACACCACACACUACAUACAGAUCAGAGGGAGAGCCUAUUUAAAGACCAACAUUCCCUUGCACUCUCUCAUCACCAGCACUUGCUCACACUCAUCAUUCCCGAGCAAGCAAGCACAUCCAUCCACCAGCACCGUGCCCUCACCGAUCACAUUCACGCACAAUCCAGAUAGUACUAUAAUGGCUCGCGCUCAUCAGGUCGUUGCGGUCGCCGUCGUUGCCGCCGUGCUGCUCGCCGCCGCGGCGACCACCGAGGCCGCCGUCACCUGCGGGCAGGUGAGCUCCGCCAUCGCCCCCUGCCUCAGCUACGCCCGCGGCACGGGCACCGGCCCCUCCGCAGCCUGCUGCAGCGGCGUCAGGAGCCUCAACUCCGCCGCCAGGACCACCGCGGACAGGCGCGCCGCGUGCACCUGCCUCAAGUCCGCCGCCUCCAGUCUCAGUGGCCUCAAAGCCGGCAACGCCGCCAGCAUCCCAUCCAAGUGCGGAGUCAGCAUCCCCUACACCAUCAGCCCAUCCGUCGACUGCUCCAGGUAGGAGUAGUACGUAAUUAAUUAAGACAUCAUUACUUAUACAUGCCUGCUAUGCAUGUUCAGUAAUCAAAUCAAUAAUUACACAGACCACCGCGUGCAUGCAUAUAUAUACUGUUAAUCAAAACCCUUGCCCUCAAAAAAAAAUGAAAAAAAUCUAAUCGAAAUUAUUCUUGCUGCUUCAUGCAGGGUGAGCUAAACGACCACCGGAGCCGGAUGGAGCUGGAGCAGCCUCGUCCACCGUGCGUGCAUGGUUCCCUACAUAUCUAUCUAUGAUCGAGUUCGCUCGCUUGAUGAAUAAAAUCUCUCUGCCGUCGUCGUCUGCACUGUCAUACGCUCGCAUGCUAGUGCAGUGUACGUCCUCCUUGUGAGAGACGGGAGUCCGUCCGUCCUUGUUGUGUGGUCGUCUCUGCUUCGUUUUGUGUCUGCACGGUACGGUGCGCGCUAGCUCCUCCAUUUCCAUUUGGAGGAGACCGAGUCUCUGUACCUUGUCCACUACCUUUUAAUACAUACACCUCUUUUUGGUAUGCUCCAUGUGCUCACUUGGGCCUCUCCACCGAGUGUGCACAACAAAAAGGCCUAAAACAAGUCCAUGUAUCCAAGUGGGCCUUUGAUUAUUCCAAUAAGUAGUCACUGAAAGUUUUGCAUCAAGUUUUGUUGGAAGCUGGAGUUGACGAACUUGGGCAAGUCAUGAAUGCUUAAUGAAGGGACGGUUUCCAUGCCCGUAAUCAACUUGUCUCUUCGAUAUAGGACCUCUGCAAGGGUAAAUUAAUCCAGCAAUCUUUGAUACGGCAUGAGCCAACUUGUGCCAAGCUUGAGGAGCUGUCACUCGAAGGGUCAAAGAAAAUCAAUCAGUCCUUGAACGUGUGUAGAAACUGAAAAAUAUCAUCGUUAUGUGUUUACAACCUCAGCAUCAGAUUGUUCUUUUGGUGCGAUGAAUGUGUGCAUUAUCUAUUAUUUUUUUCAUAAAAUACAGUACAUAUGCAGAUGCUCACAUAUACGUACGCACGCUCAUCUCUACAAGAACACAUACACAAAUCCUACCCCUACGAGCACCUCCAAGAGACUGCGAGUCGGCGACUUGAAUCCGGAUGGGUAGGUUUCACCAUGAAAAAUUUUUAUUAGUUGAGCUAGGCUCAGUUCGCUACAUGAAUUAUCAUUAUUCAUAAAAGUAAUGUAAAUUGUUCGUCCCUGGGUCCUACCUUAAACACUAGUAAAGGAUGACUGCUCCUCUAGCAGUAUAGGUAGGGGUAGGAAAAAGACAACCUUACACAUGAUCAGUCUUUGUUGUUAAGAACGAAGUACUAGAAGCAUCAUCAUGAUCUAUAAGUUACAGAAUGACAAAUAAAAUCAACGUAUAUAGAACCCGUGAACUAGCUAAGCGUAGGAAAAAGACAGCCUACACACAUGAUAAAUCCUUGUUGUGAUGAUCCCACGAUACAGAUCCUUCUUUUUUUCUCUUUUACCUAGUUAAUACUUGUAUGGUAUCUGGGAAUUGCUUACCUUCGAUGAUGAAGUAUCACCAAAGGCGCGCUCGACAGUUAUCACAGCUAUUCUGUGGAACUUUGGAAGGCCAGGAAUGCGUUGGUCUUCAACUCCCUGCAUGCAUCCUCUGCUGGUACCCUCAGGGCGACGAUCUCUGCUGCUGUGCAGCUUUGGUCUCAUCGAUCAAGGUCCCCUGAUGACCGGGUCUUCCUAUACUUGUGGAGCUCUAACCUUGAUAUAACGUAGCUUUAGGCUCGUUUUUUCUCCUACCCCCAUGCUGUAAAAUCAAGAUAUGUAUGACCUUGCAUAUUAAUAUAUUUGUCCAGACUGGCUUCUUGCCUGCCGUAGCCUCUCUUAAAAAAAAUACUUGUAUGGUAAUUCUGUAGGUUUUACAAAGGCAAAAACUUGGUGUCUUCUUUUGCUUACAAUACAAGAAAUUGUAGAUGAUGAACUCUUUUUAUUUCUUUUCACAUGCCUAAACUAAAAGAUUAAUGAGCCAACAAAUUAUUCGGCGCUAGACACAAUAGCACCAUGCGUGAUUUGAAGUUGGAAUUGAAGUUAGUUGGUUGCAUGUGAACACAAGUCGUGGCUGAGAAGCAUCCACGCGCGCUUUGCGUAUGGGAGAGAGUAAAUGUCAGUUACAUUAGCUAGCAAUGGAAUGUUUGCUCGUGAUGGAUCGAGAUGGUUAUCGUUGGCUGGCUAGUCGUCCAUCUUGCAUCUAUGUACAGAGACGUGGCAACGAACAAUUUAAGGCUAGCUAGCUGCUACCAUGCACUGCUAAAUGAUGAAUAGUAGCUAUUGAUCCAGGAGCUAGUAGCUACUUGACCUGCAAACUAGGUUAUCUACUGCGACACUUUGAUCGAGCAUGGAAGGUGCAACAAAGACUUGGAAUUACGUGGUCCAAAUUAUUUUGAUUUUUCUAGAUUCAUAAGCUUUGCUACGUACCUAUACAUUAGAUGCAUAGCAAAAUAUAUGUAUCUAGAAAAAUUAAAAUAAAUUGUAAUUUGGGACGGAAGGAGUAUAUGCAUAUAUCAUCACAUCAGCAUGUAUCCUCAUUGAAUUUUUCUCAAUCUUACUACUGCAAGUUGAGGUACCCUUUUCCUCAGGGAAUUGCAGAAAAUUAUUCUACACAUACAGUCCAAGUCUAGCUCGUCACUCCGCUCCUGUUCUAGUUGCCAGCAAGCAGCAGAGAGCUCAGUUGCCGUGGCGAAAAUUCCAGUAACAGUUCAAUUCGCUCUCCAUCAUAUAGCCUUAGUGAAGUGAAGAGGGGAAUUUUUGGAAUUUAAUUAAUUUUAGGUCCGUUUGGAAUCUUAGAAUUGAAUUCCAUUCUAAUAAUCAUAAUUUAGACACAGAUCUAUUAAGCUAAUAUGAUUAUAUACGGAAUAUAUUUAUGUACUAUUGUUGGUCUCAUUAGAAAGAUAUUUAUAUACUACAUUUCUACUAUAGAGGAGUGAGCCAAUGCAAAGAGCGUACUAUAAGUUACGGAAUAGAAACAUAGUUUUGUAGGGUAUAGAAUCAAUUUUCAUCUUCCACCCUAUAAAUUUAGGAUAGGAAAAGUGAUUGAAAAAUGGUGGGAUGUCAAAUCUAAGCUAAGUACCUUAGUUUAGUUUAUUAAAUAGAUUUUAAUUCCUCCAAAAUGAGAGGAUCCAAACGGCUCCAUGAAAACUGUUUUCAGACAUCUUUCGACACGUACAUACGUGGGAAGAUGGAAAUUAAAUGUGAUGUCAUUUUUCAUAUAUAUUUGGAUCGUGAUCGAGAUAUAUAUACAGAGAGAGGGAGAGAGAUGGAAUAAUUAGCAGAAAAGUAUAAAAAACCUAGCUAGCUACCAGUCCAACGCCCAACGACCUGGCAACGACAGCCAUCAAUGGAUCGUUCAAUCAUCCAUUGACGCAGAUGGAGACAAGGUGGAUCGAGUACGUAGGUAUACCACUCCAGUAGAAGUGGAGGACUAACCUGGUGAGCUCCCUCUAUUUAAACUGGCCUGGUGGUGAUCCUACUCAUCCCCCACAGCAGCUAGCCAUCCACACUAGCUCACACUGCAACACACACAGCAUUUGCUUUGCUUAGCUUAGCACGACCGCCGAUCGAUAAUAAUAAUACAAUAAUGGCUCUGAUGAUGAAGGACAACAAGCAGAGCAGCUGCAGGAUGCAGGCGGUGGUGGCCUUGGCCGUUGUGGUCGCGGCGGCGGCUCUGGUGGCGUCGGCGUCGGCGGCUAUCACCUGCGGGCAGGUGGGUUCGGCGCUGGCGCCGUGCAUCCCGUACGCGACGGGGAAGGCGAGCAUGCUCCCGUCGUCGUGCUGCGGCGGCGUGCGCAGCCUGAACAGCGCGGCGCGCACGAGCGCGGACCGGCAGGCGGCGUGCCGGUGCCUCAAGAGCCUGGCCAACACGGUCAAGUCGGUGAACAUGGGCACCGUCGCCACCAUCCCCGGCAAGUGCGGCGUCUCCGUGCCAUUCCCCAUCAGCAUGUCCACAGACUGCAACAAGUACAUACCGCCCUACUACAUAUAUACUUAAUAAUUCUCUCUACCAUCAUCUAUAUAUAACAUAAUAUAUCGUCGUCCUCUUUAUUUUAUUUCCUAUAUAUAUAUAUAUAUAUCUUUUACAGUAUUACUACUGCAUAUGUAUGUGCAUAUCUUGCAAAUUACUGAUCUUGUAUACAUGCGUGCCUCGAUUUUAUUUCUUUGACGCAGGGUCAACUAAAUUGUACAUCAGACUUACCUGAUGAGAAGCAGCUCGGUCGGUCAGAAGCUAAUAGCUAGCUACGAGCUAUUAAGGAGAAUAAAAUGAAGGCAUCAGCAGCAACAGCAGCAUCUGUAUUAAUUAUGUAGUAAUCAAAUGUUGUAAUAUGCGUGUACGUGCAGAUAUACAUGCCUGUACGAUCGAUGUAUAUAUGCUGCUUAUACAUGUACGCUUGUGUCCUGCUGUGAUCAGAUCAAUAAGAACCGCUGCUAUAUAUACUGUUCAUUGCUGCUUUUGAUGGAAAAAAAAUAAGAGUUUCAGUUUAAAUUAAUUCGAAGAUAAAUCAUGACCAUAACGAAAAUUGCGUACAGAAAAUGAACAUAUCUAAACAUGCUCAUUAAGUAAUUUAAGAUAUAACAUUGCAGCAGUAAGAUUAACCCUAACCACAUCAUAUUAGAUAUGAAAGAUAUAGUUAGGGACAGAGAACCGUACGUUUCUUGGCUGAUCGAAAUAACGGAUAAAGAAGACGACGGCAACGAUCAGCACCUUCGCGUGCUUGACGACGCCGAGUCGUGCCCCACUGACAAGGAGGAAGACGAUCCAUGGUGACGUCCUGAUCCAUGGCGACGAGGACGACAAUGUGGAAGCAUUCGAGCAGUCGCGCAGAGCGCUUCCCAAAAACCUUAUUCGCUCUCUCAUGAUGCAGGAUCGCUGAGGACGAGGUUCCGCAGACCUGCUCUCCCGAUCGCCGGUGCACGCCAACGAACAGGACGAAGUAGUGUACGGGGCGGCGCAGCAGGCAGGUUGAGGCAUGUUGUGCGUCUUCUAUGUUUUAUUUUUUCACACCCGCGCAGUAUUUAUAAGAAAGAACCGCUAGGGUUUUUGGCGUCCCAAAAACCAAGUCGGUUACGAGUCCCAAAAUUCCGCGCGUGAAAUCCGUAACAGAUUCGAAGUGGCAAAACAAAUCUGUAAAAGAAAGCCGCGUGCCCGCAAGGAUUGGACUGGAUGUUGGCGGACUAUUCACGCGCAUGUCGCGCGCCCUUCGCCUGAGCCGGCCCGGCGAGGCCGGGCGAGCGAGCGCGCGCGUUCUUUCUUCUUCCUCUCACUCACACUUGCAAGAGCAUGGAGAGCGUCCAACUAUUUAAGUUGAGCUUCCUCCACCUCCACUAGCAACGUGGGGCUAACUCGUUGCCAUGCACCUUUACACUAAUAGGCCUUUGAAAUUUUAUUAGAAUUAUUUAGAUUUAUAUGGUGGACCUUUGCAUUAAUAGACCCAAAUAUUCCAACAGCUUGGACCUACUUAUUUGAGUGCCAAACGAAUAUUUAUUUUGGAAUGGAGGGAAUACUUAUUCAGACAAUUAUUAGUCGUUCUGCUCUAUGGCGAGCUGUCGGUGGUGCUUACUUGUUAUUAAUUAAUAAUGUCCAUACAUAUAUGCUAGCUAGCUGCUGACUGCUAAAAUACGCACAUCUCAAAACCCAACCACUCCAAAAUACGCACAUGUUGUUUAGGACAUCGAUCGGCAGGAUCACAAAGGUCAAGCCUUCUGGCCAACAUUUUUUUAAUUAAAAAUAUAACAUAUUUGAAAGAAAGUUAAUUAAAUGUUUUAAAUCAUUUACCAUGUUAAAUAAUGGCCGUCAGACUGAUCUAGUCUUCAAUUAUUAAUCGUCCAGCUGUUUAUAGUCAUUUAACUGUUUAUAUAUAAACACCCUCCACCGUAUUUCACUAAGAGAAAACAAACCGGCUUCCAGUUGCGGAAAAGUCUCCUCCCCGAACCCUGACUGCAGGGAGUUUUUAUUGCGCAGCACCCAGGAUUCGAGCCCUUGGCCUUAAAAGGCUCACGGAUUGGAUCCCAAUUUUAGAAAUUUCUCGGGUGGUUAUGCUCUACCACUGAGCUACAGGCUCACCCGCUAACUGUUUAUAUAUUGACAGUAAAAGUUACAAGGUGAAGUUAAAGCGAUCAGACUGCAGGUGUAUUUUACUCGUAACACAAGCAACAAACAAGCUAAGUAGUAGGGUUUCGCUGUCAGCCUGGACCCAAGAAAAUUGAAGACGACGACUCUCUUGCCUACUGCUCUACGGACUACGCCGAGAAAUUCGGAUUUUCGACACUCCAGACAUAAGGCUUCAUUCGCAUAUUUGACACUAUGACAUGAGCAUGAACUUGGUAAAUUUGCCAUCCAUAUCAUUGAGUUUCUUGACAUUGUGCCUCUUUUUUUUAUUUUUCUUUUUCCAUUUACUAGCUUGUGAAAUGACAAAAGUGCUGCCCCAGAGCUUACGUGCAUGCACCUCUGGUUGGAUCGGAUCGAUUAAUCAAAAUGAUAAUGCUGCGUGCUAGAGGGGUGUGUGCUGUGUGCCGACCACACUAUCUGGGCUAGCUAGAUGAUCGAAGCAUUGUUUACACGCAAGGCACAAAGCUAAUAACACCAUGCUCGGCGAGAAAGGUGCGGCUGCUCCCACGGAUUCCACGACAUGUGGCUCGCGGCGCACUCGUCCUGCCCGAUAUGCCGGAACUCGCUGCUCCACGACGGUGCCGCCGGCGAGGCAACGACAAUAAGGCGCUGUUGUUCAAGUGUGGGAGGCCCACUCCGUGAGAUAGGAGGCCCAGCUGUGGGAGGCAGCCGACGACCCUGCCGGGCCGAGCCGUGAUGCUGAGGGAACGGCCCGCAUCAAUUAGUCUCUAGUCUUGCUUUAGUUAAUUAGUACGAGUGAAAUGCCGAGUAUUUGCGUGGACUUUUAGCAUAUUUCUAAUGAAUUAGUGGUGAUAUUUUGACACCGCGACGAACUGAUACUGCCAGUGAUAUUCAGGGUCUCCACUCCUGCCUAUACGGCAUGUCUGUUUGAGAAUGUUCCAAAUAACUUCUUUUUUCUCUGACCAGACAAUAUUAGACAAAUAGGUCAAGAACUCCUUGAUUACUUGGUAGACGGCUGUUGCUAUUCUGAGUAUAGUCUUGGUCAUGCCACUGCCUUGAACUUUGCUCAAAUAGUUUGGUGAUGAAGUGAAACAUAAUCUCAAAUUUGUUUUUUGAUGUAUACUUCUGUGGUGACCCUGAUUAUUGGAGUUUGGAAAGGAAUGAGCUAUAAAAAAAAAAUCAAAGUUGUACAGAUGAACAGGGGAAGGGAUUAUCAUCCUUUUAAUGCUAUGGAAAUGUAUACUCAUCACAUGAUGUGAUUCAUUUUAUUGAGUGGAUGCGUUGGAUCCACAGUAGAAUCAUAAAAGAGCGCCCCUCAUUUUGUCACUGCAUAAUAUCAUGUUAAUUUGGUCUUCCUCAUGGUCAUGGGGCUGCCAUGGUCUGUUUAGCGACCAAGUGGAUUAUAGGAAAGCAAAUAGUCACAUGAAAGUUGUUUAUCUAAGAAGGGGAGUAUAUCGUUCAGUAUUUUAUCUCAAUUGAUAUUUAUUUUGAGGAUACUCUUACUCUACAAAGCAGCCCCCCUGCCAUGAUUGAAAAUAUAUAGUUGUACAUGCACGCUGUUGGCACAACAAAAAGAUUCUAAUUAUGCUAUUGUGGAAAAAACCAAGCUGUAGGUGGUUCUGAUAGAUGUAGCUUCUUCUGAUUGAAGUUUACCACGUCCAAAUAGACUACCUUGAAUUUUGUUCAGUUAAAGGCUACUGCAUUUCCUACAGUGUACUAACUCAUACAGUAUAACUUUAUUAUGUUUCAGUUCUUUAUUCUGAUCGAUUCUUCUUGAAUUUCUAUGUGGCAGAGAAGUUACCAUUGUGGAGAGCCCCUCUAAGAACACUUACCAUGCCUCAGGCUUGACCUCCUUGACUCCAUCUGGACCUCAUGUCUGUGCAGAUUGCCUGGAUAGCCUGCUUCACGAAAUCAUUGAUCUCAUUACCUCAUUCCAUGACUUCCUUGCUUUUAUUGGCACCUGCCGCUCUUGGCGCACUGCAGUCUCUUCCUUCCCCUCCAUGUAUACCUUCAGCUUCCCGCCUCUCCAUUUCGAACCAGAUGGUCCUUAUUUUUUUCGUCCACAUACCAGAGGUAUCAAGCCCCUCCUUUUAUCUGAUUGCACAUGGCAGCUCAGCGAUCCUAGCAAGGAAAACUUAUCCCUUCGCUAUGCGUUGCCUCAAAGUACUCCAAAUACAAUGUACUAUUUGGGCUGCUCAUAUAGGUAUCUUAUCUUCACCUAUGAGGACUGCCUCCUUGUUGAUGCCUACACUGGUGCCAAGGUGAAGACCCCAAAACUCCCAUGCAACAAUGAACUUGGUUGGUUUUCUGGCAUAGGCGUCCUUUCGGCUCCAUUCAGCUCACCCAACUCGCGCGUCCUCCUUUUCUCAAGGGCUUCCAUGUUUGAGUGGCAGGUUGGAUCAAACUCCUGGUCAGUUCAUCCUCUUGCUCUUGAUCAUGAACACAUCCAUCAGUUGUGUUCUUCAAAGGUCAUAUCCUUAUCAUAGAUGCUCUUAUAAGACUUCACACUGUGCAAUUAACACCUCAGUUCAGCAUGCAAGAAGUUGCAAUUAUGUGGCAGUCCCUGCAGACAGUGCCUCUUAACCCAUGGUUGGUGGCCUGUGGUGACAUGCUUCUCAUGGUUGACUUCACAUUUCGCUCACAUAGCUCUGACGAGUUCAGUGACUUUUCUAGAAUCUUUGAGGUCUUUCGCCUUGACUUCUCGGUCAAACCAGCAAAGCGGGCGAAGAUGGAAAAGUUGGAAAAUCAAGCUCUGUUUGUUAGCCUUGAUAAGAGGAAUCCUGCAUUUUGUUUCAUGAACCCUGAAAGACGGGGAGGAAAGAGUAACUGCACUUACGUUGCCAGGCUAUUUGAGGAUCCUGAUGAAACUUGGACAGCGGUGGAGCUUGGUCAGUCAGUGCCGAACCACAACACAGUUCACAGCAUGAUGUAUGGUUUUGCAUUCCCGCCGGACUACAGUCAAAUAGGUAGCCUUUGGCUGUUUCCUAGUUUUGUGUAUGGUGGUAGCCAGUGAUCUUGUAGCAGCCUUGCGACUUUGCGAGGGUUUUGGCUAGCCCUACAUAGGCCCUUGCGAUUGCUGUUAUCGAUCUUAAUUUUAGUUAGCAAGGUCUCUGUAACUAGGACGGUUUUCUGAAGUACAUUUGGUAUAUAUUGGCAUGCAUGCCUGGUAACUUAGUGAAGAACUGAACAUCAGAGUUGCACUUUCAAUUGCCAUUUGAUGACUGGCACCAGUGCUGUACUGCUAAACGUAGUGGAUGGUUUUGUUACGAUUUGCAGUUGAUAAUCUGCGUGGAGAUUGGACCAUUGUACUAAGGUUGGUUAUCAUACUAAUCAGCUCAAGUUUUUGUCUACAGCAUUGCGGCUGAAAAAAAAACGAAAGCUUUAUAUCUCUAUUUUUGCUUGUAAGUUUGCAAGAUAGCGCAACUGUUUUUCUUUUGGUCCGUAGACAUUCUUCAAGAUAUAUAAUCGACGGUACAAGAUUUAAAAGAAAAACGCUUUGCCAUAAGAAUAGCAACCAUGCCAUGAGAUCAAAAACAUCGAUCUGUGUGCCUUCGUCCAGACCAUUUCAAAAGCCAGGCUUAAUUAUCAUCAGCAAUUUAGUUUGCUGCAAUACAUGCAUUAUACACGAGACGAACCAUAGGACAGAAUUUAUUAACGAGUUCAAUUCCGGUGGAAGGAAAUUAUUAAUUAGCAGUCGCAGCAAUAAUAAUAUACUAAUAAUCGAUCACGCGGCGGAGAGCAGCGCCGCGAAACGAUCUGCCAGGCUCCGGACGGUGGUCGGAGAAACCGCCGACUCGCCGCCAAGGUACCACUUCUGGAUCAUCCCCGCCACGUUCUCGUUCUCCACCCUCAUCUUGGCUUCAUCCUUUCCCUCCGUCGCGAACGAUAUCUCCGCAGCAGCCCCAGCUGGUGGAGUGGCCGGGAAGUGGAAGGUGAUGACGGAGGCGGGCUUGAAGUACUUGGCCUGGAAGAAGUCGGCGACCUUCUCCAGCGCCUCCUCGUCGUCGUCGUCGUACCUGUCGGCGGCGACGAGGCGGUCGCGCACGGAGCUCUCGAGCUGCACGCCGUACUGCGAGCCCUUGAUCUCCUUGAUGACGACGACGCGGAACAGCUUCUCCACGGGAGCCGAGACGAGGGCCUGGAAGAAGGCGUCGUCUCCGAGCAGGUCGUCGGCCGUCUUGCCCUUCCAGCUCUGCAGGUGGCCGAGCAGGACGUCGUUGUUGUGGAGGUAGAUGCCGAUGGCGUUGAACUUGAUCUGCAGGAAGUGGAUCUCGAUGUCCGUGAUGCCGUUAGCUAGGAGAGAGAGAGGGUUGCCGCUGCCGGCGGUGAUCUCCGCCGGGAACGGGAUGCCUUCCACGGUCUCCGUCUCCGAGCCCACUGAAUGCGGCACAUGCAACGACGUUAUUACCAGGCAGGCAGGCAACAGAUCAAUAAUGUAUACGAUGCAUGAAAUGGAGAAUGGUAGGUGAAAGGAAGAAAAAGUUUUAUCAAUGCAGCAGCAACUUACUUUUGCCUUUGUGGUGACGACGUACGACAAGCUAGGGGAUGGGAGAAACAACUGAUGAAUGGAGGCAGAAAGGGUACCGUUGGAGCUGGCCUGUGGUUGUGCCUCAGGAAGAGACGACCUGAGUGGAGAUAGGCAGGAAGAAAGAGCAGGCUAGCUAGGCAGCAACUAAAAGAGUGUGAUCUGGGUGCAAUGGCAAUUGCAAUCUCUGAUGGCUGGCUGGCUGGAUGUAUGGAUGGAGAGAGUUAGGUAGAAGGAGAGGCAGGGAAGGAGGCCAGGCGGGUGGCUGCGACCUAAUUCAAUCGGUGCCACCUACAACCGACGGCAGUGCAGCUAGUGGUAGGUGUAUGCUGUGGUGUGGCUAACAACAGCAGCUUUUCUUUUCUUUUCUUAACAAAAUUAAAGUCAAGCUCCGGUACAUGCAUACAUGUUGGGCGAAAUACUGAGCGCGUAUUGGACUAAAACCUGUUUUUUGUAGUGACAGUGUGUAGGGGUUGAGAGGUAGCAGCACAAACUACAAAUCAAGAUGACACUCAUCAUAGACAAAGAAGACAGUGUGAUGAAGUAAAUAUGAUGCUGUUGAGAUGGAUCGAGAUGCAUGUAAUGUAAAGAGGGUGAUCGACUAUAUUCCUCUUGGUGGGUAGUAGGAAUAGGAUGGAACAGGACAACAGCUUGAUUGACGUGGUAACAGAGAGAGUGUGGAUUACUCCAGUUUUUUUAGAGGUAGCACACUUCAUUAUUAACUAGCUAAAACGUACUGGGUACAAACACCAACAGGCCAGGACAAGACCCUCCCUGCAAGCCAGAGUCUCCUCCAGCAUCUCAUCUCUGAAUCGUACAUGCUAGCAAAAACCAAAGCUGAUACUCCCAGGUAACAAUCAAACAAAGCUACACCAGCAGCCACCGUACGUGACCAAGAAAAGGAAUCGGUGGGCCGUACCCGGUGGGCUACAAGUCGAACGGGCUCACGACAUGUUGGCCCAAUCCUCCCUCCGGCUUUCCAGCACAGCACCCCGGCGUUCUCCGUUCCAUUCCACACCCCUUAUCACAACAUCCACAUCACCUGCGCCCGUGGUCUGCGGAGGAAGCAGCAAGGAAUGGCCUCCCUCCGCCACCUCGCCGCCGGCCCCGCCUGCCACCAUCCCCACGGCGUCGCGGCAGCCUCCGCCUCCCUCCAGCUCCGUCGCCUGCCCUCCUGCCCCGUCCCCCUCCGCUCCCGCCUCUUCACCCGUAACUAAAUGCUCUGCCCCUCCUCUCUCCUCUCAGUCCACACCAUUUCUUCGGCUACAGUUUCAGAGCACCCAGUGUUUUUCUUUCGUUUCUUGCUGGCAGCUUAACUGCUUUCCUUCCAGGCGUUUAUGCGCUCUCCAGCAAUGACAUCAGGGUUGGCACCAACGUAGAGGUCGACGGCGCGCCAUGGAAAGUUCUAGGUGACAAAAGUUUCUCACUAGUAACGCUUUUCUUCCUCUGAUUGCUGGGCGGCUAGACCAGACAAUGCGGUAGAUUAUCUCUCGUUAUUCUUCCUCAACUGCUCUUGAAGGAUGUGCAACAAUCAGCAUACGUACUAGCAUAAUUUGUGGAAACUUAUCAAGUCCAAUACCUUGUUGCUCAUGGACAAAUGAUUUGUUUCCUUAGCACCAGAAUUCGUAGAGAUGGAAAAGGUGCUUCCUUUGUAAACUCAAAUAUGUGUAGAGUAUUUAACCUGUAGCCUUAGCCGCUGCCACGCAAUGCCUAUCGUUGUUAUGAGAAAUAUAAUUUCCUCCUCUUCAUCCAACAACAGAGUUUCUCCACGUCAAGCCUGGAAAAGGUGCUGCUUUUGUCAGGACAAAAAUGCGCAAUUAUGUCACUGGCAAUACAGUUGAGAAAACCUUUCGAGCUGGAAGUACGGUAAUCUGGCCUCUAACUCACAUCUUCAGAAUCUUGCCACUGUUUAGCAGUUCUUCUGUUUUUCCCCUAUGUGUCUGUGUUGGUAGCACAUCUUUUUUUUUCCUUGGAAAAAAACUGCUGGUACAUGAUUUAGCUUAGUUAACAAAAUUAUUGCUUUUUCUUAUUUUCUGUAAUUUCUGGAAUUAUGCAUGCUGUAUAUUUAGCCUACUGCGGAUUUCUUUUGCUUCACCAAUCCAUGUUUUAUGUCCAUUGUCUCUUCCUCAAUGUUCUUCAGUCAUGCAACAACUAAUAGUCACUUCUUCAUGAAAACUUUCAGCUACAGGAGCCAUCCCUUUCAAAGGAAACCAAGCAAUUUACAUACAAGGAUGGCUCCCAGUUCGUGUUCAUGGAUCUGGUAGAUAAUUCACUUUUCACCCAAAUAAUUAGUGAAAAUGCCUAUCAUUGCAAGCCACCUUGCUUUAUGUUUUUCAAUUUUUUUUCUCAUGGCAUUGGUUGUUAGAGGUGAGCUUUAUAUUUAGAUAAUUUUCUAGGAAAUUCUGGUAUCAAAAGCAUUACUUUAAGUUUGUGUUAACUCGAGUUCUUCUCAAUGAAAAGAUGCACAACUCUCGUCCGUGUUCGAGAAGAAAAAAAACAAGCUAACGUAUUUCUUCUUAAUGAAUGGUAGUGCGGUGACCAACCACUUACCACCCCCUUCCAGUUUCCUCCAGAAUUUGUCCCACUUCAACACCCCAAGGCACCCUUUUCUUAGACCAUCUUGUGUACCAUUAUACUUGCUUGAAAACCCACUGUGAACUGGCUUCCACUCAAAUUGUUGAAGUAAAAAAGAUUGGCACGAUGGUCAAUUUCAAUUCCAUUUCAGGAAAAAAAAAGAUUUUGUUUUUGUCUUCCCAGAUAGCUUGAUGUCUGAAUGUAAACUAGCCACUUUCUAAUUUGAAUUAAGGUCCUGAUAUCUGUAAACAAUUCCGUUAAUUUUUCUAUCUUACAAUGCUCUUGUUAAUUUCCCUUUCCAGACAACAUUUGAAGAAAGUAGGUUAAACGAAGCAGAUGUUGGUGACAAGCAAAAAUGGCUGAAAGAGGGAAUGGACUGCAAUUUGUUGUACUGGAAUGGGAAGGUAUUUCCAAUUUUGUUUUUCAGAUUAAUUGCCACAUUGACAUAAUUUUCUAUAGAACCAGGGGAAUAAUAUGCUAGAUUAUAAUAUAGUAUGUUCUUACUCACCCCAUUAACUAUAAUAAUUUUGUAGAUCAUUGAUUUUGAGUUGCCCAUCACUGUGAGGCUGACUGUGACUGAUACUGACCCCGGGGCAAGCGAUAGUGUACAAGGUACGGAUUCUCCAAUAUCUAGUAUGCUUCUGCAAGAAGUGCCUGCAAUUGGUUAACCACGCGUGUUGCAACCAAAGUAACCACAUAUAAUCCAGUUGUGAACGACCAUUUUUUUUUCCCAGUGGAAGUUGGCAUCCCUGUAACCAGAAUCAUAUUGUUACUGUAUUUUGUAGGAGGAACAAAGCCUGCAACCCUGGAAACUGGAGCUGUUGUCACGGUGCCCUCUUUUGUGAACAUAGGCGAUGAUAUCCUAGUUGAUUCAAGAACCGGACAGUAUAUGAACAGAGCAUAGAGGGUUGAAGAGGAUUUUGGAUUUGAAGAGAUCACUUUUUGUUCGGUCAUUUGUCCCAUUCACAUGUACGAAUGCUCUGCAUCUUUUGCCCCCAGGAAAUUUACAUUUCUGGUGCAUGUGGAUCCUUGCUACGAGACAUUACGUUCAAAACUUUCUGCUCAUAAUCUCACAACUCAGAUUCCUUUGAUUAUAACUGAUUAACCCAAGAACAUGAGUACAGAGCACCUACGCCUACCAAUGAUUUUUUGUUAUAUUUCAAAUUGCAUCCAAAGGCAUACUGAAAGAUGCAUCCUGACCAACAAGAAGUCAACAACUCAACUUCCAUAUCCUUCUAAAAUUGUGUCGUCAUUGUUGCAAACAAGCUUUAGAUAGAGGCUUUCAGUAUCAGAAACUGAAAUUCAAUUCAGCAGCGUAGCAUAUAACUGAAUAAGCAAUUAGCUCAAAUGCUGAUAAAUACGCAACAUCAGUAUGCGAUUCCAGAACGCUUUAGAAUUCAGUUAACCAGUCGAAGCUAACUUUCUCAGUUACUGAUUCCGCUCAAACAUAUGUUUUACAGGGAGCAAAGCGUCUUUCUGUUAGACACCAGUAUCAAAUAUCACGCACAUAAGAGCCCAGUCCCCUGCCCUUACAAAUACACACAAUUUCUCAUUCACUGGGUGCCAGGCGCAGUUUUCUGUUUGUUGGCACUCGUAUCCCUCUACCACUGACCACAAACAUUACUAAACACCAGUCAUUCCCGUCUGCCAUCUCCUUUAUUAGUACUGAAACAAGAGAUGGCGAUAAUUACUAAACAAAACACAUGUCUACAGCCUAAGCUAACCCAUAAAUCAUGGAUACAAACCGUCAAGAAAUUUACAGGAGGAUCUUGCUUUGCGUGUGAGGCAUUAGAUCGUUAUGGUUAUGCACAUGUAACUUGAGUGGAAAUAAGCUGGAUCACGUCCCGGUUUCCUCUCAUAGUCUUCAUCCUCCUUACAUCUCAAUAUGAUGAGAAUGACUCGGAACAUCUCCUUGGUUGUCCAGGGGCAUGUAUUGAGCCAUGAUGGCACGGAUCUCUGAGUCCAUAUACCUCUGUAGGAACAGGCAAUGCAAAAACAGAAUCAGAUUCCACCUUAGAGAUAACAAAAGAUAAUGAACUUAGAAAUAUCAACAGAUGAAAUUCGCUCAUGGCUUACCCGGAUCCUGUACUUGUACACAGCAUAUCCUGCAAUUCCUGCCGCCACUACGCCAAAGAAGAUAACCCACAAGAAGCCCCAGCCUGUUUCUGUUGCUCCAUUUUUACCUGAGUAUAGCAAAUGUGGAAUCAGUAUCAGUUAGUGUCAAGUUCAUGUCUCGAUUCAGCAUAUGGUGCUACUUUGAGCUUUUAAACUGUCAGUAAUCGGAGUAAAUAUUUAAAAUUAUGAUUCAUGUGCCUCGAAUAGGUGAGUUAGCCAGCAACUUCUGCUAACUUAUGGCCUCAAGUCUCACUGGUUAAUUCAACAUAAAAAUGCGAGUCAGUAAUAAACUGAAAGUGUAGAUGUAUGAGGGCUGUACUUAUGCAUGUAUCAUGCUCCUUCAUGUAAAGCAAUCCUCCACUGCAGCCGCACUCAUAGCUUCCCCAUGUGUUCUUGCAUUUGCAUUCUUUGCAUUGACAUGCAGUCCUUUCCUUGCAUUCAUCAAUAUCUGCCACAAAAUAUUUCACAUCAGCAUCAAAUGAAAAGUGGGAACAGUACAGCAGCAAAACCAAUUCUGAAGUGCAUAUUCACAUAUGUCCAUUACUGCAGAAGCUGAGGACGGGCAAGCACUUCUAAAAGGACCUCAGAAAAUGAACCUUACCUUCACAUUUGUGUUUACCAUCACCCUUGAACCCAUCUGGGCAUUUACAGCCAUCAUCCUGCAGAUUACAGACACCACAACUAAAAUUUCAGACUUUGUAAGCAUCUUUUUUUAUCCAAAAGACCAAAACAGAACAGGAUCCUACUGAUAAUAUGGAAGUUUAAGGUCAGCAAAAAACUCAAUUGACACUUACAGUGCAGGCAGAGUAUGUCCGCCCAUCCCUGGUGUCUUUCCAACACCCUCCAUUGUUAAUUUCACAUCUCCCAGAACCAGAAGCUACAAUUACAAAAGCACAUGUUAUAACUUAGAAGGCUCUAGUGACAACUAUUGAUCUUCAGAAAUCUUACUAUGUUAUUGUUAACAUAUAAGAAAAGAAAAUGCCAAAAGAUGAAUCAUAAUGCCUUGCAGCAUACCUUCACAAUGAGUAUAGCCAUCACCAAUGAAUUUUACUCCUUUCACAACUGGACACUCACAAACUCUUCCACGGAAAGUAUCCUGCAUAUUCACCGAACAAUUAUUAUAUGCACAAGCUAAACAUAACAAACUGAUAAUCCAAAUUUUCAAGAGAAACCUAACACCACAGGACAGGAGGUACCUUGCAUGCAGUGAUGUUAGCAGCCUUAUCUUGCCAACAGCCACCAUUGUUCUCUAGGCACUCAUUUGUUUGUAUAUCUAAGGUUAUAAAAAAAACAUUAGAUUUAUAUAAGAGCAUGCUACAUGCAAGUUACACUUGGUGAAGUACAAGCUAGAUCAUAAAUGCAGUAAAAUGGAAAAACUAGGGAAAUCAAUGCACCAACCUUCACUCAAGCAAACAGCUGGCUCAGUAGUUUCCCGAAAACCAGCACAAAGUGCUUUAAGAACUGCUCCUUUGUCAAGCUUCCCUGAGAAACAUAGACUCAGGUAAGUUCAUCUGGUAAUCUCAACAUACUUUUUAGCAUAAUUUACAGGAUAGAAGAGAACAUACCUCUGUAUUGUCUAUUGUUGAUUACCAGAGUUGGUAAGAUGGUAACAUCACCACGAGAGCCCUUGCCAAUCUAUACAAAGUGGUGGAUGGUGAUGUAUUCAGAUUAACAAUAGGAUGAACAGAAAAGAUCACGCAUUCACAUUGACGUACUAACCUGUGCAUCUUGUUCAGCUUUCAGAACAGGGUUUUCUUCAUCAGCAUCUGGAUCACCAAUACAUUUAUCUAUUGCUUUAUGAUCAAGGCCUGUAAAUUAUAAAUAAGUUUAGUACAAAUACUGCACCUUGCCACAAAACAUAGCUAAACAGAAGCAAAUACAAAACAUACCAAGUGACUUGAUAACUCCAUCAGCACACUCCUUCGUGUACUUCUUUUCCUUCAUUGGGCACCGAAUCGCAAAAUCAGUAACGUAGUCCCACCAUAACCAAGGCUUCUUGUGCUCCUUAGCAACUUUAAACACACAAACUUGGCGCAAAUUCUGGACAACCACAUCUUUACCAUCAUAUCCUUUGCUAAAAUCCUGUUCCGGGUCAGGUGCACAGUAUCUACCAUGAUUGAUGCACUGGGACUUGCACUGCUUGCUCAGAAUGAAGGCCUCUGGGCAAUACCAGGUUAUAUAAUGAGGAGUGAACUGUGUGUAGCCUUUCUUCUCAAGUACCUGUGCUGCCCCUUUGAAGCUCUUGACAAAAUCAAUCUGGCUGUCACAUUUUGGGCCACAUUCAUCAUUACUGUUGGUCCAAAAUUCAUACUCAACACGCUCAUCAGGGUGGGGCAGAGCCUCCCUCCAAUCCAAAUUCACAUUGACCAUGUCACCAUUAUCAAUUGCCUUCUUGAGCCUAUCCCCAAAGCUCUUGGUUAUUAGUGCUGAAGGGAUAGUGAUGUUCUCUAAAUAAUCUGCCCUCCCACUUUCCUCAGGGGUGUCCAUUGUAAUUAGAGGUUCAUCCUUGUCGUCAGCGACAAGGAUUGCCGCUGCUCCUGCAUUCUGUGCAUUCCAUGCCUUCUUUGUGAAGUAGCAAUCUGAGCGCAACAAAAACCAUAUUAUGCAAUCCAUCAUGCAUUUAACUAAGAAGAUAUAGUGCAACAUCUUGUAGAACAGACAAAAAAGAGUGUUAUAUAAACAGCAAAUUGCUUGAAAGUAAAAUCAAUGUAGCAUCACCGAAAAUUGACAGGACAUUGACAUAAAUACUGCAGAAUUCUGGAGUAGUGGACUGUGAAUUAAGUUCCCUUUCUAUACAUAUCAAGUCAUGGUUUGGUGGUAGUAUACUUUUAUACAACUGGGUCAAUGAGUAUUAAACUUAAUCACAUCAUUCCAUGACAAGAUCUAAUCUUCUACUCACCAAACUAGAGACCACACAACUAAAAAAGAAUUGCCCACUUGAGGUCAAUCUUUCAACAUCAGUCUAUCCAGUCAAACUAGCACGUCUUGUAAAGCGUACUAGGUAACAGGGACCAACUAACUAUCCAAUCCAACGGACUGGGGCAGAAAGAGACCUUGCUCAGUAAAAUCGCAAGUCCACACGCGGAUGACCUAACAGAGACCAAGUGCUACUACCACAGUGGCAAGGAGAGGAAGCAAUCUUGUAAUUUUGCUCACCUCCCCUGUCUACGAGCAGGAAAGUGGGGAACGCCCCCGGCUUGGCCUUGUAGGAGAUGUCGAAAUCGUCGAAGCUCUUGCAGGCCUUCUUGUUGGCCUUGGGGUAGGCGACGAAGCCGACCAUGGUGCCGCCGUACUGGGGGACACCGAAGUUGCCAAUGGCGCACUCGUAGGUGCCCUUCAGGUCAUCCGGCGCCGUCACCUUGAGGCUGUUCUUCUCCACCACGAACCUCCCGUGGCAGCAGCCCAGAAGGAACGCUGCCCACACCAGCAACCGCAGCAUCGCGCCGGCGGAUCGGAACCCCAUUCUCCGAUCCACGGCCGCACUUUGCAAUUGGCGAAAAACAGCUGGGGAUUGGAUUGAUAUCUGAGGUCCGAUUGAAGCAAGAUAAGAUCAAUCUUGCGGCUGUGCGGGCGAAAAGAAGCCCGAAAACGGUGUCGUAGAGCGGAAAGAUUGGAUUUUGACGGCCGCAGGGAGGGCGUUGGAGCGAGUUCUACACUACUCGGAUGAAGGGGUUGGAGUGGGAGAGAUUUUUCGUGUCAGGGGGUUUGGUUUGGGGGAGGAGAAAGAGGGAAGGAGACGGAAGGACAUGGUGCAGAAGCCUCGUGGUGAACCAAAACCAGAAGAACACGUGACCAAACCCAAACCAACAAGUUAACAUGUGUUUUUUUUUCACAUUGCAUGCAUCUUCAAAGUGAGAAAAACAUAAACACUUGAUAAUCAAAGCUCAAACGGGAAGCGACUGGAAAAUUCUAAAUUAUGACCUUGAAUGGUAAUCUGUAAGCAUGAGAUUAGAAACAACUAAUUUAUAAUUUUUUUCUUUUUCACGAGACACAAAAGGGCUACUCGUGUUAUGUAUGAUAAUAGAUGUUUGGCUUGCAGUUUGAGUAAAACAAUAGUAUAGUCUUUGUCUCGGUACCUUUUAAUUGCAGAAACGGGAAUACUCUGCGAGCGUCCGAGGCACGUAAAUAUAUAGGACGCUGGGGCUCACAUGUUCCCUCGGUGGCUCCAUCUCUCCUAAUUCAUUCUUAUCCACACAUUCAUCCGUCUCCAGUAACACCGCCUCCUGCACCUCUUCUUUCAGCUCCUCUCACUCACACCAGAAUACCAAACAAAUGGCACGGCGAGCUCAGGCAUUUCCAUCUUGAACUCCUCUCACCCUCACCUCUGUGGCCAGCGCGAAGUACCCCGCCAUCCCCAAUCCUCAUCUCGACCUCUUCUCAUCCCCACCGUUUCGAGCAGUCUCCGACGGUGGAGUCCCAUGGGGUAGGCAGCCCACUGUGGGGGCGGCGCCUGGGAGCUUCAUCACGAGCAGCGCCGCGAGGUCUACCAACUUCCAACCUUCUCUCCCUCAUUGCUGCCGCCAAGGGAGAGAAGGUUGCGCCGGCGGCGGCCUUCUCUCCCUCGUCUGGAUGCAUAGCAACCGAGGACCCCUACCUGAAGGAAUGUUGAAAUUUCUCACGAGUUAGGAAUAUUGAGAUUGGUUAUUCCGGAUGUUUCAGUAGGUGAUCGUAGAUGUCGCAAGUUUCUUAAUCUUGCAAUUUUUAUUGAUGUUGUGGAUCGAACACGGUUUGUUACACUCUUGUUUUCUUAAUGUUUGUAACAAUUGUUUCUAGAUGUGGUAAUUCAUUUUUUUUUGGUGUUGCGCUGAUGUGUUUCUAGAUGCUCAACAUAUCUAUUGCAAGGGUUGAUUUUAGUUGUUGCGCCAAGCUUCUAGCAGUAUUGCAUCCGAGAAUUCUAUCAGUAUUGCAUAUGAGAAAAUAUGUUGCAUCUCUUGAUAUGUGUUCGCUUAAUUGCACUUUUCAGAUUUCUUAUGUUCUGGUUACUGUUUUUCAAUGUUGCUGUAUUAUUUUAGGAUAAAUAUCUAGAGAUUUGUGGCAUCGAGAUGAGGAUUUUAGAGAAAACUUUGAUUUUAAACCAGGAUAUGGUUCUUGCAAUUUUUCAUGUGGGAUUGGUUAAGAAAUGGAGUUUUUAUGUGAUCCUCACCCGGUUAUCGAGAUAAGUCACCAAGUAAGAGUAGGAUGAUAUUGCAUGAAAUAUAGCCUUAUGUUGUAGUGGGAUUUUUUGCUGGAUGAUUGUUACUUAGAUCAAAUGACGGUGGAAGACUCGAGGUUAUAUACAGAUGGUGAUUAAGGCGUCCAAUGCUAGCGCCCUUGUGAAAUGCUUUUUCUAGGGGGAAUUGGAUAUAUGCUUAUGCAAACUCUUACGAAAUAAUUGAUUAAAAUCAUUGGUGGCACGUGUUAUGCUUGGGCCGUAUUAAAAGCAAUGAGGCCUGGCAGGCGCAGUUUUGGGCCCUUCCUUCAAUCGAAAUAAGCUAAUUGAUCUGUUGGAUCCCAAGUUCAUGAAGCCCAAAUAAAUAUAUAUAUACAGAACAUUGGAUCGAUCGAUGCUUCUUCUGUAUGGGAGCAAAGCUCUACCAAACAAGACCUUUUUUCGAAGGAAGAGUGAGAGUGAAAACAAAGAUACAAAACGAUCCUUUAAUUACAUGCCAAUUACUUAUCAGCAGAUAGUGAGAAACCAAAAAGGGAAUAGCUGAUUGUAUGUUUACAUGAAUUUUAUCUCAUAUUGGCACGUACGUGUAUAUGUCUUGGAAACUGAUAAUUUGUUUCUCUGUUGUGCAAGUGUAGGUGUAGUGUACAAUGAUCGGUCGUUUAAUAUAAUAUAAUGCACAACACCGCUCAUGCAUGUAUUGGUGUUCUUGAAACCAGCUAGCAUUACUUCCAACUGAAUAAUCAACUUUCAACUGGCAGGUAUAUAAAAGAAAAGAACUGCAGGACUCAAUUGUCAUCGCACAGGAUCUCAACAUGUAUAAGCUAAUAAUUAAUACACUGUCCCCUUUUGUAGUGUGGAUGACUACUGAAAGCAACAUGGGCGGGUUUAUGUGUGUGUAUUGUCGGUGUUUUACCGCUACGCUCCACUGAUGGAUACUCCCGAGGUAGUGGGUUUAUAGGUAGGGUGUCGCUGAGAUCAGAAACUCGAAGAUACAAGGAACACAAGAUUUAGACAGGUUCGGGCCGCUGAGAGCGUAAUACCCGACGUCAUGUGUGGUUUGUAUUCCUUUAGAUGUUGAUUGGGUGAUCUCCUAUUUGGAGAGAAUCCCUAUCCGCCCUUAUAUAGUCUGGGGGGACAGAUUUACAUGAAGGUUCUAGUCGGGUAUAAGCCUAAGAGUCCUACACGAGUACUUCUCAGAUAAUUUCCUAUUAUAUCCGACUAGUUUUACUACUGUAUAAGUAGUCCUACUACACUACGAGUAGCUGCAACAGAUGUAGGGUGUGAGCCAUGUCCCAUCCCGUAUCCUAAGAAAAUUACGCCACAUGCACAGUCCCAUGUGCCCGGGUCUGACAAGCCCCCGAGCUCUUCAUAGUCGAGUACUAUAGGCGUUCAAGUACUUCUGAAGAUAUCUUCGAGUUCUCCCGAACUUCAUCUUGAAUGUGUUUUUCGACUACUUCUUUAGUUGCAUCGAGGCUAUGAGGUGCUCAUGCCCCGAGUAGUUGUCAAGUCUUCUUUUAUAUAGUGUGAGAUUAAACUCGCACUCCAUAUGGAGUAGCCCACGAGCCUUAGGUUGACUCUUAGAAUUAGGUUGAGGGUUAAUUUAAUCUUGAGUCUUCUAUCCUUAACUUUCAACAGAUUUGAAAACUAACUCGCUGAUGACACGUGUCCCGCAGCUCCCGAGUCUUAAAUCCAAAUCCUAAGGUUUGGAAUAAAAGAUCCAAAGAAUCGUGGCAUGAAAUAUGUGACAGUAACGAUUUGAUGGUUAAGAUGGGCAAGUCGGUUCAGUAAAUUCGAAAACCUCUUUUUCGGGAAGAAUUCUCUAAAAAAUUAAUUAAGCAAAUAACUUCUCCAAAAAACACCCAAAAUUACCUCUUAAAUCAAAUCUUGUUCCCUGAGUCAAUAACUAAAUAAGACCUCUAGGUAAUAUUCUAAAAAUAUAACUUAUUUCGGAAUAAAAUCCCUAAAAUAAUGGUUAACGAUCAUCUACCCAAGAUAAAUCUUCAAAAGCCUCUUGAACGGGUACUUUCGAGUAGUUUUACAGCGUCCAGUGUUAAAACCUGAGAGCUGCCCCUGAAAGCAUACUGAGUGCCUUUUCACAUCCAGCCCCCCGAACCAAGGAGCCAGAUGAGUAGCAUAGAAUAUACCUGGCAGUCGGUGGCGCCAGCCCCCGAGCCCAGGCAUCGGCCAAGUAGCUGCUGGAUUUUGAACAAUCGAUGGAGCCGUCUAGUCGGAAUCGAUUCCAACUAGAGUUGUAGGCGAGACGAGUAGUUGAAGUAGUCGAACAGGUGUAGAACUAGUCGUAAACUAGUAAACCCUUUGCGAUGGGAUCAAGGUCUCUUCAGUAACAUAACAUAAGAUACUAGUCUCCAACUAAUAAUCUAUUACUGAAAGUAUGGGAGCGAGGAUCCUUCAGCAAUUUGCGCGCAAUACUAGUCGUAAACCAGUAAAAUGGAGUUAUUCUGGAAGUAUGAGCGCGAGUCCCCUUCAGUAACAUAAGAUACUAGUCGAAAACUAGUAAUCUGUUACCUGAAAGUAUGUGGGAGCGAGGCCACUUAAGUAAACUUGCGCGUAAUACCAGUCGUAAACCAGUAAAACGGAGUUGUACUGGAAAUAUGAGCGCGAGACCCCUUCAGUAACAUAGGAUACUAGUCGGAAACUAAUAAUAUGUUACUGGAAGUAUGGGAACUAGGCCCCUUCAGCAAACUUACGCGUAAUACCAAUCGUAAACCAGUAAAAUGGGGUUAUAUCGGAAGUAUGAGCGCCAGGCAUCUUCAGUAAUAUAGGAUACUAGUCGAAACUGCUAAAUCUGUUACUGGAAGUAUGGGAGCGAGGUCCCUUCAGCAAACUUGCACGUAAUACCAGUCGUGAACCAGUAAAACGUAAUUAUAAUGGAAGUAUUGGUCUCUAGGUACCGUCAGAAGAUGUCUUGAUUGAUUAAGGAUAAAAAUGACGUAAAUGCUCGAUAUUCCAGGAAUUAGAAAUCUCUUGGCCAUCAUGGUACUAUAAGCGAUACGACCUAGAUCCUGUAACAACCUUAUGCACAACAAAGGGCCCUUCCCAUCGCGAGUUAAGCUUGUAUAACCCAGUGUUAUCCUGGAUUUGUCGAAGAACCAUAUCUUCAACAUUGAAAGAGCGUCGUUGAACGUUCCAGUCGUGAUAACGACGGACUCCUAGUAAGUAACGGGUCGAUUGGAACAAGACGUUGCAUCACUGAUUUACUCAAUUGAGUCGAGCUCGAAAUGUCUUGCGGUGUCAGCCUUGCCUUCUUCAAACAUCUCCAGACGAGGAGACUUCCACAUCACGUCAGCUGGUAAUAUAGCUUCAGACCCGUAUACGAGAAAGAAAGGUGACUGUCCUGUGGCUUUGGUUGGUUGUGUGCAAAGCCUCCAAACUACUGAUGAGAUCUCGUCAAUCCACUUACCGUCCUUUUUGAUGUUCUCGUCAUAGAGUCUUUUCUUAAAUCAAUCAAGAAUCAAGCCGUUGCCACGCUCAACCUAGCCGUUGGCCCGCAGGUGAACCACUGAAACGUAUUUGACUUCAAUUGAACUAUGUUCAUAGAAAUCACUGAUGUGAGUGGAAAUUGGAUUCCAGGUCCAUAAUGAUGAUGUUGGGGAAGCCAAAAUGGUGUAGGAUAUCGCAGAUGAAGGUGACCACUCAAUUUGCAGAGAGUGUUGUGAUUGGCUUGUACUCGAUCCACUUGGUAAACUUUUCUAUGGCCACCAACACGUGUGUAAAACCACCCGGAGCAGUAGUCAAGGACCCUAUCAUAUCCAGACCCCAGCAUGCAAAUGGCUAUGAAGGUGUACAAACGGCCAUGAAGGUUGUGAGCCAAAAUAUGGGGUUGUUUGCUGAAGAACUGGAAGUUUGUACACCGGCGAACGAAUGCUUCAGCAUCUGCCAAAGCAGUCGACCAGUAGAAACCAGAUCUAAAAGCCUUGUCGACUAGUGUGCGAGAAGCCGCGUGGUUCCUGCACACGCCUUCAUGAAUCUCUUGGAGUAUCUCUUUGCCCUACUCCGUGCGGACACACUUCAUGAGUAUGCCUGACGCUGAUCCACGCUUGUACAGGUUACCCCCGACUAGAACAUACCCUUUACUGCGCCUUAGGAUUCGAGUAGCUUCAGCGCUUUUUGGGUCGACGCCGGGGGUAUAGUUUGUGCUCCUGGAUGUAGUCGAUGAAGGUCGCCCUCUAGUCGACCUCAAUUAUAAAGACCUCUCGGUCGGGUUCCUUUGGUACAUAGGAUUACGAGCGUGAUUUUUCGCGUUCCGCCUACGCUGGGCGCGCUUGGUGUUCUUCACCCGCCGGAUCCUUCGGUGCUCCUCGUUCUCAUCCUAGGGGCAUCAGCUGUGGGCUCAUCGGUGGAGACGUCCGCGAGUUGCUCAUUGUCGUACUCGGGACCCAGCUCGUUGUUGUCCAUAUUGCGAAGGGAGGCCAUGUAGACUUAAUGAUCCGGCAAGUUAUUAGCCGUAUGGUUGUACUUGAGUAGCUCUGUGCUACUGUCUCCCUCUUCCGCGAUGGGAGAGAAAGGUUUCCCCCUCCUGGAAGGGCAGUUCCUAUGUGAAGGCCACAAGGCGGGACUCGUAGUCGAGUAGUUCAGAGGGCUCAAAGCCCUUCCAGUACAUGAAACGGCCUUGCAGCGUAGAUGUUAUGGUUAAACCCAGAUGGUUGCCCAAAAACGAUUCGGGGUAGCCAUUGGGUUGCAAGUGGUUUUCAAGAGCGGGGGCCUCCCGACGGGCGGUGGCUCCCUCGUCUCCGAGUCCUUCUCGGCUCUGGCUUGAAGGUGUAGUACUAAGCGACGAGUACUCUUCGUUGGAGUCUGAGUAGUUGUCAAAAAUGGCCCCCUCCCCUCGCGGCAAGCGGUGGCUCUCACGUCCUUGAGCUUGAGCAGCAGAUCUAAGUCCCCUCAAAUUGGUUUGAGUCCGAUCCGACUAGUUCUGGUGCAUCACGAGUGGAAGUCGCAUCGAAAACGGACAUCUUUUCGAUCUGCAGGGCCAGAUUGGAGAGCAGCAGCUCGUCGAGAUUGUCGAUGAACUCGUCGAGAUCGCUGCUUCGAGUUGAUGUAGAGGCCUCCGGCUCCCUGGAGUUGACUAGAUGGUUGUUGAAGCCAUCCAAGCCAUUGGCGACGCAGAUUUAGGAGCCAAAGAUGAAGGUUGUGCCCUUGUUGAGUAUGGCGUCGGUGAAGUUGAAAGAUAUCAUCGAGUUCUCCAAUGGAUGCUCGAUGAACACACCUACCUGGCGCGCCAGCUGUCGGUGUUUUACCGCCACGCCACCAAGAGAUACCUCCGAGGUAGUGAGUUUGUAGGUAGGGUGUUGCUGAGAUUAGAAACUCGAAGGUGCAAGGAACAUAAGAUUUAGACAAGUUCGGGCCGCCGAGAGCGUAAUACCCUACGUCCUGUGUGGUUUGUAUUCUCUUAGAUGGUGAUCAGAUGAUCUCCUAUUUGGAAGGGUCCCUGUCCUCCCUCAUAUAGUCUGGGGGGAUAUGUUUACAUGGAAGUUCUAGUUGGGUAUAAGCCCAGCAGUUCUACCCGAAUACUUCUCGGGUAGUUUCCUACUAUGUCCGACUAGUUUUACUACUGUAUGAGUAGUCCUACUAUACUACGAGUAGCUACAAUAGAUGUAGGGUGUGGGCUAUGUCCCAUCCCGUAUCCUAGGAAAAUUACGCCACGUGCACGGUCCCGUGUGUCCGGAUCUAACAUAUAUAUAUAUAUAUAUAUAUAUAUAUAUAUAUAUGAGAAAUCUAUUUUAUAUGCGUUUGUAGCUACUUUUAUGUAUGUGUAUCUCAUGAUGUAUAGUCCACUGACUGACGCUAAUUGCAUUCCAUAUAUAUGCAUAUUAAUUCGGUGCGAAACACUGAAACUAUAUAUACGACGGAAUUGAAUGAAGGUCCCAUCGAUAGAUCUAUUUGCCACUUGCGUCCACACUCACACACGCAUCCAUAGCUUACUGUGUGGUUAAUGUCCUGUUAGUCAAAAUCUUCAAUUAUUGCUACUUCAAUAUUAGAAGGUCAUACAUGAAUUUGACACGUAUUAAUGGUACAAAUAAAAUUGCAAUUUCGACCGACGUCAGGAUUCAGGAGUGACGCUCGACUCUGACAUAGGAUGGUGUUUGUCAUGCUUACGCGCGGUCAAAGUUGCAACUCCAAUCAGAGGUUUCGCGGAUCCUUCACUAGAUUUGCUCGCUUGGCCCUGUCCUUCUUUGUCCUUUCAUCAUCGGUCAGCACUUGUUUUCCACACGCGAUGCACACACAUGAGUAUGACUACUUCAAUUUUCUUUGUAGCAGCAAUUCCUUUACGCAACCACACAUAUUAUCUAAAAACGGAAAAGGUAGUAUAUACUAGGUUUCAUAAAAAAAACUACUUUUUUUUCUAGCUAAGAUUUUAGCUAGUUAUUAAUAGUCCUUGAAGCUGUCGCACAGGAGGAAAAGCUCCAGAUCGUGGAGAAAAUCUUCUCCAGGUGAUGCUUCCUCUGCUGCCAUCUGCGGCGCCAUGUCUCCUCCUGCAGAAUAAUAUCCAUCGCAGCAGGAGUCGCCGGAGAUGCAUGAACUUGUGGUCGACGGCGUAUGGCGCCCAUGAUAAUCUCUUGCGGUACCGCAGGGCUGCUGCUGCAGCUGCUGCAUACCGAUAGGAAAUGAUUGAUCGAAAGCAAGGGCGGAGGAAGCCUCGACAAGAGGAGGCAGCACUGGUGGUGGUUCUUCUUGCUUGACAUUAUUCACGGCAGCACGAUGAUGACCAUUUAUUAUUAGAGGAUUGAUGCUGAUCACUUUCUCGCUGCUGUUGGCAGCUGUGGUUGUGCAGCUAUUGUUGCAGGUGUGCUUGUUGUUGUAGGUGACCUGGAACACGGGAGGGUCGCUGCUGUCCUUCUGCUGGACGUGCUUUGUGGCGAGGCAGCCAGUGUCAUCCUUGUAGGUGCACCUGAAGUAGCUCCUUGUGAAGCUGGUGCCGUUGAUCUUCUUCUCGCCGUAUUUUCUCCACUCGUAGCCGUCCUCGUAAGGCACAGAGGUCAAGCCUGCCCAUGAUGAGGUUUUCCCGCCUGCUUCCACUGUUGUUCUGCAAUCGUUGUUGGAACGGAUCAAUCAAUUAGUAAUUGCAGAAAGAGAAGGAUAGAGAGAAGAGUGUAUUAAUAAACGAUUAAACAUGGCAACGACACUCGAUGGCCUGCUAGCUUAUCAAAUUCGUACGAACCUUCUUCUCUUGCCUCUUCUGGCCGUGCUCGGUAUUGCUUCGCCGGGAUCGGGUGCUGCUCCAUGGCUGGGCGAUGAUGAUGAGAGUAGUUGACGCUCGGCUUUGACGACGACGCUUGUUGGUGUCGCUGGAGCAGGAGAAGGUUGCUGGUUCAUGACGGAGAGGGCGACGUUGAGUGCUCGCAGCGCCUCGCUGAGGAGGCUCUGGGCCAGCUGGGUGGUGGCCGACGGCGGCAGCGAGGAGCAGUGGACGAGGAGGAGGGGCUGCUGGAUCUUGAUGCGCUCGUAAACCUGCGCCACCACCUCCACCGCGUGCUCACGAUCCGCCGCCACACAACAAUCCAUUGUGGUAGCAAGUGAUGAUCGAUACCGAGCUCGACGCCUGCGUGGUUAUAUAUAUAUGCGAGCGCGCGGCACGGUCUAACUUUCAGUUGACCAGUAAAGAAGAGACCAGACGGGAGCAAACAGCUGCAGGUCCAGGAGCAGGUGAUCGAGCUCACUGUACACUAUUAGUACUAUAAGAACCCAAGUUAAGAAGAUCUCCUUGGUAUCAAGAACCUGCCUUUUCUUACUUUCUUUCCUAUAUAUCCUGCGUUAGUUAGCACUAGAGUUCGUUCAGUCGUCGAACAAGACAGAGUUGACGACGCGUAUACGCAGUCAAGGGGAGGAGAAAGCAAAAUCUGAACCGCAGAAACGAACCAAUGUUACAAGUGUGCGCAUGCCAAGCCGGCCAACCCCUGCGCAUGCAUGCGGACAAGCGAGCUGCAGGGAGUCAGAGUCAGAUGAACUGCUGCCGCGUGCUCCCUAUCAUCAACAACAAUAUACUAGCUAUAUUAUAUACCAGUUAAUCAAACUAAAUUAGGGUACAUGGUCAGGUUUCAGAUCAUUCGAAGCUAGCUAGCACAUGUAAUAUAUAAGCCGCUAGCUAGUUAGCUCGGGCUAAUACAACUCGCCAUCAUUAACAAACUUGCGCCCUGCUAUGACAUUAAUAUAUACUGUUGCACAGGCUAGAUUAGUAUAAUCAAACACGUGUUGUACGUUGUAGUACAAGCUUAAGAAUACACCUACAUCUAUCGUGUCUGACCACAACAGGUUGCAGGAAUUAAUUAUUUAGCAACAAUCGAGUAGCUAGCGAUUAUAAUGAUGAUUGGUACGUGCAGUGCCUGCCUGUGGACCUGUUUGGGUUCCCGGUGACUAAAACAAACUCACUGAAGUUUAGUCAGUUUAUAGGUACUAAAGUUCCAAAUAAAAUGACUAAAAACGAUUUAGUCCCAUUAGCUCCCAAAGGAGGAGUUGAGAGGGCUUGCCCUUAAUUUUGGUCCGUUUGUUUGGAACUUUAGUCACGUUUAGUCCUCACCUUACAUCUCUACGCUCGCAUAUGCUAUUUGUUACACCAGCAUAUUACAGCAAUCCUCCAUCUUCCUAACCGCGCUAUCUUCUCUUCCCCUCUACCAAAUUCUUCCGGUGAUUAGUCCAAUAGGGAAAAACAAUUAUUUUUUAUCUUAAAAAAGAAAUAAAAUUCAACCCAUGGGGAACAAGAUGAAGGGUAGGAGAGAAUGAUGAGUGGGGCCAUUAUAUGUUUAUAUUUAUUUCACGAACUUGUUGUUGAUGGGCCUGCUAAAUCGUCCAAAAAUAAAUCCACAUGGCAAAACACUGUCACGCGUGCAGGAUUAAAACCGCCUUCGACUCCCAUGGGUGCAGUGGUGUAAUGUGUCCAAUAAAGGGUUAAAGGGUGUAGAAUGUUUGGGUUAGAGUUGAAGGUUGAAAAAUAUAGUUUGAUGAUAAUUAAAUGGUGUACAAUGGAAUUAACCCUAUAAUUUUUAAUAUAUGUGCACUAGAUUGUCCUCUAGGGUAUUCUUAUUAUAAUGUAUUCAUCACCAAGCUACAUAAAUAUAAAACUUAGGCCUCUGUUGUUUCCACACACAAACAAAAUGCUUCUCUUGUUUGUUUGUUUUUCUUUUUGCUUUUGCUUGUUGGUCUCUCUCGUACAGUAGUAAUUGUUGGCAGCAACAGAGAUAUACUGUGCUUAGGUUCUGUUUGGAUCCAAGUGCUAAUAAAUUUUAGCACUAGCUCAUCCAAACGUUAGUGCUAAUAGGGUGAGUUAAACUUUAGGCAAGACUUUAAAAAAUUUAGCAUGUGUAUGAGUGCUAAUAUGUGCUAAAGUUUAGCACUCAAUUUUUAAUUAAGCAAUUUUGGGAAUGUAAUGCCGACGUUAGGGUAAGCACGUCAUGCAUGCCAACGUAAUUAAUAAGAGAAAGAGCGACCAAUAUAUAUAAAUGUUGUUGACGAUCGAUGUAAUGAGGUAGCUAGUCCAAGGGCGACCACGCACGUGACGCCCCAGGCCCACAUACUGCAGGAUCCUCGCUAGAUUUUCCCCGUUCUUUCAUCAUGCACUUGUGUCUGUUGUGCACUUGUCUUUCCACACGCAGAGCAUACAUAUAUGAUAAUAGCGCGUGUAACUUUUAUCUUUACUACUGCUUUAUUUUGCUUUUGAUUUUGUUCCCUCCGGAAACUGCAGGCAUGAUGUUUAAGGAUAUAUUAUUUGCAUUGUGAGCCCUACGUUUGUCACUUCAUCUUGACCCACUCCCCUAUCAAUUAACUAGGGUGGCACUGCGAGAGCAAGUGAUUAAACUACCUUGAAAUCUCCUGUCGUUCCGUUUCCUCAUUAACUGUUGUAUUAGUUUGAGUACGUUUUCCAGUCCAACAAGCUUGCGUUUGCUUUGAUGAGUAACUAAUAAUGAAGCUAGCUUGCUCUAGUUUCUUCAUUCCUUUAAUCUGAUGGAAACUUUCAGCUAGCAGAUCAGCUCGACCAAGAUAUUUAUUGCUAGCUAGUGGGAGAAAAAGAAAAAAAAACAAACCAAGUAGGGUUGCUCGAUAGCAAGCACACUACGUACUGCUAGUGCGUGCGCACGUGUCCUUGGAUCGUGCCGCAGUGUGCGUUCACAUGAGAAAGUGAGAGUGGCCGUCGUCCUGCAUUAGCGAAUAAUUAAUCUAGGAUAGACGACUAGCUUGGGUUCAAGUAUAUAUAUAUACACGCAUACAUACGGUAUACAUACUCAAUGAGAGCGAUGCUCCAUCCAUCCUGAAACAUAAGACAUCGAAGGGUUCAAAAUUUGUACGCAAAUAUAAAGUACCCUAGAAUGUUUUAAAAACUAAUUAUUUCUGACCAGCUAUGAAAUCAGCAAAAUAACAACUAAACAAAAUAUUAAAUAGUGGUACAUGCGUAUUUUAUUCUCUCUUUUAAUUUAUCUUAGAAUUGCUAGAAUACCUUACAUUACAUGACGAAGGAAGUAGAACCACAUGAAAGCAAGCGUGGUCUCCUGAUGGAAACCUGCGAUCGAUCCCACUCUGCUUUCUAAUUAUUAAUUAACGUUAACGUCUGAAUCAUUCCGGGUCUUUCAGAAAAUAAAGCUGCUAAUAAUAUACGCAUGGCUAGCUAGCUUUUGGUCAACAAAUUGCAAUAAAGCGUGAAAAUAACAGAAUAAACGACUUAUCGGGUAGGGUACGGCAUUUCUUAUAACCUACCUAGUAUUAAUUUGAUGUCGGGUGUCCUGAAAGCAACCCAUGUAUUUACUACUCUACUUGCCGAUGUAUCUAUAUGCUCAAGGAAACUACUGAUUCACACAUUCCAACACCACACAUAGAAGGAACAUACAUACCUCUUGAGGCAUACCAAAGCCAAACUGUUUCUAGCAUAUCUCAUGAGAGAAAAAUCUACGUAACAGACUAACAGCAGUUGGGCAUUAUCAGAAUGACCAGGCAAAUAUGCUGCCAUGCUUUCGACACAUUGUCUGUACAACAAAUAAAUUGUGCUGCCUUCAUUACACAUUCUUUUUGGUCUAGCAAGGAACUCCAAUCCCUUUCCUCACGUCAUUCAGCACAAAUGUGGCUUGCUUGAAUGCGAAUGUAAACAACCAACUCAGGUAAUCUCUCUAUCGAUCAAUGGGGCUCAGUAGGUUGGGUCCCAGUAGUUGAGGCCAGAGACACCAAUGUCGCCUCCUACUCCAGCAGGCAGUUACAAACUCCACUCGGCACUUCAACAGGCACCAAAAGCGUCCCAUCAUAUAUGCUUCUUCCCCCUCGAAAUUAUCACAAAAAAUGGAAGUACUUGAUGCAUAUCGAUUGACUGACCAGCAACAAUGUUCUCAGCAGAGCAUCCUUGCUUCUAGACUGCUCGCUUGCUGCUGAAAAACUGUCAACCUCCAUCAUAACCAGUUAACUGGACUGUUACUUGUAGGAGUUGACGUGUCUGUCCACUGAAACUGUCUUGAAUGGGGGAGGGGCUUCUCUCUGGUUGUUGACUGGCUCUGAAAGAAUUUAUGUUCGGGGACUGUGGCAUAGCUGAGGAUAUCAAGAAUGUGGCCUGCUCAAUAGCUGUGUGCGGGCUGAAGCAGAUUGAUACUGCCUUCCUUGAGGAUGAUUACGCCGCAAUAUCUCUAGUGCUGCCAAUGGGAUUUGAGCUGGUGCUGCAGGUGUGAUGGUUCAAGCAACUCACAGAAAACAAUGGUAGAUCGCUGGUGUCCUUCUGUUGCACUUGCUUUGCGGCAGGGCACUGAUCAUGUGGUUCCUCUAAGUGCAUCUGUGAUAGAACCUGAUGUGCUUAUAAAAUUCAUUUAUCAACCAGUAUCCAAAAUUUUGAUCAUGUUGCUGCUAGCAGGAUCAAAACCUUUAUCCGCAGGCACAUGUCCAGCCUUUGAGUAUCUGUUAUUGUGCAUAGUCUCAUAUGUCCUGAACAUCAAGAACUCGAGAAACAGGCACCUAUCUAUGUCCUCAUUGUUAACCUGGGGAUCGUUCUCCAUUUCCCUUUGUGCCCAGUCAAUUAUAUUUCUAGUAGCAUCAUCAAAAACAAAAGAAUCUUCCCUGAGCUUCUCAGCCCACAUAAGGGCUCUCUUUCCAAAUCCUUGCUUGCAGAAAUGAGAAAGGAAAACAUUAAGUGUGAUAGUGUUUGGUUGAAAAGCCAUCUUAAUCAGCCUGCCAGUCAGUAUCAUAGCUCGAUCAAGAACAUCACUGCAAAUGCCAUCCAUCAAUGUAUUGUAUGUAACUGAAUUAGGAGGACAACCCCUUGUAACAAGCUCAUCUAACACCUUCCCUGCUUGGUUCAACAUAUGGUUGCUGCAGAGGCUAUGCAUCCAAAUAUUAUAUGUGAAAAUAUCCGGUUCACAACCAGCUGCAAACAUCUUAUUCAUGAAACUCAUAGCACCAUUCAUAUCCUGAGCCCUGCAAUACGCAUUGAUUAUAGUAUUGUACGUCACUGUGUCUGGGAUUAGACCAUUACUGCACAUGUCCAAUAAAAGGCUGUCCACCAUCUUCAAGUUUCCUUGUCUGCAAAAACCGUCGAUUAGAAUGUUGCUUGUGUAAACAUCAGGAACAAGGCCACUCUGCCUCAUCUUCUGCUGUAACUUCAAAGCUUCAGCCAUAUUGCCUGCCCGACAAAAUGCAGAUAUGAUGGAGUUGUAAGUAAUAUUAUUCGGUUCAAGUCCUCUUGUUGUCAUCUCAGCAAAUGCCUGAUAGGCCUCAUUCACAUAAUCUAAACGGCAUAGGCCAUUGACAUAUGCUGAGAAGGCAAUAAAAUCAGGCUGUAGACCAAUUUUUUCCAUAUCACCCCAACAUUUCAAAGCGCGGACUGCAUCGCCCUCUCUGAAGGAUGCAUCCAAGUAGAUAGUAAAUGAUGUGCUUAGACAAUAUCCCUUGCUAACCAUGUGUUCUAAAAUUAGCUGCCCCUCAUCAAGCCUUCCUUGAUUGCACAGCCCCAUUAUCAAGUAAUUAAAAGUAUGCGUUGACGGUGCCAGCCCUACCUCAUUCAUAAUUCUGUAUAGUUCAAACGCUGCUUCAUGGAGUCCCUCCUUGCUAUAAGCAGCGAUCAAUGCAUUAAAUCCAGCAACACUAACUGGAACACCCUGCUCAAUAGCACCGCGCAGAAGCUCCCAGGCAUCAUCCAAUCGGUCAUCCCAACAAAGCCUACAGACCAACACAUCCAACCCAUCAGCCGGCAAGUGUGAAGCAAACAUUUCACGAUCAUGGACUAACUGGGCAGCAUGCCCAAACUUGUACGCUCCAGCAGCAAGAAUGUUGAAGGUGCAGGAAUCUGGCACUAAUCCUCUCACUUUCAUCUCCCUAUAGGCUGCGCUGGCCUUAUCCAUCCGUCCAGUCUUUGCGUAUCCAUCUAUCAAGACAUUGAAGGUUAUUGUAUUUUCUUUGAUCCCCACCUUUGCCAUCUCAUCGAACAGCCUCCUCGCUUCCGCCAUCCUCCCCUCAUGGCACAGAACAUCCACCAGUAUGUUAUACGUCACGACUGUCGGCUCACAUCCUGAACUGCGCAUUUCCUCAAACAGCUUGAAGGCGUCCCCUGACCACCCAAACACACAAUGCCCCUUGAUGAGGAUGUUAUAGCUGACAAGGUCCGGGAUGAUACCGAACUUCUUUUCCAUGACUCCAAGCAGCCCCGAGCCAAUGCGCAGCAUCCCCCUGUGGCAGAACCCGAGGAUCAUGGCGUUGAAUAUGGCCAAGCUCGGGCGCGGGCCCCUCGUGGCCAUUUCCUCGAACAUGUUCCAGGCAGAGCGGACCUCACCGCUGCGGAAUAGAAGGCGCAGCAAUGCGGCCAGAGCGGAGAGGCUGGGCGUAUUCCCGGAGCUGCGGACGCGCGCGAGGACGUGGAGCGCCUCGGCUGCCAUACCCGCGGCGAGGAACGCGUGGAGCGCGAGCCGGAGCGCGGCGUACCGCACGCGAGCGCUUCCGCCGGUGCUCCCGUAGGAGGACGACCAGGAAAGGAGGUCCGGGGAGGCGGCAGGGAGGAGCGCCGCGAGGAGGAUCGCGGCGAAGGGGCGGAGCGCGGACGCCGACGCCGCGAGGCGGGAGGCGGCGGCGAAGCGAGCAGCGAGUGAGGUGGAGGAGGGAGAGCCAGAGGAAGGUGGGGGGCUGAAGGCGUGAAGCGCGAGGUGGCAUUGCGGGGAGGUCUUGAGAAGGCACGCGAGCGCGAGGAGGGCGUCAUGGCGGAGCGACGCCGGCAGCGAGAGGACGCGGCGGUGGUCGGGAUGGAGGAACUGCGCGGUUGGAUCGUAGUCGUAGGAGGAGGAGGAGGUGGUGGUCGUCGAGAGGAGGCGGUGGAGGGCGGCGAGAAGAGGGUGCGGUGUUUUGGGUUGCCUCGCCGCCGCGGCGAGGAGGCGCAUCUGGCGCGGCCGCGGCGGCGGCGGAGCGGGAGGAGGGGGGCGACCGAAACGGAAGCAGGCAGCGGAACUGCACAGGACUGACCCCUCCCUCACUGGCGUGGGUCCAACAGGCCCACACGUCAGUCACCAGGGCAGCACCAGUCGCACGGAUUUCAAUAAUCUUUGAUGUGAAGUCAUGUUGCAGCUUGCAACAGGUCCACUUCAACUUUGAACAAAUUCUUGAUAUGGCAGCGCUCCUGCUAAUUUUCAUGUAAAAUUUGAACUGAACAACAUCCAGGCAUAAACUAAGCUGCAUUUUCUCCUGAUAGAGAAACCAACUUGCUUCUAAAACUCAAGACACAUUAAUAAAACGUUCAGUGUUUCAGUAGUAGCAGAAUGACCAAGCGACCCUGCUGUCAGGAUUCAGGAAUUCGAGACAUACAUACUAGUCUCAUCUCUAAACAAACAAAUAAAGCUACCUCAACAACCCUUUUCUGUAUCACGUACUAUCAAAUAAAAGAAACUCCAAUACCAUUCUCCGCAUCAUUCAAGCACAAAAACGUGGCUUGAGUAUGCAUGUAAAGAAGUAAGCAACAGGACUGUAAUAUCUAUAUGGGGAUCUGUCUGUAGGUUGGGUCCCAGCAUAUAUAGCCUUCUUCUUCCAUGAACAGCAUCACAAGAAAUGGAAGUACUCGAUGCAUCUGGACUGACCGAUCGGCAGCAACGUCCUCGGCAGAGCAACCCUGCUGCUGGACGACGCGCUUGCUGCUGAAAAACUGUCAACCUCCAUCUGAACCUGACUGUUACUUGUAGAAGGAGACGAUGCGUCUGUCCACUGAAACUGGCUUGCGUAGGGGCUCCUCUCUGGUUGUUGAUUAGCUCCGAAAGAAUGUACGUUCGGGGACACUGGCAUCGCCGAGGAUGUCAAGAAUGCGGGCUGCUCACUGGCUGUGUGCGGGCUGAAGCAGAUUGAUACCGCCUUCCUCGAGGAUGAUUGUGCAGCAGUAUCUCUCGUGCUUCCCAUGGGAUUAGAGCUGGUGCUGCAGGUGUGAUGGUUGAAGUAAGUGACGGAAAACAAUGGAGGAUCGCUGGUGUCCUUCUGUUGGACUUGCUUUGUGGCAGGGCACUUCAUGUCGUUCUUGUAGGUGCAUCUGUAAUAGAACCUGAAAAUAGAAGAUCAGUCAUGUCCUUCCCCCUCUGUCAACAUUCAGUCUACCUAAAUUAGGUGGAACGGCAUCAGUAAACACUCUCACGACCUUUUCUUCUGCUACAUACACUGCCUUUUAGAAAAAGAAAUAAUUGCUGCCACCUAUUAAACAUGCUCUUAAUGGGCUAACGAGACAUAUGGGGUCUGCACCACAUUCAAAUCGCCAUCUAAGGAAGUAGAAAAAGGGUAGCAGGGACUGUCGGCAUGCAUACUAAUAGCUGAAAACUUGAUUUGGGAGCAAGCGCGCUAAACAAAUGAAGGAACACUUAGCCUGCUAGUGAAGUAUUACAUUUCAGACGAGUUGCCAAUCACAGGUAAUAAAGGUGGCCAACUUGUGAAUUGUAUAUUCAUACUGGAAGCAACACUUUGCAAGUUUUCGUCUGUCUAGUUGAGUUGUCAAUUAAGAAAAAUAUUGCCACUGCAAGGGUUAUUUUCCUAGUACAGUAGUCAUUACAUAAAGCAAUUUUUAAUUGAUAAAUAUUUGUUUUCUUUCAACCAGUCAAGGGGUAUGCCGACACCUGUCCACCGACAAUUCUACCACAGAGUGAUUAGUAGACAACUGCGCAGUUUGAUGAGUCAUCUGUCCCCUGAUAUACUACAAAUGUUAGGCGCGCUAAGAAGCAAUGUGAUUUGGGGCUCAAAAAGUAUCUGGCCCACAAACUGAACAUACAAAGGACUAUAUAUUGACCAAAGCAAGAGAUUUUUUUCUAUUUGUGGGCAACUUUAGAUUUUAUUUCAGGUAAUGUAAAGAUUGGAGCUUAAUUACAUGAAGAGGUCUGCUGCAAGAUUUGUUCUCCACUUAGACUGGUGAAUCUAUGGUAUUCCAAACUCCAUCCGAAGUUAGCAGGCCCUUCGUGAAUUGCAAUUUUAUAAAGUUAGCACAUGAGCUUCUUCAAUGGACUACCAAGAAGUAGACGGUCCAAACUGGACUGCUCAAGAUUUGUGCUCAUGAAACUACCGGAACACGCUACGUUUAAGAAGAAAAUCACAAGAGAAGAUAGGAAGCAUGUAUAGUUCACCUUUAUUUAUAUUACUGGAAGGCAGGAUAGCAUAAAUCUAUUAAAAACCAUGAAUUAUUCCAGUCAAAACAAGGCAAAGGUGUUCCUAAAUUCCAAAUAUUUGAGGUAAUCACUCUCAGUUCACACAGUAACAGGUCCCACACAAAUUCACUCCAGAUCUAGUAAUAACUGAAUUGACCAUUUGCGACAACUGUAUCAUGACAACAGUAAGAGAAGUUUUUGCACACAAAGGGGGUGCAUGCAUGCAUGGACUGAAAAAAAAACGCUUAUUCAGGGAACAAAAUGCAUGGCAAAAGGGGGGUGAAGGCAAGAGGGACUAUGAACCUUGGGAAGUUGGAGUUUGAGAGCUUCUUCUCGCCGUACUUCCUCCACUGGUGCCCGUCGUCAUACGGCGCGUAAGUGUCCGAGGUCCAGGUGCGCUCAUCUUUCCUGGUGUUUUUUUUUUACAGAACAGAAAUUGAAGAAAAGGCACCAUGAAACUGAAAUUCGUGCAAAUUUCGCGCAGCAGGGGGAAAUCGAGGAAGCUGCGCUUCUGCGUACCUGAUCCUUUGCUGCUGGGUUCUGACAGCCCUGUGGGAUGAUCCCAAGUCGCUGAGAUAGGCAGGAACAGAAUCCAGAGCCAUGGCAAGGAUGGUGAAGGAGAGAAGCGGAGGGAGGACGCUGAACUGAUGAAGAGGGAGGGAGAGAGGAGACGUUUCUUGGGGGAACUCGGCGGCCUGCGCUGGGAGACUCUGACCACCUUAUUUUAUAGCAUUAAACAACGACGGUGCAGGAGCAUUCUUCAACGUUAACACGCGUCGCUGCCUCUGCAACUCCCCCUAACGGCGCUGCACUUUCUCUUCGUGCAUUUUUGUUUUAUAUCAUCCUUUCUUCAUUUUGUUCUACAUGGUAGAACUCCUUUCCAGCUUAUUCCUACCAAUUACAAUUUACAAGCACUAAUGUCCUUUUGCAGCCCUGCAAGUAAGAAUCUGUCCAAGAGCUAUGCUUUGUUUCAUCCAUGCACAGCAAACUUUGAUAUAAGCAAAUGACAUUUAUAUGCCAGGCUGAGAGCAAUGAAGACGUUGAAGGAUUAAGAAAAUAUUGUGCAUAAUUUCCCAUAGACCAAAAGACUUCUUUAUACCUUGUUCUUUUUAUCUCCACUAGAUGCCAGUCAAAUAAUUUCAGAAAUAAUUUGAGUGUCUCUAAUCAGUGACGAAACGGAGAGGAACUGACGGAGCGAGGCUGGCAUCAGAUAGCCCGACACUUCUGAAUAACUAAUGCAAGCGUCAAUACAAAUCCAUGUGCAAGAGAGAACAGCUAGCUAGCUGAUGCCCUGGCUCUGCAUUUCUUUACAUUUCUGAAGACUCUCAUCGUGGUCUUAUAUUACUUGUUAAAUAAAAAGGAAGCACAGCUUUAUUACAAAAUCUUGGGUUUGGUGGAUCAAUCCCCACCGGCACAGGCUAGCAUAGGGACCAAUAAAGAGCUUAUAAUACUGCAUCCCUUCGAACAAACUUUCACCAAGUAGUCUUUUUCAAACAAGUCCCAAGAGAGAGAAGCAUAAAAGGAAAGAAAACAAUCUUGUCAGUGACUCCUGAUUUAAGUACUAUUUAUUACAAUGCUAAUGACGUUAUCGAUAGAAAACAUCGCUCUAUAGGAACUGUUGAAAAUGACAUGAUUUAAAAUUUUCUUUCCAACUUUAAAAUCAAAAGCACUUGGCUAGUUGCUAGGUGCUUCUACGCUCUUCUAAAAACGUAAAUUUACAAAUCCUAAAGCAACAAUGCUACUGGUGGUGUGUUUUCAACUUUCAGUAGGGCACAAAUCCACAAUUCCAUUGUGUUUCUUGUGAUUAGUUUAGUAUUCACACUUGUUCAUGGAUUUCCUUUUCAUUGUAACUUGUAAUUAGUUUAUUACUGCCACUUGUUCAUGGGCAAAUCAAGUCCGUUUGAACAUGACAUUAGCCGCAAAAAAUUAGUGGUAUACUGAGCUAACAAAGAGUCCUGCUUAGUUGCUAUGGUUUUUAUGUAAGUAUUGAAUUAUCCCUUUUUUCUGAAACAUGGAUGAUUGACCUGCAUAAUAGCAUAGAAGUAUUUUGUUAUUUAUUGCACCAUCUAGAAGGCUAACUUUUGCUCGCUAAUACUAAAUAUUACACUGUGGAUGACCACAGAACAGUAGAAACAAUUUGUCCUUUAAAUAGCAUUGUGUGAUACUGAUAUUUUAGCCAUUGAAAUUGUGGCUAUAGAAGUGGCCGCAUCAUCUCACACAUUAUUUUGUUGCAGAAUUAGGAGAGCUAGUGGACAUUCUGGUGGCCGGUUCAAACAGUCAAGCUUAGUUUAUUUACUUCAAAGGCAUCCACAUACAAACAAACAGCUCACCCAACCAUUCUUUUAUUUACUUUUUUCUUUUUUAUGGAAUGAAGAAGACGGUUGUUUUAUUCUAUUACCAGAUCAUUGAAGAAAAUUAUAUUUGCAAUGCAGUAGUACCUAGCCUCAAUCAAGACUCAGGGGAGGUGCAAAUGGCCAAAGCCUGAACCUCCUUGAAUUCAUCUGUGUUUCAAAUACUCCAUUCUUCCUCAGAAAAUGCAAAAUACUGCCAAUUCCAAAGAAGAAAAAAACUGAACUUCCCCCCAGUAUGCAUGGUUUCAUCAAAAGGGUCAAAUAUUUGGAACCAGCGAGAGCAGAGAAUAGGAAUAUAAUUCUUUACUCUACACUAGCCUUCAAAAGUUGUUUAAGACCAUUUACAAAGCAAUAUUGAAGCCUUUUAUCAGGAACCAAACUUCUAACAGUGGCUGCUAUUUUGUUCUUUCUUGAGCCCACCCAGGGCCUUAGUCAUAAACAAUGGGGUCAGAUGCCCUGGAACUUGUGAGCAGCCCUUAAUUGAAUAAUUAGAGCCUAAUGGAGGAAAACAAAGACAACCUAGUUGAUCUGCUAUCUAAAAAGUGGUGUUGAUACAAGGUGCUUCCAUGUGCUGCUGUGCUGUUUGCAUGCAAAUUGUCCAAUCUUAAUCGAUCCACGAGAAGAAUCUCGCUGAUUAUGUCCUUGAUGGGGGGCGGUGGGAUGGUUCCUGGAAGCUAAGAUCUCUUCAGGGGACCUAAGAUGGAAAUUAAACGGUGCUAUGUCCUUGACAGCUGAUAUGUGGUAGUACCAAGCUUUCUUUCAUGACGUAAAAGUUAGGAUGACAAAAAAUAAAGUCAAGGAAGAUAUCAUUCCACUUGGACUCAACUGAAUCAGUUCCGACCCCCAGCACCAUAAUGUCGGAAAGACCCCUCUUUUUCGCACAUCGAUUUUAACCCCUCUUUUCCGCAGAUGGUGUCUUGAAUCUAACUCGGCUUAAGAAAAGAAUUGUUCUCAAAGACGAUAAACGCGGCACUCAGAUAAUAUUGCUAUGAUAAUACCACCACCCCAUGUGUAGGAAUCAAGGCUCAGUGGUUGCUAGGAUAAAAAAUUCCCAAUAAGAUGUUGAAUGGGUUUAGGAUCCCUAGUUAAUUAGUUUAUGCAGCCAGCUGUUUUAUAUAGAAAAUCAAGAGGAAGCAGCUUAUUAGGGACACAACAAUCUUGACACAGUUUGCUGCUACCAGUAUUCUAGUAUAUCCUGCAGGCUGCUGCAGCUGCUGUCAAACAAUAUUAAUUAUAUCUGCAGGCUUGUGGCUGCAAUGGGAUAGUACUUACUGAAAAUCAAAUAACAUACCUGUUGACUUAGGUGUCGUCGGCAAGAGAGAGAGAUCCAUGCAUAGGGAUGAAUUAUUAGCAUCAAAUGAGACAAGUUUAAGCAAUGAGAAACGUGCUAAUUCAAAUGAAAUGCUGUUGAUUAGAUGACUACUCGAUGUAGAGGGGGUACCUCGGUUAUGGAAGCUAGCUAGGCUAUGCAUGCCAUGCCAUGCAUAAAUAGUAGGACUCAUUAGAACAAGAACAAAUAGAGCUAGAGGUGACUGGCCAAUUAAUUAAGCUUGCGUCUGUGAUGAAUCAGAAGUUCAAAGCUAACACGAACAGCACAUGUGUACUGUACACAGUAGGCAUGGAAAUUUACGAAAAACUACUAAACGAGAUACAGUAGAUUAAAAAGUACCCAAAUAAUUAACUAAUGUAUUAAGCACUAGCAGUAGUAUUGAACGAAAUUACUGGCUGCCGGUUGCAGGUGGAUCGGAUCGGAGACGGCUGGGGCGAAGCAACAAGACAUACGCACAACAGUCAGAGUUGGUAGAGAUCGUCCUCCGGUUGGCCGGAGCCGGGGAAGGAGGCGGGAGAAGUGGAGACCCAUAAUCUUGGGCUUGGGGGUCACCGAAGCUCCGGCUGGGCACGCGCCUGGGCCGCCGCUGGGAGGAGGGCAAGGCAUCAGUAAUCUUGGGCUUGGGGUCAGCUGGCGGGCUGGACGAUUUUGUAGUCUGUUGGGCCAGCCAACCUCAUUCUUUAGCAUUGAUACGAUGGGCCUCAUUUAGGCCCUAUUUGGUUUCGCUUACCUGAGAAUCGCUUAUAUGAGAAUUAAGAUUUUCUCAUAAUCCGCUGUCUGGAGAAUCUGAUGUCUAAAGAAUCUGGGGUGUUUGGUAAUCCUGAUUAUUUCUACUGGAUUGUCUGUUCUGACUGUAAAAUGACCUAUAUGCCCUUGAGUCCUGUAAUAGCUCAUUUUGAUCUGAUCUCUCUACCAUUUUCAAUUCUAAAUAUAUUAUUAGUACCAGAAUUUUAUUAUAGUAUAAUUAUAGUCAUAAAACACACAAUAAUAAUAAAAUAAACUAAUAAAUAAUAGUCAUGAUGAAUAUAGAUUAAUAAGUAAUACAAUUUUACAAUGAUAUUCAAGACAUCAUAGAGGCAGCAAUAGCAUUACGAAAGGCACACAUAUCAAUGUCAUCUCCUGGAGCACUAGCAUCGAUCAUGGUAGGUUGGCUGUCACCGGUAGCAUCAUCUUGCACAUCGGAGUUGAAAUCUGGAUCUUUAUUGGUAUUUUCUCUAACAAAAUUUUGCAGAGCCAUGCAUGCAACUAUAAUUUUUGCUUGUUUGGUAACAGGAUAGCUAGGUAAGUGCAACAAGAUACGCCACUUCAUCUUCAACACUCCAAAUGAACGUUCAAUCACAUUUCUAAGUGAUGAAUAUGCUUGAUUGAAUAUUUCUUUUUCUCCCACUGGUUGGUGAUAUUGCCAUUCCGAAACAUGAUACCUUUGUCCCUUAUAAGGUGCAAGAUACCCUUUUCUAUUAGGAUAUCCGGAGUCUACAAGAUAAUACUUUCCAUUGGGAGGCUUUGGGAAUUGGUUCUGGUAUGUGAGUAGAGUAUCCAAAAAUACUCGAGUGUCAUGUACGGACCCAGACCAGCCAGUGACAACAAAUGUAAAUCUCAUAUCAAAGUCACAAAUAGCCAUGACAUUUUGUGAAGUAUACCCAUGCCUACCAAUAUAUUUUGGUUGUUCAGAUGCUAGAAUAGUAACUUCGAUAUGCGUGCCAUCGAUGGCACCAAUACAAUCUUUGAAAUGAGGCCAAAACCUUGGUUCUUGCAACUUAGGGUGAAUUGUUCCAAUCUGUGGAUCCUUUGGCCUAAUAUUGUGAAAAGCCAGUUCCAUAAUAGCAUCUACAACUUCAUCAACCUUUCUACUAAUUAUUUCCAAUGAGUGUUUGAACCUAUUCUUAACUUGACUAAAUGAUUGAGGACCACCACACAUCCACAAAAAAUAUGGCUAAUGCUUCCUUCGUACAUAUUUUUCGACUUGAUUUCAACCUAUAAUUUUAUACCAAUGUGUCAUGGAGACGUAGAAAAACUGACCUUGACAUUCUGAACAUAUUAUAGCACUCAACUGGAUCCACUAGAGUUAGCUCAACCCAUUGGAUCCCUGUCAUAAUAGGAAUAUUAUCAGGAAUUGGUGCCUUCCUACCAGUUGAUCCAGAACCCAUGCACUCAAAAGCCAAAUACGCACAGAAAUCAUCAUUGAGUCACUCAUAAAAAAAAAAAAAAAAAAAAAAAAAAAAAAAAAAAAAAAAAAAUUUUAACAAAAAAAAAAAAAAAAAAAAAAAAAAAAAAAAAAAAAAUAA
rnacentral:lncRNA from 1 species